rnacentral:lncRNA from 1 species
GACUCUAGGCGGCCUCCUGUCCCACCGGUUUGACGAAACAGACUCUACUUCUCAAUGUCUAGUUUUGUGACAUGAUGAGCUGCUGCCUACUUCUGCUAGAUCGGAGUGUACUCAGGUUCUCUCACCUUCAGGCUUAAGCCCAGCAGCCACUCGACGGGACCGAGACAUAAGCUGGCUAUUGUCGAUUAACUUCGUUGGCGGGUUUCCCUGUGUGCUUUGUGUGUUUGAUCUAGAAAGGGGAGAGAUUUGACUUAUAUUAUCCUUUUGUGCGUGGAGUCGUCUUUUGGGUGGUACUGUAAGUGUAAGAUACCUAUAUGUUCCAUGCCUACAUACUUCUGCCUGCUCCUUAUUUGCAUUCUACAUACUUUGUUUUGACAAGAAUGCAUGAAUUUCAUAGAUCGAGGUUUAAAAGCUGCUGUCCUAUACUUGCUGCCAUCAUUAUCGCUGUGUGUGAUGUGCUGAGUUAACCUCUUUAUAGAUAGAAGGCAUAAUGUUUUUUGAUUCCUUGAGAUCUCAGACCAGUGAUUGAAAUGCAUCCAAGAUGCCACUGCUUCCUAGGUCAUUAUUUUUACUUUUUAUCAUGAUCUGCAUGUUAUCAUCAGCUUUCGCAUCCCUGAAAAAUCACAUCAAUGUUUCUCGGAGAACUUGUCCAUCGGUGUUUAGAUUGUUGCCACCUUACAGAGUACAAGAUGCGGAGACAGAUUAAUACUCCCUCCGUUCCUAAAUGUAAGUCCUUGUAGAGAUUCCACUGGAUGGACUACAAACGGAGCAAAAUGAGUGAAUCCACACUUAAAAUGCAUCUAUAUACAUCCGUAUGUAGUUCAUAGUAAAAUCUCUACAAAGACUUACAUUUAGGAACGGAGGGAGUAGAAUGUUGUGUUUGGAUUGCUGCCAAUUGCAGAACUUUUACUGUGUAUGCAUACACACUUGUGCCAACCUAGUGAUCUGUUUUCUUGUCGGUUCCUGCAACACCUAGUAAUGUUGUGUUUUUACUGUGUUUAGGUUGUUCCUGCAUAUACAGGUUUUUUUACUGUGUGCAUGCACACUUCAGUCGCAUUGUAUGCAUACACAUUCUUCUCAGUGAGCAAGUGUAGGAAGAAGGAUAUGGAUUGUGUGAUACUUGUGUGGUGCGACAUAUGGGUUUCCCCGUAGAGUGGAUGGUCUCUCUCAUCUCAUGUACUGUACGUAGCAGCUCAAUCAAAUAGACUGACCAGCUUUGCCUUUUUCAUUCUCCAAAAUGUCUGUAUAUUCUUGUAGUUGGCCAUAUGAGCCGAGGUAAGUAAAUCGAAUGAUCUUUACAAUUGAAAAUUUAUGUCACAAUUUGGUAGUGCUGCAUCUGAAUCACAUAUCAACCAAGCCAUAAAUAAAUCUGCAGGCUCUUUGGAUAUAAUAAAAUUAAUUAGUACUCCCUCCGUUCACAAAUAUAAGAUGUUUUACUCUAUAACUUUUUUCUAAAUCGGCUCAAGCCUCCUCCAAGCUUCUUGUCGUCCAACAUCCUUGACUUUGGCAGCUGCUUUCUUCAGACUUGUUUCCUUAUCCUGGAGUUUGGAUUUCUCCUUCCUGUUACAUAUAAAAAAGGCAAUCAUUCUCAGAUACCAUGUAACAUCAACAGAAAACAAAGCAUCCUCCACCAUUUCUAAAACCAUCAAGUUACCAGGAAAAUCAGUUAAGGAUGAGAGGUGAGCUACACAAGCACAAUUAAUCAAGCUGAGAUCACUUCUGAUGGAUAAUACAAUAUAUAUUAUGCCUAACUAGUCAACUGGCAGCAGAGUGCUUUUCUAGCAAUUGUUCAGAACCUGCAAAUCAAUUUAGGAUGAGUGCGUUCAUAGAAGUGAGUGUGCGUCCGUACUGUGUUUUUCAAAAAUAGAAGUAGUUGAAGGGGGCUUGGGGGCUGCUUUGCCUCUUUUCAGAAGGAAAAAACAGUAAUCCACAUUUUGUCCUGCUAAAAGUAGCUUUCCUUGUUACAAGCAUUCUGAUGCUACAGCUUUAUACCAUUUAUAUCCCCUCCCCUGUAACAGGUGAAGGAUAAUAUUUAGCAUUUUUAAACGACAACAGUAAAGUAUCUAAAGAAGAUCAGCACGCCAAUAUAACACAAGCAUAUGAAAUCACCACUUGAAUGGGCUCCUACAUCCUCCAACAGAGGAUGCAAAUGGAACAUUAGUAUUACUUUGAAGACUAGCAGGGGCCCUGCUAUGCAAAAAUUUAAAGGUAGCUACUAGCUAGUAACAGUGGUCACUCUCCAUCUCUUACAACCAACAUAAAUAGUUGAUGGGUGAAGCUAAUGCGAAAACAAACUGUCGUAUCAAUGAUUUAUUACAAACAGUGUCUAAUCGACGCAAAAAACAUCAAUUUGCUAAGAACAUUCACGACCAGCAGGCAGGGAUAACAAUGCCAGUGUGCAGAUAAUCGACAUGAUUAUCAGGUCCUCCAGCAGCAGUGAACACCUUGAUUGCUUGUUGCAUUGUUGGACGGCGUGAUGGAUUUGGUUCUAUGCACCGAGCAGCAAACGCGAUCACUUUGAAUACUUUGCUUGCGACUUCAGCCGCUGGGAGUGGGAUCCGGAUGUCCAACAAAUCCUUGAGUGAUGUACUCUUAUCGGCCAUGGAUGAAAGAAAAUCACUUGGAUGGUGUCCCAUGAACCAACUCGAGCGUGAGCACCCCAAAAAUAUAGACGUCACAUUUCUCUGUCACCCUUGUUGAUUAUUAUUGACACUCGAAAAUGGCAUGAUCGCAAAGGAUGACUUGAGGCUAUAAUGAGAUGAUGUUAAAAUUAUGAGUUCAUGUCACCACUGGAUGGCUCUCUUCAACCGCUUGAAAUAAAUAUAGAGAUGGUCCAAAACGAAGCUCGAAUGCAAAAGUUAUGCCAAUCUUAGAGAUGCUCGUAGACACCAGAUUAAAGAAUGGCGCGAAACCUAAUUAAGAUGGCCUCGGAUGGAAAAAAGUUACAAUUUCAAAGUUCUUUGACUCGUCGAAACGAACGAUUUUGAUAUAAAAAUCGUCCCCAUCCGAGGUCGUAUUCAAAAGUUACAGGCAAAACCGUGCGCUGCAGCAAUGUUUGGCCGGAUCAUCCGGGCCGGGGUCCGGAUCAUCCGGGUAAUUGAAGUACAAAGACACCAGAAGGUUGGCGCUGAAUCCGGAUGAUCUGGGUCCAAUACCGGAUGAAUCGGAUGGAGGCCGGACAGUCCGGGUAAAAGUCCGGACGUCCGGGCAGUUUUUUUCUGCUGCCGAUGUUAGAAAACAGCCCUAAACUCCCUCAAGAUGACCUCAGAUUGAAACGUGUUCAACAUGAAAGUUGUGUGUCUCAUCGAGGCGGUUGAUUUUGAUAUAAAUCUUGCCCAAAUCCAAGGUCGUAUGUGGAUUUUAGAGCCCAAACAGUGAGCUGCUGUCAGAAAACUGGGCUAGGCCGGAUCAUCCGGGCCUAGAGCCGGACAUCCGGGCCGGAGGUCGUGAGAAGUCCGAGUUUGGCCAGAUUUUGAUGAUUUGGACGGUAAGGCAAGUCCUUUUCUUGUACGGAAAAUCCACCCUCCUCUUAUAUAGAUAAGAGGUGACGGCCGAUUGAACAACACAUAAUCGAACAAAUCUAUCUACACUCUUUACCUUUACUUUUGCUUCUCCCUUUUUCUUCUUCUUCCUCGUUCUUCGCCUGUUCUUCUUGUUGCAGGGCGGCAAACCUCGAGGCCCUAGGGGCGAUCAGGUCGACCUAGGGCAGGCCAUAGCCGCCGCGCGCCCUGACGGGGUCCCUCCCGGGCGUGUGGGGUUUCGGGUCUACAAAAGAGCCCACCGGAUUGCCUUGUGUACCGCGCUUCCGACGAGUCUUCUUCGACGUGAGCUGCGGCGCAUCACCCCCGGUGUCGAGGGUACACGUGACGUGCUCGUGUGCGAACACACUUUUUGGCGACUCCGCUGGGGGCGAAGCUUUGAAUGGUCUUCGGCCUGUUCUUGGUACGAAGAGAUUGUCAUCUAGGGUUUGCAAUCUACAAAGGUAAUAUGAAUACUCAAUUCACAUGUGUAGAUGCAAAUAAUGCAUAUGUUGUUGCUAGAUCAUCUAAUGAGCAUAAUAUAUCGGCUAGCCCUAGUUUUAUGAAUCAUGCAUCUAAUUAUGCGCAAGGGCCGAUGCAAAACAAUCUUCAUGCUUCAAAUUCUUAUGAUUUUAGCAACGUACACCAUAUGUAUCCAAACUCUCAUGCAUCGGCAACCCCACAAAUCCAUAUGCCGAUGAACAACAUGAUGGGUUUGGUUAAUCAAUUUGAAACACCUCAUGUUAAAAUUUCCAAUAGCAUACAAGAAAGUGUUUCACCUUUUUAUUCAUCGGCAACUAAUUUGCAAUAUGUGAAUCCAACCUUACCGAUGGAUGGGAGAAUUGGCCAUGCUACUACUAGCUAUUCGGCCAGUUACUCUCUACCAUCAUAUGCUACACCUCAUGUUAGUAAUUUUUUAGCACCGUAUGCAACUGUAGAUGUUCAUAAUUCGGCCCCGCGUCUUCAUGGUCAUAGCAGAAUAAGUGAAAAUUUUACAGGAACACAUGUGUUGUCAUCAAAUACUGUAGCAUAUAAUGCAUACUCUACGCAAUUCAAGAAUUUUGACAACUCUCACGAAUCAUUGCCGAAAGAAUCUGAAAGUAUUGCGGAGCAAUCCCUUCCAAAAGCGGUUGUGGCUGCAUUAAAAAAAGAGCUUGACACAAAACAAGAGAAUUAGUGCUCUUUGCCUUGAACAAUAUGAAAAGGGUUUGUUUCCUGAUUAUGCUGCAAUAAAGGCUAGAGUUUUGCAGGAGGAUGAAACUUCAUCAAUUGGUAGUAUUGGUGAGAGAGCAUAUGGUUAUACAGAAGUGCAUACACCUCCACCUAGUACCGCAGCAUAUUAUACACCCCCUACACAAUUGCAAAAUUUGGUAACACUAAUACUUCAUUGCCGAAAGAUCCUAAAAGCAUUGGGGGCAAACUAAUCUAGAGCGGGCUGAAAUUGAGAGGGGAGUUAAAGCUUUGCGCGAUAGGGUGCAAGUACUUCGCCAAGAGAGAAUUGAUAGGGAAUUAGCUCAAAGAAAAGAAGUCUUGCCAAUUGAUAUAACUGGUGAAAAGAAUGAUGAUUCGGAAACUAAAAGUGCUUCGGUUGAAAAAGCCGAAUCAAGUAGUAUAUAUUCCGAAUCCAUCAAAUCCAAAGAGGCAAACAUUGUUGAGAAAGGGCAUGGAAAGUAUAGCAAGACAGCCAUACUUGAUUUUUCUGACGUUAACGGAACCUUCUUCCUGCCCUAUGAGUUUCGUGCCAUAGAAAUUGACGAGCUUCAAGAACAAGAACAAGUAGCCGAAGAAAGUUUGGUGGACAAAUAUCUUCAAACUAAUGAUGCACGAAAUCAAGAAAAAAAUUAUGACAAGGCGUUGGGGAGCUAUCAGAAGGCGGAGCAAGAUAUUCUUCAAAUCACACCACCAUCACGCUCUCCCAACAUAUUUGAAGAGGUCUGUCUAGCAAUUAAUUUACCUGUUUUCAGAUUUGGUCAUGACUUAGUUGUUGAUGCAUAUAUUAGAAAAAAAUUCAUAAGAAAUAUUGAGAGACCAAUGAAGAAGGGUAAUUCAUUUGUUAGCAAUCAGAUUGUCACAAAGUAUAUCAGUCAAUACAUUACACCAUUCAGAAAGACCGAUAGCGAAAAAUUAUUGCAGCCAAGGCUUUCCCCAUUGCUUUAUCUAAAGUUCAUAUCUAAUGGUGUAGAUUUGCUUAUUUCUUACUUGGCUUACACUUGGUCUCAACUGAGACAUGUAUGUUCUAACUAUUUUCGUUUCAGAAAUUUAAAGCCAAGGUUAAAAUCUACUGAGCAAACCGAUGCAAGUAUAGGUUCUUAUCCAAUGACAUCGGUAAGAGAAUGCAAAAUAAAAUUCAUAGCCGAAUGGGGUGAUACAAAAUCUGAAUCAUUCGUUUGCUUAACUCCAAAGCCGUUAUCACAGCAAGAUCAGCUAGAAAAUAAGAAGUUUACCUUCAAUUCAAGCAUGUGUGAUCAAAUAUUUGAUUUGUUGCUCAAAAAUAAUUACAUAAGAAUUCUUGAUCACCAUGUCAAGCCAUCAAUUCAAGGACGAAUGUAUUGUAGGUUGCAUCAUUCGUUCAAACAUAAUUUUGAGGAUUGCAAUAUGUUUCGUCAAAUAGUUAAAUUGGCCAUUGAUAAAUGACGAUUGAAAUUUGUUGAGACACCAAGAGAUGACCAGUCUAUCCCGAUUGGUCCUGAUGGGAAAAAGUUUAUGCAUCGGCUGCUUCAAGCCGAUCCAUUUAAAAAGAAGGUAAAAACUGCAGGUGAUGGGAUCAAGCUUUCAAGAAGAGAAGUUGCUGAAGAGCAUAAUGAACACCAUCUUGAGGCCGAGAAUUCUGUCGAAGCUACAAUGAAGACGCCAAGGACUGGGGGGCAGCAAGCAAAUCCAAUGUUCAAUGAAAGCGAACUGAAAGAGAACAAAGGCCGAAAUAGGCGCAAGUGUAAGAGAUCAAAAAUCACCUUCGCUGAACUAUUGAAUAAAUAUCAAAAGAAGAGUGAAGAGAAUACUCAUCAGUCGAAUCAUGCAAAGCAACUACGAUCACCCCCAAGGAGCAAAUAUGAGGAUCGGUAUUGGCAAAGUGAGAAUUUUUAUGCAACAUAUUCAUAUCUUUUAGGCCGCCAAUGCCAAUGCGGUGGAUGCCUCCCUAUGCUCAUGUAGAUCCAUAUCCAUCAUGGGACAGGUAUGAUCCAAGGGCACAUUCUCCAUCUUAUUUUAGACCAUCUCACCAAUGUUAUGCAACUCCAAGAAGAUCAACAUUUCAGCAAUCACAUGUUAAAGAAUGUUUCAAUCAUAAGGAAUCGGUCUGGAGCUCAAGGAAGAAGAAAGAGGUGGUCAAACAAGUUUACCGCGUUAAAAGAGAUGGUCGUAAGAGUGCUACUUCAGAUUUGAUCUCAAAUGAGAAAGAGCCAAUGAAAGUGUUGACGUUGGCUACUCAAAACAAUGAGAUGAAGCAACCAAUUAUUGAGAGUCAAAGUGCCAAAUCUGAAGAAAAGAAGUUGAGAGUGCACAAGGUAAAACAAGAAUUGACAUUGCUUCAAACAAAAUCGCAGCCGGGGUGCCCACUUGGCUUAUCAUAUUGGCAAAAGAAGAAAUUACAAAAACUUAGUGCACAAGAACUUGAGGAAAGGAAUAUGGCAUGGGUUCCCAAAGGAAGUGCUCAAAAUAAGAAUUAUGUGCAAGCUUCCAUUACAAGAAGUGCGGCAAAGGUGAAGAAGGAAAAAAGUGAAAACUAUGAAGGACCAAGACGAAGGUUUCAGCAUCUUCGGUCUACACAUUAUCCAUAUUCUUCAACUAUGCCAUUAACACCUAUGCCAUGGAAUUCGUCAUCAGGUAUGAUUGGUAACCCUCAAUGGGCUUAUUUUAAUCCAUGGUUGCAACAUAAUUUUCUAUAUCAUGAGAGGGUAUUACCAAAUCACUAUACAUUUGGUUAGUAACAAUUUUGUUGCUAAUACAAAGGGGCCGAAAUAUUUUAUUGCUAUUUCAUUUGUUUAUUUCGGCUAUACAAACUUUGGUGGGUGAAUUCUAUAUGGACCUCAUGGUAAUGGCUGAUAUUUAUCUAUCGCCCUAAGAAUAUGUCAAAGCAUGGUCGGUGUGGUACCCUAACAUCGUCCUUAGUUCAAUAGGAGAGCAAAACAAGCCUCAUGCCACUUAAAAUAUUUUUGCACAAUAAUCACAUUCGAAUAUGAAAUUUUAUUCAGUUUGGUGCUUUUGGUUGCCAUAGGUGCUAUACAUAUUUCGGCUUCUGGUGAUUUGUUAUGAGUAGUGCAACAAAUAUCCAAGGGUUACCAAUGUUUUGACGAAUCACUUAUAAUUUAUCUUGAGGCACGUCUAGAUGUCUAUCCUCCUUGGGUUGCUUUGAAAUUAUUCCCACAUCUAGACAUGACAAUUCAAAAGAGUUGGCAUAGCAAAGCAUUUGGCUACUAUGUUACUCAUGUUGCAUUGUAUUUCUAUCAAUAGUCGAUGCUUAGUUUCGUCAGAAUAGGUAAGGCCGAAACGAAGUCCACCGCUUUGGCCACUAAUGAAUUUUUCUUAUGCAGGCGAAAGUAAGGAUUGGAGAAAUUUUAUUGUUGAUUAUCUGCAAAAUCCUAGUAAAAGGGUGAAUAAUAUGGUUCCGAGGAUGACCUUGAGAUAUAUCUAGGGAAAUUUAUCAUUGGAUUAUUAAUGAAGUUGAGAAGGUUUCACCAAAGUUUGCAUCAAGGAUUCAAACAAAUAAGAGCCGAUAUAUAUUUAUUGCCCUAAGCACGUGCAAAGUGGUCGAUGGAGUGUUGACAUCGUCCUUAGAACCAACACGGUACAAGUUAUUUUUCGGCACGCUAGCUUUGCCAAAAAAACAGGGGGGCACGUGUUGACGCUCGAAAAUGGCAUGAUCGCAAAGGGUGACUUGAGGAUAUAAUGAGAUGAUGUUAAAAUUAUGAGUUCAUGUCACCACUGGAUGGCUCUCUUCAAGCCGAUCGAAUAAAUAUAGCGAUGGUCUAAAACGAAGCUCGGAUGCAAAAGUUAUGCCAAUCUUAGAGAUGCGCGUGUUGACACCAGAUUAAAGAAUAGCAUGAAACCUAAUUAGGAUUGUCACAUCCUAGCUAGCCAUGCAUUAGAGUGUUGCAUCAUGUUUCCUCUUUCAUCAGAAACUUGAAAUGGGGAUCUGUGAAACCCUCAGAAUCAUUUUUUGAAAAUGAUCCAAAUAAAAAUUUCUCCAAAAAGGUCCAAGAAAAUGCUCAUGUUGCUCUCUGAAAAUAUUGGACAGAGAUAAAAAUCAAACCAAUGUUUUUAAGAGCUCAUAGGUAUUUAUUUUGGGCAUUUGGAAUUAAUGCAUAAAUAUUUGCAUUGGAAAUAUAUUAAUUAUAUAUAUUAAUACAUGUCCAAAUAUUAUGCCAUUUAUAAAGGAGCUCUGAAAUAAUAUAUCUAGCUCCUGCAAAAAUUGGCAUAAGGAAAUAAAAUGAUUUAAUAUUUUAUUUAAAUCAAAACAAAUGUCAGAAAUUAAAAAACAGAAAAAAAAUAAAAGGGAGAAGCUUACCUGGGCUCCUCCCUGUGCAGCCCAGCCCACCUCCCUCCUCUGUCGUCUUCGUCCCGACAGAGGGAGGGGAGUGUGGCCGGCGCGCGUGCGCGCCACCGCGCCGCGCCACCUCUCUCCCUGCCUGCCUGCCCUCCCCUCCUCGCCUCGAUGCCCCGGGACGACGCCACGCUUCUCCCCUGCUCUCUCUCACUCUCCCCCGGCUCUUCCCUCCUCUCCCUCGCUCUCUCUCUCACACGGCCGAACACCACCGUCGCCGCCGUUCGCCAUAGCAGCCAUCUCCGGCCACCCCUCGCUCCCCCGACUAGCUCAGAAGCUCCGCCACGACCCCCUCUUCCUCCCCACCGCUCCACAGCUCCCCGGAAGCCCUGCAUCGCCGCCACGUCGCCGUUCCCCUCUUCGGGCUCCGACCAUCGUCGCCGUCGAAUUCGUCGUCUCCAGCGCGUCCCCGAGCCGCUAACCAUCCCUGCAGCUCCGCGGUGAGCCCCCGGAUCGUUUCCCCCUUCUCCCCUGGUCUCUCCCGACCUCUAGGCCCUAGCCCCACCUUGGCCGAGAGCUCCACGCCGCCGGCGAUGUCGCCGUCGUGGCCACGGUCACCGUAGCACCCAACCGAGCACACUAUCGUGCUCCACACCUCACUAGGAUCACGCAGCACACACUAACGCCUCCCAAAACCCUCUGCAACACCGAUCCCGACCGCACCCGAACUCCGGCGGCCGCAGCCGAGCUCGCCGCCGUCGACUCCGGCCACCCCAGGCCCAGCCACAGCCACCGUUCGAUGCGCGGGAGCAAGGGCUCUCCAACGAGCCCAAGCACGGCCUUGCCCGUGCCCUGUAGCGCGAUCCCGCGUCGCGCCGCCGUCUCGGGCCUCGCCGGCGUCACGUUGCCGGUGGGUUUGACCCACUUUGACCACGGCAGGACACCCCCUGAGUCCCUAACAGGUGGGCCCAGCCCUGUAGCUAAUUAGGAUUAGUGCUAAACACUGUUAGUUAACCCCUGACACUGACCAGUGGGCCCCAGUGCCACUAAUCCCUAAUUAGGAUUAAUUUAAACCUAUUAAACCCCCCUGUCACUGACGUGUGGCCCCCACACGUCAGGUUUGACCCCAGACAGCCGCAGUUGACCACUGACGUCAUGCUGACGUCAUGCUGGCGCAAUAAUUAUAAUUUCUGGAUUUAAUUUAAAUCAGGAAAUUCCAGAAUAUUAUUUAAACUUCAAAAAUUCAUAACUUUUAUUCUGUAACUCCAAAUUGGACAAAUUAUAUAUGAAAAAUGAUCAGAAAAAUCCAAUCUAUCCAUCUGUACUAUUUUCAUGCAUGUUCAAACAAGUUAAAUUGAUGUUUUAAGCAGAACAAGAAAAAGCACUUAAAGAGGCCAUGUUUGAGUUUGAAAUUUGAAUCUUUGAUUCAAAUUUGUUCAAACCCUUCUGGUUUUAGUUGCAUUAGCCAACACACUCAUCUUGCCAUGUCUCAUGCAUGCAUCAUAUUGUUGCACAUUGUUUGGUGAUGUUUGCGUAUCGAUGUCCUUUGCGACAGGUUCUGCCUCCGAGGAGUACCGUGAUUACCCUAACGAAGAACCAUAUCAUUGCAUCGAACCAUCAGGCAAGCAACCAACCAUUUGAUCAUAUCGAUACAAUCCCAUGUUCUCGCUCCUGCUCUCAUUUACUCUAUUAAGACAACGCGUUUCAAACUGCUGUGUGCUAUGGUAGUUGAACCCAUUUCCUCUGCAUGACCUGUCAUUGCCACAGUAACUAGAUGAAACCCACUAGCAUGUGUAGGAGUUGAUUGAGCCAUAUGUAUGUGUUGUUCCUACCUUGCUAUGCCUGCUAUGCUUAGAGUCGUGUCAGGUCUGGUUCAUCUGGGUGAUGGGCUAGAGUGAAAUGAUUAUGUCGGUAAUGAGAGUGGUGUGGUGAACAUGAUUUGGUAAAGGUAUCGAUGAGAGGCCAUGUAGGAGUACAUGGUGGGUUGUUUCAUUGAAGCCGACCUUAAGCACUGAGAUCUGUAUGUGUGAUUUAAGAUACAGCUACUACCAUGCAUUGGGCCCUGAAAUAUGACCCCGCUCGACUUCUUAUUCACCCUAGCCCUCUGUCCAGGAGUUGCACGUAGUUUCUGGUGUUUGUAGCCUACUGGAGGCCGUGGACAGCGCUGACCGUAGGGGUGGGCUGUGAUGCGGUAGGUACGUGGCACGGUGUACCGAAUACCCGUUAGGUAUCUCGGGAACCCUGUUCACAUCGUUCGGGGCCGUAUGGGAAACCUCGGCCGGACUCCCUGCGGAUGGAACCUGAAUAGGCGAUAAACCUAGACUAGAGGCUUAAGUGUUUAGGUAGGUCGUGGUCUACACCCACGUCGGCUUUCGCUUGAAGUCUGCCGAGCACAUGUCGUGUGCAGACGCUAAGUGGUGGAAACAUGUAUGAAGAAGUACACCCCUGCAGGGUUAUCAUAAUCUAUUCGAAUAGCCGCGUCCGCGGUAAAGGACUACUUGGUUGCCUAUACAGUUCAUAGACAAGUAAAUGGAAACUACUAAAAGCCUCAAGAUAAGUGUGAGUGCCGAGGAUGGCUCUUCCGUAGGAAGACGGAGGUGGAUCCUCGGUAGUGUAUUGCAGUGGUGAGUAGUGGACUCGUGUGCGCAAAACCAUUUCAAGUUGAAGUAUCGUAGGAUAGCCUAGCCAAGAGUCAAAGCUGGCUUGCUGCAAUAACUCCACCAACCCUUCUUGAUAAUAUGCAUGUAUGUAGGACCUGAUGUAAGUCUUGCUGAGUACCUUUGUACUCAUGUUACUAUAAUCUACAUUUUUUACAAAAGACGCUGCAACCCCUUCUGAUGGGUUCUAUGUAGACGUUGACAUCAACGAGUAGGAUAAAGACCCAGGUGGUGACCCUGAGCUUGUGAUGGACCACAUAGUAUAGCUACGCUUUCGAAGCCUCUUUUAUUUUACUAGUUGUCUGUACUCAGACAAGUUACUUCCGCUGCUGGUUUGUAUGACUGUAUGACUUGAAUGCUGGGUCGUGUGACCCGUACCUGUGUGUAUGAUUAUGUAUGGCUCCCUGAGCCUUAAAUAAAGUACUUGUGUCGUAGAGUCAUGUUGUGAUGCCAUGUUGUAUUUGCACAUAUCGAGCAUACUGUGUGUAUGUUAUUGAAAUGCUUGGUAUGUGUGGGAUCUGACUAUCUAGUUGUUUAUCUUUAGUAGCCUCUCUUACCGGGAAAUGUCUCCUAGUGUUACCACUGAGCCAUGGUAGCUUGCUACUGCUCUGGAGCACUUAGGCUGGCCGGCAUGUGUCCUUCGUUCCGGUGUCUGUCCCUUCGGGGAAAUGUCACACAUUGAGUACCGGAGUCCUGUUAGCCCGCUACAGCCCGGUUUACCGGAGUCCUGCUAGCCCAGUGCUACAGCCCGGACCCUCUUGCUGAUGACCGACACGUUCGAAGCUGGGUCAUGGAUGCCUGUCCCUGUAAGUCUGUGCCACUUUGGGUUUACAACUAGUCAUGUCAGCCCGGGCUCCUUAACAUAUGGAUGCUAGCGACACUAUCAUAUACGUGAGCCAAAAGGCGCAAACGGUCCCGGGCAAAGGUAAGGCGACACCCGUGGGGAUACCGUGCGUGAGGCCGCAAAGUGAUAUGAGGUGUUACAGGCUAGAUCGAUGUGUCAUCGAGUCGGGGUCCUGACAACGUUGGCAUCAGAGCCGGACUGCCUGUAGGUUCUCCAAGCCAGACUGGUCGAUGUUGAGUCUAGAAAUUCUUUAGUUAUAUGUAGGGGAAUUGUUUGUGGGUUGGAACGUAAGGCUCUUUUUACUCCUUUAUCUUAUGACCUUCUGAUCUGAGUCAGUCCAUUCUUCCACCGGGGGUUAAGGAAUUAGGAUCUGUUCUCUCUAUCAGGAUCACGAGUUACUAAUCAGUAGUACCUUAUAAGUUUGAUGGUUACAAGCCUAGUUCAGUUCUACUACCACAUUAUGUUGCUAGAAUGGUUUCAGAACUUUGAUAUAAUGAUGUUGAGUGUGUACGAAAUCCUUUGUCAAAUGUCUCAAAAUCCUUUUUGAGCAUUUACAGCUGUUAUGCUGCCGAAAUUUUGCUAGAAAUUCUAAUGCCUUUGCAUUAUGAUUAUGCUUUCAGAUGGCCACUCGCGACCUCAAUCAAGUGGUUCGCCUGACUCGAUGCCUAGAUGUACCCGGCCAUACUGCCAAGUUGGUCAGGGUAAUGACUGAGGCUGGAUACCGCUGGUAUCCUGAGUACACGGUCGAAGAGCAAUUCCGAGACUUUAAUCAAAGCCAGUAUCUCUGCACUGUCAGGAUAUUUCCAUCUUAUCCUGGAUCCAUCCAGCCUCUUCACUGCUCCUAUGGACUCGGGGUUACUAUUGAGAUGGCUGUGCAGGACGCCGCCUACUCUAUGAUGACCAUUAUGCGAGUCAGAUCUGGUUUAUUUCGGGACUCUGAUUUCCGGUAUAUGCCAGGAUCACUUCCGGGAGCACAAGGGUAUCUUCAGGCUAUUUAUGCUGACGCCACUCAGGAGGAUUCACGGACUCGCACCACUGCUGAGAUGCUCGAGGAUAAGGACCGUGAAAAUCGGGCCUUAAGGUUAGAGCUCUUCAAUACCCGUGCUGACCACUGGGCCACUUUGACUCAGUUCGCACCGGCGGUGCAAGCUGGAUAUUCAGAUAUGCGCGAUCUCUAUCCUGUGAGAUCUGCUCUGCCGGACGUGAUGGUUUGGCGUGAUGUAGGAGGCAUCACCCCACCUCGCGGUCCCCGCAGGCCACCGUCUGUUGGUCCAAGGCCUCAUCCUAGCCCCUAUGGUCCACAAGCUCUGCGAGACCGUCUGUUUCCGGAUGAUCAUGUUGAACUUCCAGGCUAUGGAGGCGACUUCUACGAGGACUACUACGGAUCGGUCUGAGUUAGCGGUAGUAUCACUAGUUCGCACUAGCUGUGUCGUCUAUCGUCCCGCGUGACUCGUGGGAUAUGACCUAGUUUGUACUCCUUCCGGAGGUGUAGAAAAAUAAUGUAUAGGAGCUUGGGAUGCCUCCGAUGAGAUGUAAUCCUCUUGUCACCGUAUUAGUACUUUGUUUGGUCUUGUACUAAACCCUGUAUGGUGUGUAUGACGAUGGAAUAAAGAAGCAGUUUCUGUAUCUACCAUGUCAUACGGAUGAUCAUCUUGCAUUCCGAGUUAUUCCUUACAUUAUGUAUCCUAUGUCGGAUUUUAUCAUUCUGACUAAAUCAUUGUCUUGUUUACCUAGGAUGGUCAACACGCGCACUAACCCUGCUCCUCAAGAGCAGGCCGAAGGCAGUGAAGUCAGGGAUACAAAUCUGCCUCAUCCUCCUUCACUAGCCGAGGUUAUGAUGGAAGCUGAGAGAAACAAGCGGGAGACCAACCGUUUGUUGGAGCGUAUUGAACAGAACACAGCACACCAUCAGAGGACUAACGUGGUGUCACUCAGUGAUUUUAUCAAAUUACAUCCACCCACGUUCCACCACUCCGUCGAGCCUCUCGACGCUGAUGACUGGCUUCGCAGUAUCUCUCACAAACUGCGUUCCGCGCUGGUAGCGGAGGCUGACAAGGUCACCUUUGCUGCAUAUCAUCUNNNNNNNNNNNNNNNNNNNNNNNNNNNNNNNNNNNNNNNNNNNNNNNNNNNNNNNNNNNNCGAUAUGCAACCGAGGAAGUUUCUACUGACGCCAAGAAGCAAGCAAGGUUCCGUAAGGGACUUAGUCCUGAGCUUCGCCGCGACCUCCGUCUGCAUGAGUGCACAUCUUUUCAGAAACUUGUCAAUAAAGCCAUCAGUGCUGAAACUGGUCAGACUGACUAUGACGCAACACGCAAGCAUGGCCGUGAUAUGGGUUCCUCAUCCGGUGUUGGUCCUCAGAAGCGCCGCGUGUGGGUACCCAACACCGCCCUGCCACCCAGGUUCACACCGAGGCCAUCUUUCCAGGCGCCUCGCCCUGUUCAACAGUCUGCACCGGCCAAGCCCUAUGGGGGUCCAUCUAACAAUGCUCCUCCACGUACCAGUUCCGUGACUUGUUUCAAGUGUGGGGAAUCUGGUCACUAUAUGCGUGAGUGUCCCCAGACCAACCCCAAUCAAUCUGCUAAAGCUGUUGGCCGUGGCAAGCCGACAGGGAAAGUGUUUCAUGCUAAACCGGUCACCGCCUCACGUGGCCAUGUCAACUGCAUCUCUGCUGAAGAAGCUCAAGAGGAUCCCAACGUCGUUCUCGGUACGCUCCUUGUUAAUUGCCACCCGGCAUCUGUUCUUUUCGAUACAGGAGCCUCUCAUUCUUUUAUAUCCGAAAAUUAUGCUCGUUUGCAUAACGUUGCAUUCUGUGACAUGCCAACCUCUAUGGUAAUUCAAACUCCGGGAUCCAAAUGGCAAACUUCUAGAGUAAGCCAUGGAAACGAAAUCCAAGUCGACAGACUUGUUUUUCUCGCAUCUUUGAUAGCCCUUAAAUCUUCAGAUAUUAAUAUCAUUCUGGGUAUGGACUGGAUGUCAGCUCAUCAUGCCCAAAUUGAUUGCUUCUCUAGGACUGUUCAACUCACCCAUCCUUCGGGGAAGAUAGUCAAUGUCUUGACCCAAAUAGCCAAGCGACAAUUAUAUUCUCUUAACGCCAGCCCUUUGCCAGACCUUGAGGACAUUCCGGUAGUCCGUGACUUCCCGGAUGUCUUUCCAGAGGAAUUGCCAGGUGUUCCACCUGACAGGGAUGUUGAGUUCGUAAUCGACCUCAUCCCCGGAACCGUUCCGAUUGCUAGAAGACCUUAUAAGAUGGCACCACUAGAACUAGCCGAGCUUAAGAAACAACUCGAUGAAUCCUUCAAAAAGGGUUUCAUCCGCCCUAGUUCAUCUCCGUGGGCUUGCCCCGUCCUAUUCGUCAAGAAGAAGGAUGGUACGGACCGGAUGGUUGUAGAUUACCGACCUGUCAAUUUGGUCACAAUCAAGAACAAAUAUCCACUUCCCAGGAUCAACGACCUGUAUGAUCAGCUCGCUGGAUCCUCAGUCUUCUCCAAGAUGGAUUUGAGGUUGGGCUACCAUCAAAUAAAAAUCAGAAACGGGGACAUUCCCAAAACGGCCUUUGUUACUCGUUAUGGCCAAUACGAGUACACCGUCAUGUCCUUCGGACUAACCAACGCUCCAGCCACCUUUUCUCGGUUAAUGAACUCAAUCUUCAUGGAGUAUUUGGAUAAAUUCGUCGUGGUUUACCUCGAUGAUAUACUCAUCUACUCCAAGAACGAGGAAGAACAUGCCGAACAUUUGAGGCUAGUGUUGAAGAAACUUCGAGAGCAUCGCCUUUAUGCCAAAUUUUCUAAAUGUGAAUUCUGGUUAUCAGAAGUGACCUAUCUAGGUCAUGUAAUAUCUGGUAAAGGUAUUGCUGUUAAUCCUGAGCAAGUUCAAGCCGUCCUUAAUUGGACUCCACCUGAAUCGGUCAAGCAAGUUCGGAGUUUUCUAGGCUUAGCGAGCUAUUGUCGUCGCUUUGUCGAGAACUUCUCCAAAGUUGCUAAACCCCUAACCGAACUCCUCAAGAAAGAUAAGAAGUUCGAAUGGACUCCACAAUGUGAGCUCAGCUUUCAGGAACUGAAAAGACGCCUGACCUCUGCUCCCGUACUGGUACCGCCAGACUUUUCCAAGGUCUUUGUUAUCUACUGCGACGCCUCGCGACAAGGACUAGGUUGCAUUCUUAUGCAAGAUCGACACGUAAUUGCUUACGCUUCACGGCAAUUGCACCCACACGAGGAGAAUUAUCCUACUCAUGAUCUAGAGCUUGCAGCCGUAGUCUAUGCACUUAAGACCUGGCGACAUUACCUCCUCGGUAAUCGUUGCGAAAUAUUCACUGAUCACCAAAGUCUGAAGUACAUUUUCACCCAACCGGAUUUGAAUCUCAGGCAGAGACGUUGGGUUGAAUUGAUCACAGACUUCGACUUAGGAAUAACUUACACCCCAGGGAAAGCCAACGUCAUGGCUGAUGCGCUAAGUCGUAAAUCUUAUUGUAACAACCUGAUGUUACAACAAAGUCAACCGCUCCUCCAUGAGGAAUUUCGGAAGCUUAACCUUCACAUUGUACCUCAAGGUUUUCUUUCCACCUUGGUAGCAAAACCUACUCUUACGGAUCAAAUCAUCGAUGCCCAAAGGCGAGAUAAGGGAAUAUCUAAAAUCAAAGAGAACAUUGCUAGCGGAGGUGCUAGUUGUUUCUCCACAAAUGAUCAUGGUGUUGUGUACUUUGAGAACCGUCUAGUGGUUCCCAAGAACCAGCAUCUACGGCAAUUGAUCCUUAAGGAAGCUCAUGAAUCUCCUCUCACCAUUCAUCCCGGUAGUACUAAGAUGUAUCAGGACCUACGCCAGAGGUUCUGGUGGACUAGGAUGAAGAGAGAAAUUGCUCAGUAUAUUGAAAAUUGCGACGUCUGUCGUCGUGUAAAAGCAGAGCACCAACGGCCUGCUGGCACCCUUCAACCCUUAGCUAUUCCUGAAUGGAAAUGGGAUAAAAUUGGUAUGGAUUUCAUUACCGGUUUUCCCAGGACCAAGAGAGGGAAUAAUGCUAUUUUCGUCGUGGUCGAUCGUCUUUCCAAAGUAGCCCAUUUCUUACCUGUUCGUGAGAGUAUAACCGCUAGUCAGCUGGCAGAUUUGUACAUCUCCCGAAUAGUGUCUCUCCAUGGUGUUCCUUUGGAAAUUAACUCGGAUCGAGGAAGUCUUUUCACCUCUCGAUUUUGGGAAAGUUUCCAAAAUGCUAUGGGGACUCGUCUCUCCUUUAGCACCGCCUUCCACCCUCAGUCGAGUGGUCAAGUGGAACGCGUCAACCAGAUUCUAGAAGACAUGCUUCGAGCCUCUGUUAUCUCAUUCGGCAUGGACUGGGAGAAGUGCCUUCCAUUUGCCGAAUUCGCUUACAACAACAGCUAUCAAUCUAGCUUGGGUAAAGCCCCUUUUGAAGUUCUCUAUGGACGACGGUGUCGAACACCCCUUAACUGGUCAGAGACCGGGGAAAGACAAUUCUUUGGCCCGGACAUGAUUCAGGAAGCAGAAGAACAAGUUCGCAUCGUUCGUGAAAAGUUGAAAACAGCCCAAUCUCGUCAAAAGAGUCAAUAUGACCGAAAACAUAAGGCUAUGACUUUCGAGGUUGACGAGAAGGCUUAUCUUCGGGUCACCCCUCUGAAGGGAACCCAUCGUUUCGGUAUCAAAGGCAAAUUGGCUCCUCAUUACAUUGGACCUUUUCGCAUUCUUGCCAAACGAGGAGGAGUUGCCUACCAGUUGGAACUACCUCCGCACCUCUCCAGGGUCCACGAUGUCUUCCACGUUUCUCAACUCAGGCGUUGCUUCUCGGAUCCUAUCCGUGAAGUGGACCACGAAACGCUUGAUCUCCAAGAUAAUCUUACAUAUCGAGAGUACCCCAUUCGUAUCCUCGAUCAGGCCGAACGUACCACCCGACGUCAUAAUAUCAAGUUUCUCAAAGUUCAAUGGUCGCACCAUUCGGAGGAUGAAGCAACCUGGGAAAGGGAGGAUCGUCUUCGACUCGAGUAUCCUGCCUUCUUCCCGGAGGAACCCAAAUCUCGGGACGAGAUUCUUUUGAGUGGGGGUGAGUUGUCACAUCCUAGCUAGCCAUGCAUUAGAGUGUUGCAUCAUGUUUCCUCUUUCAUCAGAAACUUGAAAUGGGGAUCUGUGAAACCCUCAGAAUCAUUUUUUGAAAAUGAUCCAAAUAAAAAUUUCUCCAAAAAGGUCCAAGAAAAUGCUCAUGUUGCUCUCUGAAAAUAUUGGACAGAGAUAAAAAUCAAACCAAUGUUUUUAAGAGCUCAUAGGUAUUUAUUUUGGGCAUUUGGAAUUAAUGCAUAAAUAUUUGCAUUGGAAAUAUAUUAAUUAUAUAUAUUAAUAUAUGUCCAAAUAUUAUGCCAUUUAUAAAGGAGCUCUGAAAUAAUAUAUCUAGCUCCUGCAAAAAUUGGCAUAAGGAAAUAAAAUGAUUUAAUAUUUUAUUUAAAUCAAAACAAAUGUCAGAAAUUAAAAAACAGAAAAAUAAAAUAAAAGGGAGAAGCUUACCUGGGCUCCUCCCUGUGCAGCCCAGCCAGCUGGCCGGCCCAGCCAGCAGCCGGCCCAGCCCACCUCCCUCCUCUGUCGUCUUCGUCCCGACAGAGGGAGGGGAGUGUGGCCGGCGCGCGCGCGCGCCACCGCGCCACGCCACCUCUCUCCCUGCCUGCCUGCCCUCCCCUCCUCGCCUCGAUGCCCCGGGACGACGCCACGCUUCUCCCCUGCUCUCUCUCACUCUCCCCCGGCUCUUCCCUCCUCUCCCUCGCUCUCUCUCUCACACGGCCGAACACCACCGUCGCCGCCGUUCGCCAUAGCAGCCAUCUCCGGCCACCCCUCGCUCCCCCGACUAGCUCAGAAGCUCCACCACGACCCCCUCUUCCUCCCCACCGCUCCACAGCUCCCCGGAAGCCCUGCAUCGCCGCCACGUCGCCGUUCCCCUCUUCGGGCUCCGACCAUCGUCGCCGUCGAAUUCGUCGUCUCCAGCGCGUCCCCGAGCCGCUAACCAUCCCUGCAGCUCCGCGGUGAGCCCCCGGAUCGUUUCCCCCUUCUCCCCUGGUCUCUCCCGACCUCUAGGCCCUAGCCCCACCUUGGCCGAGAGCUCCACGCCGCCGGCGAUGUCGCCGUCGUGGCCACGGUCACCGUAGCACCCAACCGAGCACACUAUCGUGCUCCACACCUCACUAGGAUCACGCAGCACACACUAACGCCUCCCCAAACCCUCUGCAACACCGAUCCCGACCGCACCCGAACUCCGGCGGCCGCAGCCGAGCUCGCCGCCGUCGACUCCGGCCACCCCAGGCCCAGCCACAGCCACCGUUCGAUGCGCGGGAGCAAGGGCUCUCCAACGAGCCCAAGCACGGCCUUGCCCGUGCCCUGUAGCGCGAUCCCGCGUCGCGCCGCCGUCUCGGGCCUCGCCGGCGUCACGUCGCCGGUGGGUUUGACCCACUUUGACCACGGCAGGACACCCCCUGAGUCCCUGACAGGUGGGCCCAGCCCUGUAGCUAAUUAGGAUUAGUGCUAACCACUGUUAGUUAACCCCUGACACUGACCAGUGGGCCCCAGUGCCACUAAUCCCUAAUUAGGAUUAAUUUAAACCUGUUAAACCCCCCUGUCACUGACGUGUGGCCCCCACACGUCAGGUUUGACCCCAGACAGCCGCAGUUGACCACUGACGUCAUGCUGACGUCAUGCUGGUGCAAUAAUUAUAAUUUCUGGAUUUAAUUUAAAUCAGGAAAUUCCAGAAUAUUAUUUAAACUUCAAAAAUUCAUAACUUUUAUUCUGUAACUCCAAAUUGGACAAAUUAUAUAUGAAAAAUGAUCAGAAAAAUCCAAUCUAUCCAUCUGUACUAUUUUCAUGCAUGUUCAAACAAGUUAAAUUGAUGUUUUAAGCAGAACAAGAAAAAGCACUUAAAGAGGCCAUGUUUGAGUUUGAAAUUUGAAUCUUUGAUUCAAAUUUGUUCAAACCCUUCUGGUUUUAGUUGCAUUAGCCAACACACUCAUCUUGCCAUGUCUCAUGCAUGCAUCAUAUUGUUGCACAUUGUUUGGUGAUGUUUGCGUAUCGAUGUCCUUUGCGACAGGUUCUGCCUCCGAGGAGUACCGUGAUUACCCUAAUGAAGAACCGUAUCAGUGCAUCGAACCAUCAGGCAAGCAACCAACCAUUUGAUCAUAUCGAUACAAUCCCAUGUUCUCGCUCCUGCUCUCUUUUACUCUAUUAAGACAACGCGUUUCAAACUGCUGUGUGCUACGGUAGUUGAACCCAUUUCCUCUGCAUGACCUGUCAUUGCCACAGUAACUAGAUGAAACCCACUAGCAUGUGUAGGAGUUGAUUGAGCCAUAUGUAUGUGUUGUUCCUACCUUGCUAUGCCUGCUAUGCUUAGAGUCGUGUCAGGUCUGGUUCAUCUGGGUGAUGGGCUAGAGUGAAAUGAUUAUGUCGGUAAUGAGAGUGGUGUGGUGAACACGAUUUGGUAAAGGUAUCGAUGAGAGGCCAUGUAGGAGUACAUGGUGGGUUGUUUCAUUGAAGCCGACCUUAAGCACUGAGAUCUGUAUGUGUGAUUUAAGAUACAGCUACUACCAUGCAUUGGGCCCUGAAAUAUGACCCCGCUCGACUUCUUAUUCACCCUAGCCCUCUGUCCAGGAGUUGCACGUAGUUUCUGGUGUUUGUAGCCUACUGGAGGCCGUGGACAGCGCUGACCGUAGGGGUGGGCUGUGAUGCGGUAGGUAUGUGGCACGGUGUACCGAAUACCCGUUAGGUAUCUCGGGAACCCUGUUCACAUCGUUCGGGGCCGUAUGGGAAACCUCGGCCGGACUCCCUGCGGAUGGAACCUGAAUAGGCGAUAAACCUGGACUAGAGGCUUAAGUGUUUAGGUUGGUCGUGGUCUACACCCACGUCGGCUUUCGCUUGAAGUCUGCCGAGCACAUGUCGUGUGCAGACGCUAAGUGGUGGAAACAUGUAUGAAGAAGUACACCCCUGCAGGGUUAUCAUAAUCUAUUCGAAUAGCCGCGUCCGCGGUAAAGGACUACUUGGUUGCCUAUACAGUUCAUAGACAAGUAAAUGGAAACUACUAAAAGCCUCAAGAUAAGUGUGAGUGCCGAGGAUGGCUCUUCCGUAGGAAGACGGAGGUGGAUCCUCGGUAGUGUAUUGCAGUGGUGAGUAGUGGACUCGUGUGCGCAAAACCAUUUCAAGUUGAAGUAUCGUAGGAUAGCCUAGCCAAGAGUCAAAGCUGGCUUGCUGCAAUAACUCCACCAACCCUUCUUGAUAAUAUGCAUGUAUGUAGGACCUGAUGUAAGUCUUGCUGAGUACCUUUGUACUCAUGUUACUAUAAUCUACAUUUUUUACAGAAGACGCUGCAACCCCUUCUGAUGGGUUCUAUGUAGACGUUGACAUCAACGAGUAGGCUAAAGACCCAGGUGGUGACCCUGAGCUUGUGAUGGACCACAUAGUAUAGCUAGGCUUUCGAAGCCUCUUUUAUUUUACUAGUUGUUUGUACUCAGACAAGUUACUUCCGCUGCUGGUUUGUAUGACUGUAUGACUUGAAUGCUGGGUCGUGUGACCCGUACCUGUGUGUAUGAUUAUGUAUGGCUCCCUGAGCCUUAAAUAAAGUACUUGUGUCGUAGAGUCAUGUUGUGAUGCCAUGUUGUAUUUGCACAUAUCGAGCAUACUGUGUGUAUGUUAUUGAAAUGCUUGGUAUGUGUGGGAUCUGACUAUCUAGUUGUUUAUCUUUAGUAGCCUCUCUUACCGGGAAAUGUCUCCUAGUGUUACCACUGAGCCAUGGUAGCUUGCUACUGCUCUGGAGCACUUAGGCUAGCCGGCAUGUGUCCUUCUUCGUUCCGGUGUCUGUCCCUUCGGGGAAAUGUCACGCAUUGAGUACCGGAGUCCUGUUAGCCCGCUACAGCCCGGUUUACCGGAGUCCUGCUAGCCCAGUGCUACAGCCCGGACCCUCUUGCUGAUGACCGACACGUUCGAAGCUGGGUCAUGGAUGCCUGUCCCUGUAAGUCUGUGCCACUUUGGGUUUACAACUAGUCAUGUCAGCCCGGGCUCCUUAACAUAUGGAUGCUAGCGACACUAUCAUAUACGUGAGCUAAAAGGCGCAAACGGUCCCGGGCAAAGGUAAGGCGACACCCGUGGGGAUACCGUGCGUGAGGCCGCAAAGUGAUAUGAGGUGUUACAGGCUAGAUCGAUGUGUCAUCGAGUCGGGGUCCUGACAAGGAUGGCCUUGGAUGGAAAAACUUACAAUUGCAAAGUUCUUCGUCUCAUCGAAACGGACGAUUUUAAUAUAAAAAUCGUCCCCAUCCGAGGUCAUAUGCAAAAGUUAGAGGCAAAACCGUGCGCUGCAGCAAUGUUUGGCCGGAUCAUCCGGGCCGGGGUCCGGAUCAUCCGGUUAAUUGAAGUACAAAGACGCCAGAAGGUUGACACUGAAGCCGGAUGAUCUGGGUCCAAUCCCGGAUGAUCCGGAUGGAGGCCGGACAGUCCGGGUAAAAGUCCGACAUCCGGGCAGUUUUUUCUGCCGCAGAUGUUAGAAAACAGCCCGAAACUCCCUCAAGACGACCUCAGAUCGAAAAGUGUUCAACAUGAAAGUUGUGCAUCUCGUCGAGGCGGUGGAUUUCGAUAUAAAACUCGCCCAAAUCCAAGGUCGUAUGUGAAUUUUAGAGCCCAAACAGUGAGCUGCUGUCAGAAAACUGGGCUAGGCCGGAUCAUCCGGGCCUAGAGCCGGACAUCCGGGCCGAAGGUCGUGAGAAGUCCGAGUUUGGCUAGACUUUGAUAAUUUGGACGGCAAGGCAAGUCCUUUUCUUGUAUGGGAAGUCCAUCCGCCUCUUAUAUAGAUAAUAGGUGACGGGCGAUUGAACAACACACAAUCGAACAAAUCUAUUUGCACUUUUUACCUUUACUUUUUCCUUCUCCCUUGUUCUUCUUCUUCCUCGUUCUUCGCAUGUUCUUCUUGUUGCAAGGCGGCGAACCUCGAGGCCCUGGGGGCGGUCAGGUCGACCUAGGGCAGCCCAUAACCGCGCGCGCCCUGACGGGGUCCCUCCGGGCGUGUGGGGUUUCGGGUCUACAAAAGAGCCCACCGGAUUGCCUUGCAUACCGCGCUUCCGACGGGUCUCCUUAGAGGUGAGCUGCGGUGCAUCACCCCCGGCGUCGAGGGUACACGUGACGUGUUCGUGUGCGAACAAUUAUGCAAGCUCUGCCACACCAAUAUUCAACAGUUAGAUUUCUCUGACACUUCAACAUACUGAAUCUAGAGGAUCACACAACAAAGGUAGUACUCCCUCCGUUCCUAAAUAUAAGUCUUUGUACAGAUUUUACUAUAGACUACAUACGGAGCUAAAUGAAUGAAUCUGCACUUAAAAUGCAUCUAUAUACGUCCGUAUGUGGUCCAUAGUGAUAUCUCUAUAAAGACUUAUAUUUAGGAACGGAGGGAGUAUUACCCAACUGCUAAAGAAGUUCGCUCAAUAACUGUUGCCAUUGUAGAUUGUACAGACUAGAGAGUAGAGACAAACAAAGUGUGGUUGGCAAACAAAACUAUGAUAGGAUAACAGAUUAAACAAGAAAUUAGGAUAUUUGUACAAAUUACUUCUUGGCAUCCUCAGCAAAAUAAAUAUAAAAUUUUAAAAUUUGGUCGGAAGAGAAAGAAAACAUAACAACACACGGAUCUAACAGAAAAGGAUAUAAUUUACCUAGGGCAAGAUACCCUUUUGUCCCGGCAAGCCUUGUGCAGUUUGAAUCAUCCGCAUAUAGUACUUUGGCUAUACCAAAAUCAGAGAUGCAUGCUCUGAAUUCCAGAUCAAGCAAAAUGUUGUUGCUUGAUAUGUCUCUAUGGACUAUCGGUGCAAAGCAAUCAUGAUGCAUUUAAGAUAAAGCAUGAGAAACAUCAUUGAUAAUAUUUAACCUUCUUAUCCAAUCCAAAUCAGCUAUAGUUUCCCUAUUCUUUAAAGAUUAUGCUAAGCUUCUUCUGUCCAUGUAUUCGUACACCAGAAAUCUUCCCUGAGUUGCAGAACAGUAGCCAAAUAACUUCACAAUGUUUCGAUGCUAAAUAUGGAUCAAUGCAUCUAUUUCAUGAUCAAAUGACUCAUCAUCUUCCAUCAGAUGGAUCUUCUUCACCGCAAAUAUUUCACCACUAGGUAACUGAGCUCUAUACACCGACCCACUAUCUCCAGUUCCAAUGCAGUGACUAUCACCGAAAUUCUUUGUGGCGUCAACAAUUUUCUUGUACAGAUCUUGUCCAUCAAUGUUCCAGAUGACGAACAACUUUGUUUGCUGCAAGCCAUUACCACUUCAUGUGCUAUAUUUCUUCCUUUUAUAUCUCAAUAUUGUUACUACUGUGGUGAUAAGUGUCAUGAAUAUGCAACUUGUAUUACUAGGAGGUCAAAGCCACCAUAUAUAUGAUGUACAUGAGGAUGCCAAAAGGCAAGAAUACAAAAGGCCAAAGGCCAUCAUCAAUAUAACUCUAACACCCCCCCCCCUUCAAACUCAUGGUGGCUCGACAACACUGAGUUUGGAGAGGUGAAAUCUAUGUUGUGUGCUCUAGUCUAUGCCUUCGUGAAGAAGUCCGCUAGCUGUAACUCGGAAGGCACAUACUGAAGAGCAAUAACAUGAUCCUGCACAGCAGCGUGCACAUAAUAAGCAUCAACACUAAUAUGCUUGGUAAGCUCAUGCUUCACAAGGUCCCGCACAAUACUGAUAGCACCUGUACUAUUGGACAAGAGGGUGGUAGGUGUAGUAACAGAAACACCAAAAUCCUCCAGUAGUCAUCGUAACCAAGUCACCUCUGUCGUCAUAAGAGCCAUAGCUCUCAACUCGGCCUCUGCACUCGAACGAGAAACUACAGUUUGUUUCUUCGUCUUCUAGGCAAUGAGAGAACUACCAAGAAAAACACAGUAAGCAGAAAGUGAACGGCGAUCCGAAGGAUCACUGGUCCACGUAGCAUCUGAAUAGCCCUGGAGCUAUAACGAGUUGGUACGAGGAAAAAAGAGACGAUGAGAGAUCGUGCCACGAAGAUAUCGUAGAACACGAAGAAGGUGACUAUAGUGAACUGAAGUGGGAGCGGAAACAAACUGGAUCAGAAUAUGGACCGGAUAGGAGAUAUCCGGAUGAGUGACAGCAAGAGAGACAAGACUCCCAACAAGAUGACGAUAACGCGUCGGAUCAGACAAGAGCUCACCAUCAUAAGCACGAAGGUUAACAUUGAGCUCCAUAUGAGUCUCAGCAGUGCGCUCGUCACUAAGAGUCGCACGAGCAAGAAGACCCUGGAUAUACUUUUCUUGGGAAAUAGAAAAGCCAUUAGAGGAGGAGGAAACCUCAAUCCCAAGAAAGUAACAAAGGGGACCAAGAUCAGACAUAAGAAACUGCUCACUGAGACGGGCCUUGACGAAGGCAAUGUACUCAGAAUUAUCGCCAGUCAUGAUCAUGUCAUCAACAUAUAGAAGAAGAAGAGUGUGACCACAAACAGAAAGGUGGACAAACAACGCUAGAUCAUGAGCACUGGGCGAAAAAACCAGCUGCAGUGACCACAGAGGCAAAACGCUCAAACCAAGUGCAGGGGGCUUGCUUAAGGCCAUAUAGAGAGCGACGAAGACGGCAAACCAUGCCAUCAGGAACUGAAUACCCAGGUGGUGGCUGCAUAUAAGCUUCCUCACACAACUCACCAUUAAGGAAGGCAUUCUUAACAUCAAGCUGAGACACGGACCAAUGGCAAACAAAGGCCACAGUGAUAAGUGUGCGGACAGUGGUCAUAUGGGCCAUAGGAGCAAAAGUCUCAUCGUAAUCACGACCAUGCUCCUGCUGAAAGCCACGAGCCAUAAGACGAGCUUUAUAAUGCUCAAGAGAACCAUCAGAGCGAGUCUUAAUCUUAUAGACCCACUUACAAGUGAUGGGACGAACACGGGGGGAAGAGAAACCAGGUCCCACGUGCCAUUGCGCUCAAGGGCAGCAAUCUCCUCUGCCAUCGCGAACUGCCAUUCAAGAUGAACAAUAGCAUCUCGAUAAGAAGUCGGCUCAAGAACGGCCGAAAGACCAUAACGAGAAGGAGAAUAUCGGUCAGGGGGCGGACAAGGCCGAGAACAAAGACCAUAAUUCGGGUGAGAGGAGGAAGACGACACAACAGAAGUAGAGGGCACAUCGGCAGACUCAUUCACAACACGUGAACGACGAGUAUAAUGAAAAGGAAAGGAUGGAAGAGGUGGAAUCACUUGAGGUGGAGACGGGGAAUGUAUCGGUGAUGAAGGUGGAAAAGGGGAAGCUAUCGGCGAUGAAGGUGGAGAAUCAUGCGACGAGUGAGUAGAAGAAAUCAUAGGAGAGGACGGCGUCCGAUCUGCAACAGCAGGAUGAGGAGUAGGAAUACUGGGCACAGAGGGAGGUGUAUCUGGGAAAGUAAGAAAAGACAUGUCCUCCAUAGAAAAAGCCGAGGAGGAUGGACGCGGGUAGAAGGGACGAGAUUCAUCAAAGGUCACAUCCCGGGAAAAACGCAUCCGGCGACCGACAAGAUCCCAACACCGAUAGCCCUUAUGCUCAUCACUGUAUCCAAGAAAGACACACUCAACAGACUGAGCGGUCAAUUUGGUGCGUUCCCGAGGGGCAAGCAAAACAUAGCAGACACAACCAAACAAACGGAGCAGAUGUCACUGCUGAAAAGAGCUGGUAGAUGCAACAACAGGGGUUGCGAGCAGGGUCGGCCCAUAGGCCGGGGCAACGGGGCGACCGCCCUGGGCCCCUGGGAUGUAGGGGCCCCGGCCCAGGUAGUAUCUUCUUUAGGUCUAGAAAAAAUUAAGAGGAAAUAAAAGAAAGCCCAAGCCCACCACGUAGCUAGCACUCACGGACCGAACUGGAGCACUCCAUCGAUCUCCUCCAGUCUCCUCGCCGCCUCGGCUCCUUCCCCGAAUUCUCCAAUCUCAGAGAAUGGCGCCGCCGCUCCCAUGCACUUCCAAAUUCGAUGUGCCGCUCCCGUGUAUACAUUAAUGGAGAUCGAUGGUGCUAUUCCCUUCCCCCAAACAUCUAUGUUUGCAUCCUCAAUGUUCCCCAUCAAGUAGACGUUUGAGGCAUCACCACAUCAGAGAUGGUAAGUCUCCCUCCUUCGCCUAAUCAAGUACUUUUUUCAUGCAUUGUUAAAUAGCCCGCCUCUACGCCUCUGAUUGCUCCAUCUGACAUCUCCAAUUCUUCUCUUCCUAGUUCCUGCUCUUCUGCUGGCCUGUUCUUCAAAGCUUCAUUGGAUCCAGGGAUGAGAAGGGGGGAUGGGGAAUGAGUGUUGCAGCCUUGCAGAUCUAGGAAGCUGCAUUGACAAUUCGACAUCAAGCCAUAUGCCCAUAUUCAGGUGUUUUUGUUCCCUGUAUUGACUGUUUUUCUACAAUUAUUUCAUUAUUUGGUUACAUGUCUUCUAAAAAAUGUUUAUAAGUGAGAAAAGGAAUAGAAAAAAACUGAGAGAUGACCUGGUAGAAUCCCAUAAAGGUUCAAUUGACAUUUUUAUACAAAUAGUAGUUCUUCGAAGAACUUAAAAGUGUUCAGAAGUAUAUUUGGCUUCUUACUUAGCUCAAAGACUUGAAUUAUUGAAUGAUAUUGAAUUAUGCAAAUGCUUUUGAAAUACAAUAUAUUCUGAAUUUUUAUCUACCCACAAGGGCCCCAUUUUGUCGUCUCGCCCCAGGGCCCCGCAUAUGUAUGGAUCGGCCCUGGUUGCGAGACUAGCACAUGUGGCAGCAGAGGGAAUACGAAGCCAUUCAAGCUCCCAAAGACCAUCAGAACAUCGAGGGCCAGCACCAAGUAGAGCACCCGUGCGACGAUCCUGAACAGAACAUGAAUCAAAGUCGAGAAUGACCCUACAACUAGAGUCAACAAUCUGACCACCAGAUAUGAGCUGUAUGGUAAGUCGAGGAACAUGAGCGACAGAGGGAACAUGAAAUGAAGAAGUGCUAAGAGUGCCUCGACUGGCUACAGGGAGGGGAGUGCCAUCAGACGUAAGAACACAAACAGGAGACUCGACAGGUCGAACAGAGGUCAAGUGGAAGAAUCAUAAGUCAUAUGAAAGGAAGCUCCAGUAUCAAGAAUCCAUGAGGAUGUACCUAGAAGAGUAGGUGGUGGUUUCUCAGUGCCAGAAGAGUCAACCACGGAAACUGCAGAACCUGUCAGCAAAGAAUCCCAAGCAUCAAGUAGGCAUCGCAGCUGCACAACCUCACGGGCAGAUAGGGACACGCGCGAGAGAGGUUGAGGUAGAAACACAUGUCGACGAUGAGCAGUCGCCACCUCCCGUGGAAGCCGCGUGGAGAGUCGGCUGUGAGUAGAAAGUCGACGUAGAGCCGCAUGUGAAAGCCAUUGGGGGAGUCAACAUAGAGCGCUCACCACCGCGUGCAGAAGCUGCGGGAGCAGUCGACAUAGGGCGAGAAUCAUCAGUUGCAGAAAUCGUGGGAAGAGUCGCUGAAGAAUGACCAACACCAUGCAGAGAAGCAGCUACAAGAGGUGCUAUAGCUGUCGAAGGAGUCAAUGUAGAGCGACCAGCAGCACCGGUGGAAGUCGCAAAAGGUUUCGAAGUAGAGCGACAACCACCACCUCCAAACGGGCGAGUACCAAGCCCCGAGGAAAGGCGCAUGUGCGAGACGGGAUCAAUGUAUGGAAUACUGAAGAAAAACACGGGCAACGCGGGAGAGGGGUACCCGACGAACACAUUGUACCACUUUUUUUUGCUUUUUUUUCUCUUUUUUUGUCACCACAGACUUCAAGUCAGGCAAACAGAAGCAGACCAACUCGCAGAGUAGCCGUCUGCUCACCAGCAGCCCAAAGCAAUUCACGGGCCGUGCAGGGAGUAGCCCGUAUGCACACACACACAACACACAUGCAGGUGGAUCGAUUCAGCCCCGUAGUUAACACACACAGGUGUGAGAAGUGGCCGGUGGCCGAUCUAGCAUGGCCGAUCUGAGGCGUAACCGGCCGGACACGUACGCGGAUGGCACCUGGAACCGGUGGCCGGCCGACGCGGCCGAUUUUGGGCGGUGACCCGAGCUGCUCGAUCUGGAAAGGCAGGUAGCAGAUCACGAAGCAGACAAGAUGGGUGGGCAUCUUCGUCCAGGCACUGGAGAUGGAGGAAUCCAGUGGCUGGCGGCAAAGAUCGGCUGCUGGCCUGCAGCGGCGGAUGCAGACAACCCCCUGGCCAGGGCGUGCACCUGCUGCUGGAUAAGAAGACGCACGGUGCGAUGCCUCCAAAUUGAGACACCCGCGAACACAAGGAUGACGAGGGCACCGCUAGGAUUGGACGAAACGGGGUGGGUGGGAGAAGAGGCGUCUGCGGUAGGAGUAGCAGAUGACGUGGAGCAGCACAACCGAGAAAAGGAAAACACGGCGGCGCGAUUGGAUCUAAGCAUGAGUUGCGACGUGCGAAAGAAAAACCUAGAGCUCUAAUACCAUGUCAUGAAUAUGCAACUUGUAUUACUAGGAGGCCAAAGCCAUCAUAUAUAUGAUGUACAUGAGGAUGCCAAAAGGCAAGAAUACAAAAGGCCAAAGGCCAUCAUCAAUAUAACUCUAACAAUAAGCACAACAACAAUAGUGGCAGGAAUUAUAGCUAGUAAAACAACUUUGUAAUUCUUAUGUUGUCCACGACUUUGAGUAAUUUCACAAGAGGGCAAACCUUUAACUACACCACAUAGUUGAUUAUUGUGCAAAAACCAUUCAGUUGGAGCAUCUUCAAAGAACACACUUUGUGGAACCGGCCCUUCCAGUUUGUUGUAUGACACAUCCAUGGAUAAGAGGCUGACUAGGCUCUGAAAUGAUGACGGAAUGCUGCCGUUCAAUGCAUUGUGUGAAAGAUUCAAGUUCUCGAGCAUGCUCAGGCUACCUAGAUGACUCAGUAUCUUGCCUUCGAAUGAAUUGUCACUUAGAUCAAACAAAUCUUGUAGGUUUACCAACAUCCCUAGUUCAAUAGGAAUGCUGCCAUUGAGGUGAUUAUGGCUUAACUUUAGAGUGCGAAACUUGGACCAAUGCUCAAUUGACCCGUGUAUCGACCCACUCAAGUUGUUUGAUCAUAAAUCCAGAUACUCCAAUUCUUUCAUUGUUCCAGUUACUUUUGGAAUACUUCCUUGAAGCAAGUUAUUACCAAGGCUCAGAUUGAACAAUACUGAUAGAUCACCAAUUUUCGAUGGGGAGGGGGGGGGCAGUUUAAUCUUGAAGAAUUAGGAGGCAGUGUGUAGCAUGGAAGAUAUUGAGAUCUCUUGGUUGUUAUAUUGACAAUGAAAAUAUACCGCUCAAAAUAUUAUUUAUCUCUAUUUCAAAAUCGAGCUCUGGCAGCUCUACAAAUCCCUGCUUCCCUCUGCGAAGGGCCUAUCUAUUUACUUUUAUGUUGAGUCAUCAUCCUCUUAUUAAAAAGCACCAGUUGGAGAGCAAUGCUGUCAUUUGCAUCCAUUACUAUUAAUUUAUAUUGAGUAUGACUGGAUCUCUUUUACCAUGAAUUACAAUGUCUAGUCAGUCCUUCACUACUAGGGAAAAGCCUAUACACAGGAUCUUACCAGCAACGAGUUUUAAAAUAAGGCGCUGCUGCAAUUUAUCAGUAGCGCGCUCCACCAGAACAUGCUGUUGAAAUAAAAGUAGCAGUAGCGCGCCUCCACUGAGCCAUGCUACUACUACUAUUUCCACGACCCCGCCGCAAAGCUAGUUAUAGCAGCAACGUGUUAAUUAGAAGGGCGCUACUGCUAGGUAGUUUAGCAGUAGCGCAUUUACCAAUACCGCGCUACUGCUAAAACUAGCUACCUCCACCACCCACGCUCUCCUCUAUCCUAUCUACACUCACACUCACACUCACUCGCGACCUCCCCCUCAACUCCCCCGCGCCGGUCCUCCCCCGCGGCCGCCGUCACCUACCCCUCCUCCCUCUACGCCGCCGUCACCUCCUCCUCCUUGCUGGACUCGGUACCGCCCUCCUCCUCUGUCCUCCCUCGACUCGCCGCCGGUCGGCCCCUCCUCGCUCUGCCCUUCCUCCUCCAUCCUACUCUCUCCUCCCUCCUCCAGUCGCCCCUCCUUCUCCCUCCUCCCUCCUCCAUCCACAACCCCUCCUCCCUACUACAUUUUGAUUUAGUAGGCUAGUUCAUAUGCAACAUUUUGGUUUAGUUCAUAUGAUUUAGUUGAUUUAGUAGGCUAGUUGAUUUAGUUGAUUUAGAACAUUUUGAUUUUGUUGAUUUAGUAGGCAAGUUGAUCUAGCAGGCUAGUUGAUUUAGUUGAUUUAUAGAACUUUUUGAUUUAGUUCAUUUAGUAGGCAAGUUGAUUUAAUAGGCUAGUUGAUUUAGUUGAUUUACAGAACAUUUUGAUUUAGUUGAUUUAGUAUGCUAGUUGAUAGCUCUGAAGAUAGCUAUGAAGAUUUGGCACUCUGCAUAUUGGUUUAGGAAAAUGGCGCCACCACCACCACCACCAUGUCGAUUGUGCAAGUCAAGGUGCCCCAGCAACCUUGCAAUUGGCAAGCUGUUCGGCAUCUACUUCCAGCCGAGUUUUCAUCAUGCGGCGGUAAGAGAUUAUAUGAAAUGUAACAACUAUUUUAUUUUUAGUGUUGGCAUUACUGCAUUGUGUCAUUUUUCUUUUUUUACACAGAUCGUCCCAUGCAAUGUGAGGUUGAAAUUCAACAUGCUGAAAGGAGACACUAUGACAUUUGAGGCUCCUGGGGGGCCGUACACUAUGAAGGUCGAGAAAGGACGAAAUAUUUCGCAGAUUGGAGGAGAUGGAUGGGCCCGUUUCCUCGCCCGCAUGCGUCUUACUAGUGGUGAGUUGAUCAGCUUCUCCUUCAGAGCAGAAAGACCCAAGCUGGUUGUCAUUUAUAUCAACCUGGUAGAAGAUGAUGAAGAUGACGAAGAUGAUGAUGAUAAUGAGGACCCACUCGAUGAAGAUGAUGAGGACCCACUUCAUGAAGCCAUUGUAGCUCAAAGAAUGAGGCUGAGCGAGGAGGAAGUGUGCAACCUAUGGGACAUAAUUCCGCCAUGUGCUGACUUUGUCGGGGUGCCAUUCGUGACCCGCCUGACAAGUACCAUGGUCGAUCGACAUGAUAUGGUAUGUUAUACUUACAAAUGCAAAUUAUCCGAUGAUAUGCUUAGUGUAGAGUCCAAUGAUAUGUUGUGUGGAAUCUAGUCGAUGAUAUGCUUCAGUGUAGAGUUCGAUCAUAUGCUUAUUAGUGUAGAAUCUAAGUAACUAUUAAUAGUGUAGAUAAUCCAUAUAUACUUAUUUGCAAGAGUAUGUGCGAGGCUAUUUAUUAAUUGAUAUGUUUUUCUUAUUCAGAAAUUGGCAAAGAGCCUAUCUGUGAGUUAUGGUAUCAAGCCUGAUGAAGAAGGCUCAGCUGAACUACGCCUUGCCGCAAGGGGCUCCGUCACAACCUGUACUUACCGCGUGGACACGGACGGUCGCACACACUUAAACUCGGUUGGGUGGAAGAAAUUCCUCGAUGGCAAGAAUCUUUGUGUUGGACAGGCCAUCCUAAUUACUAUCAGGAACACCAACCGCCCAGGCUUGAGGAUGAUGAUCGUCUUUGAUAUCAUCUAGAACUACAUGUGUGUGUGUGUGUGUGGUUAUAUCAUCUAGAACUACAUAUGAUGAUCGUCGUUGAUAUCAUCUAGAACUACAUAUGAUGAUCGUCGUCGAUAUCAUCUAGAACUACAUAUGAUGAUCGUCGUCGAUAUGACCAUGUAAUAAUUGAGGAUGCAUGUUGACUAUACAUGAAAUUAUUAUCUAGUACUCCCUUCGUUCCAAAUUACUCGUUGUGGUUUGAACUAAAACCACGACGAGUAAUUUGGAACGGAGGGAGUACUACCUAGUACCUAUAAUGCUUUAUGAAAUUGAUAUCUAGUAGUACCUAGUAUCUGGAAAUUGCAGUUUAUUAAAACCGAAACAGGGCAGGAAGCGGGGGGGAGGGGGGGUGAUGAAAGAUAUAGCAGUAGUGAGGGGCUAGGAAACCGCUACAGCUAACUAACAGUAGCGCGUUCCAGAUAAGCGCUGCUGAUAUAGUCAACAGUAGUAGCGCAGGUGCGGACCGUGCUACUACUAAUAGUUAGCUGUAGCGCCGUAGUAGUAGUGCGGCUUCCCGCGCUGCUGAUAGCCUCAAAACCCGCGCUACUACUAGGGUUUUCCCUAGUAGUGCUUGAUCUUCAGGGGUGCUAUGCAUUUAAGUUUUGCGGUCUUAGAAAGGGCUAGCAAGAUACCAUCUUGUUAUAUCAUAUUAUGAUUGUUUUGAGAAAGUGUUGUCAUCCGAGAUUUAUAAUUAUUGCUCACUAGUUGAUUAUGCCAUUGAUAUGAGUAAACAUGAGACCUAAGUGUUAUUGUGAAUGUGGUUAGUUCAAUCUUUGCUGAAAACUUGAAUGUUGGCUUUACAUAUUUGCAACAACAAGAGCAAACGGAGUUUGUAAAAGUUUUUCUUUAUCACUUUCAGUUUAUCAACUGAAUUGCUUGAGGACAAGCAAAGGUUUAAGCUUGGGAGAGUUGAUACGUCUCCAUCGUAUCUACUUUUCCAAACAUUUUUGCCCUUGUUUUGGACUCUAACUUGCAUGAUUUGGAUGGAACUAACCCGGACUGACGCUGCUUUCAGCAGAACUGCCAUGUGUUAUUUUUGUGCAAAAAUAAAAGUUCUCGGAAUGACCUGAAACUCCACGGAAUUUAUUUUUGGAAUUAAUAAAAAAUAUUGGCGAAAGAAUCAAGGCCAGGGGGACCACACCCUGUCCACGAGGGUGGGGGUGUUCCCUACCCCAUGGGUGCGCCCCCUGCAUCAUGGGCCCCUUGGAGCUCUACCGACCUGAACUCCAACUCCAUAUAUUCAUGUUCGGGGAGAAAAAAAUAAGGGAGAAGGAUUCAUCGCGUUUUACGAUAUGGAGCCGCCGCCAAGCCCUAAACUCUCUCGGGAGGGCCGAUCUGGAGUCCGUUCGGGCUCCGGAGAGGGGAAUCCGUCGCUGUCGUCAUCAUCAACCAUCGUCCAUCACCAAUUUCAUGAUGCUCACCACCGUGCGUGAGUAAUACCAUCAUAGGCUUGCUAGACGGUGAUGGGUUGGAUGAGAUUUACCAUGUAACUGAGUUAGUUUUGUUAGGGUUUGAUCCCUAGUAUCCACUAUAUGUUUGAGAUUGAUGUUGCUGUGACUUUGCUAUGCGUAAUGCUUGUCACUUGGGCCCGAGUGCCAUGAUUUCAGAUCUGAACCUAUUAUGUUUUCAUGAAUAUAUGUGAGUUCAUGAUCCUAUCCUGCAAGUCAAUAGUCACCUACUAUGUGUUAUGAUCCGGCAACCCCGAAGUGACAAUAAUCGGGACCACUCCCGGUGAUGACCGUAGUUUGAGGAGUUCAUGUAUUCACUAAGUGUUAAUGCUAUGGUCCGGUACUCUAUUAAAAGGAGGCCUUGAUAUCCCUUAGUUUCCAAUAGGACCCCGCUGCCACGGGAGGGUAAGACAAAAGAUGUCAUGCAAGUUCUUUUCCAUAAGCACGUAUGACUAUAUUCGGAAUACAUGCCUACAUUACAUUGAUGAAUUGGAGCUAGUUUUGUGUCGGAUGCGAUUGGAUCAGUGAUGGAUAAUUAUGUCGGAUCAGUGAUGGAUAAUUAUGUCAGAUGUGAUUCUUCAUGCAAUAGUUAUAACAUAGGGUGACACAGAACUAGCUCCAAUUCAUCAAUGUAAUGUAGGCAUGUAUUCCGAAUAUAGUCAUACGUGGUUAUGGAAAAGAACUUUUGCAUGACAUCUUUUGUCCUACCCUCCCGUGGCAGCGGGGUCCUAAUGGAAACUAAGGGAUAUUAAGGCCUCCUUUUAAUAGAGUACCGGACCAAAGCAUUAACACAUAGUGAAUAUAUGAACUCCUCAAACUACGGUCAUCACCGAGAAGUAUCCCGAUUAUUGUCGCUUCGGGGUUGUCAGAUCAUAACACAUAAUAGGUGACUAUAGACUUGCAAGAUAGGAUCAAGAACUCACAUAUAUUCAUGAAAACAUAAUAGGUUCAGAUCUGAAAUCAUGGCACUCGGGCCCUAGUGACAAGCAUUAAGCAUAGCAAAGUCAUAGCAACAUCAAUCUCAAAACAUAGUGGAUACUAGGGAUCAAACCCUAACAAAACGAACUUGAUUACAUGGUAAAUCUCAUCCAACCCAUCACCGUCCAGCAAGCCAACGAUGGAAUUACUCACGCACGACGGUGAGCAUCAUGAAAUUGGUGAUGGAGGAUGGUUGACGAUGAUGAUGGCAACGAAUCUUCCUCUCCGGAGCCCCGAACGGACUCCAGAUCAGCCCUCCCGAGAGAGAUUAGGGCUUGGCGGCGACUUCGUAUCGUAAAACGUGAUGAGACUUUCUCUCUGAUUUUUUUCUCCGCGAAAGCAAAUAUAUGGAGUUGGAGUUGAGGUCGGUGGACGUCCAGGGGGGCCACGAGGCAAGGGGCGCGCCUUAGGGGAGGGGGCGCGCCCCCACCCUCAUGUAUAGGGUGUGGGCCCCUUGACACUAAUUCUUUCACCAGUAUUUUUUAAUUAAUUCUGAAAGUUUGCUCCGUGGAUUUUCAGGUCAUUCCGAGAACUUAUAUUUCUUCACAAAAAUAACACCAUGGCAGUUCUGGUGAAAACAGCGUCAGUCCGGGUUAGUUCCAUUCAAAUCAUGUAAGUUAGAGUCCAAAACAAGGGCAAAAGUAUUUGGAAAAGUAGAUACGACAGAGACGUAUCAACUCCCCCAAGAUUAAACCUUUGCUUGUCCUCAAGCAAUUCAGUUGACAAACUGAAAGUGAUAAAGAAAAACUUUUACAAACUUUGUUUGCUCUUGUUGUUGUAAAUAUGUAAAGCCAGCAUUCAAGUUUUCAGCAAAGAUUAUGAACUAACCAUAUUCACAAUAACAUUAGGUCUCCUGUUUACUCAUAUCAUUGGCAUAAUCAACUAGCAAGCAAUAAUAAUAAAACUCGGAUGACAACACUUUCUCAAAACAAUCAUAUUAUGAGAUAACAAGAUGGUAUCUCGCUAGCCCUUUCUGAGACCACAAAACAUAAAUGCAGAGCACCUUUAAAGAUCAAGGACUGACUAAACAUUGUAAUUCAUGGUAAAAGAGAUCUAGUCAUAGUCAUACCCAAUAUAAACUAAUAGUAAUGCAUGCAAAUGACAGCGGUGCUCUGCAGCGGGUGCUUUUUAAUAAGAGGGUCAUGACUCAACAUAAAAGUAAAUACAUAGGCCCUUCGCAGAGGGAAGCAGGAAUUUGUAGAGGUGCCAGAGCUCGAUUUUGAAAUAGAGAUAAAUAACAAUUUGAGCGGUAUACUUUCACUGUCAACAUAACAACUAUGAGAUCUCGAUAUCUUCCAUGUUACACACAUUAUAGGCGGUUCCCAAACAGAAUGGUAAAGUUUAUACUCCCCCACCACCAACAAGCAUCAAUCCAUGGCUUGCCCGAAACAAUGGGUGCCUCCAACUAACAACAAUCCUGGGGGAGUUUUGUUUAAUUAUUUUGAUUUGAUUUGAGCAUGGGACUGGGCAUCCCGGUGACCAGCCAUUUUCUCGUGAAUGAGGAGCGGAGUCCACUCCUCAUGAGAAUAACCCGCCUAACAUGGAAGAUACAGAUAGCCCUAGUUGAUACAUGAGCUGCUCGAGCAUACAAAACAGAAUUUCAUUUGAAGGUUUGGAGUUUGGCACAUACAAAUUUACUUGGAACGGCAUGUAGAUACCGCAUAUAGGAAGGUAUGGUGGACUCAUAUGGAAUAACUUUGGGGUUUAUGGAGUUUGGAUGCACAAGCAGUAUUCCCGCUUAGUACAUGUGAAGGCUAGAAAGAGACUGGGAAGCGAUCAACUGAGAGAGCGACAACAGUCAUGAACAUGUAUUAAAAUUAAUCAACACCGAGUGCAAGCAUGAGUAGGAUAUAAUCCACCAUGAACAUAAAUAUCGUGAAGGCUAUGUUGAUUUGUUUCAACUACAUGCGUGAACAUGUGCCAAGUCGAGUCACCCAAUUCAUUCAAGGGAGGAUACCACCCUAUCAUACCACAUCACAACCAUUUUAAUAGCAUGUUGGCACGCAAGGUAAACCAUUAUAAGCUCCUAGCUAAUUAAACAUGGCAUAAGCAACUAUAUUUUGUAAUUGUCAUCGCAAACAUGUUUAUUCAUAAUAGGCUGAAUCAGGAAUGAUGAACUAAUCAUAUUUACAAAAACAAGAGAGGUCGAGUUCAUACCAGCUUCUCUCAUAUCAAUCAGUCCAUCAUAUAUCGUCAUUAUUGCCUUUCACUCGCGCGACCGAACGGUGUGGAUAAUAAUAAUAGUGCACGUGCAUUGGACUAAGCUGGAAUCUGUAAGCAUUCAAUUCAAGGGAGAAGACAAGGUAAUAUGGGCUCUUGGUUAAAUCGACAAUCAUGCAUAUGAGAGCCACUAAACAUUUUCAUUAUGGUCUUCUCCUCUCGACCCCCAAAGGAAAGAAAAGAAAUAAAACUAUUUACACGGGAAAGCUCCCAACAAGCAAAAGAAGAACGAGAAAUCUUUUUGGGUUUUCUUUUAAUUACUACUACUACAACAUGGAAAUUAAACUAACUUUUUUUUUGGGUUUCUUAAGGUUUAUCAAGCACAAAAGAAGAAAGCUAGAAAAUGAAAUUAAACUAGCAUGGAUAGUACAAUGAAAAAGUAUGAGCACCGACAACUAUAAUGAGUGUGUGAACAUGAAUGUAAUGUCUGUGAGAAAUACGUACUCCCCCAGGCUUAGGCUCUUGGCCUAAGUUGGUCUAUGGCCAUGGAUCGCGACUACUCUCCCCGGUGUACUGAGGAGUGUCAUCGUACUGCCAUUGGCUGGCGAUCUCCUCCAGAUCCCACUGAUAAGAUGAUGGGCGAUAAGGGUCAAGUGGUGGUUCCGGCUCAGGCUCUCGAGAUGAUGUCUGGCCACGGAGCGCAUAGACAGCCUCCGGCAAGAGGAGGUAAGGGCCUGCAGUUAAAUCAAACAAAGAGGGCGCAGGCAAGAUAAUAGUCUCACUGUGUUUCUUAUGAAAUCUCAAAUUAUACAAAAGCAUCUUAUCAUCAUUUUUAACAAUAAACUCAUGCGCUACCAUGCUCUUAUAAUCUAGAAAGGUAGGGGGCAACAAUUUUUCCUCUUUCUCAAAAUGCCUAAUAGGUAUCCUGAAAUGUUUAGCAAGACGUGCAACAUAGAUACCUCCAAAAAUGGGGCCUUUUGUAUGGUUCAGGCUAAAUCGUUUAGCAAUAAUAGCAACCAUACUAACAGAGUUAUCACGAAAUAAAGCAUGGAACAAAAUAAUAAUAUUAGGAACACUAAGGUUUCCACAGUUUCCGCGACCAAUUAAGCAUCGACUAGCAAAUAUGGCAAAGUAGCGUAAAACAGGAAAAUGUAUGCUAGUAAUUCUUGCAUCGGAAACCUUCCUCGAUUCGCCUACGGUAAUAGUAUCAAUAAAUCCAUCCACAUCUUUACAAUGUGGUUCCUCUAAGCUGCCCCCGAAAGGUAUCUUGCAAACUGUGCAAAAUUCAUGUAAUGACAUCUCCCUAGCCACAUCAUAUAAAUGAAAAGCUACUGAAGGAGGUGAUUUCUUAGGAUAAUAGUAGAAAUUUUGCACGAAAGUAUUGGUGAGUAAGAGAUACUGUUCAGCCUGGCCGUGGAGGAAGUCGGUGAGGCCCGCAUUAUUAGCCAAAGAAUAAAAGUCAUCAUGAAUCUCGGCUGCUCUCAAGAAAUCAUCACAAGGCCAUUCGCACGGCCGUACUUUCGCCACACGAGGAAGAUUAUACUUGGCCUUUUCAUUUUCUUUGGCUUAUUUAUCCUUAGAGCCUUGGCUAGAAGAGCCCCUCAAAAAUCUCUUAAUCAUUUCCUGAUUUUUUUUGAAUUUUUUAGUAACUUAAAAUAGAAGUGAAUCAAACUCAACAAAACUGAUAGCAACUACUCCCACAAGUGCCUAGAGCCUAUAUCAUGCAUUAAAAUUACUUGGGACCAUAUAAAUUUGACAUGCAAGCUCAAGAACCGGGUCACCUAGGCAGCAACAAUUUGCAAUGAAUAAAGCACUAGAACAAAAACUAAUUGGACCAUUGAAGGAGUCACAUACCAAGGAACAAUCCCCCAAAGCAGUUUUGUGAAUGGAGCUUUGAGCAAGGAGAUCGAAAAUGGCACAAAGUGAGCUAGAACUCGUGCUUGAGCUGGAUAGUGAUUUUUUUGGGAGGAAGAAGAAGUGUGUGGGUGCAGGAAUAAGUGGAGGGGGGCCAUUGUGGGCCCACGAGGCAGGGGGGCGCGCCUUGGACCCUCGUGGCCAGGUGCUUGCUCCCCCUAUUGUGUUCUCAGUGCCAAAUAUUCUCAAAUAUUCCAGAAAAAAUCAUACUAAACUGGCAGGGCAUUUGGAGAACUUUUAUUUUCGGGAUAUUUUUUAUUGCAUGGAUAAUUCAGAAAACAGACAGAAAAUACUAUUUUUGCUUUAUUUAUUUUAAAUAACAGAAAGUAAAAAGAGGGUACAGAAGGUUGUGCCUUCUAACUUCAUCCAUCUCAUGAUCAUCAAAAGGAAUCCACUAACAAGGUUGAUCAAGUCUUGUUAACAAACUCAUUCUGAAUAACAUGGAACUGGAGAAAUUUCGAAUAACACUAGGUUACCUCAACAGGGAUAUGAACAUCCCAAUAAUAAGAAUAUCAUAUUUCUUCAUGACAGUAGGAAUAGGAAAUUCAAAACCUCCAAUAAUAAUAGUUGGAUUUUUUCCAAUAGAAUUGAUACUGUGAACUUGAGGUUGUUUCCUCGGAAAGUGUACCUUAUGCUCAUUACCAUUAACAUGAAAAGUGAUAUUGCCUUUGUUGUAAUCAAUAACAACCCCUGCACUAUUCAAAAAGGGUCUACCAAGGAUAAUCGACAUACUAUCGUCCUCGGGAAUAUCAAUAAUAACAAAGUCCGUUAGGAUAGUAACGUUUGCAACCACAACAGGCACAUCCUCACAAAUACCGACAGGUAUAGCAGUUGAUUUGUUAGCCAUUUGCAAAGAUAUUUCAGUAGGUGUCAACUUAUUCAAUUCAAGUCUACAAUAUAAAGAAAGAGGCAUAACACUAACACCAGCUCCAAGAUCACAUAAAGCAGCUUUAACUUAGUUUCUUUUAAUGGAGCAUGGUAUAGUUGGUACUCCUGGGUCUCCAAGUUUCUUAGGUAUUCCACCUUUAAAAGUGUAAUUAGCAAGCAUGGUGGAAAUUUCAGCUUCCGGUAUCGUUCUUUUUAUUUGUAAUGAUAUCCUUCAUGUAUUUAGCAUAAGGAUUCACUUUAAGCAUAUCAGUUAAGCGCAUACAUAAGAAGCCAGGUCUGAUCAUUUCAGCAAAGCGCGCAAAAUCCUCAUCAUCCUUUUUCUUGGAUGGCUUAGGAGGAAAAGGUAUGGGUUUUUGAACCCAUGGUUCUGUUUCUUUACCGUGAUUCCUAGCAACAAAGUCUCUCUUAUCAUAAUGUUGAUUCUUUGAUUCUGGGUUAUCAAGAUCAACAGCAGGUUCAAUCUCCACAUCAUUAUUAUUGCUAGGUUGAGCAUCAACAUGAAUAUUAUCAUUAACAUUAUCACUAGGUUCAUGUCCAUCACCUGAUUGUGUUUCAGCAUCAGAAAUAGAAAUAUCAUUGAGAUUCCCAGGUGUGUCUACAACAGGUUCACUAGAAGCAUGCAAAGUCCUAUCAUUUUUCUUUUUUCUUCUUUUUAGAAGGACUAGGUGCAUCUAAAUUAUUUCUCUGAGAAUCUUGCUCAAUUCUCUUAGGGUGGCCUUCAGGAUACAAAGGUUCCUGAGUCAUUUUACCAGUUCUAGUAGCCACUCUAACAGCAAAAUCAUGUUUAUUAUUUAAUUCAUCGAGCAAUUCACUUUGAGCUUUAAGUACUUGUUCUGCUUGUGUGGUAACCAUAGAAGCAUAUUUACUAAUGAGUUUAAGUUCACCUUUAACUCUAGCCAUAUAAUCACUCAAGCGUCCAAUCAUGUAAGAAUUACUCUUUAAUUAUCUACCAACAUAAGCAUUAAAAUUUUCUUGUCUACCAUAAAGUCAUCAAAUUCAUCUAAACAUUGGCUAGAAAACUUAGUAGAGGGGAUUUCAACUUUAUCGUAUCUAUAGAGAGAAUUUACCUUUACUACCUGUGUCGGGUUAUCAAGACCAUGUGUUUCUUCAAUAGGUGGUAUAUUAAGACCAUGUAUUUCUUCAACAGGAGGUAAAUUCUUAACAUCUUCAGCUAUAAUACCUUUCUCUUUCAUAGAUUUCUUUGCCUCUUCCAUAUCUUCUGGACUGAGAAAUAAAACACCCCUUUUCUUUGGAGUUGGUUUAGGAUUUGGCUCAGGAGUUAGCUCAGGAAGUGUCCAAUUAUUUUCAUUAGUCAACAUAUUAUUCAAUAGCAAUUCAGCUUGGUUGACUGUUCUUUCCCUAAAAACACAACCAGCACAACUAUCCAAGUGGUCCUUGGAAGCAUCGGUUAGUCCAUUGUAAAAGAUAUCAAGUAUUUCAUUUUUCUUAAGAGGAUGAUCAAGCAAAGCAUUAAGUAAUCGGAGAAGCCUCCCCCAAGCUUGUGGGAGACUCUCUUUUUCAAUUUGCACAAAAUUGUAUAUUUCCCUCAAGGCAGCUUGUUUCUUAUGAGCAAGGAAAUAUUUAGCAGAGAAGUAAUAAAUCAUAUCCUGGGGACUACGCACACAGCCAGGAUCAAGAGAAUUAAAUCAAGUUUUAGAAUCACCCUUUAAUGAGAAUGGAAAUAUGUUAAGGAUAUAGUAGUAACGAGAUUUCUCAUCAUUUGUGAACAGGGUGGCUAUAUCAUUCAAUUUAGUAAGAUGUGCCACAACAGUUUCAGAUUCAUAGCCAUAGAAAAGAUCAGAUUCAACCAAAGUAAUUAUCUCAGGAUCGUCAGAGAAUUCAUAAUCCUUAUCAGUAACAAAGAUAGGUGAAGUAGCAAAAGCAGGGUCAUAAUUCAUUCUAGCAUUCAGAGAUUUCUGCUUAAGUUUAGCUAAUAACUUCUUAAGAUCAGAUCUAUCAUUGCAAGCAAGAAUAUCUCUAGUAGUUUCUUCGUCCAUAACAUAACCCUCUGGAACAAUAGGCAAUUCAUAUUUAGGGGGGAGAACCUUCAUCAUCACUAUCUUCAAUAAUAUCAGUUUCAAUUAUUUCAUUUUCUCUAACCCUAACAAGUUGUUCAUCAAGAAAUUCACCUAAUGCCACAGUAGUUUCAAGCAUAGAAGUAGUUUCAUCAUAAGUAUCAUGCAUAGUAGAAGUGGCAUCAUCAAUAACAUGCGACAUAUCAGAAUUCAUAGCAGAAGCAGGUUUAGGUGUCGCAAGUUUACUCAAAACAGAUGGUGAAUCAAGUGCAGAGCUAGAUGGAAGUUCCUUACCUUCCCUCGUAGUUGAGGGAAAAAUAUUAGUUCUUUGGUCCUUCAAGUUCCUCAUAGUGACCAGCAGAUAUAAAUCCCAAGUGACUCAAAGAAUAGAGCUAUGCUCCCCGGCAAUGGUGCCAGAAAAUAGUCUUGAUAACCCACAAGUAUAGGGGAUCACAACAGUUUUCGAGGGUAGAGUAUUCAACCCAAAUUUAUUGAUUCGACAUAAGGGGAGCCAAAGAAUAUUCUCAGGUAUUAGCAGUUGAGUUGUCAAUUCAACCACACCUGGAUAACUUAGUAUCUGCAACAAAGUAUUUAGUAGCAAAGCAGUAUGGAAGUAACGGUAAAGUAACUAAGCAAAGAGCAAUAUAUGAAAAGCUGGUAGGCACUGGAUCAGUGAUGGAUAAUUACGUCAGAUGCGAUUCCUCAUGUAAUAGUUAUACCAUAGGGUGACACAGAACUAGCUCCAAUUCAUAAAUGUAAUGUAGGCAUGUAUUCCAAAUAUAGUCAUACAUGCUUAUGGAAAAGAACUUGCAUGACAUCUUCUGUCCUACCCUCCCGUGGCAGCGGGGUCCUAAUGGAAACUAAGGGAUAUUAAGGCCUCCUUUUAAUAGAGUACCGGACCAAAGCAUUAACACAUAGUGAAUACAUGAACUCCUCAAACUACGGUCAUCACCGAGAAGUAUCCCGAUUAUUGUCACUUCGGGGUUGUCGGAUCAUAAAACAUAAUAGGUGACUAUAGACUUGCAAGAUAGGAUCAAGAACUCACAUAUAUUCAUGAAAACAUAAUAGGUUCAGAUCUGAAAUCAUGGCACUCGGGCCAUAGUGACAAGCAUUAAGCAUAGCAAAGUCAUAGCAACGUCAAUCUCAGAACAUAGUGGAUACUAGGGAUCAAACCCUAACAAAACUAACUUGAUUACAUGGUAAAUCUCAUCCAACCCAUCACCGUCCAGCAAGCCAACGAUGGAAUUACUCACGCACGACGGUGAGCAUCAUAAAAUUGGUGAUUGAGGAUGGUUGAUGAUGACGACGGCGACGAAUCCCCCUCUCCGGAGCCCCGAACGGACUCCAGAUCAGCCCUCUCGAGAGAGAUCAGGGCUUGGCGGCGGCUCUGUAUCGUAAAACGCGAUGAAACUUUCUCUCUGAUUUGGAGUUGAGGUCGGUGGACGUCCAUGGGUGCCACGAGGCAGGGGGCGCGCCCCCACCCUCGUGGACAGGGUGUGGGCCCCCUGACGCUAAUUCUUUCGCCAGUAUUUUUUAUUAAUUCUAAAAAGUUGCUCCGUGGAUUUUCAGGUCAUUCCAAGAACUUUUAUUUCUGCACAAAAAUAACACCAUGGAAGUUUUGCUGAAAACAACGUCAGUCCGGGUUAGUUCCAUUCAAAUCAUGCAAGUUAGAGUCCAAAACAAGGGCAAAAGUGUUUGGAAAAGUAGAUACGACGGAGAAGUAUCACACCCUAUGUUAUAACUAUUGCAUGAGGAAUCGCAUCCGAAUAAUUAUCCAUCACUAAUCCAAUGCCUAUGAGCUUUUCACAUAUUGAUCUUUGUUUAGUUACUUUAUCGUUGCCAUUGUUAUCAUUACUACAAAAAUGCUACUGUUACCGUUACUUCCAUACUACUUUGCUACUAAAUACUUUGCAGUAGAUAUUAAGUCAUCCAGGUGUGGUUGAAUUGACAACUCAACUGCUAAUACUUGAGAAUAUUCUUUGGCUCCCUUUGUGUCGAAUCAAUAAAUUUGGGUUGAAUACUCUACCCUAAUAAACUGUUGCGAUCCCCUAUACUUGUGGGUUAUCACGGCCUCAUACCCGGUACGCGUCCUGGUUGAGGAGCACGCCGGACUGGUGGGUGCCCAUACCCGGUAGACGUCCUGGUUGGGACCUCAGGUCCUACAUGUUUAGGUUUGGCUGUGAGGUCUGUUUGGUAUUAGGCCCAGACUAUCAGCAUCCCUUCAUCAAUUGGAUAGGAGUAGUGACAGUUUGUUGCCUAGACGGUGGCUUCAGUCUUACAGUUGUAUCACUUUGUAAGGUCUUGUGUGAAUAAUUAAUAAAAUGACUGCAUGCAUCAUCCAGAUGCAGAGGCCGGGGGUCCUCCUCCCUUUCUAAAAAAAACAAUUUCCGAUGGAAUUCGUCCUUCAAGUAUAUUUGAGGAAACAUCAAGUAUUCGCAACAGUGAUAAUUGCCCCAUGCCUGGCGGUAUGAAUCCAGUGAUAUUGUUGUUUGAGGCACGCAACAUGGUAAGGUUGCGGCACUCUCCCCAGCCAUCAGAAAAUUGGCCAAAUAGUCUAUUUGAAGUGAUGUCAAUAUAGACAAGAUUCGGGUGAACUCCCAUCUCGGAGAUAUCUCCCUCAAGGCGAAAUCUCACUAGGCUUCUGUAGCUUAGCAAGCUUGUAGGCAAGGGACCAACCAAGUCGUUGCCAUUGACGCUGAACUUCUCCAGCUGGCCUCUCCCACAAAUACCCGAUGGCAAUUUACCAGAGAGAUUGUUAUGAGAACCUUGGAAGUUUUGCCAAACUCGUUAACCUGCCAAUUUCUGGAGGAAUGUGUCCAAAAAGUUGGUUGAAACUAAAAGCUAUGGAAGUGGCCUUAGUCAAAUUCCCUAUGCUAUUUGGGAUGGGACCUAUUAAUGUGUUGUAACUAAGGUCCAAUAUAUCUAUGUUUAUCAAACGAUCUAGCUCUUGAGGGAUGUGGCCAGAAAGUUGGUUAAUAAGAAGGUAUAAUCUAUAAUGUAGUGAGUUUUGUCAAGUUACAUAGAUUGUUUGGAAGGGGACCUAUUAGUUUGUUGUCAUAAAGCGCCAAGUUCUCUAAGUUUCUCAAACGACCUAGCUCUUGAGGGAUGUAGCCAGAAAGUUGGUUAAUAUGAAGGUAUAAUGUAGUGAGCUUGGUCAAGUUACAUAGAUUGUUUGGAAGGGGACCUGUUAGUUUGUUGUUAUAAAGCGCCAAGUUCUCUAAGUUUCUCAAAUGACCUAGCUCUUGAGGGAUGUGGCCAGAAAGUUGGUUAAUACGAAGGUAUAAUAUAGUGAGUUUGGUCAAAUUCCCUAUGCUGUUUGGGAUGUGGCCUUUUAGUUUGUUGUCAGAAAGCACAAAUUAUCAAACAACCUAGUUGUAGAGGGAUGUGGCCUGUGUGUUUGUUCUCAGCAAGCACAAAGUUCUCUAACUUGAUCAAAUGACCUAGUUCUUGAGGAAUGUGGCCAGACAAGUCGUUACCCCAGAGAUACAAGGUCGUGAGUUUACUCAGAUUUCCCAAGUAUGCUGGUAUGGAUCCUAUAAGUUUGUUCAAUACGAGUUGCAAAUCCUCCAGGUUUACCAAAUUCCUUAUUUCCCGAGGGAUGGGUCCGAUGAACUUGUUAGUAUGAAGAUGAAGACUUCUUAGCUGUGUCAAGUUUCCUAUACUAGCUGGAAUAUAAUCUUCAAGUUUGUUUACACUAAGAUUGAGGCCUUUCAGCAUCCCUAAAUUCCCAAUUUCUCAAGGAACUGAUCCUGCAAUCUCAUUAUUGGAAAGACGCAAGGUUGUGAGUUUUGUGAGGUUUGCUAAAGCAGGUGGAAUUGAGCCUCUUAUCUGAUUACUGUGCAGAAGUAGAGCAUGGAGCCCUCUAAUAUGCUCUAUGCUUGAAGGAAUGCUCCCAACGAGAUGGUUGUCCGAGAGGUUGAGGGUUGCCAAGGUACUCAAGGCCGAGAAGUCCAUGGACUCCAGCGACCCUCUUACCUUCAACUGGUUAGAGAGACAAUGGUGAUCAUCGUCCCGCGUCGUCGUGUUGUCGGUGCAGUGCAUCGGAUUCCACGCCAACCACAAGGUGCUAACGACAAGUUUCCCCAUGAUUGCAGGGAGUCCUAGCUUUGGUUGCUGAGGGUGGCUUUCCAGGCAAGCAAUGCUCCUGCUUGUUUUUUGAGCGAUGGCUGCAUAUGGGUGGCCGAGACAAGUGCGACGGAGGUAGCCGCCAUCAUUAUUAUGGUCAGAGGGGCAAAAAAUUUGGAAGACAAGGGUGGCUCCAUGGCUAUGCUAGCAAUUGGUUCUGGUUCCGUGCUGCAUUGAUGGCAGCACUUUAAAUAGUACAUUGCAUACAUCUCCAUAAAAAAAGACUCAACGGUAAUUGCAUCGACAGAUAGCAAUAAUCCCCUCCCCCUCCCGCGACGCACCCGCCCGCGCUGGUGGGGAAACCCUAGCCGCCAGGCCCUCGGCCCCGCCUCCCUCUCCUCCUCCCUGCUGUCACCGGCAAGCGCUGACGGGCAAAGCCCGGAUGGCGCCGGCGGUGGGGCCCUUCCUCCUCCUCUGCCCGUGGAAGACCAGCGUGGGGUGGCACCUCAGGUGGUGGAACUGGGCGGCCGCGGGGCCCAGCGGCACGGCCGCGGGAGCGUGAUGCGGUGGCACGUCCGAUUGGUGGUUGCGCAUUGGCGCUCUGCUUCCUGAGCGUGGCAUGGCGGCUGCAGAGCUCCUGACCCGGGAGGUGGCGCGCGGUUGGCCUACCCGCCGGAUCUGGUGGUUCCGGUGGCAGUGUGCCUCCUGGAUGCUGGCUCUUGGGGGGGAGGGCUGGUGUGGGGGGCGCGCGCGGAUGUCCUGGACGGAUCAACCAGUCCUCCAGGUGGCCUUGGGUCUGAAUCUGGUCGGUGGUGGUGGAUGGCGUCCAUCGGACUACAGGGUCCGAGAGCCGACCUGGUCCGCGUUGGUCUUCCCUCGCGUUAGUGCUCCUCUUCCUGUUGCUUCAUUGUGGCAUCGAUCCGAGUAGGCGCCCGUGUUGCUGCUAUGUUGCGGGCGGACCGACGGUGCUGGCCAUGGAUGUGGUGGCGUGCAACCUUGGACCGGGCCAGGACUUGCUCGGCGGUGGCCGUCGGCAACUACUAGGCCAUGCUCCCCACAGUCGACGAUGAUUGUCAUGGGACACAGGUGUGGAUGCCCCAUACUGUGGGGGCGCUCACCCAGGGUGGGUGGUUGAUGCCGGGCUAGGAGCGAAAGGAGACACCUCCCGUUCCUCCCACCGUGGCUGCGCGUGGUGAGGUCGGCGGUUGGCAGCGACUCAGGACAUGGAUGCCGGGGUGGCGGCCCUGGAUGGUGGGCUGCAUGGUUGGCUCUCCGGCGGGCACUAUGGCGACAGUGGUGGCUCUCCUCUUGGUCGUGUGGGUGACGAGGGGUAGUGUCAGGUGGCUCGGGCUCGCACUCCUUUGUUGGGGAGACGCCCAGAUCCAGAUCUAGGUGUCUGGAAUCGCCGUGGUUGCCCUGGUGGCCUCGUGUGGCACGGGAGUUGCCGAGCGAAAGCUCCGUGCUUUUGCGCUGACGGCAAUGACGCUCAUGGGCGCCGCUUUCUUCUUGAAGACGUCGUUGUGGAUCUUCUCUCCGUGCCAGGGUUCCGAGCGAAAGAUCAUGUCCACUUUGGACUCGACAGCAGCGAGGCUUCGCGCCGUCUUCCCUCCUGAGGGCGUUGCCGUGGAGCUUAGGUGUGCUAGGGCAUAGCGUGGCGUUGUAUCUAAACUCCCCUGUGUUAUCCUUCGGUAGAUUAGUGUCCUGCGUGAUACGACUAUCUCGGGAUCUGCUUUGUAAGAGGGCUGCCUCUCCACCUUGUAUCAUUUGGCCGUGUACUUUGGCCGUGUACUUUGUUUGGUUGGUGCUUCAUCUAUAAAGUGGGGCGAAAGCCUGUUUCGAGAAAAAAGACUCGACACCUAUUGGUCAUGGAAUAGCUUUCAGAACCUGCCAUGUUUGAUGGAGAGUGAAAGUUACGGUCAGCACCAGCAGUCAAGUGAGGCUAGCAUAGAUCAUGUUGGAGCCACAUGCCUGUGUUGCAUGUCCCACAUGGCAAUGUUGUCGCUUCCCCGCCUUCGGGGGCGUAAACAUCCCCCUAGGUGGCUGUUGGGGAACGUAGUAAUUUCAAAAAAUUUCCUACGCACACGCAAGAUCAUGGUGAUGCAUAGCAACGAGAGGGGACAGUGUUGUCUACGUACCCUCGUAGACCGAAGCGGAAGCGAUCACAACGUAGAGGAAGUAGUCGUACGUUCUCCUCGCGAUCCAACCGAUCCCAGCGCCGUUACUCCGGCGCCUCCGAGUUCUUGACACACGUACAGCUCGGUGACGCUCCUCGGGCUCCAAUCCAGUAGAGCUUCGGGGAGGGAGAGUUCCGUCAGCACGACGGCGUGGUGACGAUCUUGAUGUUCUACCGACGCAGGGCUUCGCCUAAGCACCGCUACGAUAUGACCGAGGUGGAUUAUGGUGGAGGGGGGCACCGCACACGGCUAAGGAACGAUCUCAAGGAUCAACUUGUGUGUUCUAGGGUGCCCCCCUGCCCCCGUAUAUAAAGGAGCAAGGGGGAGGCCGGCCGGCCCUAGGAGGUGCGCCAAGGGAGGGGGGAGUCCUCCUCCUAGUGGGAGUAGGACUCCCCUUUCCUAGUCCAACUAGGAAGGAGGAAGGGGGAAGGAAGGAGAGGGAGAGGGAGAGGGAAAGGGGGGCCGCGCCCCCCCUCCUUGUCCUAUUCGGACUCCCUUGGGGGGGGGGGCGCGCGCCACCACCUGGUGCGGCCCUCUCUCUCCCCUCUUGGCCCACUAAGGCCCAUAACUUCCCCGGGGGGUUCCGGUAACCCCUCCGGCACUCCGGUUUUCUCCGGAAACUUCCGGAACCUUUCCGGUGUCCGAAUAUAGCCGUCCAAUAUAUCAAUCUUUAUGUCUCGACCAUUUCGAGACUCCUCGUCAUGUCCGUGAUCACAUCCGGGACUCCGAACUCCUUCGGUACAUCAAAAUACACAAACUCAUAAUAUAACCGUCAUCGAAACCUUAAGCGUGCGGACCCUACGGUUCGAGAACAAUGUAGACAUGACCGAGACACGUCUCCGGUCAAUAACCAAUAGCGGGACCUGGAUGCCCAUAUUGGUUCCUACAUAUUCUACGAAGAUCUUUAUCUGUCAGACUGCAUAACAACAUACGUUGUUCCCUUUGUCAUCGGUAUGUUACUUGCCCGAGAUUCGAUCGUCGGUAUCCAAUACCUAGUUCAAUCUCGUUACCGGCAAGUCUCUUUACUCGUUCUGUAAUACAUCAUCUCACAGCUAACUCAUUAGUUGUAAUGCUUGCAAGGCUUAAGUGAUGUGUAUUACCGAGAGGGCCCAGAGAUACCUCUCCGACAAUCGGAGUGACAAAACCUAAUCUCGAAAUACGCCAACCCAACAUCUGCCUUUGGAGACACCUGUAGUACUCCUUUAUAAUCACCCAGUUACGUUGUGACGUUUGGUAGUACCCAAAGUGUUCCUCCGGUAAACGGGAGUUGCAUAAUCUCAUAGUUAUAGGAACAUGUAUAAGUCAUGGAUAAAAGCAGUAGCAACAUACUAAACGAUCGUGUGCUAAGCUAAUGGAAUGGGUCAUGUCAAUCAGAUCAUUCAACUAAUGAUGUGACCUUGUUAAUCAAAUAACAACCCUUUGUUCAUGGUUAGGAAACAUAACCAUCUUUGAUUAACAAGCUAGUCUAGUAGAGGCAUACUAGUGACACUCUGUUUGUUUAUACAUUCACACAUGUAUUAUGUUUCCGGUUUAAUACAAUUCUAGCAUAAAUGAUAAACAUUUAUCAUGAAAUAAGGAAAUAAAUAAUAACUUUAUUAUUGCCUCUAGGGCAUAUUUCCUUCAGUCUCCCACUUGCACUAGAGUCAAUAAUCUAGAUUACAUAGUAAUGAUUCUAACACCCAUGGAGUCUUGGUGUUGAUCAUGUUUUGCUCGUGGAAGAGGCUUAGUCAACGGGUCUGCUACAUUCAGAUCCGUAUGUAUCUUGCAAAUCUCUAUGUCUCCCACCUGGACUAAAUCCCGGAUGGAAUUGAAGCGUCUCUUGAUGUGCUUGGUCCUCUUGUGAAAUCUGGAUUCCUUCGCUAAAGUAAUUGCUCCAGUAUUGUCACAGAAGAUUUUCAUUGGACCCGAUGCACUAGGUAUGACACCUAGAUCAGAUAUGAACUCCUUCAUCCAGACUCCUUCAUUAGCUGCUUCCGAAGCUGCUAUGUACUCCGCUUCACAUGUAGAUCCCGCUACGACGCUUUGUUUAGAACUGCACCAACUGACAGCUCCUCCGUUUAGUGUAAAUACGUAUCCGGUCUGCGAUUUAGAAUCGUCCGGAUCAGUGUCAAAGCUUGCAUCAACGUAACCAUUUACGAUGAGCUCUUUGUCACCUCCAUAUACGAGAAAGAUAUCCUUAGUCCUUUUCAGGUAUUUCAGGAUGUUCUUGACCGCUGUCCAGUGAUCCACUCCUGGAUUACUUUGGUACCUCCCUGCUAAGCUUAUAGCAAGGCACACAUCAGGUCUGGUACACAGCAUUGCAUACAUGAUAGAGCCUAUGGCUGAAGCAUAGGGAACAUCUUUCAUUUUCCCUCUAUCUUCUACAGUGGUCGGGCAUUGAGUCUUACUCAACUUCACACCUUGCAACACAGGCAAGAACCCUUUCUUUGCUUGAUCCAUUUUGAACUUCUUCAAAAUCUUGUCAAGGUAUGUGCUUUGUGAAAGUCCAAUUAAGCGUCUUGAUCUAUCUCUAUAGAUUUUGACGCCCAAUAUGUAUGCAGCUUCACCGAGGUCUUUCAUUGAAAAACUCUUAUUUAAGUAUCCCUUUAUGCUAUCCAGAAAUUCUAUAUCAUUUCCGAUCAGUAAUAUGUCAUCUACAUAUAAUAUCAGAAAUGUUACGGAGCUCCCACUCACUUUCUUGUAAAUACAGGCUUCUCCAAAAGUCUGUAUGAACCCAAAUGCUUUGAUCACACUAUCAAAGCGUUUAUUCCAACUCCGAGAUGCUUGCACCAGUCCAUAAAUGGAUCGCUGGAGCUUGCACACUUUGUUAGCUCCCUUUGGAUUGAUAAAACCUUCUGGUUGCAUCAUAUACAACUCUUCUUCCAGAAAUCCAUUCAGGAAUGCAGUCUUUACAUCCAUUUGCCAAAUUUCAUAAUUAUAAAAUGCGGCAAUUGCUAACAUGAUUCGGACAGACUUAAGCAUCGCUACGGGUGAGAAGGUCUCAUCGUAGUCAAUCCCUUGAACUUGCCGAUAACCCUUUGCAACAAGUCGAGCUUUGUAGACAGUAACAUUACCGUCAGCGUCAGUCUUCUUCUUGAAGAUCCACUUGUUUUCUAUUGCUUGCCGACCCUCGGGCAAGUCAACCAAAGUCCAUACUUUGUUUUCAUACAUGGAUCCCAUCUCAGAUUUCAUGGCCUCAAGCCAUUUUGCGGAAUCUGGGCUCACCAUCGCUUCUUCAUAGUUCGUAGGUUCAUCAUGAUCUAGUAGCAUGAUUUCCAGGACAGGAUUACCAUACCACUCUGGUGCGGAUCUUACUCUGGUUGAUCUACGAGGUUCUGUAGUAACUUGAUCUGAAGUUUCAUGAUCAACAUCAUCAACUUCCUCACUAUUUGGUGUAGAUGUCUCAGAAACCGGUUUCUGCGACAAACUACUUUCAAAUAAGGGAGAAGGUACAAUUACCUCAUCAAGUUCCACUUUCCUCCCACUCACUUCUUUCGAGAGAAACUCCUUCUCUAGAAAGGAUCCAUUCUUGGCAACAAAUGUCUUGCCUUCGGAUCUGUGAUAGAAGGUGUACCCAACUGUUUCUUUUGGGUAUCCUAUGAAGACACAUUUCUCCGAUUUGGGUUCGAGCUUAUCAGGUUGAAGUUUUUUCACAUAAGCAUCGCAUCCCCAAACUUUAAGAAACGACAACUUUGGUUUCUUGCUAAACCAUAGUUCAUAAGGUGUCGUUUCAACGGAUUUUGACGGUGUUCUAUUCAGUGUGAAUGCGGCCGUCUCAAGAGCAUAACCCCAAAACGAUAGCGGUAAAUCUGUAAGAGACAUCAUAGAUCGCACCAUAUCUAGUAAAGUGCGAUUACGACGUUCGGACACACCAUUACGCUGUGGUGUUCCGGGUGGCGUGAGUUGCGAAACUAUUCCGCAUUGUUUCAAAUGUAGACCAAACUCGUAACUCAAAUAUUCACCUCCACGAUUAGAUCGUAGAAAUUUAAUUUUCUUAUUAUGAUGUUUUUCAACUUCACUCUGAAAUUCUUUGAACUUUUCAAAUGUUUCAAACUUAUGUUUCAUUAAGUAUAUAUACCCAUAUCUGCUUAAAUCAUCUGUGAAGGUGAGAAAAUAACGAUAUCCGCCACGAGCCUCAACAUUCAUCGGACCACAUACAUCUGUAUGUAUGAUUUCCAACAAAUCUGUUGCUCUUUCCAUAGUACCGGAGAACGGGGUUUUAGUCAUCUUGCCCAUGAGGCACGGUUCGCAAGUGCCAAGUGAUUCAUAAUCAAGUGACUCCAAAAGUCCAUCAGUAUGGAGUUUCUUCAUGCGCUUUAUACCGAUAUGACCUAAACGGCAGUGCCACAAAUAAGUUGCACUAUCAUUAUCAACUCUGCAUCUUUUGGUUUCAACAUUAUGAAUAUGUGUAUCACUACUAUCGAGAUUCAUCAAAAAUAGACCACUCUUCAAGGGUGCAUGACCAUAAAAGAUAUUACUCAUAUAAAUAGAACAACCAUUAUUCUCUGAUUUAAAUGAAUAACCGUCUCGCAUCAAACAAGAUCCAGAUAUAAUGUUCAUGCUCAACGCAGGCACCAAAUAACAAUUAUUUAGGUCUAAAACUAAUCCCGAAGGUAGAUGUAGAGGUAGCGUGCCGACCGCGAUCACAUCGACUUUGGAACCAUUUCCCACGCGCAUCGUCACCUCGUCCUUUGCCAGUGUUCGCUUAAUCUGUAGUCCCUGUUUCGAGUUGCAAAUAUUAGCAACAGAACCAGUAUCAAAUACCCAGGUGCUACUGCGAGCUCUAGUAAGGUACACAUCAAUAACAUGUAUAUCACAUAUACCUUUGUUCACCUUGCCAUCCUUCUUAUCCGCCAAAUACUUGGGGCAGUUCCGCUUCCAGUGACCAGUCUGCUUGCAGUAGAAGCACUCAGUUUCAGGUUUAGGUCCAGACUUGGGUUUCUUCUCCUGAGCAGCAACUUGCUUGCUGUUCUUCUUGAAGUUCCCCUUCUUCUUCCCUUUUCCUUUCUUCUUGAAACUAGUGGUCUUAUUGACCAUCAACACUUGAUGCUCCUUCUUGAUUUCUACCUCCGCAGCCUUUAGCAUUGCGAAGAGCUCAGGUAUAGUCUUUACUAACCCUUGCAUAUUAUAGUUCAUCACGAAGCCUUUGUAGCUUGGUGGCAGUGAUUGAAGAAAGCUGUCAAUGACACAAUCAUCUGGAAGAUUAACUCCCAGUUGAGUCAAGUGAUUGUAAUACCCAGACAUUCUGAGUAUGUGCUCACUAACAGAACUAUUCUCCUCCAUCUUGCAGCUAUAGAACUUAUUGGAGACUUCAUAUCUCUCAAUCCGGGCAUUCUGUUGGAAUAUCAACUUCAACUCCUGGAACAUCUCAUAUGCUCCAUGACGUUCAAAACGUCGUUGAAGUCCCGGUUCUAAGCCGUAAAGCAUGGCACACUGAACUAUAGAGUAGUCAUCAGCUUUGCUCUGCCAGACGUUCUUAACGUCGUCAGUUGCAUCAGCAGCAGGCCUGGCACCUAGCGGUGCAUCCAGGACGUAACUCUUCUGUGCAGCAAUGAGAAUAAUCCUCAGAUUACGGACCCAGUCCGUGUAAUUGCUACCAUCAUCUUUCAACUUUUCUUUCUCAAGGAACGCAUUAAAAUUCAACGGAACAACAGCACAAGCCAUCUAUCUACAAACAAACAUAGACAAGCAAGAUACUAUCAGGUACUAAGUUCAUGAUAAAUUUAAGUUCAAUUAAUCAUAUUACUUAAGAACUCCCACUUAGACAGACAUCUCUCUAGUUAUCUAAGUGAUCGCGUGAUCCAAAUCAACUAAACCAUAACCGAUCAUCACGUGAGAUGGAAUAGUUUUCAAUGGUGAACAUCUUAUGUUGAUCAUAUCUACUAUAUGAUUCACGCUCGACCUUUCGGUCUCCGUGUUCCGAGGCCAUAUCUGCAUAUGCUAGGCUCGUCAAGUAUAACCUGAGUAUUCUGCGUGUGCAAAAACUGGCUUGCACCCGUUGUAGAUGGACGUAGAGCUUAUCACACCCGAUCAUCACGUGGUGUCUCGGCACGACGAACUUUGGCAACGGUGCAUACUCGGGGAGAACACUACUUGAUAAUUUUAGUGAGAGAUCAUCUUAAAAUGCUACCGUCAAUCAAAGCAAGAUAAGAUGCAUAAAGGAUAAACAUCACAUGCAAUUAAUAUAGGUGAUAUGAUAUGGCCAUCAUCAUCAUCUUGUGCUUGUGAUCUCCAUCUCCGAAGCACCGUCGUGAUCACCAUCGUUACCGGCGUGACACCUUGAUCUCCAUCGUAGCAUCGUUGUUGUUUACGCCAUCUAUUGCUUCUACGACUAUCGCUACCGCUUAGUGAUAAAGUAAAGCAAUUACAGGGCGUUUGCAUUUCAUACAAUAAAGCGACAACCAUAUGGCUCCAGCCAGUUGCCGAUAACUUCGGUUACAAAACAUGAUCAUCUCAUACAAUAAAAUAUAGCAUCACGUCUUGACCAUAUCACAUCACAACAUGCCCUGCAAAAACAAGUUAGACGUCCUCUACUUUGUUGUUGCAAAUUUUACGUGGCUGCUACGGGCUUAAGCAAGAACCAAUCUCACCUACGCAUCAAAACCACAACGAUACUUCGUCAAAUAGACUCCGUUUUAACCUUCUCAAGGACCGGGCAUAGCCAUACUCGGUUCAACUAAAGUGAGAGAGACAGACACCCGCCAGUCACCUUUAAGCACGAGUGCUCGUAACGGUGAAACCAGUCUCGCGUAAGCGUACGCGUAAUGUCGGUCCGGGCCGCUUCAUCUCACAAUACCGCUGAACCAAAAUAUGACAUGCUGGUAGGUAGUAUGACUUGUAUCGCCCACAACUCACUUGUGUUCUACUCGUGCAAAAACAUCAAACCAUAAAAACCUAGGCUCGGAUGCCACUGUUGGGGAACGUAGUAAUUUCAAAAAAAUUCCUACGCACACGCAAGAUCAUGGUGAUGCAUAGCAACGAGAGGGGAGAGUGUUGUCUACGUACCCUCGUAGACCGAAGCGGAAGCGAUCACAACGUAGAGGAAGUAGUUGUACGUUCUCCUCGCGAUCCAACCGAUCCCAGCGCCGUUACUCCGGCGCCUCCGAGUUCUUGACACACGUACAGCUCGGUGACGCUCCUCGGGCUCCAUUCCAGUAGAGCUUCGGGGAGGGAGAGUUCCGUCAGCAUGACGGCGUGGUGACGAUCUUGAUGUUCUACCGACGCAGGGCUUCGCCUAAGCACCGCUACGAUAUGACCGAGGUGGAUUAUGGUGGAGGGGGGCACCGCACACGGCUAAGGAACGAUCUCAAGGAUCAACUUGUGUGUUCUAGGGUGCCCCCCUGCCCCCGUAUAUAAAGGAGCAAGGGGGAGGCCGGCCGGCCCUAGGAGGUGCGCCAAGGGAGGGGGGAGUCCUCCUCCUAGUGGGAGUAGGACUCCCCUUUCCUAGUCCAACUAGGAAGGAGGAAGGGGGAAGGAAGGAGAGGGAGAGGGAGAGGGAAAGGGGGGCGCGCCCCCCCCCCUCCUUGACCUAUUCGGACUCCCUUGGGGGGGGGGGGCGCGCCACCACCUGGUGCGGCCCUCUCUCUCCCCUCUUGGCCCACUAAGGCCCAUAACUUCCCCGGGGGGUUCCGGUAACCCCUCCGGCACUCCGGUUUUCUCCGGAAACUUCCGGAACCUUUCCGGUGUCCGAAUAUAGCCGUCCAAUAUAUCAAUCUUUAUGUCUCGACCAUUUCGAGACUCCUCGUCAUGUCCGUGAUCACAUCCGGGACUCCGAACUCCUUCGGUACAUCAAAAUACACAAACUCAUAAUAUAACCGUCAUCGAAACCUUAAGCGUGCGAACCCUACGGUUCGAGAACAAUGUAGACAUGACCGAGACACGUCUCUGGUCAAUAACCAAUAGCGGGACCUGGAUGCCCAUAUUGGUUCCUACAUAUUCUACGAAGAUCUUUAUCGGCCAGACUGCAUAACAACAUACGUUGUUCCCUUUGUCAUCGGUAUGUUACUUGCCCGAGAUUCGAUCGUCGGUAUCCAAUACCUAGUUCAAUCUCGUUACCGGCAAGUCUCUUUACUCGUUCCGUAAUACAUCAUCUCACAGCUAACUCAUUAGUUGUAAUGCUUGCAAGGCUUAAGUGAUGUGUAUUACCGAGAGGGCCCAGAGAUACCUCUCCGACAAUCGGAGUGACAAAACCUAAUCUCGAAAUACGCCAACCCUACAUCUGCCUUUGGAGACACCUGUAGUACUCCUUUAUAAUCACCCAGUUACGUUGUGACGUUUGGUAGUACCCAAAGUGUUCCUCCGGUAAACGGGAGUUGCAUAAUCUCAUAGUUAUAGGAACAUGUAUAAGUCACGGAUAAAAGCAGUAGCAACAUACUAAACGAUCGUGUGCUAAGCUAAUGGAAUGGGUCAUGUCAAUCAGAUCAUUCAACUAAUGAUGUGACCUUGUUAAUCAAAUAACAACCCUUUGUUCAUGGUUAGGAAACAUAACCAUCUUUGAUUAACAAGCUAGUCUAGUAGAGGCAUACUAGUGACACUCUGUUUGUUUAUACAUUCACACAUGUAUUAUGUUUCCGGUUUAAUACAAUUCUAGCAUAAAUGAUAAACAUUUAUCAUGAAAUAAGGAAAUAAAUAAUAACUUUAUUAUUGCCUCUAGGGCAUAUUUCCUUCAGUGGCCACCCGAAUGACGACCACCGUGAGAGCCUGUGCCAAUUUCAGGGCUGGUCCUGAUAUUUUGGGGCCCAGGGCGAAACUAGAUUCAUGGGGCUUCAUAAUAUAUAGACAUGAAACCAGUAUCCGUAUGAAUGAAAUGUUUACGAUAAACGCUUAAAGUGCAUCUAAAAGUGAUGUAAUUUGCAUCAAAUUGGAAGAAAGAAUUAGUAAUUGCAAUAUAGCGUAAGUGUACAAAGGCAAUAGAUCAAAUCAAUACAUACUUGAAGUGAAAGCGCGCUUUGCUGCGCCGAGAUAUCAGAGAGGAUCGACAUGCCAAGAAAUCAAAAUCUUGGUCUAUAUUAGCUUUGUUUACUGUUCAAAUACGAGCGCUGAUGAAGCUUGUUCAAAGUGGAUUACACUAGAAAAUAGUUUCAUGAUGAUCAAUUGCAACCCGCAAAAUUACUUUUCUCAAGCAAACAUGAUGCAAUGCAAUAAAAAUGUGAGAGACAAUAAACAAGCAAUCCCCUCACAUGUGAUACAUAUACUUAUGUUGAUAAGAAAACAGUAUCCACACAAAUUUCUAACAAUGCACAACGCAAUCAAUAUGUGAUACAUUGUACUUCCGAAUAACUUAAAUUCUUAAUGACAAAGUACAUUGUAUCUAAUAUCAAAUAUGUGAGACACACCCUAGCCAGAGCGUAGUUAGCACAAAGAGUGGUUAUCAGCUUCUAUCUACACGAUAUUGCAAUUGUCGCAUUUUGCGAUAGUCCGCCAAGCUGCAUUUUCUAAACACAAUGUUUGUAUUAAUGCAUAUGAUCACGUAUAAUCAUGCUAAUGGACCAUGAAUUAUUCAACAAAAUCGAGGCAUAUAGUUACUUGAUCAUUGAGAACACCUACAUGCUUCGAGUUCGAAUCAGUAUAGUAAACAUGCUAUGGGGGUAAUAUGCCUUAAAAUUGUUCUGCUAUUAAUUCAAUUCCAAAAUUUUGUUUUCCAAAUAGGCUCUAUAAUAGAAAUGACUUAAAUUUAUGAUGAUGUAAAAUUCAAAAUUAAAUGAUUAUACAAUGUUCUUCUCAUGAAUACUAAACCAUGUUAGCUGCCCCAAAUCCUAACAUUUUGUUUGAAUCUAGUAGGGCCAAUAAAUGAAGCAUUAGAGCCCAGACUAUGUUUUAUGCUCUAUAAUGAAAUGUCAGGAUCAAUUCUACCAUACAUAUACUGCUUACAAUAAAUUCAUUGUUAUGGUAGUAUGAACCCAACAUUACAUAAUUAGACACACAAAUGACUUAUCCAAUUAAAAGAGCUUUGGAAAAUGAACUAUAAUCAGAUAUUGACAUGUACUAAUCUCCAGAAUCUCCAGUCUAACAUUCAUCAAAUGGUUGAUCAUUGACAUAGGGAUGUAGGUUAAACAGGGUAGAAAAGUUCAGUUAAUUAAUUAAAGUUCAUUUUUUGCAAGAUAGUUGACAUACAAAUACUAAUGAUUAUUAAAACAUGAAUUUUAUGUGACCUGAAUUAUAGAUGAUAGGAAAAUACUAAUCUUAGAAGAUUAGAUGAUAGACAAAUACUAAUGGUUGAAGUUCAGUUAAUCCAAGGUACUUUAAUCAUUAAAUGAACGAAAUAUGUAUGUGGCAACCUUGUGGCAGAUUGCAAAACUGUCACACGAUCUCAUUAUAUAUAUGUAUAUAUCACAAUAUUUUGAAUUAUAUAUAUACAAAAGUAAAAAAAGUGAAGAGAAAACGAGAAAGCACACAUGACGCCAGCCAAGCGGGGCACCUGGUUACUGGGCUGACGCGGUUCCGGCUCCUGCAGGCGAGCCGUGCCUAGGUAUCGCAGCAGGCGGCACAUAGGCGCACCCUCUGAAAUCUCUCCCUGCCAUGCGAUGCGACCGAAUUCUUAAUCUCCUUUUCUCGCCUACUCGUGUGCGUCGUCUCAACACUCAAGUCACCGAUCCAAAAGGAGAACGGCCACACACGAUUCCAGGCUAAUUGGGAGAACCGGAGAAGAGACCUGACGAUGAGAUACCACUGGCUGCUAUAUCCAAUCGAUCAGGUAAACUGUCAAACACUUUGCUUGAUCAGAAAACUUAAAAUCAGAAAAUCAACAUGGAUUUUGGCUGAUUGUACGCGGUAAUAAUCCUUCAACUUUCUGCUGCUAGAUAGCACACACAGUCAAUUUUUUGGCAUAAUUUGUUUCCUUCAGUGGUUUCCUUUGAUUAUAUCUGAUGUGAGGUGUAACUCUACCAGAUUGUUUCUUCAUUGUUGCAAAGGAUCAUUCAUAAACAAUACACUGGAUAUUUAUUAGGGGUAGCUAUUAUUGAGAAUUUUCAUUUUUGAGUUUGACGUGAUAAUCAUCAAUCUUCUAACUCUCUACGGGGAUUGAAGCUCCCUAGGGGUGGGGUGGGAGCGUUCUCGUUCAAUUCUGUAAGGCAGGCUGACUUUUGUCUUAAUGUGUUCCAAAGCUUGUGUAAGCAAGAUGCUAACCUACAGAGCAUUCUUUGGAGGAACACACCUAUGUGAGCCCGACUGCUGGUCACAGUUUAUGAGAUUGGGUGAUCUCUAGGAAGCUCAUGAGAAGGUACGGAGUAUGACUAAUAAGCUUCACCUGUGGGGUUUAGCCUUCGGCAGCCAAGUAUCAGCUGGCGAUGGGGGAAACUUCUACACAUCAAACUGACAAUUCAAGGCAUAGUCCAUUGUUCAGUUGUGAAGAAGUCUAAUCUCAUUGCUCUAGUUGAAAGUUCAACUUAACAGUCUCCACUGAAAAUUCUGGUAUAUCAAACAUUGGUUGGAAUAGUUGACAAACUUAUGUGCCUCGAGAUCUGGUGGGAGAUUGUUGGAUCAUGGAUGGGCUUAGGCCCAUAUAAGACAAUAAUCCUUGGUUAAUCCCUAAGGCCCAUGCAUGUAUACGACAAGUGGCGGGAAGUGUGGGAAGUUUAGUACCAUACUGCUAUAGUAAGAAGAGUGAUACCUCUUUAUAAGGGCUGCUCCAUCACUUGCUAUUGGGAGCUUGGGAAUAGGAGUUGUACACACGCGCUCCUCCUCCUCGGCCGCCCGCCUCGCCUUGUCACGACCCGUGCGCGCGCCGCGGGUUGCGGGAAUAAGCCGAGCCAAAGCUUAUUUUUGUCGCUCAGGAAUGGUUAAUUAAUUGUUAAUUAAUUAAUGAGUCGCUUACGAAAGCGCCACUAUUCGAGACGUUGGACCGUGGGCUGUUCGCGGACUCAGUCGUGGGCCUGGCUAGGCCCAUCUACCCGACAGCCUAUAUAAAAAAGCGCUGGCCAGUGCCCUAACUCAGUUCACUCACUCCCUUCGUACAACCCUAGUCGUCAUCUACUGUUCCUCUCUCGGUGCUGCUUCCGGCGAGCCCAUCCUGGCGAUCGCGUGCACGGUUGGUCAGGAGAGCAGCUGCCACUGGAACCCUGUCGUUCGAGAUCCUACCCGGGAGAACGACAAUAAGGCUUUUGGGGAGCGUCUCAACGCGACUGCUCCCGAUUCGUCCCCAGCUUCGUCCGCCUCUGCUUCCACUACUUCCCCUGCAUCAACACCAUGGCCAACGCCGCCGCCGCCAAGAAGAAGGCCACGGAUGAAGCCAAGGCUGCUGCUGCCGUCGCCGCGUUGGCCUGGCCAACCGGAGGGUAUGAUCUGUUCAUCCCUCAUUUACUGGUGCUUGUGCUAGCCAUAUAUGUGCUGCUCAUAGAUGGUUUGCUUCUAUACUCUGUAUGUGCUAGUAUGCUUAAUAAUCGGUAUGAGAUGCAUACCGUGUUUGUCAUGCUUACUGUUUACUUGUGGAUUAGUCUAAUUGGAGAAGUGCUAAUAUUUUUAACAAUCCAAAAACCUUAUUUUAGGCACUUUCCGAUUCAAGGAUUUGCUGCGACAAUGAAACAGGAAAAGUUUACUGGGAUGCAUUUUAAGUGUUGGCAGACAAGGACCACCUUGUGGCUCACAGCAAUGAGCGUGUUCUGGGUUGGUGAUGUGUCUCCCACAUAAACGAUUGUUUCUGAACAGGAAAAGGCGUUUAGGGAGGCAACCACCAUCUUUGUGGGAGCCGUUCUUACUGUGAUCGGAGACAAGUUGGUUGACGCAUAUCUCCAUACGCGCGUUGCCAAAAACUAGUGGGAUGCGCUCGAAGCUAAGUUCAGCGCUACCGAUGCUGGGAGCGAACUGUAUGCCAUGGAGCAGUUCCAUGAUUACAGGAUGGUUGAUAACCGCUCUGUAUUGGACCAGGCUCAUGAGGUACAGUGCAUCGCUAAGGAGCUGGAGCUCCUGAAGUGUGAGUUACCGGACAAAUUUGUCGCGGGUUGCAUUAUUGCAAAACUCCCUCCUGGAUGAACUUUGCUACUUCUCUCAAGCACAUGAGAAACGAAUUCUCUAUCGAGGAUGUCAUCGUUCAUCUCAGUGUUGAGCAGAAGAAUUUCCACAAGUUCAAGGGAAAGAACUAUGUCUAGCAGAAUACUACCUUUAAGAAGAAGGGUAAGAAGAAAGACAAAAAGAGAGAUGGCUACUUUAUUUGUGGUUCAGAGGAACACUGGGCAAACAAGUGCCCAAACAAGUACAAGAAGUUAGGACAGGACUCCAAGUCUAUCAAUGUCACUCUGAGCAACAAUGACACGACAUCUUGGUAUGGUAAUCUGUUUACCAUACUUUUAGUUUGUCAUUCCACAGAUUGGCGGGUUGACACUGGGGCCAAUAUUCAUGUGUGUGCUGAUGUGUCUUUGUUUUCUUCUUACCAGGCCGCACUAGAUUGUUCCAUGCUGAUGGGGAAUGGCUCGCAUGCUUCUGUUUAUGGUGUUGGCACGGUAGAUCUAAAGUUUACUUUGGGAAAGAUCGUGCAACUGAAGAACGUGCAACAUGUCCCCGCCAUCAAGAAGAAUCUCGUUAGUGGCUCCCUUCUAUGUAAAGAAGGGUUUAAGUUAGUAUUUGAGUCUAUCAAAGUAGUCGUAUCUCGGUAUGGACUAUUUGUUGGAAAAGGAUAUGAUUGUGGUGGUUUGUUCCGCCUUUCCCUGGAGGAUUUCUGUAAUAAAGUCGUGAACCAAAUUCAUUUUAAUGUGAAUGAAUCUGAGGUUUGGCAUUCACGUCUUUGUCACAUAAAUUUUGGUUGUAUGACGCGGCUAGCUAAGAUGGACUUAAUCCCGAGUUUCACUUUAGCCAAAGGCUCUAAGUGCCAUGCGUGUGUGCAAGCUAAGCAACCUUGUAAGCCUAACAACCUUGCGAAGGAGAGACACCUGGCACCAUUAGAGCUCAUACAUUCAGAUCUCUGUGAGAUGAAUGGUGUGUUGACUAAAGGUGGAAAGAAAUACUUCAUGGCUCUGAUUGAUGAUUCCAUUAGAUUCUGCUAUGUGUAUUUGUUAAAUACUAAGGAUGAGGCUCUACACUACUUUAAAGUCUAUAAGGCUGAAGUUAAGAACCAACUUGAGAAGAAAAUAAAACGAGUCCGGUCUGAUCGUGGUGAAGAGUAAUUUUCUAAUGACUUUGAUUUAUUCUGUGCGAAACAUGGUAUUAUUCAUGAGAGGACGCCUCCCUACUCACCCCAGUCAAACAGGGUUGCCGAACGGAACAAAUAUACUCUAAUUGAUUUGGUUAACGCCAUGUUAGAUACAUCGGGUUUAUCCAAGGCAUGGUGGGGGAGGCUGUAUUGACAUUAUGUCAUGUCCUGAAUAAAGUUCCCACAAAGGAUAAUGAAACUACUCCCUAUGAGCAAUGGGAAAAGAAAAGAACUACACUCUCUUACUUACGCACUUGGGGCUGCUUGGCGAAAGUCAAUGUGCCAAUAAACAAAAAGCACAAUUUGGGACCAAAGACUGUGGAUUGCGUCUUUCUUGGCUAUGCCAAGCAUAGCGUUGGCUAUAGAUUUCUAGUGGUAAAAUAUGAUGCACAAGACGUGAAGGUCAGUACAAUCAUGGAGUCUAGGGAUGCUACAUUCUUUGAGGAUAUUUUCCCCAUGAGAGAUAUGCAAAGCACUUCUAGACUGGAAUCUGAUGAGACUCCUGAUCCUGCCAUUCCGAUGGAAUAAUAUGAACAUAAAAGUGAUGAGAGUUCCACCAAGGAUGACGAGGAAGCUCAUGUUAGGAGCAAGAGACAAAGGACUGCAAAGUUUUUUGGUGAUGAUUUCCUCGUGUACCGCGUGGAUGAUGACACUCCCAGUUCCAUUUCAGAAGCUUAUGCAUCUCUGGAUGCUGACUACUGGAAGGAUGCGGUCCGUAGCGAGAUGGAUUCCAUCUUGGCUAAUGGGACAUGAGAGAUCACUCAUCGUCCUUAUGGUUGUAAACCAUUGGGAUGUAAAUGGGUGUUUGCUAAGUCUUGAGCUUGCGUUGGUUUUCCUUGAAGAGGAAAGGGUGAUGCAUCAAUAGUAGCGUAAAUAUUUCCCUCAGUUUUUGAGAACCAAGAUAUCAAUACAGUAGGAGGCUCCUCAAAAGUCCCAUGCACCUACACAAACAAACAAGAACUCCCAACCAACACAAUAAAGGGGUUGUCAAUCCCUUCAUGGCCACUUGCGAAAGUGAGAUCUGAUAGAGAUAGUAUGAUAAGAUAAAUAUAUUUUUGAUAUUUUAUAAUAUAGAUAGGAAAAGUAAAGAUGCAAAUAAAAGUAGAUUGAAAUCUUAUAUGAUAAAAGAUAGACCCGGGGGCCAUAGGUUUCACUAGUGGCUUCUCUCAAGAUAGCAUAAGUAUUACGGUGGGUGAACUAAUUACUGUCGAGCAAUUGAUAGAAAAGCGAAUAAUUAUGAGAUUAUCUAGGCAUGAUCAUGUAUAUAGGCAUCACGUCCGUGACAAGUAGACCGACUCCUGCCUGCAUCUACUACUAUUACUCCACACUUCGACCGCUAUCCAACAUGCAUCUAGAGUAUUAAGUUCAUAAAGAACAGAGUAACGCAUUAAGAAAGAUAACAUGAUGUAGAGGGAUAAACUCAUGCAAUAUGAUAUAAACCCCAUCUUUUUAUCCUCGAUGGCAACAAUACAAUACGUGCCUUGCUGCCGCUGCUAUCACUAGGAAAGGACACCGCAAGAUUGAACCCAAAGCUAAGCACUUCUCCCACUGCAAGAAAGAUCAAUCUAGUAGGCCAAACCAAACUGAUAAUUCAAAGAGACUUGCAAAGAUAACUUAAUCACACAUAAAAGAAUUCAGAGGAGAUUGAAAUAUUUCUCAUAGAUAAACUUGAUCGUAAACCCACAAUUCAAUGGAUCUCGACAAACACACCGCAAAAAGAGUUACUUCGAAUAGAUCUCCAAGAAGAUCGAGGAGAACAUGGUAUUGAGAUUCAAAGAGAGAGAAGAAGCCAUCUAGCUAAUAACUAUAGACCCGAAGGUCUGUGGUAAACUACUCACAACUCAUCGGAGAGGCCUUGGAGAUGAUGUAGAGGCCCUCCGUGAUCGAUUCCCCCUCCGACGGAGCGCCGGCGAAGGCUGCAAGAUGGGAUCUCGCAGAUACAGAAGGUUGCAGCGGUAGAAUUAGGUUUCCGUGGUUUGUUCUGAUGUUCUCGGGGUACGUGGGUAUAUAUAGGAGGAAGAAGUAGGUCGGUGGACGCCCGAGGGGCCCACAAGAUAGGGGGCACGCCCAGUAGGGGCGGGGGGCGCCCUCCACCCUCGUGGUCGUCUCGGCUGUUGCUUGACUUCCACUCCAAAUCCUCUGGAUCACGUUCGUUCCAAAAAUCAUGCUCGCGAAGGUUUCAUUCCGUUUGGACUCCGUUUGAUAUUCCUUUUCUUCGAAACACUGAAAUAGUUAAAAAAAACAGCAAUACGGGUUGGGCCUCCGGUUAGUAGGUUAGUCCCAAAAAUGAUAUAAAAGUGUAAAGUAAAGCCCAUAAACAUCCAAAACGGGUAAUAUAAUAGCAUGGAACAAUCAGAAAUUAUAGAUACGUUGGAGACGUAUCAAGCACCCCCAAGCUUAAUUCCUGCUCGUCCUCGAGUAGGUAAAUGAUAAAAACAGAAUUUUUGAUCUGGAAUGCUACCUAGCAUAAUUCUCAAUGUAAUUUUCUUUAUUGUGGCAUGAAUGUUCAGAUCCAAAUGAUUCAAAAUAAAAGUUCAUAUUGACAUAAGAAAUAGUAAUACUUCAAGCAUACUAAUCAAAGCAAUCAUGUCUUCUCAAAAUAACAUGGCUAAAGAAAGUUAUCCCUACAAAAUCAUAUUGUCUGGUUGUUGCUCUAUCUUCAUCACACAAAUUAUUUAAUCAAGCACAACCCCGAUGACAAGCCAAGCAAUUGUUUCAUACUUUAGUAAUCUCAAAAAAUUUCAACUUUCACGCAAUACAUGAGCGUGAGCCAUGGACAUAGCACUUUAUGUGGAAUAGAAUGGUGGUUGUGGAGAAGACAAAAAAGGAGGAAGAUAGUCUCACAUCAACUAGGCGUAUCAACGGGCUAUGGAGAUGCCCAUUAAUAGAUAUCAAUGUGAGUGAGUAGGGAUUUCCAUGCAACGGAUGCACUAGAGCUAUAUGAAAGCUCAACAAAAGAAACUAAGUGGGUGUGCAUCCAACUCGCUUGCUCACGAAGACCUAGGGCAUUUUGAGGAAGCCCAUCAUUGGAAUAUACAAGCUAAGUUCUAUAAUGAAAAUUCUCACUAGUAAAUGAAAGUGACAACAUAGGAGACUCUCUAUCAUGAAGAUCAUGGUGCUACUUUGAAGCACAAGUGUGGUAAAAGGAUUGUAGCUUUGUCCCAUCUCUAUUUUUCUCUCAUUUUUUGGCCUUUAUUUUUUUAUUUGGCCUUCCUCUUCUUUUUUUUUAAAGUCCGAAGUCUCAUCCCGACUUGUGGGGGAAUCAUAGUCUCCAUCAUCCUUUCCUCACUGGGACAAUGUUGUAAUAAUGAAGAUCAUCACACUUUUAUUUACUUACAACUCAAGAUUACAACUCAAUACUUAGAACAACAUAUGACUAUAUAUCACUACUAGGGAAAUGCCUAGCAGCAGCGUGGGUUUUGGGCCUCUCGGUAGCGCGGGGACCGGCGCUACUAAUAAGGCGCUACAGCUAACGUAUAUCAGUAGUGCCUGUUGUCCCACGCUACUGCUAUACAUGAAUAGCUGUAGCGCUCUUUAGAAAAGGGCGCUGCUGAUAUUAUCUGCAGCGUUGUUUACAGGGAAGCGCUACUGGUAAGGCGGCGCUACUGCUAAAUUUCCCCCCCUCGCUACUACUAGUUUUAUUAGUUUUUUUCCCUGCAUAUUUGUUUUGUAUUUGAAUAGGCUUUAUACAAUAAUAUUUAGCAUAUCAUACACAUACAAAUGUAAUCAUACCAUAUACAUACAAUUAGUCUCAUCAAAUCAUGUCAUCAUCAUAAUCAUCAUCCAACACAAAGUGGUCUCUCGUCAUCAUCUCGAAAAUAGCGAUACAAGUCUCGAUUACUUGCAAAUACAUCGUCAUCCAUCUAAACAAUGAUAUACGCGAGAAGAGCUAUCACUUUGAGUACAUGAGUUCGUAUCCCUCUUUCGCAUUAGCGUGAACCUAAACUAACUACUGCCUGUCGCUCGGAAACCGGAAACCGGUACACCUGGGCCUGACACUCUGGCCACUUAUCGUAUAUAUACUCCUGGCGUAGCACUUCUUCGCCAUCUAUGAUCUAUGCACCUGCAUCGUCACAUGAGUCGAUGAUAUGCAACAUAUAUAGUUGAGCAACAGAAAGAGACAGACUUGGCAAAAAUAGAAACAACAUAUCAUAAGCAUAAAUAAGAAAGUUCAUCGCACCCAAAAUGCCCUAACUAGAGUGAUUUUCGCUAGUCGAGGAGGAGGACGGUUUAAUUACAUCACAAAUAAAGUUUCACCAUGCAUAACUCAAAGUUUUGUCAUACAGAAAGUAUGGACUAAACGGACACAUUGUCAUAUAUCGACAAUCACUCCACCAUGUCGUGCCAUCCAUCCAUGUCAGGGAGAUAGUCCUCGAGCUUAGUGAAAGGCUUCAUGUCGAGACGCUGAGAGGCUAUCCAUGUUCGGACAUCUUCCCGCGACAUUUGUCCUUCUCCGUAGAACAUCCCUGUUUUUCCGACGACCUCCUUCAUGAUGAUUUGGGCAAGUUCGCGCUGGAUGUUAUAGAACUCAGCUCGAAGUCGAUGAUCCUCGAUAUCUCCUAUGUCCUUUGCCCAUUGUAGAAUAUGGGCAUCGCCAGAUCUAGGUGACAUGCGAAGGUUCUGGUGAUCCCGUCUAUACUCCAGCAUGUGGUGUAGGACAUAGAAUCCAUCAUUAAGAGAAUCGUUCGGUUGCUGGAUGCAGCAGAAGUCGGUCUUAUGGCUGAAGGCGACCCUGCCGCCCCUUCUCUUCUUGUCCCUAACCUCUCCACCCCUUGCUUGGUAGUAAAACAUAGCACUGUCGAGAACAUCUUUGAUGUGGGUGUAAUCCUUUUUGUGAAUGUUCUUCGACGAGUCCAAGUAAAGAGCGUGGGAGAAUCUGGGGUAGAGGAUGAUGAGGACGGCGCGCCCGCCGCUGCGCAAAAUAAGUACACCUCAAAUUAAUUAGCCUCCACCGUGCAAAUGAAUUAUUGAAAUUGAAGGAAGGAUAGCAGCGCGGAUGACUUACACGGGAUGAUAAGGCACGAGAAUCGCCUCCUUGUCCUUAUUGGCGAGCAUGAAACUGACGAUGUAAUCCCUCGCGUAUUCACCGUGCUUUGCGCAGACUCCCAAGAAGCCCUCGUGUAUGUAGUACGGGUCAGCGACACAGAUAUGAGAUAUCUGCUCAACCCCGAUGAUGUAGUUCAUGUGCAAGGCAUAAAGGCAGACAAACGUAAAAUCCAGCUUCUUCACGUGAAACAUGCCGAAUAUGUAAUCGAAUCGGAGGAAGAACUUAUCCGUGGGGAAGCUGUCGACGUACGACAUUUCCCACGGAACGUUAACCACGUAGAGUGGGUAUCCUAGAUCUUUCGAGGCGAUGAGGCCUUUCUCUACCCGCAGCACAUCGUCAUGAAGUCUCCUUAGAUCGCCGAAUCUGGCCCGUAGCGCUAUUGCAGGUAGGAUUGGUUGACUGGGGAUAUGCCAUUUAUCCGCAUCGGGGAUAUUUAUACGGUCCUGAAGCCGAGGCUGCUGAGGCGGCUGGAUCAUAGAAUCAGCUUUUUUGCCUUUCCUCGCUCUCUUCCUAGACUUCUCUACUACCGGAAGGUCGUCCAUAAUACGUUGAGACGGUAAUUCAGGCACCGACUCAUGACGCUCAAACCCUGAGGAGGCGCCAGUAUAGACAUACUGUUCAGCGCCAUCGUCAUCCUCAUCCUCAUCCAUGGCGACAUCAUCAGCGACUAAUGGAGCCUCCUCCUUACCCCGUCCGCUAUCAGCCAACCCGACACCCGACGCUAAUUGGGUAGGUGGGGUGUUGAUGUUCAUACCUUCCUAAGGCUGCGUGCUCGUGGGUGUGCUCCCGGCUGCCCGAUGCAGACUCUUUGGACACAAUAGGACCCACCCAUUGAAACAAUCACCAAGCCGCCGCGGGGUCUCGUCGUCAUCCCCCACUAGUAUUAGAGGAGGAAAAUUCUCGUGGCCCGGUUUGACACUGGCCACGGAAACCUUGAAGACGUUCGGGGGGAUCGGCCGGCUGUGGAACAAUGGUUCCUUCGGCUCCAUUAUCGUCGCCUUCCCCACGUCCACCUUCUGGUCGCCGAUGGUGUACAAUAUGGUGCACGGGGUUUCAUCGGCCUACAAAGAAAAGUCUGCGACGUGAGACAUCCGAAAGGCAACGAAAACGAGAGAUUAUACAUUUAUAUUGAAGGGGCCUGGUGUGACAGAUACCGUGAGGGCGUCGAGCUCAGCCAAAGAUGAGGCACCACCGAGCACGUCCGGUACGGGAGUCGGUGCGGGAGCAGGUGCGGGAGCCGGUGCGGGAGCAGGUGCUCCCAAGAAGUCAGCAAGGGGAAAGUCCUCUGCAUUUUUUUCUGGAUUUUGCCUUGUCCAAGUGAAAACGCCCGUCACCAAGGAAGUAGACAAAUAUGCGACCACCUGUUUUGCGGCAGCUACCGCUGUUGCGACUGUCUGAGAUGAUUUCUUCUCAACCGCAAUCUCAACCUUCUUGUCUCACGGUAGUACUUCUUCCACGUGGCGCCGUCUCCGACACCGUGCACGCGUCCAUACGACGGUCGAGUAUCCACCAAUUGUCGUUUCAAUAUGUUCAACGCCCAGUUGAAUGGAGUGUCCCACUUGGGCCUGACCAAUGCCUCAGGCGGUGAGUCGCUUUCGACCGCAAUCCGGUGCUGCUCUCUCUGCAAAAGGCACAAGGAUCAUUUACAAAUAUGACUAACGUGUGCAGUCGAAUUGAUCAGAAACUAAAAUUACCAGCAGUCACAUGAACUCCGUAAUGACUGGUGUUGUCUCGUAAACCUUCUUCACUGGGUCCCAACGGUGCUGGGCCCUCAGGACGUCACACUCCUGUGGGACGGUGAAAUCCGCCAAGGGGUCUGGGAUGCCCAGACUCGCGGCUUCCGCGUCCUCCUUGGCCCAUUUGGACCUCUUUCCGCCGUAACCACGGCUUCCGAGGUGGUGGCUCCCAAUGUUCCUCUCUUGAAGCCCCUUCAUGUACUUAGACUUUUUUUUGGCAGCUUAGGCCUCGCAAGCCUCCUUGAAUAUUUGAAACUGCUCUUUCGUGGUUGUCGGAUUAUCCUUUACAAUCUCGGAGUAGGGUUCCUUCUUGUCGAUGAUCCUUGCUUUCACUCGAGUUUUCCAGGCGGCCAACGCGUCGCUAAACUUGGUCAUGGCGUGUUUGUUUAUCUUCUUCAUUACCGGGUCCUCGUUUGGAUCUUCAUAAUCCUUCUCAUUCCGGCCCGGGAACAAGAAUAUCUGGUGAAACUUCUUUAGGAGGGAGCUCCUCAUAUUUUCUAUCUUCUGUAGUUUCUCAUCAUUGAUGGUGGUGGUUGUCCGUACGAUGCAGCCUAUUUGAUUGCCGUAGCACGCGCGUGCUUCCUCGGGCACCUUUGGCUCAAAAUUGCCAUCGUCCACCUCCGUGACCACCAGUCUAGUAGUCCUGAGUUUGUUAGGAAUCCGUUGCCUCUUUGCUUUCGGUUCUACACCGGCUCCGCUCCCCGAGGCAGCACCGGUCUCAGUCUCAGCGCCGGUCUCGAUGCCGGUCUGAGUCUCAGCGCCGGUCUCAGUCUCAGCACCUGUCUGCGUGUCGGUCUCAGUCCCGGAUGCCACCGGUGGGCCCAGCAACAACAUCGGUUGUUCGUCGGUAAGGCUAAAAAAUUCGUCUGCCGCCCUGUAGACGUCGUCGCAAUCACCAGAACCCUGUCCUUCACCGUUGCUAGCCAUGUUUCCUAUGAUUAAAUCUAGUCAAUUAAUUCUAGACCUAAUAAAAUGAAUAAUGACAUAAAAAAGGCCUAUUGUUUUGCAGGAAUGUUGAGUCCUUCUUGUGCGGCAAAUCCCGGGCACUCGAUAUGUCCUAGUUUGUAGCACAAGUCAUGCCGAAAUUCACGGAAAAUUUCGGCAUGACCUUUGCUAAAAAGUGGACAAAUCGAGAACCUGAAAUUUGCCGGAACAGAAAUAAAUCAACAUUCCGGCAAAACAUAGGCCACUCAGCAUCAUUUCCUGGAAACAGUGUUCAAAUAUCCCUCUUCGACACCGCAACACAUGUUCAAAUAUACACGAGCAACCACAUGUCCAAAUUUCACAAGCUAAUUCAAAAACAAAGUGUAGAAGAAAAUUCAUUUAACUACUAAUAGAACAAAAUUCAGUUAACUUUAGUGCUCUAUAAUGAUGAAAGGAAAAAAAAUUCAGUUAACUACUAAUUUCAUUCAUUUAGGUUAUUCAUUUAACAUCACCUAAUUAACCUACUGUACCACUACUACUAGCAGCACUACUAACCUAAUUAACCUAGCAAAACUCUAGUGCCCUAACUAAAAAACAUCUAAUUAACAUCUACUAGUACCACUAUUGCCCUAACCUAAUUAACAUCUAUUGGUAUAACUAUAUACUAUACAAGCAACAUCUACCCUAAUUAAACCCUACUGCCCUAACUAACUUUUGUUGUAAACCAAAUUUUUUGCUGUAAACUAAUUUUUGCUCUAACAUCUACUACUUAACAUCCUUUGCUCUAAACUAAAUUUUUUGCUAUAAACAAACUUUUGCUCUACUAAUUUUUCUCUAAAAUGCAGAGAGAGAGGAGUUGGGGGGAGGGGUGGGGGACUUACAGAGAGGGGAGAGAUGGUGGCGGGGAGGUGCUCAGUGACGGAGGCAGGGGCGGAGAGGGCGGGCUUGGGCACGGGCAACGGUGGUCCUGGGCGGGCUCGGACGGCGGUGAGGUGGAGGGCACCGACGGUGGCGUCGAGGGCAGCCUCGGGCGGCGGCGGUGAGGCUGAGGGCGGCCUCGGGCGGCGGUGGUGAGGAUAACGACGGCCUCGGGGGGAGACAGUGAGGUUGCGGGCGUCCACGCCGGCAGGAGACGGCGGCGAAGUGGGGCGAUGGUGAAUUGGGGAGACGGCGGCGAGGGCGAGGGAUUUGGGGAAGAAGUGUGGUGGCCGGGGGGCGGGGGGGGGCACUAUUUAAGUGAAACAUAACGGUAGCGCGUUUCCGAAAACGCGCUAUAGCUAAGUUAGCUACAGCUCGUUUCCUGAAACCCGCUACUGCUAUUCCUUUCUCCUUUUUCCCUCUUUUCUUUUAUUUUUCUUUACAUUUUAUUUUUUUUCCUUUCGCCUUUUUCUAUUUCUUUCAUUUUCAUUUACUUUUCUACUUGUUUUUCACUUUAUUUUAUUUCCGUUAGCAGUAGCGCCUUACACGUAAGUGCGCUACAGCUAAGGAGAGUAGCAGUACCACUGGGCCAGUAUACGCGCUACUGCUAGGUUGGGCUAGCCAUGUGCGCCCAGUUCAAACAUAGCAGCAACGCUUUUUGCUAGUACGCGCUACUGCUAAAGUCAUAGCAGUAGCGCAGUUUAUUUACGCGCGCUGCUACUAAGUAGCAGUAGCGUAUGAUUUUGUACAGCGCUAUUGGUAACAUUCUGUGUAUAAGGUUUUCCCUAGUAGUGUAUGAAUGCCUCCGGCGGUGUACCGGGAUAUGCAAUGAAUCAAGAGUGACAUGUAUGAAAAUUAUGAAGGUGGCAUUGCCACAAAUACGAUGUCAACUAUAUGAUCAUGCAAAGAGCAAUAUGAAAAUAAUGAUGCGUGUCAUAUAAACGGAAUGGUGGAAAGUUGCAUGGCAAUAUAUCUCGGAAUGGCUAUGGAAAUGCCAUAAUAGGUAGGUAUGGUGGCUGUUUUGAGGAAGGUAUAUGGUAGGUGUAUGGUACCGGUGAAAGUUGCGCGGCACAAAAAAGGCUAGCAAUGUUGGAAGGGUGAGAGUGCGUAUAAUCCAUGGACUCAACAUCAGUCAUAAAGAACUCAUGUACUUAUUGCAAAAAUCUACAAGUCAUCAAAAACAAAGUACUACACGCAUGCUCCUAGGGGGAUAGAUUGGUAGGAAAAGACCAUCGUUCGUCCCCGACCGCCACUCAUAAGGAAGACAAUCAAUAAAUAAAAUUGUGCUCCAACAUCAUCACAAAGCGGUUCACCAUACGUGCAUGCUACAGGAAUCACAAACUUCAACACAAGUAUUCUUUAAAUUCAUAAUCACCCAACUAGCAUGACUUUAACAUUACCACCUCUAUAUCUCAAAACAAUUAUCAAGUAUCAAAUUGAUCAUAGCAUCCAAUUCACUUCCUAUGAUAGUUUUUAUUAUACCCAACUUGGAUGCCCAUCAUUCAAGGACCAAAUUUAUAACCAUAGCAAAUACCAUGCUAUUCUAAGAGACUCUCAAAAUAAUAUAAGUGAAGCAUGAGAGAUCAAUAUUUUUUUCAAAAUUAAGCCACCGCCGUGCUCUAAAAGAUAUAAGUGAAGCACUAGAGCAAAAACUAUCAAGCUCAAAAGAUAUAAGUGAAGCACAUAGAGUAUUCUAAUAAAUUUCAAUCAAGUGGGCUUCUCCCAAAAGGUGUGUACAGCAAGAAUGAUUGUGGUAAACUAAAAAGCAAAGACUAAUAUCAUACAAGACGCUCCAAGCAAAACAAAUAUCAUGUGACGAAUAAAAAAUAUAGCUCCAAGUAAAGUUACCGAUAAACAAAGGCGAAAGAGGGGAUGCCUUCCGGGGGCAUCCCCAAGCUUAGGCUUUCUUGAAUAUAUUGGGGUGCCAUGGGCAUCCCCAAGCUUAGGCUCUUGCCACUUCUUAUUACAUAGUCCAUCAAAUCUUUACCCAAAACUUGAAAACUUCACAACACAAAACUCAACAGGAAAUCUCAUAAGCUCCGUUAGUGAAAGAAAGCAAAACCACCACAUCAGGUACUGUAAUUAACACAUUCUUUAUUUAUAUUGGUGUUAAACCUACUGUAUUUCAACUUCUCUAUGGUUCAUACCACUUAAUACUAGGCAUAGAUGCAUCAAAAUAAGCAAACAACACACGAAAAACAGAAUCUGUCAAAAACAGAGCAGUCUGUAGAAAUCUCUAACUCUCGAAUACUUCUGGAACUCUAAAAAUCCUACAAAAAUAGUAAGCCCUGGUAAAUUUGUCUAUUGAUCUACAUAAAAAAGAAUCAAUGCAAAAUCAUGUUUCUGUGAAUUACUAAAAUUAUUUCCGUGCAUGGAACGUUUCUGUUUUUCAGCAGAAUCAAAUUAACAAUCACCAUAGGUUAUCCUAUAGGUUCUACUUGGCACAAACACUAAUUAAAACAUAAAACACAUCUAAACAUAAGGUAGAUGAAAAAUUUAUUACUAAACAUAAUCAAAAAUAAAAAAACACAAAUAAAAUUGGGUUGCCUCCCAACUAGCGCUACCGUUUAACGCCCCUAGCUUGGCAUAAAAGCGAGGAUAGAUCUAAGUAGUGCCAUCUUUGGCACUCAAUUCUUCAAUAGAGCACUUAUAAUCCUUAGGAGUUUAUUUCUUUUUAGUAAUGAUAAAGCUCUUAGGCAAGAAGUCAAGAAAUUCGUUUGUAGCAAAAGGUUCCUUAAUGAUAGCAAGAAAAUUGGGAUGAACACUUAUCGAUUUGAAAUCGACAUUUCCUUUACUAGAAGAUUCACCCUUAUUUUUAGGAACAUACAUGACCUUGUCAAUUUUGGUAGGAGGUGUUGGGGUAUUUUUUACAGAUGAAAAGGCAUACCCUAAGUUGGUGAUAAUGUCCUCCAGUUUACCAAUUCUUGUAGAAUCAAGAUCUAUUCUUUCAUUAACUAUAGGUUCUUUUUCUUUAAAAAAAUUCAAAGUAACUCCAACCCUAGAUCCAUAUUGGGUAAUUUGAUUGUGUAUCUUUUUAUCCAAAUUUUCAAUUUACUCAACAGUGGCAACUUUAUUUUCAAUGAUUUCAAGCCUUUGCAUCACAUGUUCCAAAGUUAAGACAAUUCCAUUAACCAAAAGAGGGGGUGGACCAAACAAAUCUAACAUGGCAUUAUAAGCAUCAAAAGUGUGGCUACCCAAGAAGUUCCCUCCGGUAAUGGUAUCAAUAAUAUAUCUAUUCCAAGGAGUAAUGCCUACAUAAAAAUUGCAAAGAAGAACGGAAGUGGAUUGCUUCCUAGUAGAUCUAUUUUGAGCAUUGCAAAUUAUAUGCCAAACAUCCUUUAAAUUUUCUCCCUCCCUUUGUUUAAAAUUAAGAACUUCAUGAUCGGGAGCAUUAACGAUAAUAGGAGGACUAGCCAUAGUGACGAGCACACAAAAGGCAAGCGAAAGAGAGAGGAGAUUGGGAAAGAGAGGGCGAAUAAAACGGCAAGGGUGAAGUGGGGGACAGGAAAAUGAGAGGUAAAUGGCAAAUAAUGUAAAUGCAGGGAGAUGAGUUUGUGAUGGGUACAUGGUAUGUCUUGACUUGAGCGAAGACCUCCCCGACAACGGCGCCAGAAAUUCUUCUUGCUAUGUCUUGAGCUUGCUUUGGUUUUCCUUGAAGAGGAAAGUGUGAUGUAGCAAUAGUAGCGUAAGUAUUUCCCUCAAUUUUUGAGAACGAAGGUAUCAAUCCAGUAGGAGGCUCCUCAAAAGUCCCACGCACCUACACAAACAAACAAGAACUCGAAACCAACGCAAUAAAGGGGUUGUCAAUCCCUUCAUGGCCACUUGCGAAAGUGAGAUCUGAUAGAGAUAGUAUGAUAAGAUAAAUAUAUUUUUGGAAGAUGCAAAUAAAAGUAGAUUGAAAGCUUAUAUGAUAAAAGAUAGACCCGGGGGCCAUAGGUUUCACUAGUGGCUUCUCUCAAGAUAGCAUAAGUAUUACGGUGGGUGAACAAAUUACUGUCGAGCAAUUGAUAGAAAAGUGAAUAAUUAUGAGAUUAUCUAGGUAUGAUCAUGUAUAUAGGCAUCACGUUCGUGACAAGUAGACCGACUCCUGCCUGCAUCUACUACUAUUACUCCACACAUCGACCGCUAUCCAGCAUGCAUCUAGAGUAUUAAGUUCAUAAAGAACAGAGUAACGCAUUAAGAAAGAUAACAUGAUGUAGAGGGAUAAACUCAUGCAAUAUGAUAUAAACCCCAUCUUUUUAUCCUCGAUGGCAACAAUACAAUACGUGCCUUGCUGCCGCUGCUAUCACUAGGAAAGGACACCGCAAGAUUGAACCCAAAGCUAAGCACUUCUCCCAUUGCAAGAAAGAUCAAUCUAGUAGGCCAAACCAAACUGAUAAUUCGAAGAGACUGGCAAAUAUAACUUAAUCACACAUAAAAGAACUCAGAGGAGAUUCAAAUAUUUCUCAUAGUCAAACUUGAUCAUAAACCUACAAUUCAUCGGAUCUCGACAAACACACCGCAAAAAGAGUUACAUCAAAUAGAUCUCCAAGAAGAUCGAGGAGAACAUGGUAUUGAGAUUCAAAGAGAGAGAAGAAGCCAUCUAGCUAAUAACUAUGGACCCGAAGGUCUGUGGUAAACUACUCACAACUCAUCGAAGAGGCCUUGGAGAUGAUGUAGAGGCCCUCCGUCACUACUAGGAAAAGGGCUAUAGAUAGGACUGAUUCUAAUGGCGCACCAGGUAAGUAGUGCGCCACUACUAUAUACUAAUGGCGCACCGGUUGCUCGUGCGCCAUUAGUGUGGAAGACACUAAUGGCGCACCGUGCUCACGGUGCGCCACUACUAUUGAUUUUUUCCCCAUUUUUGCAUACAAACUAAUGGUGGAUGGCAAAGUGCGCCAUUAGUAGUUAGAACUAGUAAUGGCGCACGACCAAGACAGUGCGCCAUUAGUAUAUAAUUUUUUUUAUUUUUUUGCAAACCUACUAAUGGUGCACUAUGCCAAAGUGCACCAUUAGUAGUUUAAACUACCAAUGGCGCACUGUGCCAUGGUGCGCCAUUAUCAUAAAAAUUAUUUUUUUUACUUUUUUUGCAAAACUACUAAUGGCGCAUGUCACUGUGGUGCGCCAUUAGUAUGUUGGGUUACUAAUGGCGCAUGGCUUAGUGGUGCGCCAUUUGUAACCUGGGACCAGCUAGAUAUUUUUGGACAGCCACACCUACACACUCACUUUCCCCACUUCAUUCCCCCCACCUCCUUCUCUAAGCUUGUCGGCUGCCUCCUCCUCCUCACCUCAUUUGCACCAUAGAUUCAUCAAAAUUAAGUGGUGAAAUUACCUUUUUUUGAUAGGUAAGUAAGGGGAAAGCUAUCUUCAUGUUGUAGAUCUACUUUUUUUCUCCCUAGCUCGCUCCAACAACGUGCACAUGCACUUUUUGUGGCCUAGCUAGAUCUAUGUAUGUUUGUGGUGUUGCUUGUGUUUGUGGUGUUGCAUAUAUGUUUGUGUUUGCAGGUACCGGUAUUUGAAAUGCGAUAGUUGCCAAUAUUUUGCCGGAAUGUUGAUUCAUUUCCGUUUCGGCGAGAAUUUUGGCACUAUGCAUUCUUUUUGGUCCUAUUUUUAGGGAAGGUCAUGCCAAAAAAUUUCUUGGUUCUAAAAUAUCGUUUUGCUCUACCCCGCAGGCGACCAUGGUCCACACGAUGACCGAAGGCAUCGUGAAUAGGUUUUUGAGCUCCGCAAAGGCCGAGAUGCUUCAAAAGAACGAGAUGGAGAUAAGAUGUCCGUGUCGAAGAUGCAAGCUGAAGAGCCUUAUUGCGGACCCGGAUUCCGGGCAGGUGCGGGACCACCUGCUCUUGCGUGGUUUCAUGGAUGGCUAUCGGUGGCAAGGUGAUGAAGAUGACUAUGAAGUCGUCCAUGGGGGUCGGGCAAGAAAUGAGGAAGGGCAACAAGACAACCACCGCGGCGAGGGCGGGCAAGAAGACGAAGAAUCUCCAGGACAUGAUCACGAUGGUGAUGAUGUACACAAUCAUCAUGUAGAAGAUGUCGUACAUGAUGAUGAGGAAGAUCAAGACGAAGGGCAUGAUCAUGAAGAUGAAGAUGCCGGAGUAGACGACGAUGGAGGCUGGGUGCAGGACCCUCAUAUUCAAGAGCUGUUUCGCAAGCAGACGGAUAAUGCAAGAGCUGCCGCCCGAGAGAAAGCCAAGCUGGAUCAACUAGAGAUAGACGCGGUUACUCCAUUGUAUGAAGGAUGCAGGCCCGAGGAUACCCACCUGAAAGUAACGCUCAUGGCUCUGGAGAUGAAGGUAAAACACAAAUUGACCGACGCAUGCUUCGACGAGAACAUGUCAUUCUGGCACGAACGUCUUCCCAAGGGGAACAAGUGCCCGACCAGUUUCAAGGAGGCGAAGAAAAUCGUGUGUCCUUUGGAUUUACUGCACGUGAAAUACCAUGUGUGCAUGAACAAUUGCAUCAUUUAUCGGGACGAGCACGCGGAGUCUACCAUAUGUCCGGUGUGCGGCGUCACUCGAUACAAGAAGAGGAAGAAAGCUCCUCGAAAAUCGGUGUGGUACUUUCCUAUCACUCCUUGUCUGCAGCGGUAUUUCGCGGACCCUAAGGUAGCAAAGCUCCUGCGUUGGCACGCGGAUAGGGAGGAGAAGAAGCGGGAAGAUGACGGAAAUGAUCCGGAGAUAAAUAAAAAAGACAAGAUGCUGAGUCACCCUAAGGAUGCGAGCCAGUGGCAAGCGUUGAACUUCGAAUACCCAAAAUUUGGGAAGGAUCCAAGGAACAUCGUGCUGGGCGCGAGCACCGAUGGAGUCAAUCCGUUUGGCAGCCAGAGAAGCACACAUAACACCUGGCCUAUGUUUGUGUGGAUGUACAACCUUCCCCCCUGGUUGUGCAUGAAGAGGAAGUACAUUCACAUGAGUAUGCUAAUUGAAGGGCCGAAACAACCAGGGAACGACAUCAAUCUAUAUCUGGGGCUGCUGAAGGAGGAUCUAGACACACUGUGGAAAACGCCAGCCAAUACGUGGGACGCCGCAGAGAAAGAAUAUUUCCCUAUGAGAGCCGCACUACUCACGACGGUGCACGACUAUCUCGGUUACGGAUAUCUCGCGGGGCAGGUAGUCCACGGAUUUUCUGGAUGCGUAAGGUGCAUGGAUGACACAACGUAUCGCUAGCUAGAUAGAGAUCCCGGGUCUUCGAAAACCGUGUUCAUGGGACAUCGAAGGUGGCUUCGCGACGAUGACCCGUGGAGGAAAUGCAAGGAUCUGUUCAAUGGUGAAACCGAACCCCGAAAACGCCCGUGUACGAGGAGCGGCGAGGAAAUAGACGAGUUGUUGAAAAAUUGGAAAGACUGCCCGCUGCCGGGAAAAAGGCGCCAGAGCCGGGAAAAAAGCGAAAGGCGCCAGAGCCGCUGCUGAAGGUAUGGAAAACGAGGUCUGUUUUCUGGGACUUGCCGUACUGGAAGAUCCACCGUGUGCCUCACAGCCUUGAUGUCAUGCAUAUCACGAAGAACGUGUGCGAGAGUCUGCUUGGUACCCUGCUCAACAUGCCAGAGAGGACCAAAGAUGGGCCGAAAGCAAGGGCAGACUUGAAAUCAAUGGGCAUCAGGCAGGAGCUCCACGCUAAUGAUGAUGAUGAUGAUGAUGGUGAGGCGAAGCAGGACAGAGAAAGUCGUCGCAAAGGCAAAAAGGCCAAGAAGACCGGAAAUGACUACCCUCCCACGUGCUUGACUCUAAGUCAGGAGGAGAUCGAGCAUUUUUUCACCUGCCUCCUAGGAGUAAAACUUCCUUACGGUUACGCGGGGAAGAUAAGCAGAUACCUAGACCCAGCGAAGUAGAAGUUCAGCGGGAUGAAGUCUCACGACUGUCACGUGCUGAUGACGCAGAUACUUCCAGUUGCAACCCAUGGGAUCAUGGACGCGCACGUCCGUGAAACGCUAUUUGGCCUAUGCAACUUUUUCGACGUCAUCUCUCGGAAGUCGAUUGGCGUGAGGCAACUCAGAAGGCUACGGGAAGAGAUCGUGGUGAUACUAUGUGAGCUUGAGAUGUACUUCCCGCCUGCAUUCUUCAAUGUUAUGGUGCAUCUACUGGUCCAUAUAGUGGAGGAUAUCAUCCAACUCGGGCCGACGUUCCUGCACAGCAUGAUGCCGUUCGAAAGGAUGAAUGGUGUCAUCAAAGGAUACGUUCGGAACAUGUCACGUCCAUAGGGAAGUAUAGCCAGGGGCUUUCUGACCGAAGAGUGCAUCUCCUACUGCAUGAAUUAUCUAGGCAUCGAGAACCCCGUUGGUCUGCCCGUCAACAGGCACCUCGGCAGGCUCGCUGGAUGGGGUCACCGUGAGGGUCGCCGCGAAAUGCAUGUCGACUUCGAGGGUCGACUCGCCGACUUUGAAAGAGCAAACCUAGUCGCGCUACAACACAUAGACGUGGUCGAUCCUUGGGUGGUAGAGCACAAAACCUUUAUUGAGAAGACGUACAAUGAACGAGGCCAACAGAGGACGGACGGAGAUAUACUCAAAGAGCACAACUCAUGUUUCACGCGUUGGUUCAAGCAGAAGCUUCUGUCGUACCCUUUACAUGAAGAUUCUUCCGCGGAAUAACAACUCAUAUUCGCCUUGUCACAGGGCGCCGAGCACAACCUAAUGACCUAUGAGGCGUACGAUAUCAAUGGCUACACAUUCUACACCGAGGACAAGGACAUGAAGAGCGAUGGUUAUCAGAACUCUGGGGUAACGAUGGAAUCCUACACCGGUAAGGACAAGGAUAGAUACUACGGAAGGAUCGAGGAGAUCUGGGAGCUGAGCUACGCUGGAGAGAAGGUGCCGAUGUUCUGUGUCAUAUGGUCCAAGAGCGUCCUAAAAGAAGACCAAUAUUUCACCACCAUGGUUAUACCCGAAGCCAAAUCCAAGACCGCGGGCACAAACGUCACCGCGAAAAAUGAGCCAUGGGUACUGGCUUCCCAAGUGGACCAAUGCUUCUUCAUUACCGACCCGCCAAAGCCCAGUCGUGUUGUCGUGAGGAGAGGCAAAAGGAAGAUCAUCGGAAUGGAUGGAGUAGCCAAUGAGCAAGACUUCGACAAGUACGGCGACCCGAAGAUCGAACAUGACGACGACGAUGAAGUAGCAGCACACACCACAAGAAGAAGCAGGACCACCCUACCUAAAGGACGUCCAUUCCACAGAAGAACUCCAUUUGCGAAAAAGAAGGGCAAGAAGAUUGUGAACAGAUAGCUAGCUAAGAUCGAUUGUAUUUAAAUCGUAGUCUUCAUUUCUCGAUUGUAUUUCAUGGGCACUUUUUGACAUCAUGAAUAUUUUUAAAUUUCAUGGGCACUUUUUGAAAUCAUGAGGACACUUGAUCUCAAUCCCCCUCCAUCUCGAUCUCGAUUCCCCCUCCAUCUCGAUCGCGAUCCUGGCACCCUCCCCCGCGAUCCCCGCUACAAGUUUGAACAUAUUUAAACACAAAUAAAUAUAAAAAACAGCAUUUAAAAUGCAUAAAAAUAUUGGGGAGCCUGGGAAUCGAACCCAGGACCUCCUGGUGUGUGUGCCGUGUGCUGACCAAUCGGGCUAGUGGGUGGGUUCUGUUGUAGAUAGGGUUAGGUUGUAGAUAUGGUUAGUUGGCUGGAUUAAAACAAAAUUCUAAUGGCGCGCCGAGCGGAGGUGCGCCAUUAGAAUAGUCAUACUUAUGGCGCACGACUGGACGGUGCGCUAUUAGAACCCUCCCCCCAGCUAUCACUCCCUCGCCAGAUCCCCUUCGACCCUCUCUCCCUCGCCACCAGAUCCACCCGCGCGCUGCCCCGACUCCACCCCCGCCGCCCCCACGCCCCCGCGCCCCUAACCUCACACAACCUCCUUCCCCAUUCUCUCUCUCCCUCAGCCCGAUCCCCUUCCUCACCGUGGCCGAUUUUGGUCGUUGCCACUCCUCCCCGCCAAUAACACCAACCUCCACGAGCUCCCCUCGCUCCACCUUCUCAUGUACAGCAAGGAAUCCCCUCCUCUCCGGCGGAUCCUGUGGCUCGAGGCGACGGCUGGCUAGGCCCGCGUGACGGACCCAGGCCGUUGGCGUGCUGCCUUUCCGUGCCGGUCCACCUUGGUCCCCGGUGGCACGAGCAAGGGCAAGGCACCACCGAGCUCCACCUCGGCACUCCACUCCACUCCCGAGACCUCUCCUACCCCACUGCACUUCCUAGCGGGCGUCUCCUCCACCUACAAGUCAGGUAGUGUCUUUGUCUCUCCACAUACACACAUAGGUUGAACAUAUCAAACAUAUUUGAUUCCCUUCAUGUUUUUAUUCAUCUUUUGGUGCUUGUCUCGUUGUAAUUAAUGACUAGUACAAGUGCCUGUACUAAUUGCAAUUACUUAGUAAAUUAGACCAGAGAAAACAUAUGUAAUGUAAUGAGCUAUGGAAAACACUAUACUGUUGGGCUCAGUUGGGAGAAGGCCUCUAAUGCAAUGCAAUGCAAUGCAAUGCAAGCAUCUUUUCUCAUAAAUAAAUGUUGUUGCUAGCAGUGCAUUUAUCUAUCUUUAGAAUGUUUGCUUGAUCGACACCUUUGAAAUCUUUUCAGUAUUGAACUGUUGAUUUGUUUUGUAUUUCAGCACCUGCAAAGCAUUUUGGUCAUCUAACAAACUGAACAAUUUAGUUUUAAUUAAUGGAAAAGUUGCAUUUACUUGUAGUGAAAGGAACAAUUUCAGGUAAUUAUAAAUAUUCAAUAGCAGCAGAGGCAAGCAGUAGUAGUUUAUAUUCAUUCUUGCAUGCAUUCUUUGCUUGUUUAUAUUCAUUCUUGUAAACUGAACAUGCUCAUCUAUCUAUCUAUCAAUCUGAUCUCAUCUGAAAUGAAUCUAUAAAUACAGAGUGUAGUUAGUUACAGAGUAGCAAAAAUAGUUGCUGGAUGCAGUUACUUUCUAUAUAUUCAUACUGAUGUUGACUCUAUAAAUCAUACUUAUUGGACAUGUUUUAUGUGUCGAUCCAUCAAUUGAUCACAUUGAGAAAGACCAUCGUGUCUCCGACCAUUUUGCAAAGGUCAUGUCUCCGACCAUCGUGUCGUGAUGAAUUUGCAGGUACCCCGAGAGGCCCUUGAGUUUACCGGAAUGUUGAUUAACUUCCGUUUCGGCAAAUUCGGGUACUCCAUAUGUCCUAUUUUCAGCAAAGGUCAUGCUGAAAUUUUCCGUGAAUUUUAGCAUGACUUUGCUAAAAAUAGGACAUAUGGGGUACUUGCGACUAAUGCAUGGACCGGGGUAUCUUAGUACUUAGUUAAGAAGAAUCAAAUGCCCCGCCAUUCUUGCUGCAUUAAACCAUAGGUGGCAAUAGAGCCAAGUGAUUAGUGCCAAGUGAUUAGUCCCAACCUAGGGUGCCUCGGCUUAGGCUUUUAGGGUGCCUCGGCGUCGACAAACCCUAAAUGAUAAAAGCUUAGCUUUUAGGAUGCCUCGGUGUCGACAAACCCUAAAUGAUGAGACCAUGAUCUUGUUCCUUGACAAUAACCAACUUUUUGACCAAACUGUUUUCCUAUUUAAAGUGAAACAUGGCCAACAACAAUGGGGCCGGCGGUUCGGGCGACAAGCAAUUAUGGGAGCUGUCCCAGGAGAUGGAGGAACAACCUCACCACUAUGAGGACGCCGUGGAAGACACCGAUCCUGAUUACACAACCCCUAGUGGCGUCGGGGAUGACACCACUAAUGGUGCCGCCGAGGAUGCCACCACUGAUGAUGGCGGCGCACACACAGAUGGCAACCAACCGAAGAAGCAAAGGAAGGACCGGCGCCCGAAUGCGCUCCGCACCCUCAAGGAGGAAUUCACUCAAGUGGACUCCGACGGGAAUCCAACGGAGCCCAAACAUAUAGUCAAGGGGUACUCGGUUCAGCUCGGGUGCAUUCUUCGGAGCACCGUCUCGAUCAACACCGAGAACCUUAGGCAUAAGGACCGAGGGAAUUUGCGUAGCCUCCUCUUCACGAAGCUGCACGAACGAUACAAGUUCCCCGCCGAAUUUGAAAACACACGCCUCUCAAGGAAUAAAGUGAACAGUGCCGCCCUCACGAAGAUGAGCACGACCCUGUCUACUUGGAGAAGCGCGGUGAAGAGAAUGAUUGAUGAAGGUGAUAGUUAUGAGAAGAUCAAGGCGAAAUAUCCUUUGAUGAGCGAAGAUGACUACAAGGAGUUCAAGAUAAAGUGCGAGAGCAGUGCAACCACCGAAUCAAGUCAGUGGGGGAAAGAAAUGCGGGAGUUGAACUUAGGGGAACACAAACUCGGUCCCGGCGGUUACAGAGUGGCGGAGCCUAUAUGGGACAAGGAGGACGCGGAGCGUGCCGAGCAAGGCCUACCGCCCCGCUUCAAGAAAUACAGCGGUAACAAGCAGACCAAGAACUAUGUCAGGGCCCGGUACAAGGAGGACCCGAUAACAAAGGAGCUUACCACGGAUCCGAAGACCAGGGUGCUUGAGCUUGUUCUGGUAAGGAAUACACCCCCGCGUAAUUAGCUCCAUAUGGUUGCACUCUAACUAAUCCCCAAUAUUUCUAAAUGGUUCACGUUCCUUUUGCAGGAAACUAAAAGCAGUAGCGCGCGGUCGUCUCAGAGCUCCCCUUUCGACAGCCCUUUAAAUAGGGCGUUGAACAUAAUGAAAAUCAAGGAUAAGUUCACUAAGCCAACGUCAGCUGGUCGUGUGGCCGGCAAAGGCUUGUCCACAAAAUGGGGGUCAUACUAUACCGCUGGUGUGCGGAAGGAGAAAAAGGCUAGCUCGGAACGCCAGACGCGCGAGGUUGAAGCACUCAAGGCACAAGUGGCGCGGAUUCCGGAGCUUGUCCAAGAGCAAGUGGAACAACAACUGGGAACGAAGCUCAACCCCCUGGUGCCUACGUUGAUUCAUGGGCUGACGACGUGGAUUGCGGGCGGCCAACAGGGGCCUCCCCCGGUUCCCAGCUUCACGGCCAGCAACUCGCACAACGCGCAGGCGGCGCCAUUGGUGUUUCCGGCGGCGCCAUUGGUGUCUCCGGCGGCGGCGCCAUUGGUGUCUCCAGCGGAGGCGGUAUUCGUGUCUCCGGCGCCGGCACGGGCAUUGGAGCUUAAUGCACCCGGGUGUACGCCGGCCGGCACCUAGCCAGCAAGCUCCCCUCCGUCAGUUGCAUGCCCGCCGUUGGCGGUGCCUCGACAUUAGCCGAGCUUGACGGCAUCACGGUAACUAAGCCUCUCGGCUGAUGACUUCAUCUCCUUGCCUUUGAUUGGGCAUCCCUGACGCCCUGUACAUGUUUUCGCAGGGCACCGCCGACGUUCCUUGCACUCUUCUGCACUUCGUGGGCGCCGAGUUGGUCGAUGUCGCCAAGGGUAGAAUCGUUCAACCGGGCAACCGCAUGUUCCACGGUAAUCCGAUGCCACCCAUAGUGUAUAGGGUUGAAGUGGUUCGGGUGCUGCCAGGCUGCGACGAGCUGUUACCUCCGGUUCGACCCGCUAGGGCCGACGAAGAAGAUGAGAUGACCCUCAGCGCCUGCGUAAACUGGCCGCUGCUUUGGCCGAAGAGCCAGAUUCGUUUGGGAGCGGGGGCCACCACCCCACAGACAAGACCGCCAGUCGUGCCGGCGCCAAGCCAUGGCAAGAACGCCGCAACGCUACCGGACCUGUUGGACAUCCCUAUGGCACAGGAUCCGUACAGCCCUAUGGCACAGGAUCCGGACGAUGAUGACAAUGACGAUGGUACAUUUACCAAAGUCGAUAAGUACUUUGCCGAACAUGGGUAUGCUGACGAGUUCUGCGGGCCUCUUUCUCAAGAACCCAACCAAGACGACCGCAAUCUAGCUGGUACGGCGGAGAAAUCUAAUUCCAAUAGGCGUCGUCUGCCAUUCAGUUCUCAGGAGACGCCUCCAGCUCCCGCCUUCAUCGAGCCUCAGAUAGCUGAGGUGCAAAAUAUUAUCAGCCCCAACAUGCUCAAGAAAGCGGUCUGUGAGCAGAACUCGGUCCCAUUAUAGGAGAUCAAGAAGAAGGGACGGAAACGAAAGACUAACAAGGGCGCCGGUGCGAGCCAGCCAGCACCGAGUUCGAUCCGUGCUCAGGACGGGCCACCUUCACCUAAGGAUAUCUCGAGGAGGGUGCAUGUGGCGGGUAGGGCGAUGCUACCGCCAAAUAUGCUGAAUGCUGCAACCGAUGCUAUGCGGAGUCUGCACGACAAUGUUCUUUCUUUGGAGAAGCGGCGUCUGAGAGAGAAUGAUGUGGCAUACCCGGUUUUCGUGGCCAAGGUGCCAGAGGGCAAGGGCUUUGCGGAUGGCGACAUCGGGGGUACGAUCGUCCUGCGGUUUGAUGACAUCUUUGCUAUGUUUAACCUUCAUCCGCUGCACUACACCUUCGUUCGGCUGUUUUUGCUGAGUAUGGAGAUGCGGAUCAUUAGAGACAAGACCCCGGACAUCGUGAUAGUCGACCCCUUCUACAUGCGUGCCAAGCACUUGAACAGCGCUGGGGACCGCCAAGUUGCGAGUUCACACCUCGAAGGCGUCAUUCUGGCAAACCCAGAUAAGGAUAACUUCCUUGUGCCUUACUUUCCCGAGUAAGUCAUCCCUUAACUGCCCUGUAACAUAUGAUUUCUUAGAUUUUGAUCGUUCUUUUUUUUCUAACAUUCCGUGUUCUGUGCAGUGACACACAUUGCACACUCAUCCUCUUAAGCCCGAAAUAUUCCAUGGCCACGUAUUUCGACCCGAACCGUAACUCCAAGAUAGACUACACAAAUGUCAAGAAAGUUCUUAAUGAUGUUCUCCCCGGCUACGCCAAAUCUGGAGGCACCUUCACCAGGGCAGUUCAUAAGUACGGCAAGCACAUGUUCUCUCACAAUACGAAGUUCUGCUGUGUCAAGCAGCUGCCUGGCGGUCAGAAGGAUGCCUACUACGCCCUCCAUCAAAUGCGGGCGAUCGUAAGGGACCAUCAUCAACUUCUGCUACCAGAUAAUGUCAAAGAUUGGGCCGCGAGCUUGUCGGCAGUCCAGGACGUGGACCUCAGACAAGAAUUCUUUCGCAUCUAGUCGGAGUUUGUGGACAUCAUCUAUCAAGAUGUCCUUCAUACCUCGGGGCAGUUCUUCGUCAGAUAUCAACCGUCCAACCGUGAGAUAGAUGAAAUGCUACAAAUGCAGGGUGACAACGACCGCGAUUUCAUGACCAUCACGACAGACGGCGGCUUCAUCCACGCUCCUGUCCGAUGAGUCGAGUCGAAAGUAGUGAUGUGUAGUUCUGAAACAUUGAUUAGCUCAAUAUUGUAAUUAAACUUUAAUGAAUUCGUAUGUCUCUUUGGUUUGGACAGUCGUUCAACUUAGAUGUAAUCGAUGCUAUUUAUUAGUAGGACCAUGAAUCGUGCUAUUAAUGUCUUGCUUUUCUCUUUCGAUCCUUUUGCUGCAUACUUACAUAUUGCUUAUGUAUUGUCUGUUGUUUGGCUUGUGCAUAGAGAUGUCGUCGUAUGUCAUGUACAAGGGUAAGGUUCCCGGAGUCUACGACGACUGGGAGGAGUGUCGGAGACAGGUUCACCGUUUCAGCGGUAACAGUUACAAAGGGUACACCACUAGGGCGGAGGCCGAAUCUAGAUAUGCCCGCUAUCUAGCGGGAGAGAGGAGGGAGCGUUGGAGGAACCGGAUGAGGACCAGUUUGAUCGCGAUGAUGCUCAUCGUGAUGACCACAACUCUCUUUUAUGUGAUGGUAGUUUAGAUGAUCGAUAUCGACUUGUAAUGUGAAGACAAACUCGAUACUCGCGGUCUUGAGACUUGUAAUGUUUUAUCUUUGUUCGAUCUUUUGAAUUCGGAGACUAAUAUGAUGAAUUGUAUUCGGAGACUAAUCUUCUAUUGUAUUCGAUGAAUCUGAUGUUGCUGUGUGCUGCUGUCUAUAUUCUGUCCAAUAAUAUAUUUUGUAACCUGUGCAAAAAUCAGAAAAGCAAAAAAAAAACAAAUAUUCACACUAAUGGCGCAUCAAGGCAGAGUGCGCCAUUAGUAUGCCAAAGGAUACUAAUGGCGCAUCGAGGCAGAGUGCGCCAUUAGUGUGACAAAGCACAUGGUUACAUAUGGCCCCCCGGGAGGCAUACUAAUGGCGCAUGGAGUUACAUACUAAUGGCGCACUACCAGGUGCGCCAUUAGUAUACCAGAUACUAAUGGCGCACCGGUGGUGCUCCAUUGGUAAAAAAUUCUAAUGGCGUGCUACUAAUGGCGCACCGGUAGUGCGCCAUUAGUAGGCAAUACCGGUGCGCCAUUAGUAGGCCUUUUCCUAGUAGUGCGUGAUCGAUUCCCCCUCCGGCGGAGCGCCAACGAAGGCUCUAAGAUGGGAUCUCACGGAUACAGAAGGUUGCAGCGGUAGAAUUAGGUUUUCGUGGUCUGUUCUGAUGUUCUCGGGGUACGUGGGUAUAUAUAGGAGGAAGAAGUAGGUCGAUGGACGCCCGAGGGGCCCAUAAGAUAGGGGGCGCCCAGUAGGGGGGAUGCCCUCCACCCUCGUGGCCGCCUCGGCUGUUGCUUGACUUCCACUCCAAGUCCUCUGGAUCAUGUUCAUUCCAAAAAUCAUGCUCCCGAAGGUUUCAUUCCGUUUGGACUCCGUUUGAUAUUCCUUUUCUUCGAAACACUGAAAUAGGCAAAAAAACAGCAAUACGGGCUAUGCCUCCGGUUAGUAGGUUAGUCCCAAAAAUGAUAUAAAAGUGUAAAGUAAAGCCCAUAAACAUCCAAACGGGUAAUAUAAUAGCAUGGAACAAUCAAAAAUUAUAGAUACGUUGGAGACGUAUCAGUGUUCAAGAAGAAGCUUAGUCCUGAUGGUACUGUUGAGAAGUACAAGGCUAGGCUUGUGGCCAAGGGUUAUACCCAGAAAGAAGAAGAGGAUUUCUUCGACACUUACUCACCUAUGGCUAGACUGACAACCAUUCGAGUGUUACUCCCUUUGGCUGCCUUGCAUGGUCUUAUCGUUCAUCAGAUGGACGUUAAGACGGCUUUCCUUAACGAAGAGCUAGACGAGGAAAUUUACAUGCAACAGCCAGAUGGCUUUGUAGUAAAUGGUCAGGAAAGAAAGGUGUGCAAGCUAGUGAAAUCCUUGUAUGGCCUGAAACAAGCGCCUAAGCAAUGGCAUGAGAAGUUCAACACUACACUGACAUCUGCUGGAUUUGUUGUUAACGAAGCUGACAAAUGUGUAUACUAUCGCUAUGGUGGGGCCAAAGGAGUUAUACUCUAUCUGUUAUGUUGAUGACAUACUGAUAUUUGGGACCCACCUCAAAGUCAUUGAGGAGGUCAAGGCUUUUCUAUCUCAUAACUUUGAGAUGAAAGACCUGGGCGUGGCUGAUGUUAUCUUGAACAUCAAGCUACUAAGAAACUCUGAGGAUGGAAUUACACUUUUUCAAUCCCACUGUGUUGAGAAGAUUUUGAGCCGUUUUUGAUAUUCGGACUGCAAACCUUCUACGACACCAUAUGAUCCUAGUGUGCGGAUUCGAAAGUUCGAAGGCACGGCUGUAGAUCAAUUGAGAUAUUCUCAAGUGGUUGGUUCACUGAUGUACCUAGAAUGUGCUAUUCGUCUUGACAUCUCAUUUGCUGUGUGCAAACUGAGCCGGUUUGUUUCCAAUCUGGGAGAUGUGCAUUGGCAUGCUGUUGAGCGAGUGAUACAUUACUUGCAAGGUACUACGAACUAUGGGAUUCACUAUUCUGGGUACCCGACGGUACUUGAGGGGUAUAGUGAUUUGAAUUGGAUAUCUGAUGCUGAUGAGAUGAAAGCCACAAGUCGACAUGUCUUCACACUUGGUGGUGGUGCUGGUUCCUAGAAGUCCUGCAAGCAGACGAUCUUAACCAGAUCGACUAUGGAAGCAGAACUCACAGCAUUAGACACAUCAUGCAUCGACACAGAAUGGCUUCGAGAGCUUUUGAUGGAUUUGCCGGUGGUUGAAAAGCAGUGCCGGCUGUCCUUAUGAACUACGACAAUCAAACGGUGAUUGUCAAGGCUAAGAGUUCAAAGGACAACAUGAAAUCCACAAAGCACAUAAGACGAAGAUUGAAAUCUGUCAGAAAAUCAAGAAACUCUGGAGUGAUAGUGUUGGAUUAUAUCCAGACGACUAAGAAUCUGGCAGACCCUUUUACGAAAGGGCUAUCACGGGUUGUGAUAGAAAAUGCAUCGAGGGAGAUGGGUAUGAAACCCACGUAAGUUGCCAUGGGGGUAAUGUUGGAAAUAUUCCCUAGAGGCAAUAAUAAAUUAGUUAUUAUUAUAUUUCCUUGUUCAUGAUAGUCGUUUAUUAUCCAUGCUAUAAUUGUAUUGAUAGGAAACUCAGAUACAUGUGUGGAUACAUAGACAACACCAUGUCCCUAGUAAGCCUCUAUUGACUAGCUCGUUGAUCAAUAGAUGGUUACGGUUUCCUGACCAUGGGCAUUUGAUGUCGUUGAUAACGGGAACACAUCAUUAGGAGAAUGAUGUGAUGGACAAGACCCAAUCCUAAGCCUAGCACAAAGAUCAUGUAGUUCGUAUGCUAAAGCUUUGAUAAUGUCAAGUAUCAUUUCCUUAGACCAUGAGAUUGUGCAACUCCCGGAUACCGUAGGAAUGCUUUGGGUGUACCAAACGUCACAACGUAACUGGGUGGCUAUAAAGGUGCACUACGGGUAUCUCCGAAAGUGUCUGUUGGGUUGGCACGAAUCGAGACUGGGAUUUGUCACUCCGUGUAACGGAGAGGUAUCUCUGGGCCCACUCGGUAGGACAUCAUCAUAAUGUGCACAAUGUGACCAAGGGGUUGAUCACGGGAUGAUGUGUUAUGGAACGAGUAAAGAGACUUGCCGGUAACGAGAUAGAACAAGGUAUCGGCAUACCGACGAUCGAAUCUCGGGCAAGUAUAAUACCACUAGACAAAGGGAAUUGUAUACGGGAUCGAUUGAGUCCUUGACAUCGUGGUUCAUCCGAUGAGAUCAUUGUGGAACAUGUGGGAGCCAACAUGGGUAUCCAGAUCCCGCUGUUGGUUACUGACCGGAGAACGUCUCGGUCAUGUCUGCAUGGUUCCCGAACCCGUAAGGUCUACACACUUAUGGUUCAAUGAUGCUAGGGUUAUAGGGAAUAGAUAUACAUGGUUACCAAAUGUUGUUCGGAGUAUCGGAUGAGAUCUCGGAUGUCAUGAGGAGUUCCGGAAUGGUCCGGAGGUAAAGAUUUAUAUAUGGGAAGUCCUGUUUUGGUCACCGGAAAAGUUUUGGGUGUUAUCGGUAAUGUACUAGGACCACCGGGAGGGUCCCGGGGGUCCACCAGUUGGGGCCACCAGCCCCAGAGGGCUGCAUGGGCCAAGUAUGGGAGGGGACCAGCCCCAGGUGGGCUGGUGCGCCCCCCCCCCACAAGGGCCCAAGGCGCCUAGGGUUUGGGGAGGGGGUGCUUCCACCUUACUUGGGGGGCAAGUUUCCCCCCUCUCCCCCCUUGGCCGCACCCUAGAUGGGUUUUGGGGGCAGUCGCACCCCUUGGGGUGGGAACCCUAGGGGAGGCGCAGCCCCCUCCCUCUCCCCUAUAUAUAGUUGAGGUAUUUGGGGCUGCAUACACAUGAGUUUGACCUCUCCCUGGCGCAGCCCUACAUCUCUCCCUCCUCCUCUCCCGCGGUGCUUGGUGAAGCCCUGCAAGAUUGCCACGCUCCUCCACCACCACCACGCUGUUGUGCUGCUGCUGGACGGAGUCUUCCCCAACCUCUCCCUCUCUCUUUGCUGGAUCAAGGCAUGGGAGACGUCACCGGGCUGUAUGUGUGUUGAACGCGGAGGUGCCGUUCGUUCGGCACUAGGAUCUCCGGUGAUUUGGAUCACGACGAGUACGACUCCUUCAACCCCGUUCUCUUGAACGCUUCUGCUUAGCGAUCUACAAGGGUAUGUAGAUGCACUCUCCUUCCCCUCGUUGCUAGUCUCUCCAUAGAUAGAUCUUGGUGAUUCAUAGGAAAAUUUUGAAUUUCUGCUACGUUCCCCAACAGUGGCAUCAUGAGCUAGGUCUAUUGCGUAGAUUCUUUGCACGAGUAGAACACAAAGUAGUUGUGGGCGUUGAUUUUGUUCAAUAUGCUUACCGUUGCUAGUCAAAUCUUGUUUCGAUGGUAUUGUGGGAUGAAGCGGCCCAGACCGACCUUACACGUACACUUAUGUGAGGCAGGUUCCACCGACUGACAUGCACUUGGUGCAUAAGGUGGCUAGUGGGUGCCAGUCUCUCCCACUUUAGUCGGAACGGAUUCGAUGAAAAGGGUCCUUAUGAAGGGUAAAUAGCAAUUGACAUAUCACGUUGUGGUUUUUGCGUAGGUAAGAAAGGUUCUUGCUAGAAACCCAUAGCAGCCACGUAAAACAUGCAAACAACAAUUAGAGGACGUCUAACUUGUUUUUGCAGGGUAUGCUAUGUGAUACGAUAUGGCCAAAAAGAAUGUGAUGAAUGAUAUGUGAUGUAUGAGAUUGAUCAUGUUCUUGUAAUAGGAAUCACGACUUGCAUGUCGAUGAGUAUGACAACCGACAGGAGCCAUAGGAGUUGUCUUUAUUUAUUGUAUGACAUGCGUGUCAUUGAACAACGCCAUGUAAUUACUUUACUUUAUUGCUAACCGGUAGCCAUAGUAGUAGAAGUAAUAGUUGGUGAGACAACUUCAUGAAGACACGAUGAUUGAUGAUGGAGAUCAUGGUGUCAUGCCGGUGACGAUGAUGAUCAUGGAGCCCCUUAGAUGGAGAUCAAAAGGAGCAAAAUGAUAUUGGCCAUAUCAUGUCACUAUUUUGAUUGCAUGUGAUGUUUAUCAUGUUUAUGCAUCUUAUUUACUUAGAAUGACGGUAGUAAAUAAGAUGAUCCCUCAUUAAAAUUUCAAGAAAGUGUUCCCCCUAACUAUGCACCGUUGUGAAAGUUCGUUGUUUCGAAGCACCACAUGAUGAUCGGGUGUGAUAGAUUCUAACGUUCACAUACAACGGGUGUAAGCCAGAUUUACACACGCGAAACACUUAGGUUAACUUUACGAGCCUAGCAUGUACAGACAUGGCAUCGGAACACAAGAGACCGAAAGGUCGAGCAUGAGUCGUAUAGUAGAUACGAUCAAUAUGAAGAUGUUCACCGAUGAUGACAAGUCCAUCUCACGUGAUGAUCGGACACGGCCUAGUUGACUCGGAUCAUGUAAUCACUUAGAUUACUAGAGGGAUGUCUAUCUGAGUGGGAGUUCAUUAGAUGAACUUAAUUAUCCUGAACAUAGUCAAAAAGGUUUUUGCAAAUUAUGUCAUAGCUCACGCUUUAAUUCUACUGUUUUAGAUAUGCUCCUAGAGAAAAUUUAGUUGAAAGUUGAUAGUAGAAAUUAUGCGGACUGGGUCCGUAAACUGAGGAUUGUCCUCGUUGCUUCGUAGAAGGCUUAUGUCCUUAAUGCACCGCUCGGUGUGCUGAACCUCGAACAUCGUCUGUGGAUGUUGCGAACAUCUGACAUACACGUUUUGAUAACUACGUGAUAGUUCAGUUAAACGGUAUAGAGUUGAGGCACCAAAGACGAUUUCAAAACAUCGCAGAACAUAUGAGAUGUUUCGAGGGCUGAAAUUGGGAUUUCAGGCUCGUGCCCACGUCAAGAGGUAUAAGACCUCCGACGAUUUUCUUAGCCUGCAAACUAAGGGACAAAAGCUCAAUCGUUGAGCUUGUCCUCAGAUUGUCUGAGUACAACAAUCACUUGAAUCGAGUGGGAGUUGAUAUUCCAGAUGAGAUAGUGAUGUUUCUCCAAAGUCAUUGCCACGAAGCUACUAGAGCUUCAUGAUGAACUAUAACAUAUCAGAGAUAGAUAUGAUGAUCCUUGAAGUAUUCGCGAUGUUUGACACCGCGAAAGUAGAAGUCAAGUAGCAGCAUCAAUUUUUGAUGGUUAGUAAAACCACUAGUUUCAAGAAGGGCAAGGGCAAGAAGGGAUACUUCAUGAAAUGGUAAAUCAGUUGCUGCUCUAGUGAACAAACCCAAGGUUGAACCCAAACCCGAGACUAAGUGCUUCUGUAAUAAGGGGAACAGCCACUGGAACAGAAUUACCCUAGAUACUUGGUAGAUAAGAAGGCAGGCAAGGUCGACGGAAGUAUAUUGGAUAUACAUUAUGUUAAUGUGUACUUUACUAGUACUCCUAGUAGCACCAGGGUAUUAGAUACCGGUUCGGUUGCUAAGUGUUAGUAACUCGAAAUAAAAGCUACAGAAUAAAAGGAGACUAGCUAAAGGUGAGCUGACGAUAUGUGUUGGAAUUGUUUCCAAGGUUGAUAUGAUCAAGCAUCGCACGCUCCCUCUACCAUCGAGAUUGGUGUUAAACCUAAAUAAUUGUUAUUUGGUGUUUGCGUUGAGCAUAGACAUGAUUGGAUUAUGUCUAUCGCAAUACGGUUAUUCAUUUAAGGAGAAUAAUGGUUACUAUGUUUAUUUGAAUAAUACCUUCAAUGGUCUUGCACCUAAAAUGAAUGGUUUAUUGAAUCUCGAUCGUAGUGAUACACAUUUUUAUGCCAAAAGAUAUAAGAUAAAAAUGAUAGUAGCACUUACUUGUGGCACUGCCAUGUAAGUCAUAUUGGUGUAAAACGCAUGAAGAAGCUCCAUGUUGAUGGAUCUUUGGACUCACUCAUUUUUGAAAAGUUUGAGACAUGCGAACCAUGUCUAUUGGUGUAUAUGCAUGAAGAAACUCCAUGCAAAUGGACCGUUUGGACUCACUUGAUUUUGAAUCACUUGAGACAUGCAAAUCAUACCACAUGGGCAAGAUGACUGAAAGCCUUGUUUUCAGUAAAAUGGAACAAGAAUGCAACUUGGUGGAAGUAAUACAUUUUGAUAUGUGCAGUCCAAUGAGUGUUAAGGCAUGCAGUGAAUAUCGUUAUGUUCUUACUUCACAGAUGAUUUGAGUAGAUGUUGAGUAUAUUUACUUGAUGAAACACAAGUCUGAAUUAUUGAAUGGUUCAAGUAAUUUCAGAGUGAAGUUGAAGAUCAUCAUGACAAGAGGAUAAAAUGUCUACGAUAUGAUCAUAGAGAUGAGUAUCUGAGUUACGAGCUUUGGCACGUAAUUAAGACAUUAUGGAAAUUGUUUCACAAUUAAUACCGCCUGGAACACCAUAGUGUGAUGGUGUGUCCGAACAUCAUAGUUGCACCCUAUUGGAUAUGGUGCGUACCAUGAUGUCUCUUAUCGAAUUACCACUACCAUUCAUGGGUUAGGCAUUAGAGAUAACCGCACUCACUUUAAUAGGGCACCACAUAAUUCCGUUGAGACGACACCGUUUGAACUAUGUUUUGGAGAAACCUAAGUUGUCGUUUCUUAAAAGUUUGGGGCUGCGACGCUUAUGUGAAAAGUUUCAGGUUGAUAAGCUGGAACCCAAAGCGGAUGAAAUGCAUCUUCAUAGGACACCCAAAACAGUUGGGUAUUCCUCCUAAUUCAGAUCCGAAAGCAAUAGGUAUUGUUUCUUGAAUCGGGUCCUUUCUCGAGGAAAAGUUUCUCUCGAAAGAAUUGAGUGGGAGGAUGGAGACUUGAUGAGGUUGUUGAACCAUCACUUCAACUAGUGUGUAGCAGGGCACAGGAAGUUGUUCCUGUGGCACCUACACCAAUUGAAGUAGAAGCUUAUGAUAGUGAUCAUGAAACUUCAGAUCGAGUCACUACCAAACCUCGUAGGUCGACGAGGAUGUGUACUGCUUCAGAGUAGUACGUAAUCCUGUCUUGGAGGUCAUGUUGCUAGACAAUAAUGAACCUACGAACUAUGGAGAAGCGAUGGUGGGCCCGAAUUCCGACGAAUGGCUCGAGGCCAUAAAAUCUGAGAGAGGAUCCAUGACUUUGGAAGAAAUACUUGAUGGUCGUAAGGCCGUUGGGUAAAGAUGGAUUUUAAAAGGAAGACAGACAAUGAUGGUAAGUAUCACCAUUAAGAAUGCUCGAUUUGUCGUUAAAGAUGUUUUCCGACAAGUUCAAGGAGUUGACUACGGUGAGGCUUUCUCACUCGUAGCAAUGCUAAGAGUCUGUUGGUAUUGGAUUAGCAGUUAAUGCAUUAUUUAUGAAAUCUUGCAUAUAGGAUGUCAAAAAAACAUUGUUUCCUUGACAGCUUUCUUGAGGAAAGGUUGUAUGUGAUACAACUAGAAGGUUUUGACAAUCCUGAAAGAUGCUAACAAGUAUGCAAAGCUCUAGCAGUCCUUCUAAGUACUAGAGUAAGCAUCUCGGAGUUGGAAUGUACGCUUUGAUGAGAUGAUCAAAGAUUUUUGGUUUAUACAAAGUUUAUGAGAAACUUGUAUUUCCAAAGAAGUGAGUGGGAGCACUAUAGAAUUUUUGAUGAGCAUAUGUUGUUGACAUAUUGUUGAUCAGAAGUGAUGUAGAAUUUCUGGAAAGCAUAUAGGGUUAUUUGAAAGGUGUUUUUCAAUAGAAAACCUGGAAUAAGCUGCUUGAACAUUAAACAUCAAGAUCUAUGAGGAUAGAUCAAAAACGUUAAAUGGUACUUUCAAAUGAGCACAUACCUUGACAUGAUCUUGAAGGUGUUCAAGAUGGAUCAGUCAAAGAAGGAGUUCUUGCCUGAGUUGUAAGGUAUGAAGUUAAGAGUUAAAGUUCGACCACGGCAGAAGUGAGAGAAAGGACGUAGGUCGUCCCCUAUGCUUCAGACGUAGGCUCUAUAGUAUGCUAUGCUGUGUACCGCACCGGAAGUGUGUCUUGCCAUGAGUCAGUCAAGGGGUACAAGAAUGAUCCAGGAAUGGAUCAUUGGACAGCGGUCAAAAUUGUCCUUGGAGUAAAUAAAGGACAUGCUUCUCGAUUAUGGAGGUAAUAAAGAGUUCGGCGUAAAGGGUUACGUCGAUGCAAGCUUUAACACCUAUCCGAGUGACUCUGAGUAGCAAACCGGGUACGUAUAGUGGAGCAACCAUUUGGAAUAGCCCCAAGUGGAGCAUGGAAGCAGCAUUUACAAUAUGACAUAGAGAAUUGUGAAGUACAUACGGAUCUGAAUGUUGCAGACCCGUUGACUAAAACCUCUCUCACAAUCAAAACAUGAUCAAACCCCAGAACUCAUUGAGUCUUAAUCACAUGGUGAUGUGAACUAGUUUAAUGACACUAGUAAACUCUUGGAUGUUGGUCACAUGGCGAUGUGACCUGUCAAUGUUAAUCACAUGGUGAUGUGAACUAGAUUAUUGACUCUAGUGCAAGUGGGAGACUGUUGGAAAUAUGCCCUAGAAGCAAUAAUAAAUUAGUUAUUAUUAUAUUUCCUUGUUCCUGAUAAUCGUUUAUUAUCCAUGCUAUAAUUGUAUUGAUAGGAAACUCAGAUACAUGUGUGGAUACAUAGACAACACCAUGUCCCUAGUAAGCCUCUAUUGACUAGCUCGUUGAUCAAUAGAUGGUUACGGUUUCCUGACCAUGGCCAUUGGAUGUCGUUGAUAACGGGAUCACAUCAUUAGGAGAAUGAUGUGAUGGACAAGGCCCAAUCCUAAGCCUAGCACAAAGAUCGUGUAGUUCGUAUGCUAAAGCUUUGAUAAUGUCAAGUAUCAUUUCCUUAGACCAUGAGAUUGUGCAACUCCCGAAUACCGUAGGAAUGCUUUGGGUGUACCAAACGUCACAACGUAACUGGGUGGCUAUAAAGGUGCACUACGGGUAUCUCCGAAAGUGUCUGUUGGGUUGGCACGAAUCAAGACUGGGAUUUGUCACUCCGUGUAACGGAGAGGUAUCUCUGGGCCCACUCGGUAGGACAUAAUCAUAAUAUGCACAAUGUGACCAAGGGGUUGAUCACGGGAUGAUGUGUUAUGGAACGAGUAAAGAGACUUGCCGGUAAAGAGAUAGAACAAGGUACCGGCAUACCGACGAUCAAAUCUCGGACAAGUAUAAUACUGCUAGACAAAGGGAAUUGUAUACGGGAUCGAUUGAGUCCUUGACAUCGUGGUUCAUCCGAUGAGAUCAUCGUGGAACAUGUGGGAGCCAACAAGGGUAUCUAGAUCCCGCUGUUGGUUAUUGACCGGAGAACGUCUCGAUCAUGUCUGCAUGGUUCCCGAACCCGUAGGGUCUACACACUUAAGGUUCGAUGACGCUAGGGUUAUAGGGAAUAGAUAUACGUGGUUACCGAAUGUUGUUCGGAGUCCCGGAUGAGAUCCCGGACGUCACGAGGAGUUCCGGAAUGGUCCGGAGGUAAAGAUUUAUAUAUGGGAAGUCCUGUUUUGGUCACCGAAAAAGUUUCGUGUGUUAUCGGUAAUGUACCGGGACCACCGGGAGGGUCCCGGGGGUCCACCAAGUGGGGCCACCGGCCCCAGAGGGCUGCAUGGGCCAAGUGUGGGAGGGGACCAGCCCCAGGUGGGCUGGUGCGCCCCCCCCCCCACAAGGGCCCAAGGCGCCUAGGGUUUGGGGAGGGGGUGCUUCCACCUUACUUGGGGGGCAAGUUUCCCCCCUCUCCCCCCUUGGCCGCACCCUAGAUGGGUUUUGGGGGCAGCCGCACCCCUUGGGGUGGGAACUCUAGGGGAGGCGCAGCCCCCUCCCUCUCCCUAUAUAUAGUUGAGGUAUUUGGGGCUGCAUACACAUGAGUUCGACCUCUCCCUGGCGCAGCCCUACCUCUCUCCCUCCUCCUCUCUCGCGGUGCUUGGCGAAGCCCUGCAGGAUUGCCACGCUCCUCCACCACCACCACGCCGUUGUGCUGCUGCUAGACGGAGUCUUCCCCAACCUCUCCCUCUCUCCUUGCUGGAUCAAGGCAUGGGAGACGUCACCGGGCUGUAUGUGUGUUGAACGCGGAGGUGCCGUCCGUUCGGCACUAGGAUCUCCGGUGAUUUGGAUCACGACGAGUACGACUCCUUCAACCCCGUUCUCUUGAACGCUUCCGCUUAGCAAUCUACAAGGGUAUGUAGAUGCACUCUCCUUCCCCUCGUUGCUAGUCUCUUCAUAGAUAGAUCUUGGUGACUCGUAGGAAAAUUUUGAAUUUCUGCUACGUUCCCCAACAGGUAAUCCAACCUAUGUGAUCGGAGAUCCCGUGAAUUAGGACCUGGGAAAAUAAUCCAAUGGUCAACUGAGGAGAGUAUCCUUAAUAAACCCACUUGGUUGGAGAUGCAGUACUACUCUCAACUUUGUAAGGCAGGCUGCCUUUUGUCUUAAUGUGUUCCAAAGCUUGUGUAAGCAAGAUGCUAACCUAUAGAGCAUUCUUUGGAGGAACACACCUAUGUGAGCCCGACUGCUGGUCACAGUCUAUGACAUUGGGUGAUCUCUAGGAAGCUCAUGAGAAGGUAUGGAGUAUGACUAAUAAGCUCCACCCGUGGGGUUUAGCCUUCGGCAGCCAAGUAUCUGCUAACAAUGGGCGAAACUUCUACACCCCAACUGACAAUUCAAGGCAUAGUCCAUUGUUCAGUUGUGAAGAAGUUUAAUCCCAUUGCUCUAGGUGGAAGUUCAACUUAACAGUUUCCACUGAAAAUUUUGGUAUAUCAAACAUUGGUUGGAAUAGUUGACAAACUUAUGUGCCUCGAGAUCUGGCGGGGGAUUGUUGGAUUAUGGAUGGGCUUAGGCCCAUAUAAGACAAUAAUCCCUGGUUAAUCUCUAAGGGCCCAUGCAUGUGUACGGCAAGUGGUCGGAAGUGUGGGAAGUUUAGUACCAUACUGCUACGGUAAGAAGAGUGAGACCUCUUUAUAAGGGUUGCUCCAUCACUUGCUAUUGGGAGCUUGGGAAUAGGAGCUGUACACGUGCGCUCCUCCUCCUUCGCCGCCCGCCUCGCCUCACGCCUUGCCUCAUCACAACGCGCGCGAGCCGCGGUUUGCGGGAAUGAGCCGAGCCAAAGCUUAUUUUUGCCGCUCAUGAAUGAUUAAUUAAUUGUUAAUUAAUUAACGAGUCGCUUACGGAAGCGCCAUUGUCAGACGUUGGACCGUAGGCUGUUCGCGGAUUCGGUCGUGGUCCUGGCCCAGGCCCAUCUACCCGACGGCCUAUAUAAGAAGGCGCUGGCCAGUGGAGUGAACCCUAACUCAGUUCACUCACUCCCUUCGUACAACCCUAGCUGUCAUCUACUGUUCCUCUCUCUUUGCUGCUUCCGGCGAUCCCAUCCCAACGACCGCGUGCACGGUUGGUCGGGAGAGCAGGUGCCUCCGAAACCCUGUCGUUCGAGAUCCUGCCCGGGAGAAUGACAAUAAGGUUUUUGGGGAGCGUCUCGACGCGACUGCCCUCGAUCUGUCCCCAGCUUCGUCCGCCUCUGCUUCCACUACUUCCCCUGCGUCAACACCAAGGCCGACGACGCUGCCGCCAAUAAGAAGGCCACGGAUGAAGCCGAGGCUGCUGCUGCCGCCGCCACGUUGGCCUGGCCAACCGGAGGAUAUGAUCUGUUCAUCCCUCAUCUACUUGUGCUUGUUCUAACCGUAUAUGUGCUGCUCAUAGAUGGUUUGCUUCUAUGCUUUGUACGUGCUAGUACACUUAAGAAUUGGUAUGAGAUGCAUACCGUAUUUGCCAUACUUACUGUUUACUCGUGGAUUACUCUAAUUGGAAAAGUGCUAAUAUUUUUAACAGAACAUGCUCCCAUAUUUUCCAUGUAUAAUCAUUAAACAACACCAUGAAGACUUUGAUUUCUUAAGCUAAUGCCAAAUACUCCAUGUAUAAUCAUUAGUAUUUGGAGUGGCAUUAUCAUCUAAUAUUAUAAGAUUAAAGUUCAAUUCAUGUUGGAUAAUUCAUUGAAGGACUUUGAUAAGCGGCAACUGUGUGCCAGUUAGCAAAACGUCCAAACCAUCCAUCCGAUGAGGCUUGAGCGCUCGUUCGAUCCCAUUUAGUCUUUCCUGCGGAACAACUCGAUUCCCGAGUCUCUCUCUCGAUUCGAUUUCCGCAUCUCUCGCUUGACUCGAUCUCCCUCUAUCCCUUGAUUCUCGAGGUUAUUUUUCUUUACAAAAAAAAAUCUGCCUUUGAUGGGACUCGAACCUUGAUAUAACAUAGAUAAUCAAACACAAAUACUAGACCGAGUAACCAACACGCCAAGCUUUCUUUCUUGUUAGAUAAAUGGAAAUCAACCAUUUAACCCUUGCACCACUGCCGUAAUACAUAGAAAAAUGAUUUUUCUGACUUUUUUUGGUGCAUCAUUGACGCUCCACUUUAUGUGUAAAUUUAUGGAGAAACUUUUCUGUAAAAUUUUGUUUUCCAGUAUAUCUCAGGAGGCUUUAUAGAAUGUGUUCACGUGUAUAUGUAUCAUUUUUUUUUCUUUUUUGAGUUUGAACGAGUGAUCUACUUUAAAAAAUGGCAAAGAGAGAUGAGACCAGCAUAAGCUAUUAUGUCUAGUUGCGUGUAUUAGAUCUACUUUACAAAAUAGUUAGCGAGGGUACGCUUUUCAACAAUUUAGUUCCAGGGUAAAAAGUUGUCGUGGUGCUUAUAUGUAAGUUAUCACGUCUGUGGUGCUUAUAUUACCAUGUUAUUUACACAGAAAUUAUUGGGUAUGUAAAUGUUAUCACGAUAUUUGUACGUAAGUUCUCGGUUAUGUUGUUCAUAUAUAUCGUACUACUAAUUUCACAUAAGUUGACCGGGUGUGUUUUUCAACAACCUUUUCCCCCUUAGUCAAUGUUACCACUGUGUUUGUACUUUGUACAGAAGUUAUCAAAUAUGUGCUUCGUAUGUUACCGUGCUAUUUCCACAUAAGUUACCGUUUGUAUGUUUUUCAACAACUUUUUUUCUCUUGGUCAAAGUUGUCGCCGUAUUUGUACAUAAAUUAUCGGGUAUGUGCUUCGUAUAUUAUCAUGCUAUUUUCACAUAAGUUAUCGGAUUAGGUUUUUCAACAACUUUUUUCCUCUUAGCCAUAGUUACCGGGUGUUUGUACUUAACUUAUUGGGUAUGUGAUUCGUAUGUUACCGUGCUAUUUUGACAUAAAUUGCCGGAGAUUGUUUUUCAACAACAUUUUUCCCUGGUAGUCAUAGUUACUGCGGUGUUUAUACGUAAGUUAUCAGGUAUGUGAUUCGUAUAUUACUGUACUAUUUUCACAUAAGUUACCAAGAUUGUUUUUCAACAAAAAAAUGCCCUUGGUCAAUGUUGUUGCGGUGCUUGUACUUAAGUUAUCAGGUAUGUAGUUCGUAUAUUACUGUGCUAUUUUCACAUAAUUUACCGGGGUAUAUUUUCAACAAGUUUUUUCCCUUUUGGUCAUAGUUACCGCGGUGUUUGUAUGUAGGUUAUCUCGUAUGCGAUUUGUAUAUUGCCAUGUUAUUUUCACAUAAGUUACCGCGGGAUUGUUUUUUAACAAAAAAUCCCCCUUGAUCAAAGUUGUCGCGGUGUUUGUACGUAAGUUAUCGGUUAUAUGGUUCUUAUAUUACCGUGUUAUUUCCUCAUAAUUUACAGGGGGUACGGGGUUUGUAUAUUACCGUGCUAUUUUCUCAUAAUUUACAGGGGAUACGGGGUUUGUGUAUUACCGUGCUAUUUUUACUUAAGUUAUCGGGAGUAUUUUUUUCAACAACCUUUUUACGGUCUAAAAAUUACUAUGGUGUUUGUAUGUAAGUUAUCGGUUAUGCGACACUUAUAUUGUCACGUUAUUUACACAUAAAUUCCCCGGGUAUAUUUGAACAAAAAAAAUCUAGGUCAAAUGUUAGCAUGGUGUUUUGGAUGUAAGUUAUCAAGUCUGCGCUGCUUAAAAAAAUGCUAUUUACACGAAAAUUAUCAGGUAUGUUUAAACAAAUUUUUUUCAGAUCAAAAAGUUACCGCAGUGUUUUGAACGUAAGUUAUGAUGCCUGCAAUAUAUAUUAGCAUGCUACUUUUGCAGAAAUUACCGUUGGGUAUGAUUGCAAUAACAUGUUUUCGAGUCAAUUUUUGUGUGUGCAAAAAAUUUAUUUUUUUGUGUAAAUAACAUGGUAACUUACGCAUAAAUUACAUACGCCUACAAUAAAUUAUAUAAAUAGCAUGGUAAUAUGUAUCGUAGGCUUACAUAAUUUUUUGUUACCAUGAUAUUUAUACAUAAGCCUACGAUGCUUAAAGAGACACAAAAAGUUAUCAUUUUACUUUCUUUCUACAGAUGCGCCUACAAAACACAACGAGUUAUUUUCGCGUCUUUGAAAGCAAGCAUGUAGUCUCGCCUAUCUUUCGCCCUAUACGACGGCACGGCUAAUGACACCAUGGCCAAAGCUCAGCUCACAUAUAGGACUCGACGCUGUCCUUGAGCGUCUCCUGCAUCGUCCUGAACUUUCGCCCGAGCCUCUGCAACUUCUCAGGCCUGAACAUCUUCUCAUCUCCCACCUAAAUGAACCUGCCAACUCAUCGUUAUCGUCAUCAAAAUCCAGAGAGUUUACACCUGGUUUGCACCGUGCACACAUCAAUGUACGUACAGAUUAAGUUAUGGCUUCUUGUUGGAUGUUUCCAUGGAGCCAGCACGCCACUCAGAGAAUUAUCCAGCUAAAACUACCACACGCUCCAAUUCCUGAAGAAAUACAAAACAAGAAGUAAAAAUGCAGAGAAGCAUGAGACCCCUAGGACAGCACCUGUAACAGCAACACCAGCACGAGGCGAGCCCCCAUGAUCCCGUCAAACAUGGCGCCUGACGACGAGGCCGGCUGGGCGCCACCACCCCCGUCCUCGGCAGCCGCCUCAGCCCUUACGGCGUACUCCUCCAAAAUGUUGGUGCCUCGUGGAGCACGAGCUCAUGGGGCAGCGCGGGGGGCUGGGAUCCGGCAGCACUGUUGCGAAUCUGGUGCGGAAGGCGGAUGGAGGCGCACGCCAACAGCAGUCGGUGGCAUGCAAGGCCGGUGGAAACGGCCGUCGAGAAUAGACGCACCUGCGAUGAGAGGUGAGGAAAGGGACGAGCAGUCAACGCUGAGAAAAAAAUAGAGAAUGGGUGAUGCGAUUCGAUCGAGAUCGAAGGGCCAGGGAGUUGUUCGGUAGUUUUGCAAAUAAAUAGUGGAUGAGCGCGUCGCGCGAGCGCAUGAAGCCUUCCUGGCGGCGCUGUUGGAGCGGGUGAGGGAGAGAGAUAACAGGGGGCUGCCAGGCGGGAUCGUGUCCGCUAGAUUCAAAAUAGACGUUAAUGAGAUCGUGUGGUGGUUUUGCAAUCUGUCACAUGGUUGCAACUAUCGGAAUGUAUCUGGGUCACAACUAUUGGAACCGCAUGUGGGUGCAUCAAGAUUGGAACCUUUUCUUCACACCGGUUCCUUUUCUCUCUCCUCGCUUGAUUUUCCUCACAUACCCAAGCCUCUAUUCCAGGCAAGGUUUUUGCCCCAACAUUCAUCCACUUGGAUGAAAGUGACCCAUGGUGAAUUUUGGGCUUGGCACGUGGUAUUAUUUUGGUAAAUGGCUGUGUACAAACGCUUUGUGGAUUCGGUGUUUAGUUUCAAAUUUUUUGAACUUGUGUGCUGAAUUCUUGGGUGCGGUUGGGUGCGGUUAGCGAUUUUGCCGCUCUAUGGUGAAAAACGGUGCCGCUUCCAUCACCUGAUCUGGAGGGUUCUUGCGUUUUUCGAUCAAUGUCGCUUUCAUGUUUCGAUCUAGAGUCUGCUUUUUGUUUCUGGUUUUCGCCGCUGUAGUCAUUUGAUCUCGAAACCUCGCCACAUACUACCAUCGCUUACGUCCUGGGGGUUAUAAAUAGAUCGUCCUUCUUCUCAUAUCAUUGUGCUAGGUUUUCUUUGGGUUAGCGUAUACUGUUUCUAUGGUAUAUCCUUCUUCCUGUCGUAAUGGACCGCGGCGUCCUGCUCGGCCUCCUCCAUCGCGGGGAGCUCUGGUUGGCCGGUGUGGUGGUUCGGGUUGUCUUUCUGCGUCGGCCGUUGUCUCGGCUCGGCCCGUAUGUAUGGAGCAUGCUUCGUCCUCUGAUGAUCGGCCGUUGCCGCCGCCGCGCCCUGGCUGUCGGCAACUCGCUGCUGCUGUCCCGGGCCUCCUAAUCUCCCUUGACCUUCUUUGCGGUGCUGGCGGGCUUGGUGAGCAUCAGCCACAGCUUCGGCUCCGGCAUCGCCCUGAGUCCGUCCAACUGGCCGUCCGCGGCCGACGGUGACUACGUCAAAGAUGUUGUCGAUUGGUUACGGACUGCGCGGAAACCGGGUGUCCCGGCGGCCGGCGCUUACGCAUCCCCUUGGCGGGGCCAUGGUCUCCGCUCGGACAUAGUAGGACGCCCUGUUCGGGGAGCAUAGAUCCUGCGGCAACAACCUCUACGACAACGACGACGGCAUCACCACCGCCGGAUAACGAUCACUUGCCAGUGUGAGCGGUGUGACAGUGGCGAGGGCGGAUGCUCCUGGUGCAGCAGACAGCAGGUUGCUCUGUGGCGCCGACAAGGGGUUAGGUUGCAGCGUCGGGAGGGAGGGGAGGCGGUGCAGCAGACAGUAGGAUAGUCUCGAAGGCGGCCACACUAUGCAGGAGCGACUGGAGCCGGAGUGGUCCGUUGUUAGCCAGGAUCGGCUGUUGCUGAUGAUGAUGCGGGCAUGUGGAUGAGUACGUGGAUCUCAACCUGAAACGUCCAUCAGCAAGGCACGGCCUGGCGUUGCGCACUACACUGCUAUGUGAUGAUGUUGAACAUGAAGUGCACUCAAACCGCGAUGCAUGCCUUCCGCGUUGUAUCCCCUUGCAUGGUCCGACGAGGUUUCACGUACGUCCAGGUUCAUGUGAUCAUCUCUCUCUCUCUCUCUCUCUCUCAUAUUUUUUGUGCAGCUCAACAGCGAGGGAGAUUUGCAAGUGGUCAAAAUUCUGGUGCUAUCAUUGCUAUGUGAUAAGACAAGGUUUCUCCUGAUCCUCUUUCUUCUUGAUAACCAUAUAGGGAUUGCUUCUGUCGAUUAUUUUAAACCUUUUCUUGUAGACUAAAGGUUCAGAGAUGGCCACUAACUGAUUGGUGUUAUUUAGCUUCAGGUUCAUUUUUGUGCUCUUAAGGUGUAGUAUCCCUUCCAUCAUUGCUACGAACAUUUACUAUCUGUCCUUGGUGCAGGAAUUUGCAACCGUUAAACGCACGGCGGUUCCGGUGUUUGAUAUAUUCUUCAUGGUCCCGUGUCAUUUGCUGCAUCUGCUGUUAAUUUGAUAUAUUCUUCAUGGUUUUUGGGAUGACCAUGAUUUACUCCUUUCUAAUAUUUGUUCUAUGCAAGCAUCAAGACUAAAUAAUAUGGGUUUACCCCCUUAUCAUAUUUGUUGUAUGUAGGCAUCAAUACUAGAGAUAUGGUUUUAACCCCUUCUCAUAUAUUUUUUUGAACGAUCCCUUCUCAUAUUUAUUGUAUGGAUUCAUCAAGCUAUGAUGAAUUUGGAUGACAUACUAUUAACUUACAUAAUAAGAUCCUUACGGGGUGAAAAGCCGGAAGCAAUUUUUCUUACUGAAGCUGAACAACUGCCCCAUAUACAAGCUCUAUCAUGUUAACUACUGAUGUGAAUUUCCUCAGCUAUCAUUUCAUUACGAACACAAAACCAAUGGGUGGUCAAACAAGGAUGCCUUGAAUUACCAAGGAAUCAGAAAUUUAUCAUGCAAUAUCAAUAUGUAUUCUCUUUAUGUAUAAUUAAUGUACUGACUCUUUUCAUUCAAUAAAAAUUUUCUUUAUGAAAGAUUAUAGCAUUCGUACCAAUAUAAUUUUUUUACAUACACCAUAAUAUAAAAUUUGAAGUGAACACGUAAAAAGUGAAUAAAAUAAUUAAAUAAUUGGUAUAUGAAGAUUAAUAUUAUUGUACAUAGAAUUUCUCAUAUAAAGUAUCAAUAGGCGCGGCAUGCCACCGCACGGGCAUGAAAAUUCAAAAUGGCUCGCUAGCAAGUAAGUACCCAAUAGAAUGAAUUUGCAAGACAAACAAUGAUCUUGGUGAUAAUAUGCAAUGAUUUCUCCGACGUGGCACUUCUUCGCAUGUACCCCAACGUCCUCAGAGAGAUGAUCCCAUCAUUACAUACAAAGGAGCUAAGACACCCGUUGGACAGGUAGAGGAAUUUGCAAAAGCUCUUGACUACUUCAUUACAAACUAUCUUACAAGAGGCUAAACUAGGAUGAUUUAACUCAACUAGGCCAUCCGCAAUCAUUUACUUUCAUGCAGUUGGAUCAUUGUAUAUGGUAUGUUCCAUAGAACGGUCUCUAUAAUGUGCCAAUAAGUAGACCUUAUUAGUAGCGUGUACACUUCCGUUCAUCAGUAUUUAUCAUACAUUGCUACAAUAAAUGUACUUAUUUUCCAUCUUUUAAAAAUCUUUCUGGGUUUUAGUUAUGCGAUUCUGUCAUUAAAAAUAUAACAAUGGCCUUUACGAUCCGUAUAAAUAUAAUGCAUCACCAGGCUCGGCGUGCCGCGGCUAUGCUAGUAUAUGCUACAGUACACCGCCUGCCAUGUUCUGUAAAAGUUCUGGCCAAAAGCUGUCGGCUAGAGCUUGUCCCUACAUGGCCUGUCACAUGCGAGUUGUCCCUACACGGUCUGUCACAUGCGAGUCCGUCCAACGGUUCCAAGGUUUUUUGUUUUCUUGUACAAUUUGGUGCUAUGUCUCACCCAACGGACUCCGUCAACUAGUUUUUGUACCGUUUUUCUCGCUUCUACAUCUUGCACUGUGGUUCUUUGCAUAUGAUACGGUUCCGUCAGAUCCGCUGAGUGCUAACUAGAGAACCUUGAUAAAAAAGGGUAGUUUUUUUUUUUUNNNNNNNNNNNNNNNNNNNNNNNNNNNNNNNNNNNNNNNNNNNNNNNNNNNNNNNNNNNNNNNNNNNNNNNNNNNNNNNNNNNNNNNNNNNNNNNNNNNNNNNNNNNNNNNNNNNNNNNNNNNNNNNNNNNNNNNNNNNNNNNNNNNNNNNNNNNNNNNNNNNNNNNNNNNNNNNNNNNNNUUUCUCAAGUUUUGUAAUCGAUCGUUUGACUAAUUACAAAGAGAUGAAUUACAUGAGCAUGUGUAAGCAUGAGGACAGGUAAGAACGCCACGAGGAGGCGGCCUGUAUUUCUUCUGGCUUCUUCAUCCAGUGAAUCCAAAGCAUAAGGUCUUGUAGGAUGUUCUUGAGGGUGGUGAUGUUGUGGUGGUUCUGCUGCCUGAAGGUCAUGGCAUUCCUAGAAUCCCAUAUCUUCCAUAGAAUGAUGAGCAUCACUGAGUUCUAGAUCCCGAAAUCGGUGUUGGCAGGUAUGAGGCAGUCCCACAGGUCGCUGAUGGCACUAGUGGGAGUAAAGCCCAGUUUGAGCCAUAUUCGUCGCGCAAGGGGGCAGUUGAUGAAUAUGUGUGGAAUGCCUUCGCCAUCAAACCCACAUCUUGGGAAGAGGGCGUCAGAAACAAUAUGCUUACGCAAAAGGUUAGCCUUACAGUUUAACCGACCACGGAAUAGGAGCCAAGCGAAAAUCUUGACCUGGUUUGGUACUCUUGAUGACCAGAUAGGCGUAUAGUGGAGGUCCGCCGAGGCCUUAGUCACAGUGAGCUCGUAUGUUGUUUUAGUGGAGAAAGGUAGGCCGCCAUUGAGGAAGCGCUCGUCUGGUUCCUGGGAUGGCUACAAGUCCUGCAACAACGACAACAAAGACAACAACUCGGACACAGCAUUAGCAGUUAAGCGAGUCCGCAGGAAGUUUUCGAAACCACGAUUUAAAACAGCAGCCACGCGAGCAAGUGGUAGAGUGGUGUGAGAGAAUAGGUAGGGAAACAAGUGUGCAAGUGGUUUACGAUGUAGCCAAGAGUGUAGCCAAAAGUAAGUGUUGGUCCCCGAGUUUGUCAGAACAAAAGAGAUGGGGUGUAGGAAGGGGAGUUGCUGGUUAAUGGUCUUGCAAAGGAAAGACUGAUUACUUUGUGGGUUAAUAAGAGCAUUGGGGUGUUGUAGAUCAAGCCAGUCAAGCCAAGGAGUUCAUUGUGGAAGUAGAGCCUUGGCGGCAAAUUUCAUAAGGAGACAACGAUUUUGUUGUGCCAGAUUUUUCAGUCCUAAACCACCAAAUUUCUUAGGUUUGCAAACAUUUUCCAAGCAACUAGACAGUCAACACCCGUGCAUGUUUCUUCAGCAGCCCAAAAGAAAGCGCGGCGGAUCGAGUCCAGGGUUGUGAGUACACUUUUCGGGAUGAGAAAGACGGACAUAAAGUAGACUAGUAUGCAGACAGGAGGAUAAGCCUAUCGCCUUUAAAGAGCAGUCUGGCGCGCCAGCCAGAGAGAAUUUUUUUGCAUUUUUCAAUGAUAGGGAGAAAUGCAUUGGCUGGUAGCCGAGUCGGCGCCAGAGGGAGUCCCAGGUAGAUCUGUGGGAACGAGGAGACGGGGCAUUGUAAGAUGGAAGCAAUUGAAGAGGCCAUGUCAGGCGUAACAUGCAGUGGGACGAGCGUGGUUUUUGAGUAGUUGAUAUUAAGGCCAGUUGCGAUGCGUGUGAAACUGUCGAGAAUGUCUUUUAGUUGUGAUGCGGCUGCAGUAGAAGCUUUGGCUAUGAUGAGUGUGUCAUUGGCGUAUUGUAAGACAAUGGGUGGGGGGUGGGGAAAUAGCGGGUGGGUAAUGUGAAGUAGGUUGCAGUCCUGUUGGAUCAUCUGUUGUAGCAAGUCAGCGACAAUGAUAAAAGAGAUAUGAAGAUAUCGGGUCUCCCUGUGUAAGACCAUUCUUGUAGUUGGUCCAGUUCCCGGGGAUCCCGUUGAGUAGUACAACGGUUUUUUCGGUGAUCAGAAGAUCGGAAAUCCAGGCAGAGAAUUUGUGAGAGAAGCCUCGGAUUUGCAGAAUGGUGAGAAGCAAGUCCCGGGAUAGAGAGUCGAAAGCUUUUCGAAAGUCAAGUUUUAUGACCAUGGUUGGUGCUUUCUUGGAGUGGCAGGAGCUGACGAGGUCGGCUACGUAAACAAAGUUUUCGGCGAUGCAUCGUCCGGAAAUGAAGCCGGUUUGGUUGUGGUGCACGAGCAGUGGAAUUAAGGGUUUUAUGCGAUUUGUAAGGAUUUUAGCAACAGCCUUGAUAGGACAGUUUUGUAGUGAGAUUGGUCUGAAGCCAUCAGGUGUGGUGACGUGUUCUUAUCUGGGAAUGAGAAUGAUAUGAGCUCUAUUUAAGCAUUCGGUCCGGGCUACGCCGAUCUGGAAGUCGUGCAUGAAAGUAAGUAUGUGUGGUUUGACGAGUCUCCAAAAUUUGCGGUAGAACAGAGGGCCGAAGCCAUCUGGUCCAGGACUGGCUAGUGGGUUCAUCUGAAAGAAGGAGUCUUUAAUAUCAUCUUCUGAAAAGGGGGGAGUCAAGGGAUAGGAGUUGCGGUAUCGUAUGUGGGUAGUAUUUUUUUGGGGUCAAAGGACCAGGAGGUUUGCGGUGAAGUUCCAAUGAUAGAUGUGAAGUGGUCUCGGAGAAUGGUUGCCUUUUGCUGAUGCAAGUGGAAAUCGGCCCCGCCCGAGGAGAGCGAAGUAAUUGUGUUUUUCGGAGGCGUUGUGAUGCGGAAGCAUGGAAAUAUUCGGUGUUUUCUUCUCCAUCAAUUGCAGCCCGGACUUUGCCGCGCUGUUUCCAAAAGGCCAUUUUUUCUCGAGCGACAUUUUGGAGAGAGGUCGUGGUUACCGAUCUAAGCAUUUUCUCGGCUCGAGAGAGGGGUCUAGAUUCUUCCUUGAGAUCAACAAGGUUAAUGAUCCUUUUUGCAACUAUUUCUCGCAGUUGGGCCGAGGAACGCCGUCGAGCCCACCUUUUGAGUGCGGUCCGAGAAGAUUUAAGGGCUUUUGAUAGGAUGGCAGUAGAUGUUAGGUUACGGUCCACUCGUGUGUUGGGGGCCCAACACGGUUGGAUGAUUUUGUGACAUUCCGUUAAGGUGGUCCAGUGUGAUUCAAACCGAAAGUGACGGGGGCGGGGUACGUUAGUUUGAACUUGGAUGAUUAAGGGGACAUGGUCGGAAGUAAUCCGCGUGAGAGAGGAGAGUGUGGUGUUUGGGAAGUGUGAGUUCCAAGCUAGGUUAAAGAAAGUGCGGUCGAGUCAUUCAAGUGUAGGGGAGGGCCUAUUGUUUGUCCACGUGAAUCUACGGUCUAAUAAGGGUAGCUCCAUGAGGGCUAGGUUGUUAAUUAGCGCAUUGAAAGCAUCGACGUCUCAUUGGUGAAAAUUUGGGUUAUUGUUUUCGUGGGAGAAACGAAUGAGGUUGAAGUGACCGACGAUUAGCCACGGCGUGUGAUCGUCUUCCUUGAUUUGCUUGAGCUCGUCGAGGAAGGCCUGCUUAAGGGAGCGGUUGGAGGGAGCGUAGACGUUGGUGAUAACAAAGUGAGUUGGGUGAGCGAGGGAGGAGAGCUUGAGUGAAGUGGCGAAAUUGUGGUGUACGAAGGCAAUUACAUUAAGUUGAUUGGAGUUGACAGCAGAGACAAUUGCCCCCGCAGAACCAUUCGCGGGGAGGAACAUUUUCUUGUCCAGAGAGCAUGGCAGGAAGGAGGUAAAUUUUCGUUCAUUUAUCUGGUUAAGUUUUGAUUCUUGCAGAAGGGCUCAUUGCGGGUUUAUAGCAAUUAGUUCAGACAGUACAUCACUACACUUGGUGUCAUCACCCAACCCUCUGACAUUCCACGAGCAGAUAGAUAGUUUGGCAUUACUCAUAGGAAACAGCGAGGCACCAUGACAUAGGUUGGGUGGUUGGAAAGAUAAACAAACUAGUACGGACGGACUGAUACAAGGAGGCAUGCGACAUGCAGCUCCAGACUCUCAUAAGAAAACAUAGUCUAAGGAGGAUAAAGCCAGGCCAGGACCGAGGUGUGCGCCUGUGCGUCGGGGCGCUGUCAUGGCGCAGCAGUUGUUGGGAACACAUCAAGGCACGGCAGCGUCACCGGCAGCAUCAUCCUCGUCGUCGGCACGAGCAAUGGCUGAGGCAGCCCCGUCAUCUGCGCCACAGAGGAUGGCUAUCUCUGCGAGAGCCGCGGCGGAGGCAGGUGGUGCGUCUAGGACAUCCAACUGGGAUUCGUGGAUGGCGUUCUCAAGGGCUUGGGCGACCUCAGAAGCAGAGAGACGAGUGGCUUUGGCACGAACAGCCUUGAUGGUCAUAUCAGUAAACACCCUGGGCUCCUUGGCGGCGAUGCGUGCGCUACGCCUGAGGCUCAUGGCCUUGUCAUUGGAGCGCUUGGCACUAUGGCGUAACUUGCGCACCAAGUUCUCGUGGGCGAAUGAGUCUGCAGUGAAGGGCAAGGGGGUAGUUAUUGGUUGAACAUUGGGAGACCAAGGUGAGAUCGACAAAGAUGCCGGUGGAGCUGGAGAAGGAGCAUGGGUUGGCGUGGUCUUACCUGGGGAGGAUGGUGCAGAGGAGAACAUGAUGGAUGAGGGUCCAAGGCGAAGGAAGGAGGAGGUGGAGCUGUCAUAUGGCUUGAAGGCGGAGGGCAGAGCCUGUGAGGUUGGAGGCGGGGGCGCGUCAUCAGCAUCAAGCACCAUGGGAGGUGGCGGUGGAGGCGACGCUUGGCCACCCACAGCGAUCGCCGGACGGGGCGUAGGGUGUGAGACACUGAUGGGGGUGGACGACGAUGCGACGAAGGUCGAGGCAGAGAAGGUCGUGGGUGGUGAAGCACGCUGGGAAGGCGGUGCUGAGUCGCCGUCGGGGGACAUGAUGUGGAUGGCGUUUGGGCACGGAGGAGCAUUGUUGAUGCCGAGGGAAACAUCGAGUGGCGUGUCCAUGGCAGCACCCGCAUGAGCGGGCGGCGGCACACAACCACCGGUUGGGGAAGGAGGCGGGCCACGAGGGAGCUCCGACCCAGAACGAGCCUCGCGUCUCGGGGCAUGCAUGGUGUAGUCUGACUCGGAGUCGGACGAGAAGGGCAAUGUGUCGUUGGAGCGUGUUCGGUGGGUGAUGGAGGCCAGCUUCCGAAUUUUGACGACCUUGAUGUCGUUUAGCGGCAGAAUCUGCACCGCCAGGGAUUCCAGCAGACGAAUACGAUGGUCCACCAUGACGAGGGCAUGCACAGUAGUGUAGUCGCGGCCCUCGAUGCAGCAGUGGUCGACGGAGCAGACGUCUCCAAGGCGGCUUAGGGUCCACCGGAUGCCAUGGUCAGGCCACAACUCAUGAGGGAAUUCAGCUGCCUCAACCUCGAUGAGUUCAUCGAAGACGGGCGAGACGCGAUCGGCCUCCUCGACCGGCUCGAGAGAGACGCGAUUGCCUUGGAACUCAAGUGGGCCAAGACCAAUGAUGUAGUCUCGGACCCAUGCGAAGUCAAAGGUGAUGCAGCCCGCAUCGCGCCAAGAGCCCACGACAUUGAAGUUGUGGGUGCCGGCAUGAGCGUGGAUGGCUGCGUGGAUGAUGGGGGAUGGGUUGUGGACAGGAAUGGAGAGGUGCACAAAGGCGAUGUGACUAACAUUGUUGACAAGGUAGGCGGGUGCGACAAUGAGGGGUGUGUGGUCGAAGGGCGGUGGCGCGUGGUGAAGUGAAGGCUGUGGAAAGGGUGGGGGCGUCGUGUCAGCGUCGGGUGGAGGGUAGUGUAGGUCAUUCAGACGUGAGCGCAGGGCAUGAUGGUUUAGCGAGGUUGAGAGGGGCGGUGGUGGUGGCCGGGAUGACGAGGAGACAUGCAUGGGGAGGUGACCGACGGGGAUGCCGAGCAGGGGAGCAUCCGGCUGCGUCCUGGCCUGUGGCCAAGGGAAUGCGGCUCCGAGAGCCGGUGCAAGCUCGUCCAGACCAAGGGAAGCCAUGGCGUCGGAGGUAGCUGAUCUGGAAGGGAGGGUGAAGGCGGGGUUAUUGGUGGGUCUUUUGGGUAGCGGAGGGAAGAAAGGAAGUGUUCGGACCGACCUGCAGUUGCGAGCUCGGUGGCCGGAGCACCAGUAGCGCACGCACCGCACAGGGUCACGGCAGAGCUGGACCUCGUGGUCCAGGGCGAGGCAGCGGAAGCAACGAUGUCUACCGGUGGAGAAGUGCAGUAUGAGAGGUGGUGUUAUGUUGUGCAUCCUUUCGCUGGUUGAAUUUAUAGGGGCUGGACGCGAGGCCAGGGGAGGAGUAAGGAGAGCGUCCCGAUAGGAGCGAGCAGGUGAUGUCGUUUCUGAAAAGUCUAUCGUCAUGUUGGUGGCAGCACAGUGGAGGGAUGGCAGUCCAUGGGGUUGGUGCGUGUGCGUGCGGGAGCCAGCAUGUUGAUGCAUAGUGUAGUGAGCAGGCCGGGUGUUUUCUGGUGUUUGACCAGGGGGAUGACGGGUGGUUCGUCCGUCGUGCAAUCAGGUGAGGAGAGCGGGAGUGGGAGUGCAGCAGUCGCGGGCAGGCCCGAAGUGUCAGGGGCACACGUUGCAUGGACCAGGCCUAGGGAGGGCGAGGUGCGGAGUGGCUCCUGCAUGCAGGUCCGUGAGCGGGGGGUGGAGUGGGUGUGGCAGGCCUGACGACAAGCGGGUGACACUGAAUCUUGAGAGGCUGGUGUCGGUGUCAAAACCGGCGGAUCUCGGGUAGGGGGUCCCGAUCUGUGUGUCUAAGGCUAAUGGUAACAGGAGGCAAGGGACACGAUGUUUUACCUAGGUUCGGGCCCUCUCAAUGGAGGUAAAACCCUACUUCCUGCUUGAUUGAUCUUGAUCAUAUGAGUAUUACAAGAGUUGAUCUAUCACGAGAUCGUAGAGGCUUAAUGUAGGCAUGUAUUCCGUAUAUAGUCAUACGUGCUUAUGGAAAAGAACUUGCAUGACAUCUUUUGUCCUACCCUUCCGUGGCAGCGGGGUUCUAUUGGAAACUAAGGGAUAUUAAGGCCUCCUUUUAAUAGAGAACCGGAAGAAAGCAUUAGCACAUAGUGAAUACAUGAACUCCUCAAACUACGGUCAUCACCGGGAGUGGUCCCGAUUAUUGUCACUUCGGGGUUGCCGGAUCAUAACACAUAGUAGGUGACUAUAGACUUGCAAGAUAUGAUCUAGAACACACAUAUAUUCAUGAAAACAUAAUAGGUUCAGAUCUGAAAUCAUGGCACUCGGGCCCUAGUGACAAGCAUUAAGCAUAGCAAAGUCAUAGCAACAUCAAUCUCAGAACAUAAUGGAUACUAGGGAUCAAACCCUAACAAAACUAACUCGAUUACAUGAUAAAUCUCAUCCAACCCAUCACCGUCCAGCAAGCCUACGAUGCAAUUACUCACGCACGGCGGUGAGCAUCAUGAAAUUGGUGAUGGAGGAUGGUUGAUGAUGACGACGGCGACGAAUCCCCCUCUCGGGAGCCCCGAACGGACUCCAGAUCAGCCCUCCCGAGAGAGAUUAGGGCUUGGCGGUGGCUCCGUAUCGUAAAACGCGAUGAUUUCUUCUCUCUGGUUUUUUUCUCCCCGAAAGCCAAUAUAUGGAGUUGGAGUUGGCGUCGGAGGGCCACCAGGGGGCCCACGAGGUAGGGGGCGCGCCCAGGGGGGCGCCCCCCACCCUCGUGAGCAGGGUGUGGGCCCCCUGGUCUUCAUCUUUUGCGAGGAUUUUUCUUUAUUUUUUCUAAGGUGUUCCGUGGAGUUUCAGGACAUUCCGAGAAUUUUUAUUUUCUGCACAAAAAACAACACCAUGGUAGUUCUGCUGAAAACAGCGCCAGUCCGGGUUAGCUCCAUUGAAAUCAUACAAGUUAGAGUCCAAAACAAGGGCAAAAGUGUUUAAAAAGUAGAUACGACGGAGAUGUAUCAAGGCUAAACCCUAGAAGCUAGCCUAUGAUUAUGAUUGUUGUUGUCCUAUUACAAGAGUUGAUCUAUUACAAGAGUUGAUCGAAUUUUUUUGAAAUUACUAUGUUCCCCAACAAUGGCAUCCGAGCCAGGUUUAUGCGUAGAUGUUAUAUGCACGAGUAGAACACAAGUGAGUUGUGGGUGUCGUUGUCAAAACCGGCGGAUCUCUGGUAGGGGAUCCCGAACUGUGCGUCUAAGGCUAACGGUAACAGGAGGCGGGGAACAUGAUGUUUAUCCAUGUCCGGGGCCUCUCGAUGGAGGUAAUACCCUACUUCCUGCUUGAUUGAUCUUGAUGAUAUGAGUAUUACAAGAGUUGAUCUACCACGAGAUCGUAGAGGCUAAACCCUAGAAGCUAGCCUAUGAUGAUUAUGAUCGUCCCUAUACGGACCAAACCCUCCGGUUUAUAUAGACACCGGAGGGGGCUAGGGUUUACACAGAGUUGGUUACAAAGAAGGAGAUCUAAUAUCCGGAUCUCCAAGCUUGUCUUCCACGCAAAGCAGAGUCCCAUCCGGACACGGGACGAAGUCUUGAGUCUUGUAUCUUCAUGCUCCAACUGUCCGGCUAAAGUAUAUAGUCCGGCUAUCCGGAUACCCCCCAAUCCAGGACUCCCUCAGUAGCCCCUAAACCAGGCUUCAAUGAUGAUGAGUCCGGCGUGUAGAUUGUCUUCGGCAUUGCAAGGCGGGUUCCGUCUCCGAAUACUCCAAAGUAGAUUAAGGAUUGUGUCCGGCUCUGCAAGAUAAUUUCCGCACACCACCGUAGAGAGCAUAACACUUCACAAAUCUGAUCCGCUGACAAUUUUUUUUAAUGGUGUGCCCUUACGCCGUGGCCUGGUCCAGCACGCACCGGUUUUUCUCAGCCUGCCUCGAUACGCGUUGCGAGGCGGUUUCAUUGGCACGCCUUGCCAGAACAGAGAUCGUGUUUCUCUUAUCGCGGGAUCUUCCAUCAAUACGGACGCGUGCAACCCCAUGAUGCCUGUUGGUAUGACUCCGUGUUUUUAGGUAAGUCCCGAGCGGCUACGCUGAGGACACUUGAUAUUCACCCCCUUUAUAGAGGGGCCGAGGCCUAUCCCUCUUUUCUACCACGCUUGCGCCUUUUCGCAUCUCGAGUUCUAACACCCGAAGCCCAAGCUCAAGCACUUCGGAUCUUCAAUCAUGUCCGGAUCCAACCUUCACGGCCGGUGGAUGGCCUCCUCGGUCACAGAGGAGGACAUUGUGAAGCUUAGGGAGGUCAGAUAUCUGACCACCGACAUUAAGCACAGGCUUCCUGCUCUAGGGCAGGUCAUCCCUACCCCCGAGCCCAACGAGAGCGUCAUAUUUGUUUCUCACUUCCUCCGCGGCUUAGGCUUCACACUUGAUCCCUUUGUGAGAGGGCUCAUGUUCUAUUAUGGGCUAGAUUUUCAUGAUCUAGCUCCGGACGCCAUCCUUCACAUCUUGUCGUUCAUCGUUGUGUGCAAAGCUUUUCUCCACGUCACCCCGCACUUUGGCUUAUGGCUCAAGACCUUCAAUGUGAAGCCGAAGAUGAUUGAGGGGCGACACAUGGAGUGUGGAGGUGUUGAAAUAAGCAGGAACCCGACGCCCCAUGGACAGAGGGCUCCUUCCCAGAGUUGUCCGAUCUAUGGCAGCGGAGGUGGUUUUACGUCACGACUCCCAGAGGCACAAAGUGGGUGGCUGCCCCCGACUUCUGUUCGGGCCCUCCGCCUCAACUGGCGUCACGGGCUAACGUAGGACGGGAUUGGGGGCCUGCUAAUGAUGUACCAACAUUGCAGAGCCGCAUCCGGGAGCUUCUUUAGAGGGACAUUAGCCUUGUCAGCAUAAUUCAGGUAAUGUUAGUCUGACGGAUGUUGCCGUGCAAACGCCGGCCUCUCCGGAUGUGGGAGUUUAAUUCAGAAGGUCCGUAGACUAUUCUACACUUCUUCGGCAUGACGCUCGAAGGGAUGUGUAAGUUAUUCUUCGGACCACAAGUAAAGUGUCCGGACACCACCGAGGAUGCGGGCCUGAGCUGCAACCGCCCAGAUACCCAAGUAAGUAACCCAAAAACCGAACACUUCGUUUAUAUUUAUCAUAACAUUAUUAUGAAAAUCCUCCGUGGCCAGGAAUGGCUCAACAAGGUGGAGAGAAUCAGGUGUCCGGCGCCACUUCCCGACGGCUCGCCUAGUCCCGCCAUAGCCAAGGUGCUUGGUCGUGUGCUAAGUAAAGUGCCCUCAGGGAAAGACGAAGGGAAGAACAGAGAAGCAGAACUUCACACAUUGCACAUCCAAACUGGGGGAAUUGCUACCUCCCCAAAGGAGGAUAGCCGGGAAGGGGAAUCUAAGGUCUCCUCCCCUCGCGGGAAGAAGAGGGCUGCCUCCGAAGACUUGGAGACGGAGGUGCCCAGACAAGGGAAGAAAACUUCACCAGGUGGCCCUGCCCCGAAGGGCGUCUUCACCGCACCAUGCCCGCAAACGGGCCAGCCCUCAGCCGAGUUGUAAGUUAAUCGUAAAUACAAAGGUAGUGCUUCCUCCUCCGAGAACAGUUACCAGGACCCAUUCUUUGCAGGCCGGCUAGCAGCUCUUCUUGACAGAGUUCGUCUUUGGGGGAUCUCCUUCCGGAGAUGAUGGAGAGUGAAACCCCACCAACCUCUCCGCCUCAUGGGGCGGGCGACCCCGAGGUGUCGUCACGGAGGAGUCCAGAUUUGCCGAGGCCAGAAGCUAGUACUUCGGCCGCCCUGAGCCCGGAAUGUUCGGCUCCCACGGGGGGGCGAUAAGAAAGUCCGACACAGUUCGGCGACCGGCCGGAUACGCUGACGGGCCUUCUGGAGCGAGCUGCUCUCUCAGAGGAUCACCGUUCAUUAAUGAGCAUGGUGCUUGAGAAGAUUUCAUCCGCCACAAGCGGGUUGAAUGAAACUUUUACGAGCCUGCUCAGAGGCUUUGAGGAAUGUAACGAAAUACAUAAUUCUUGAUUGUGGCGCACAUGCUAGAUGUGCUCCAUAUGGAUAGUAGUCCCUGAGACUCUCGUUGCCAGCCCAAGGCGGCAAACGGAGGAUCACAUCAUUGAGUAAUGAUCAUACUGUGUUUAUGCACAGGUGGCUAAGGGUCCGGCAGCCGACCGGUCCGUUGAAGUCGCCGAACUGAGGCGACGGAUUGAGUUAUUGAUGCCGAUAUCACACUUGUGAACGAGCCGCUUAACGAGUCACAAGGUAUGUGCUCUGCUUUCCUUAUUUGUUAUAGGAAAAACUAAGAGGAGCAUAAUGUUAAUGUUGUAUGCUUGGACUGUAGACGGAGCUGCUGCCGUGGAAGCCCUGAGGGCGGAACUUGCCCUGGCCAAGGAACAAGCCCGGGCUAACAGUGCGGCUGCCCUAAAGGCGGCCGAAGAAUUGAGAGCCGAACAGGCUGCUCAUCGCCGAAGCGAAGACAAAAUAGCCGAGAUGGUUGUGGAGCUGCAAAAUGCCGCCGACCGGUAUGAGCUCCUUGAAAAAGAGAAUAAGGCUAAUUCGGCUAACCUGAAGAAGGCCCUUGAUGCGGCCAAGGAGACGCGUUCUGAAAUUAGGGAUGCACGGGAGGAGCUUCGACAGGCCGGAGAAAUCGCGGCUGGAAACCCCUAUUUAUUGCGGAUGAAGUUCUUAGAUCCAAAGUAGGCUCCUCUGGAUCAACGCUGGAGCCCUUCAGACGCGUAUGCGGAUCUGGCGAAGAGUACAACUGAUGCGGCCAAGUUUUUCGAGGAUCAAAAAGAUAAUGAAGUGGAAAAGCUGUUCUGGUCGCAAUUCAGUGCUCCAACGCGCCCGUUGCCAUUGAGCGAGAGGAUGGCUGAUGUGGCCGAGCUCCAUAGGUUGUCCGGUCUUGCAAUGAGGUCUGUAAUAGACCAUCUAUGGCCGAAGGGGCCAAAGCCGGACAGUUAUUUUGGUUUAGUGCAAAAAUUCCUUGGUGCCGUGUCGUGAAUCGAUGCCAUGAAAAGGUCGGCGUGCAUAGAGGGUGCACGGAUGACUCUUGACCGCGUUAAGGCAUAGUGGACAGAUAUGGAGGCCACCAUCAUUGCGACCCAGAAUCCAGCGGGAAGCCAGGAUCCGGCCGAGCACAUCUUGGAGCAGGUAACAGAAGGUGCUCGUUUAAUAGUGGCUUAAUGCUCGAAGAAUGUCAUGUUCGAGUGACAAAUCAUUUUAUUGUAAAAACAAUUUUAAUGUAAUUAUGAGGCUAUGUUUAUACUUUUCACCCGAAAGUGCUAUUAUGCCUCCUGUGCGGCCGUUUUAUGUAUAUAUGUAAUCUGAAAGUUAGCAGUCGUUGGCUUCAGCCCCCACGCAUACAAUGUGGGGGUGUUCGCGAAAAUGUGCGUAAUCACACUUGAUCCAACGUCUUGGUCCAUUAAGGAGGUGAUCGCACGUCGAACUAGGCAACCAGACUAUAUAGCUUUAACACUUUCACUUAGCCGUAGGAGUUUGAUGGUGGGGCUACUAUGUAGCCCCUUGUACCUUUGCGUGCAUCCGAAUAUGGGCGCGUGUGUACAUGACCGGGAAACGGUCCUUCGUUAAUGCAGAGGAAUAAAGAUUCUGAUAAGUCUUCGAGUGGUUGAACAAUCUCUCGCUAUAUCAUGACAGUCAGUUUUCGGCUUUCUCUAUUGAGGUGCUCAUCCGGAAUAACCAGGGCACAAUCGCAGUAGUUCUCCUUUGGCCGCCUUAGCUGAUAAGAACGUAACAUAAGGCGGCAAACCCCAGAGCCGGGCAACCCCAACAUUUGACCAAAGACAUGAUUCGGAGCUGAUGCAUAUAAGGCCAAACUCGCAACGCCGAACACUCCCGAAGGUAUUUGGACUUUAUAACGUAUAUUGGGCUGAGUAACACCCUUUAUUAUGAACCCUGUAUUUCCAGGUACGUGCAUUAGUCUGUCCUGGCGAAAUGCCAAUAACGGCAGUAUCCUUUGUGGGUGUAGUACCCAUGGGAUGUGUAAGCAACAAGAGACAAUAAAGAAGGUUUACACAGGGGCUUAAUCUAAAGAGAAACCUUUGAGCGGGGCCCUGCUGCACGUCUGCGCCUUUGUCUCCGUUGUGCCGUGUCCUGGGAGGGUGUCGCACGAAUGGUGUCUGUAAAAAGGAAAACUCAUGUAGAAGAGUAUGACAUAAGCGUGCGAAGAGUUGGCUAUCACCAAUGGAUAGUAAAAGUGUAAGCCAUUGGCCUGUUAAUAAGGUCAAGCCAAGAGUUGGGUUUUAUUAAAUAUCUAUAGCCCCUGGUGUCCUCUAUGGGAUUACAUGUGUGGCGCCCAGAUCAGGUUUAUUUGGGCUGCCGGACUCGUCUAACCGUGUCUGUGGUCUUAACGACCAAUCAUGCGUUCUGGUAUUAGAGGCCGCUUAGAGUCCGGCUGCUGGAGCCGUCUCAUACUCUUCCGCGCGUAAGGAACGCUCUGUAUUUCCGUUGGCGGUGAUGACGCCACGUGGACCGGGCAUCUUGAGUUUAAGGUAGGCGUAGUGUGGUACUGCGUUGAAGCGGGCAAAGGCCGUUCUCCCGAGCAAUGCAUGAUAACCACUUUGGAGGGGGGCGAUGGUGAAGAGUAGUUCUUCUCUUAUGAAGUUGCCUGGGGAACCGAAUGUCACCUCUAGUACGAGGGAUCCCCUGCAGCGGGCUUCAACGCCUGGUAUCACCCCUUCAAAGGUGGUGUUACUUUGGCUGAUUCUGGAUGGGUCUAUCCCCAUCCAGCGGACAGUGUCCUUGUACAUUAGAUUAAGACUACUGCCGUCGUCCAUGAGGAUGCGAGUGAGAUGGUAUCUGUCGAUUAUUGGGUCGAGCACCAAGGCAGCUGAUCCUCCGUGCCGCAUACUAGUCGGGUAGUCCCUGUGAUCGAAGGUGAUCGGGCAGGCCGACCAGUGGUUAAGUUUGAGGGCGACGGGCUCUAUAGCGUAUGCGUCUCUGAGCGUGCGUUCGUGCCUUCUCGUGGGUAUGUGAGUCGCGUGGAUCAUGUUUACUAUUUUUACCUCUGGUGGAAUUUUUUUCUGUCCCCCAGUGUUCGGCUAGCGAGGCUCAUCCUCGUGUUCACUUGGUGUUUCCCUUCCCUUGUGUUCGGCAUUUAAUUUGCCGGCCUGCUUAAAGGCGCAACAUUCUCUGUGAGUGUGGUUCGCAGGUUUUUCGGGGGUGCCAUGAAUUUGGCACAGUCUGUCCAGGACUUUGUUCAGGCCGGACGGUCCCUCUUUGCUGCCUUUAAAUGGCUUCUUUUGUUGACCAGGUCGAGAGCCCCUGAAUCCGGCGUUGACCAUUGUGUUGUCCGGACUUUCUUCCUUGUUUCGGCAUUUGUUUUUAUUGCGCCGUGGCUUCCCGUUGCCAUCCCUAAUUUUGGAUGUACUUGGGUCGCUGGUGCCUCUACGGGCCAACCAGCUGUCUUCACCCACGCAAAAGCGGGUCAUAAGGCUUGUUAAGGCUGCCAUUGUCCUCGCUUUUCUUGGCCGAGGUGUCUGGCAAGCCACUCGUCCCGGAUACUGUGCUUGAAGGCCGCUAAGGCUUCGGCAUCUGGACAAUCGACAAUUUGAUUCUUCUUAGUGAGGAAUCUGUUCCAAAGCUUGCUGGCGGACUCUCCGGGCUGUUAAAUUAUGUGACUUAAAUCGCCCGCAUCCGGAGGUCGGACAUAGGUCCCUUGAAAAUUGGCCCUGAAAGCAUCCUCGAGUUCCUCCCAACUCCCGAUUGAAUUUUCGGGGAGGCUUUUCAACCAGUGCCGAGCUGGUCCCUUCAACUUGAGGGGAAGGUAUUUGAUGGCGUGGAGGUCGUCCCCACGAGCCAUGUGGAUAUGCAGGAUAAAAUCCUCAAUCCAGACCCCGGGGUCUGUCGUUCCGUCAUAUGCCUCUAUGUUCACAGGUUUAAAACCUUGUGGAAAUUCGUGGUCCAAUACCUCUUCGGUGAAGCACAGAGGGUGAGCAGACCCUCUGUAUUUGGAUGUGUUGUGGCAUGCCGUCGGUUGUUGUUGUGUCCGGUGCUGAUUCCGAACUGGUACUCGAUCAGUCUGAUCGUUUUGGUGACCAUAGUCCUGCGUCGGGGCGUGUCCUCUAGAUCCGUAGAUGAACCUCGUCGCGCCGGCCUUUUUAUCCGGGAGCCCACGUAAAUCGUGUGCGGCGUCAGUAGCUGCUCUAUUAUGGUUAUGAAGUGGUUGGUCCGGCCUACUGGCCGUAUUGUUCUUCGGUGGAACGGCUCAUCGUCGAAUUCUGGCAGCAGCUUGCGCUUUGGGUAGCUCUUUGUGUGGUGAUCGUCGCCGUAUUUUUCUUCAGUAUCUAGCACUUUAUUCCAUCUGCGAUUGAGCGUUUCCUGUGUGGCUUUAAGCUUUUGCUGCUGCUUCUUUAGACUUCUCGAAGUGGCCAUAAGCCUUCUGUGGACGUUAUCUCAUUUCGAAUGUGUUUCCGGGAUGAUGAAUGCGUCGUUGUCCGGACUGUGCUCCUGUCUCGGGGCAGUUUAAUGAGUUCGUCCCUCGGGAUCACUAUGAUCGGGCGUCUGCUCCGGGCUAUGUUCGGCGUGACCUGGCUCAUCCUGCUCCAUCGCUGGGUCCAUAUGGUUGUUGUUGCCUUCGGAGUUGACUGGGGUGUCGAUCUUUCUAGCGCUGUUAUCGCUAUUUUUACUGUGACUGGACUUAGAGCGGCGUCUGCUCCGUCGAUUUGGCUUUUGUCCGGGGUUUUAUCCACCAUUUUUCAUCAUCAUCCUCCUUAGGCGUAUCCACCAUGUAUAUAUCAUAUGAUGAGGUGGCAGUCCAGUGCCCCGUGGGUGGUGGUUCUGAAUCGUCUCCUGCGCCGACGUCCAUACCGUCGGUUUCAUCAGAGUCGAAGUCAAGCAUGUCUGUCACGUUGUCGACAGUGGCUAUGAAGUGGGUGGUGGGUGGGCAACGAAUUUCUUCGUCGCCUUCUUCCCCCUUGAGCCGGACAUAGUUCGGCCAAGAGCCUCCUAACAAAGAGAGAGACUUUAAUGAGUUCAGCAUGUCGCCAAAGGGCGAGUGCUAGAAGAUAUCCGCAGCGGCAAAUUCCAUUACCGGAGCCUAGCCAGAAUUAGCGGGCUCGGGGGCGUGCGGUCUGGGACCUACAACCGGACACAAGUCAAGGGGUCCGGAGACACUGGCUUCCUUGGGGAUGAAGUCUGUGUUCGCCUCUACCACCGAUGAGUGUGCGGCCUCCGGGGCGGGGUCCAUCCACCCGUCCUCGGACAACGCAAUCUGCCCCGGAUUUAGGUCCCGGGCUCCUGCAGGCGCGAUAUCCUGAGUAUUGUCCGACAGCAGGUCUAAGUCGUGCACAUCGUGACUGUUCGGCGCUCCUGGCGUAGGUCCAAAUCCGUCGAAGAUCAAGUCUCCGCGGAUAUCGGCCGUGUAGUUCAAGUUUCCGAACCCGACCUGAUGGCCAAGGGAGUAGUUAUCGAUCUGCUCCAGAUGGCCGAGCGAAUCGGCCCGCAGUGCGAAGCCGCCGAACACGAAGAUCUGUCCGGGGAGAAAGGUCUCACCCUAGACCGCGUUGUUGUUGAUGAUUGAAGGAUCCAUCGAGCCUUGCAACGACGACAUAGAAGAACUCUCAAUGAAAGCACCAAUGGCGGUGUAAAAACCGGCGGAUCUCGGGUAGGGGGUUCCGAUCUGUGCGUCUAAGGCUAAUGGUAAUAGGAGGCAAGGGACACGAUGUUUUAGCCAGGUUCGGGCCCUCUCGAUGGAGGUAAAACCCUACUUCCUGCUUGAUUGAUCUUGAUGAUAUGAGUAUUACAAGAGUUGAUCUACCACGAGAUCGUAGAGGCUAAACCCUAGAAGCUAGCCUAUGAUGAUUAUGAUCGUCCCUAUACGGACCAAACCCUCCGGUUUAUAUAGACACCGGAGGGGGCUAGGGUUUACACAGAGUCGGUUACAAAGAAGGAGAUCUAAUAUCCGGAUCACCAAGCUUGUCUUUCACGCAAAGGAGAGUCCCAUCCGGACACGGGACGAAAUCUUGAGUCUUGUAUCUUCAUGGUCCAAUAGUUCGGCCAAAGUACAUAGUCCGGCUGUCCGGAUACCCCUAAUCCAGGACUCCCUCAGCUGGGUCGAAGUUGCGUGUGCUGCAGGAACUGCCGAAGGAUUCACGUCAUGGGCGGUGCAGUCAGACGGUGGAGUCCGAGCUGUAGGAAUAGUGGCGGAUGGUGGUUGACCGUUGGUUUCUUGGGUGCUCGUUUGCGUUGAGAGAGGCAGGGCGGUGGGUGGGACGUGGUGAGGGUUAAGGGGUGCGGUCCAAGGAUGGAUCGUGACGAGGAGGGAUGGCACGGGCCGCUCCAGGCAGGCGCGCGACUGUCAGCAGGCCAACAAGAAGUCUGAGCAUAAAUAGUAGCCGAGGAUAGCUGGUCAAAGAGGUGUAAGGAGAAGCAUUUGAAAUCCAGCGAUGCCUUUUUCAAAAUUUCGAGCCUUACUUCUUUGGAUAGCACCGAACACUGGAACACAUGAUCAUCUAGCCUAGUUGCUUGGAAAAAUGUUUUAACCGAGAAGGAGUGGUUUAGGGCCGAAAUAAUGAGGUUUACGGAUGGCUUAACAGUGUCGGAUCGGCAGACGAUCCAAAACAGGGUUUUUGGUUCACAAUAAGGAGAGAAAAGUGGCGUUGUGUUCUCCGUGUGGUACAUGCUAAGAAUGUGGUUAUAGAAUUUAAUUCCAGGGCGGACAGGCCUAACCUCCAAUGCAGAGUUGAGCGAUUGCGAAGUCGACGAGGGGCGGACGACCAGCGCCGCCAUAGGAGAUGUCGGCGAUCCAUGAUCAGCAGGAGCAUGGCGGGCAGCCGGGUCCGUCGGACAGACCAGCGGCGGCGUGGUUUGGUCUUGGAAUGAUAAGGUUGAGUCGGUUAGUGCUGGUGGGAUUAGGAUUGAGGCGUAGAAGAAUGGCGAUGAGACGGGUGAGGCGGUCGUGAUCCAUGCACAUGCAUCAGGCGACGCAGCACAGAAGGAGUAGGCAGACAACUAUAUCUGUUCGACGGCAAACGUGGUGGCGCGUCCACCGAAUCUAGUUUGCAGUAGGGCGGUGACAAGGAAAUGAUCAAGGGGUAGACUGGUGGAGUGGAAGAAGAUGAUGGCUAGAUAUGGGGUUUUAGUGGCCCGGCGCGGGGGGAGACAAUGGAAUGCUUGGCCUGCCAGAGGGCAGCCUGGAAGGCAAGGCCAAGCGAGUCAUCGAGGAGUAGGGUGUGGCGAAUGAAUCGGAAGGCAUGCUGGAGGCGGUCCCCAAUAUCCACGGCGGGCGGAGAGUAGCGAUAUGGAGGAGCGGUGGUGAGAAUGGUGCGUUGAGGGGGUGAGGCAGAAGGCAUUGCGAGAUGGGCGCAAAACCUACCCUGGCUGCGUCAGCCGUGGAGCAGGGGUAGAAGGAGAUGUGGAUUUGCGGGGAGACGAUCUCAGCCUCGCCAAGGAUGGUUAAGGAGACCACCGAGCAAGACACAGUAAUCCGAAAGGUGGAGGGAGAUAGCUGGAGGGGCAUGAACAUGUCAAACUGCCCACCAAGGCAUCCCUGAAGGUAGCAUGCGAGCAGCAAGCAGUUGAUGUCCAGGCAAGCAGAUUCGACCCUGACAUUGAGAUGGGUUCCUGAGUUCUUGUGACGAAAAGGCGUAAUUGGCUGCCGGAUAGCUCGCCAGCACUGGUCCUCGUAGUCGAGUCCCAUGGCGUCCCCGACACCCAGGGCGGUGCGUAUAGCGCCGUGUACCGGAGAGGCAUCAGGGCAGUCCUCAGCGGGGAUUGGUGGCGAGGAGAAGCUGGCUAAGGGGAGGGGGGUGGAUGGCCGGCCGGGGAGUGGAGGCGACGGGGCGAGUGGUGGCGAGGGAGGAGGAGGAAGGAGAGGAGAGGAGAGCAUGACUUCUUGUCGCGCCCGAGGCCCCAAAAUUUUAAACCCGGCGACCUCAAAAAAUGGGUAGUAGAACCCUCACGGCCGUGGUGGGUCAAGUAAAAUCAACAUGUUAGAAAGGUUCAUUUAAUGUUCUUUGAUUUAUCAUACAAAUUUAGACAGAAAAUAAAAAAAAUCCCUGAUCUCGUACAAAGUUUGUCAGCACACGAGGAAAGUUCUUUGAGUUCUCAUACAAACAAUUUGGUAUUGCUGCAGAUCACGCCAUACACAAAGGAAAAAUGGCUAACUAGCACAGCACGGAGAGUCCUAAUUAUAUCUAAAUAUAUUCACAAACCCUCCAAAGACGCUAAAGAUUCUCAGAUCCCGGGAGGGAAGGACAUCACGAAAUUAUGAGGAUCCUAAACAUGACCCAAGUUAACAGAAAAUAGCAACAACAAAAAGAACGAAGAAAGAACCUGCUGGUUGGACCACCGGCAGAACGAAUUGCAAGAGCAACUCCAACAGGGCGAUCCAAACGGAGGAGCGUUUUGUCCGCUUUUCGUCUGUUUGGGCCGGUCAGGCGGACAUGCGCGUCCGCAUUCUGAAAUGGGUCGGCUUGACCGCUUAACGGGGAGGCUGACCCAAAUGUGCCAGCAUAUAAAAUGAAAUUCUCGCACGAAAUAAACUUAAAAUAAAUAUAAUUAAACAUAAGUGGCCGGUCAAACGUCGGCCAAAGUCCACUUAAGCAUAAUUAAAUAUUAAUUAAAAUGUUAAAAAAAGUCUGCGCCCGCCUUCUGCCGCCCCGCACGCUACCCUAGAUAUCGUCGGCCUUGCCCUUGCCCUCGGCGUCGACGCUGCCGUCGCCAUCGCCGGUGAGGUCGAUGAAGACGGGAGCAGGACCAACCCACCCGAACGCCGCCUGAUACGCUCCUAGGGCAGCCUCCUCCAGCGUCUGCUGGAGCGGCGGCAUUGCGGCUAGCCGCGCACGCUCCUCCUCCUCCUCCUCGAGCCGAAGCGCCUCCGCAUCACGCUGGAGCAUGGCCUCGUAGCGCAUCAGCUCCUUGUCGUCGGCCUGCUCCUGGCGGAGCUAGUGUGCCUUCCAGCGCUCGAGGUGGGCGGCCUCCUGCUACGGCAUCGCGACGAAGUAGAUGGGGGACGCGCUCACCCACUCGCGGUACUAGCCCGUCCACGAGUAGGCCUCCUCCGGCCAAGUGGGUGGAGGCGGGAAGCGCUUCCGCGUCGGCUCCGGCUCCGGCUUGGGCUGGAUGGGCGGCGACGGUGGCGGUGGCGGCACGAACAGCAGGGUGUGGACGGAGUCCCCGCUGCCGACAGGGUGAGGGCUUGCUCCAGCCCAUCCCAGCGCGCGUCCUCCUCGAGGCGGCUAGCCUCCAGCCCCUACUGCAGGGCCUCCUCGAGGGUGGCCUGGUACUCCGCCUUCAUCUCCAUGUCCUCCGGUUGUACCUGCGGGGGCGGCAAUGGGAACGGCGGCGGGACGGCGUCGACACCCGAGCGCUGUUGCUCCUCGUGGUUUGAGGGCGAACCAAGCCUCUCUGUUGUGAGAGUCGGUGGCGUACUCAUGCAGCCGACGCUGCUCCGGCGCGAGGUGCACGCGGUGCCGGCGCACCUCGUCGUCAUGCACUCGCUGGCUCCACGGAACCGUCGGCACCGGGAUCCGCUGCGGAUCCAGGUGCCAAUGGUGUGGCAGUGUGACCUCGGGGUAGGGGAGGGGCUGCCUGUACUCCCAGUGCCACCGUGCUUGGUGCACCGGGAUGUGCAAGCGCCAGCGUUCGGUGCGGAAACAUGCCAGCGGUGGAGAAGGAGGGGGAGGGGAGCAUGGGAGGACAAGGCACCGGGGGUGCCCUUGCCCUUGCCCUUGCCAUUGUUGCUGCCGAAGAUGCCCAUGGCAGGCUAGGGUUUCCUAUCGCCGGCGGGAAAGCAAAGGAAGUGGUGGGGGCCAGAUGUGGACGAGAGAAGUGGGUGAGCCCCCCCCCCCCACAGGACGCUUCUGAGGCUGACGCGUGGGCCCGCUGUCGGUGGUCGUCAUAAAUAAGACGACUAGUAACGGUUGGGUAGCCUACAGGUGGGGACGCGGCGGACGCCAAGGAGACGCACGGCGCGUCCGCGCCGACGCAUUCCAGGAGCAAUAUUGGGCCGGAUAUGGGUCGGCGCGGACACCGGGCGGACACGAUUUGCGUUUGGGUCGGCGCGUUGGGCCUCCACUUUUGUACGCGCCGACCCAAACAGACGCAGGCGGACGAAAUGGGUCACCUCAUUAGAGUUGCUCCAAACACCAUGAUUCCAUCUCAUCUUUAUUCCACCAAUUCCUACAUCCCUUCAUCUCCUAUCUUGCAUGGAGAGGCGGAUCUGCACGUGAAGAUGAAGCAAAUCCGACGGCGACCAAGGGCAGGUCAUCUCUUUGUGGGGUAACCCGCCGCCUGCAGCCACUGAGAGCAGAGUGAACCUGAUCUGGCGAGGCGGAACCACUGCACCGAGCUCCACGACCACCGAUCCCCAUGAGAGGAACCAUGGAGAAGAGGACUGGAGGAAGAGGGAGGUGGAGGCGCAUGGAUCUGGUUCUGCUCGCAGAGCUGGGCGGAUGGAAGGAGUUUUUUGGACGAUGGGUAUGAUGUCAUCGGUGAAGAGAAAAAGGGCCACAGCUCAUGGUGGCCUGAUACGUCUCCAACGUAUCUACUUUUCCAAACACUUUUGCCCUUGUUUUGGACUCUAACUUGCAUGAUUUGAAUGAAACUAACCCGGACUGACGCUAUUUUCAGCAGAACUGCCAUGAUGUUGUUUUAUGUGUAGAAAAGAAAAGUUCUCGGAAUGUCCUGGAAAUCCACGGAGGCACUUUUCAGAAUUAAAAAGAAUUUUUGGCGAAAGAAUCAAGGCCAGGGGGCCCACGGGCUGUCCACGAGACAGCCCCCCCCUAGGGCGCGCCCUCCUAUCUCCUAGGCCCCCUGGACACCUCCUGACCUCAACUCCAACUCCAUAUAUACCGUCUCGGGGAGAGAAAAAAUCAGAGAGAAAGUUUCAUCGCGUUUCACGACACGGAGCCACCGCCAAGACCUAAUCUCUCUCGGGAGGGCUGAUCUGGAGUCCAUUCGGGGCUCCGAAGAGGGGGAUUCGUCGCCGUCGUCAUCAUCAACCAUCCUCCAUCACCAAUUUCAUGAUGCUCACCGCCGCGCGUGAGUAAUUCCAUCGUAGGCUUGCUGGACGGUGAUGGGUUGGAUGAGAUUUACCAUGUAAUCAAGUUAGUUUUAUUGGGGUUUUAUCCCUAGUAUCCACUAUGUUCUGAGAUUGAUGUUGCUAUGACUUUGCUAUGCUUAAUGCUUGUCACUAGGGCCCGAGUGCCAUGAUUUUAGAUCUGAACCUAUUAUGUUUUCAUGAUAUAUGUGUGUUCUUGAUCCUAUCUUGCAAGUCUAUAGUCACCUAUUAUGUGUUAUGAUCCGACAACCCCGAAGUGACAAUAAUCGGGAUAUUUCUCGGUGAUGACCGUAGUUUGAGGAGUUCAUGUAUUUACUAUGUGCUAAUGCUUUGUUCUGGUUCUCUAUUAAAAGGAGGCCUUAAUAUCCCUUAGUUUCCGUAAGGACCCCGCUGCAACGGGAGGGUAGGACAAAAGAUGUCAUGCAAGUUCUUUUCCAUAAGCAUGUAUGACUAUUUACGGAAUACAUGCCUACAUUACAUCGAUGAAUUGGAGCUAGUUCUAUAUCACCCUAUGUUAUAAGUAUUACUUGAGGAAUCGCAUCUGGCAUAAUUAUCCAUCUUUGAUCCAUUGCCUACGAGCUUUUCACAUAUUGUUCUUCGCUUAUUUACUUUUCUGUUGCUACUGUUACAACUACUACAAAAACCCAAAAACAUUUAUCUUUACGUUUGCUACAGCUACUAUUAUUAUCAUACCAGUUUUGCUACUAAACACUUUGCUGGAGAUACUAAGUUAUCCAGGUGUGGUUGAAUUGACAACUGAAAUGUUAAUACUCAAGAAUAUUCUUUGGCUCCCCUUGUGUCAAAUCGAUAAAUUUGUGUUGAAUACUCUACCCUCGAAAGCUGUUGCGAUCCCCUAUACUUGUGGGUUAUCAAGACUAAUUUCUGGCGCCGUUGCCAGGGAGCAUAGCUCUAUUCUCUGAGUCACUUGGGAUUUAUAUCUGUUGAUCACUAUGAAGAACUUGAAAGACGAUCGAACUACUAUUUUGCCCUCAACUACGAGGGGAGGUAAGGAACUGCCAUCUAGCUCUACACUAGAUUCUCCUUCUGUUAUAAGUAAGCUUGCGACACCUAAACCUGCUACUGCUAUGAAUUCUGAUAUGUCGCAUGUUAUUGAUGAUGCCACUUCUGCUAUGCAUGAUGAAACGACUUCUGUGCGCGAUACUACUUUGCCAUUAGGUGAAUUUCUAGAUGAACAACUUGCUAGAUUUAGGGGGAAUGAAAUUACUGAAGAUCCUAUUACGGAUGAUAGUGAUGAUGAAGGUCCCCCCAAUGAUUAUGUAUUACCUGUUGUUCCUAAGGGUUAUGUUAUGCAUGAAACAGCUGCUAUGGAAAUUCUUGCUUGCGAUGAUAGAAAUGAUCUUAAGAAAUUAUUAGCUAAAUGGAAGCAGCAGUCUCUUAAUGCUAGAAUGAAACCCGAUCCUGCUUUUGCUACUUCACCUAUCUAUGUUACUGAUAAGGAUUAUGGAUUCUCUGUUGAUCCUGAUAUUAUUACUUUAGUUGAAUCUAAUCCUUUUUAUGGCCUUGAAUCUGAAACUGUUGUGGCACAUCUUACCAAGUUGAAUGAUAUAGCCACCCUAUUUACUCAUGAUGAGAAGUCUCGCUAUUUAUAUAUCCUUAAGAUAUCUCCGUUCUCAUUAAAGGGUGAUGCUAAGACUUGGUAUAAUUCUCUUGCUCCUGGUUGUGUGCGUAGUCCCCAGGAUAUGAUUUAUUAUUUCUCUGCUAAAUAUUUCCCUGCUCAUAAGAAACAAGCUGCCUUGCGGGAAAUAUAUAAUUUUGUGCAAAUCAAAGAAGAGAGUCUCCCACAAGCUUGGGGGAGGAUUCUCCAGUUACUUAAUUCUUUGCCUGAUCAUCCUCUUAAGAAAAAUGAAAUACUUGAUAUCUUUUAUAAUGGACUAACUGAUGCUUCCAAGGACUACUUGGAUAGUUGGUGUUGGUUGUGUUUCCAGGGAAAGAACAGUCGACGAAGCUGAAAUACUAUUGAAUAAUAUGUUGACUAAUGAAAAUAAUUGGACUCUUCCUGAGCCAGUUCCUGAAGUAAUUCCUGAACCAAUUGAGCCAACUCCUGAGCCUAUUCCUAAACCCACUCCGAGGAAGAGAGGUGUUUUAUUUCUAAGUCCUGAAGAUAUGCAAGAGGCAAAGAAAUCAAUGAAAGAAAAAGGUAUUAAAGCUGAAGAUGUUAAGAAUUUACCUCCUAUUAUGGUCUUAAUUUACCGCGUGAAGAACCACAUUGUCUUGAUAACCCGUCACAGGUAGUAAAGGUAAAUUCUCUCUAUACAUAUGAUAAAGUUGAAGUACCCUCUACUAAAUUUCAUAGUCCGUGCUUAGAUGAGUUUGAUGACUUUAUGGCUAGACAAGAAAGUUUUAAUGCUUAUGUUGGUAGAGAGUUAAAGAAUAAUGCCUUCAAGAUAGGACGCGUAGGUGAUAAUCUGGCUAGAGUUAAAGAUGAACUUCAUCGCGUAAUCAAAUAUGCUUCUAUGGUUGCUACCCAAGCUGAGCAAGUACUUAAAGCUCAAAAUGAUUUGUUUGAUGAAUUGAAUAAUAAAAAUGACUUUGUUGUUAGAGUGGCUACUAGAACUGGUAGAAUGACUCAGGAACCUUUGUAUCCUGAAGGCCACCCUAAGAGAAUCGAGCAAGAUUCUCAGAGAAAUAAUUUAGAGACACCUAGUUCUUCUAAAAAGAAGAAGAAGAAAAACGAUAGAACUUUGCAUGCUUCUAGUGAACCUACUGUAGAGACACCUGAGAAUCCCAAUGAUAUUUCUAUUUCUAAUGCUGAAACUCAAUCAGGUGAUGAACAUGAACCUAGUGAUAAUGUUAAUGAUAAUGUUCAUGUUGAUGCUCAACCUAGCAAAGACAAUGAUAUAGAAAUUGAACCUGAUGUUGAUCUUGAUAACCCACAAUCAAAGAAUCAACGUUAUGAUAAGAGAGAUUUUGUUGCUAGGAAGCACGGUAAAGAAAGAGAACCAUGCCCUUUCCUCCUAAACCAUCCAAGUCAAAGGAUGAUGAGGAUUUUGAGUGCUUUGCUGAAAUGAUUAGACCUAUUUUCUUACGUAUGCGCUUAACUCAUAUGCUUAAAGUAAAUCCUUAUGCUAAAUAUAUGAAGGAUAUCAUCACAAAUAAAAGAAACAUACCGGAAGCUGAAAUUUCCACCAUGCUUGCUAAUUACACUUUUAAAGUUGGAAUACCAAAGAAACUUGGAGAUCCGGGUGUACCAACUAUACCAUGCUCUAUUAAAAGAAAUUAUGUUAGAACUGCUUUAUGCGAUCUUGGAGCCGGUGUUAGUGUUAUGCCUCUCUCUUUAUACUAUAGACUUGAAUUGAAUAAGUUGACACCUACUGAAAUAUCUUUGCAAAUGGCUGAUAAAUCAACUACUAUACCUGUCGGCAUUUGUGAGGAUGUGCCUGUUGUGGUUGCAAAUGUCACUAUCUUAACGGACUUUGUUAUUCUUGAUAUUCCUGAGGACGAUAGCAUUUCUAUUAUUCUUGGUAGACCUUUUCUUAAUACUGCAGGGGCUGUUAUUGAUUGUAACAAAGGCAAUGCCACUUUUCAUGUUAAUGGUAAUGAGCAUACGGUACACUUUCCGAGGAAACAAUCUCAAGUUCAUAGCAUCAAUUCUAUUGAAAAAGUUCCAACUAUGAUUUUUGGAGGUUUUGAAUUUCCUCUCCCUACUGUCAAGAAAAAGUAUGAUAUUCUUAUUUAUGGGGAUUUUCAUAUCCCCGUUGAGGUAACUUAGUGUUAUUCGAAAUUUCUCCGGUUCCGUGUUAUUCGGAAUGAGUUUGUUAACAAGACUUGAUCAACCUUGUUAGUGGGUUCAUUUUGAUGAUCACGAGAUGUAUGAAACUAGAAGGCACAACCUUCUGUACCCUCUUUUUACUUUCUGUUAUUUAGAAUAAAUAAAGCAAAAAAAUUAUUAUCCGUCUAUUUUCUGAAUUAUCCGUGCAUUAAAAAAUAGUCCGAAAAUAAAAGUGAUCCAAAUGCCCUGCAAAUUUAGUAUGAUUUUUUCUGGAAUAUUUGAGGAUUUUAGGCACUGAAAACACUGCAGGAGGGCCAAGCAACAGGCCACAAGAGAGGAGCCCCCCCUCGGUAGGGCGCGCCCCCCUAUCUCGUGGGCCCCUGGUGGCUCCCCUCCACUUAUACCAGCACCCACACACUUCAUCUUCUACCCAAAAAAAUCCCCAUCCAGCUCAAGCCCGAGUUCUAGCUCGUUUUGCUGCGAUUUUUGAUCUCUUAGCUCAAAGCUCCAUUCACAAAACUGCUUUGGGAGAUUGUUGCUUGGCAUGUGACUCCUCCAUUGGUCCAAUUAGCUUUUGUUUUAGUGCUUUAUUCAUUGCAAAUUUUUGCUGCAUAGGUGACCAUGUUCUUGAGCUUGCAUGUUAAAUUUUUGAGGUCCCAAGCAAUUCCAAUGCAUGAUAUAGGCUCUAGGCACUUGUAGGAGUAGUUGCUAUCAAUCUUGUUUAGUUUUAUUCACUUGUAUUUUGAAGUUACUAAAAUUUCAGAAAUUUUCAGAGAAUGUUAAGGAGGCUCUUUAAAGGCUCUUCUAGCCAAAGCACUAAGGAAAACAAGACAAAGAGAAGGAAAAACCUAAGUAUAAUCUUCCUCGCUUAGCGGAAGUACGGUCAUGUGAAUGGCCGUGUGAGGAUUUCUUGAAAGAAGCCAAAAUUCAUGAAGACUUUUAUGCUUUAAUCGGGACUGCAUGCCUCACCGGUUUCAUGAACGGCCGAAUCGAUUAGUAUAUCUUACUUACCAAUACUUUCAUGCAAAACUUUUAUUAUUAUCCUAAGAAGUCACCGCCUGCAUUAUCAUUCCAUUUAUAUGAUGAAUUCAGAGAAAUGUCUUUACGUGAUUUUUGCGCGAUAUGUAGGAUACUUAUGAGGGAGAAUUAGAGGAACCCCAUCGUGAAGAUGUGGAUGGCUUUGUUAAAACUAUUGUUGUAGAAGAGCCAAAGAAGGGCUCUGAGGCAAAAGUCUCUAGCAUACACUUUCCUGUUUUACGCUACUUUGUUAUAUUUGCUAGUAGAUGCUUGAUUGGUCAUGGAAAUAGUGGAAAUUUGAGCGUUCCAGAUAUUAUUAUUCUUCAACAUGCUUUGCUGGGAGACAACACUUUUAGUAUGGGUGUCGUCGUUGCUAAACGGCUAGCCCUGAAUCAUACAAAAGGCCCCAUAUUUGGAGGUAUCUAUGAUGCGCGUCUUGCUGAAUAUUUUCAGAUACCCAUUAGGCACCAUGAGGAGGAGGAGACAAAAUUACCUCCUCACAUUUUAGAUUACAAGAGCAUGGUAGCACACAAGUUUAUUGUUGACAACGAAGAAAAGAUGCUCUUGUAUAGACUUAGAUUCAAUAAGAAACACUUUGAGUUUAUUAUUUUGCCUGCACCUCUGUUAUUUGACUUGCUUGCAGAAAAUCGCCUUGUUACGCCAGAAGCGGUGAACAACCAUCUAGCCCAAGCUUUUACUCCAGAACCUGAACCUGAGCCGGAACCUGAGCUGGACCCUCAUCAUGCAUCAUCUGUCCAGUGGGAUCCGGAGAUGACCAGCCAGUGGUAUCCUGAUUAUACCUCCCACUACACUGGGGAGAGUAGCGGUGGUCCUUGGUAUUAGACCAACUUAGGCCAAAAGCCUAAGCUUGGGGGAGUACGUAUUUCUCACCGACUUUACAUUCAUGUUCACACACUAGUCGACGGUGCUCACACUCUUUCAUUGUAUUAUCCAUGCUAGUUUAAAUUUCUUUUUCUAGUUUUCUUCUUGUGUGUUUGAUAAACUUAAGAAAAACCAAAAAAAUUAGUUAGUUUAAUUUCCUUGCUUGUAGUAGAAACUAAAAUGAAAACCCAAAAAGAUUUCUUGUUCUUCUUUUACUUGUUGGGAGCUUCCCGUGUAAAUAGUUUUAUUUUCUUUUCUUUCUUUUGGGGGUCGAGAAGACCAUAUUGAAAAUGCUUAGUGGCUCUUAUAAUGCAUGAUUGUUUAUUUAAUUUAGAGCCCAUAUUACUUGUAUUCUCUUUUGAGUUAAAUGCUUACAGAUUCCAGCUUAUUCCAAUGCACGUGCACUCUUAUUAUUAUACACAUCGUUCGGUCGUGCAAGUGAAAGGCAAUAAUGACGAUGUAUGAUGGACUUAUUGGGAUGAGAAAAGCUGGUAUGAGCUCGACCUCUCUUGUUUUUGUAAAUAUGAUGAUCCAUCGUUCCUGAGUCAGCUAUUAUGAAGUAAACAUAUUUGCAAUGACAUUUAGAGAUUAUAGUUGCUUGUGCCAUGCUUGAUUAGCUAUGAGUUAUAAUGGUUUACCUUGUGUGCCAACAUGCUAUUAGAAUAAUUAUGAUGUGGUAUGAUGGGAUGGUAUCCUCCUUUAAAUGAAUUGAGUGACUCGACUUGGCACAUGUUCACGCAUGUAGUUGAAUCAAAUCAACAUAGCCUUCGUGAUAUUUAUGUUCAUGGUAGAUUAUAUCCUACUCAUGCUUGUACUCGGUGUAAAUUAAUUUUAAUGCAUGUUUACGACUGUUGUCGCUCUAUUAGUUGGUCGCUUCCCAGUCUCUUGCUAGCCUUCACCUGUACUAAGCGGGAAUACUUCUUGUGCAUCCAAACUCCUUAAACCCCAAAGUUGUUCCAUAUGAGUCCACUAUACCUACCUAUAUGCGGUAUUUACUUGCCGUUCCAAGUAAAUUUGUAUGUGCCAAACUCCAAACCUUCAAAUGAAAUUCUGUUUUGUAUGCUCGAGCAGCUCAUGCUUCAACUAGGGCUGCCUAUAUCUUCCAUGCUAGGUGGGUUAUUCUCAAGAGGAGUGGACUCCGCUCCUCAUUCACGAGAAAGGGCCGGUAACCGGGAUGCCCAGUCCCAUGAUCCAGAAAUAUCAAAGCAAAUCAAAUUAAUUAAACAAAACUCCCCCGGGGUUGUUGUAUGUUGGAGGCACUCGUUGUUUCGAGCAAGCCAUGCAUUGAUGCUUGUUGUUGGUUGGGGGAGUAUAAACCUUUACCAUUCUGUUUGGGAACUGCCUAUAAUGCAUGUAGUAUGGAAGAUACAUCCAUCUCAUAGUUGUUGCGUUGACAGCAAAAGUAUACCGCUCAAAAUAUUAUUCAACCUCUAUUUUAAAAUCGAGCUCUGGCACCUGUACAAAUCCCUGCUUCCCUCUGCGAAGGGCCUAUCUAUUUACUUUUAUGUUGAGUCAUCAUCCUUCUUAUUAAAAGCACCCGCUGGAGAGCACACUGUCAUUUGCAUUCAUUAUUAUUGGUUUGUAUUGGGUAUGACUUGACUGGAUCUAUCCUACCAUGAAUUACAAUGUUUAGUCAGUCCUUGAUCUUUAAAAGUGCUCUGCAUUUAUGUUUUGCGGUCUCAGAAAGGGCUGGCGAGAUACCAUUUCGUUAUAUCAUGUUAUGAUUAUUUUGAGAAAGUGUUGUCAUCCGAGUUUUAUUAUUAUAGCUCGCUAGCUGAUUAUGUUAUUGAUAUGAGUAAUUAUGAGACCUAUGUGUUAUUGUUAGUAUGGUUAGUUCAUAAUAUUUGCUGAAACUUGAAUGCUGGCUUUUCAUGUUACAACAACAAGAGCAACAGAGUUUGUAAAAGUUUUUCUUUAUCACUUUCAGUUUAUCAACUGAAUUGCUUGAGGACAAGCAAAGGUUUAAGCUUGGGGGAGUUGAUACGUCUCCAACGUAUCUACUUUUCCAAACACUUUUGCCCUUGUUUUGGACUCUAACUUGCAUGAUUUGAAUGAAACUAACCCGGACUGAUGCUGUUUUCAGCAGAACUGCCAUGAUGUUGUUUUAUGUGUAGAAAAGAAAAGUUCUCAGAAUGUCCUAGAAAUCCAUGGAGGCACUUUUCAGAAUUAAUAAGAAUUUUUGGCGAAAGAAUCAAGGCUAGGGGGCCCACGGGCUGUCCACGAGACAGGGGGCGCGCCCCCUAGGGCGCGCCCUCCUAUCUCGUGGGCCCCCUGGACACCUCCCCACCUCAACUCCAACUCCAUAUAUACCGUCUCGGGGAGAAAAAAAAUCAGAGAGAAAGUUUCAUCGUGUUUCACGACACGGAGCCGCCGCCAAGCCCUAAUCUCUCUCGGGAGGGCUGAUCUGGAGUCCGUUCGGGGCUCCGGAGAGGGGGAUUCGUCGCUGUCGUCAUCAUCAACCAUCAUCUAUCACCAAUUUCAUGAUGCUCACUGCCGUGCAUGAGUAAUUCCAUCGUAGGCUUGAUGGACGGUGAUGGGUUGGAUGAGAUUUACCAUGUAAUCAAGUUAGUUUUGUUAGGGUUUGAUCGCUAGUAUCCACUAUGUUCUGAGAUUGAUGUUUCUAUGACUUUGCUAUGCUUAAUGCUUGUCACUAGGGCCCGAGUGCCAUGAUUUCAGAUCUGAACCUAUUAUGUUUUCAUGAAUAUAUGUGUCUUCUUGAUCCUAUCUUGCAAGUCUAUAGUCACCUAUUAUGUGUUAUGAUCCGACAACCCCGAAGUGACAAUAAUCGGGAUACUUCUCGGUGAUGACCGUAGUUUGAGGAGUUCAUAUAUUCACUAUGUGCUAAUGCUUUGUUCCGGUUCUCUAUUAAAAGGAGGCCUUAAUAUCCCUUAGUUUCCGUAAGGACCCCGCUGCAAUGGGAGGGUAGGACAAAAGAUGUCAUGCAAGUUCUUUUCCAUAAGCACGUAUGACUAUUUACGGAAUACAUGCCUACAUUACAUCGAUGAAAUGGAGCUAGUUCCAUAUCACCCUAUGUUAUAACUAUUGCAUGAGGAAUCGCAUCCGGCAUAAUUAUCCAUCAUUGAUCCAUUGCCUACGAGCUUUUCACAUAUUGUUCUUCGCUUAUUUACUUUUCCGUUGCUACUGUUACAACUACUACAAAAACCCAAAAACAUUUAUCUUUACGUUUGCUACCGCUACUAUUAUUAUCAUACCACUUUUGCUACUAAACACUCUGCUGCAGAUACUAAGUUAUCCAGGUGUGGUUGAAUUGACAACUCAACUGCUAAUACUCAAGAAUAUUCUUUGGCUCCCCUUAUGUCGAAUCAAUAAAUUUGGGUUGAAUACUCUACCCUCGAAAGCUGUUGCGAUCCCCUAUACUUGUGGGUUAUCAUGGCCCCAACGACAGGAAGGUUGGCUUGUACAAUAUGCACCGUGAGGUGGCUGCCCAUACCAAUUUGUUGUCCUUCCACUUACUUUUCACCAAAUCUCGAAGCAACAAACUCCAAGCACCUUAGAGCAACUCCAACGCACCGAUCCAAAUGGAUGGCAAUUUUGUCCACUUUUUGUUGUUUGGGUCGACCCAGCGGACACCAACGUCCGCUUUCGUGUUUGGGUCGACGCGUACGCCCAACGUUGGCCCGACCCAUUUUGACGGCGCGCAAAAAAAGAAUACAAGCAUUUAAAAAAUAAAAACAAACAUCAAUUAAACAUUAAAGCCGGCCACGAAGGCCGGCUAUAGUCCACACGUCCACAUUUGCAUCAAUUAAACAUUAAAAAAAGUAAACUACGAGGCGGCGUGCUGUCCUAGGUGUCAUCGUUGUCCUUGGGGUCAGUGAGGUCGAUGAGCGUCAGCGCAGGGCCGGCCCAGGGGAACGCCGUGUUCUAGGCGGUGGCGAUGUCGGCCGCCGGCUGUGGUGCCGCGGCCUAGCACGCCUCGUCCUAGGCGUCGUGUUGCUCGUCCUCGGUGUCGCGCUUGAGUAUCUCGAGGUAUUCGCCGUGGUGGCACUCCUCGGCCAGCCGUCGCUGGCGCCAUUGUUCGAGGUACGCCGCCUCCUGCGCAGGUGUCGCCCCCAUCCAGACUGGCGGCACAUUGACCCACUCGCGCACUACUCCCGUCCAGGAGUAGCGCUCGAAGGGGGACGGCUCUGGCUCGGCUUUGACCGGGGAUGACGAGGCCACCGGCCGCACAACACAGUCGCCCGCCGCAGAGAGGGCGCCUGGUACGCCGCCUCCUCUUCCUCCUUCUCCGCCACCCUACACCGCUCGUCCUCCUCGCUCUCCCGAAAGACAGCCGCAAUGGCUGCCUCGUAGGCUGCCUUCCUCUCCUGGUCCUCAUUGCAGACGAUGAGUGGGGGUGGCGGCACGUUGCAGUCGACUUUGCGAACGCCGUGUCGCCUCGCCUCCUUGUGCUCGAAGGCGAACCAACGAGCCUAGUUGGGUGAGUCAAAGGCGUAUGCGGCAUCGCUAUGCUGCUCCGGCAUCAGUAGUGCCCGCCGACACCGCACCUCCUACGCGUGCGCCCUACCCGACCGCGACGCCGCCGACAUUGGGAUCCUCUCCAGAUCUAGAUGUCAGUCGUGCGGCUGGGUGGCGUCGGGAUAUGGGAGAGGCAUGCGGUCCUGCCAGUGCCACUCCGCCUGGUGCACUAACACGUCGGCGCGCUGCCUCGGCCGGCGAGCUGGCGCCGACGGAGGCGGGGGGGAGGGGGAAUGGGUGGCGGGAGCCUUGCCCUUGGCAUUGCUAGCUGCUGCUGGUGCUGGAGAAGAGCCCCAUCUGGCUUGUCUAGGGUGGCUAGGGUUCCCGCCGGCGGGGGAGCAGAGUGUGGCGAGAUGGGGAUGGGGGCUUCUCGAAGCAGAUGAGGACUGCCCCGCCACAUGCUUGGUUUAAAAAAGGUCGGAUGCCGGUUCUUUGCAAAUCAUAUUAAAGUUCUAGGUGUAGUUUUGAUGAUUCUUCAUUGCGAACCCACCUCUUCCCUCUGUGUCAUGUCGUCCGAUUCCUUGAAGGUCGGAUGCUAGUUCUUUGCAACUCGUAUUACAGUUCUAAGUGUAGUUUUGAAGGUUAUUCGUGGCGAACCCACCUCCUCCCUCCAUGUCACCUCAUCCGGUUCCUUGAAGGUCGGAUGCCGGUUCUUUGCAAAUCGUAUUACAAUUCAAAGUGUAGUUUUCAUGGUUCUUCAUGACGAACCACCUCCCUCCCUUCGUGUCACAUCGUCUGGUUCCUUGAAGGUCGGAUGCUGGUUCUUUGCAAAUUGUAUUACAGUUCCAAGUGUAGUUUUGAAGGUUCUUUGUGGAAAACCCACUUCCUCCCUCUGGGUCACAUAAUCUGGUUCCUUGAAUGUCAGAUUUCGGUUCUUUGCAAAUCAUAUUACGGUUCCACGUGNNNNNNNNNNNNNNNNNNNNNNNNNNNNNNNNNNNNNNNNNNNNNNNNNNNNNNNNNNNNNNNNNNNNNNNNNNNNNNNNNNNNNNNNNNNNNNNNNNNNNNNNNNNNNNNNNNNNNNNNNNNNNNNNNNNNNNNNNNNNNNNNNNNNNNNNNNNNNNNNNNNNGGAUGCCGGUUCUUUGCAAAUCGUAUUACAGUUCCAAGUGUAGUUUUGAAGGUUCUUCGUGGCGAACCCACCUCCUCCCUUCGUGUCACAUCAUCUGGUUCCUUGAAGGUCGGAUGCUGGUUCUUUGCAAAUCAUAUUACAGUUCCAAAUAUAGUUUUGACGGUUCUUCAUUGUGAACUCACCUCUCCCUCUGUGUCACGUCGUCCGGUUCCUUGAAGGUCGGAUGCCGGUUUUUUGCAAAUCAUAUUACAGUUCCAAGUGUAGUUUUGACGAUUCUUCAUUGCGAACCCACUUAUCCCUCUGUGUCACGUCUUCUGGUUCCUUGAAGUUUGGAUGCUGGUUCUUUGCAAAUCGUAUUACAGUUCCAAGUGUAGUUUUGAAGUUCUUCGUGGCGAACCCACCUCCUUCCUCCGUGUCACAUCAUCCAAUUCCUUGAAGGUCGGAUGUCGGUUCUUUGCAAAUCAUAUUACAGUUCGAAGUGUAGUUUUGAAGGUUCUUUGUGGCAAACCCACCUCCUCCCUCUGGGUCACGUAGUCCGGUUCCUUGAACAUUGGAUGCCGGUUCUUUGCAAAUCGUAUUAGGGUUCCACAUGUAAUUUUUAAGNNNNNNNNNNNNNNNNNNNNNNNNNNNNNNNNNNNNNNNNNNNNNNNNNNNNNNNNNNNNNNNNNNNNNNNNNNNNNNNNNNNNNNNNNNNNNNNNNNNNNNNNNNNNNNNNNNNNNNNNNNNNNNNNNNNNNNNNNNNNNNNNNNNNNNNNNNNNGAUUCUUUGCAAAUUGUAUUACAGUUCCAAGUAUAGUUUUGACGGUUCUUCAUUGCGAACUCACCUCUCCCUUUGUGUCACGUCGUCCGGUUCCUUGAAGGUCGGAUGCCGGUUCUUUGCAAAUCAUAUUACAGUUCCAAGUGUAAUUUUCACGGUUCUUCAUUGCAAACUCACUUCUCCCUCUGUGUCACGUCUUCCGAUUCCUUGAAGGUUGGAUGUCGGUUCUUUGCAAAUCGUAUUACAGUUCCAAGUGUAGUUUUGAAGGUUCUUUGAGGCGAACCCACCUCCUCCCUCCGUAUCACAUCAUCCAAUUCCUUGAAGGUCGGAUGUCGGUUCUUUGCAAAUCGUAUUAUAGUUCGAAGUGUAGUUUUCACGAUUCAUCAUGGCGAACCCACCUCCCUCCCUUCGUGUCACGCCGUCCGGUUCCCUGAAGGUGGGAUUUCAGCUAUGGGCUUCGGCAGGGCAACGAGGAGCGUUUUCCUUUUUUGCUAACAUUCUCUGGUUAAGACAUUUUUAGUCCGAUUUUGAGAAUAACCAAUCAGUGGGUUCCAAAAGGCAUAAAUGUCAAUACUUUUUCAAAAUACUUUAAACCAGAAUACAUUAUUUUAUGAACAAACUACAUUUUGGACAAAACAUAUAACAUGUGAGGUUUAUUGUGGUUUACACAUAAGUAGUCAAGUGUAAUGAGAGAUAACACUAGUAGAAAAAGGGCCAUUCGAACCGGUUCGUGAGGUCCAUUUGUCCCGGUUCACGAACCGGGACUAAAGGGUCAUAACUAAAGCCCUCCACCUUUAGUCCCGGUUCGAUCGGGAACCGGUACAGAUAGGGCUCCACGUGGCCGUAGCGGCUUGCCCAGGCAGGGGGACCUUUUGUCCCGGUUGGUGCCACCAACCGGGACCAAAAGGCCUCCACNNNNNNNNNNNNNNNNNNNNNNNNNNNNNNNNNNNNNNNNNNNNNNNNNNNNNNNNNNNNNNNNNNNNNNNNNNNNNNNNNNNNNNNNNNNNNNNNNNNNNNNNNNNNNNNNNNNNNNNNNNNNNNNNNNNNNNNNNNNNNNNNNNNNNNNNNNNNNNNNNNNNNNNNNNNNNNNNNNNNNNNNNNNNNNNNNNNNNNNNNNNNNNNNNNNNNNNNNNNNNNNNNNNNNNNNNNNNNNNNNNNNNNNNNNNNNNNNNNNNNNNNNNNNNNNNNNNNNNNNNNNNNNNNNNNNNNNNNNNNNNNNNNNNNNNNNNNNNNNNNNNNNNNNNNNUAGGGUUAAUUUUGGGGUUUCAUAUAUUGUGUUAGCUAGCUAAUAGAGAGGAGUGUCCUCUCUUAUCUUCGUGCUUGGUCGAUGCUACGUAUAGAGAGGACUCGACACGCUAGCUAGCUAGUAAGCAAAUGAAGGAAACCAUUAAGUACAGAAGAUCGUCAUGAACACAGAGAAGUGAUCAACCUCUCCUUCUCCGAUAGAUUGGUCGAACAACAAGUUUUCGUAUAUCUAUCGACGCUAUUGGCUAUAUAUAUAUAUAUAUAUAUAUAUAUAUAUAUAUAUAUAUAUAAACACUAUUCUGAUCACGGGAUGAGAAUAAUAUUCUGAUCACAACAUGAACUUCCCGAGUAACGCGCCUGACCUUCCCCGGGUACUAGGUUGAACUUCAGCUAAAAAGUGUCCAAAUGGGGCUUGCGAUAUACCGUUGGAAAGCUAUGGACACCAAUAUCAUGAUCCAAAUUAAAUUUUUGGCAAAAUGUAAGCGGUUUAAGAACAGUUUUGACAACCGUUUUUUCUUCAUACAAAAAACGUGAAUCAUAUUUUCAAUCACAUUUCUAAACCGUUUAUCGGAAUAAGGUAAAUAAUAUAGCGUUGGAAAGCUGCUGCAAAACCGCUCCUUCGACAUGUUGAAAGUUAUCUCUAAUUCCCUAUGGAUAAAGAGUAAUUUUGAAAAUCGUAAAAUUUCGCAAACCAAAUAGACGAGUUCGUAUUUUCAAUGUAAUUUCUAAACUGCUAAUCCAUUUGAGGCAAAUGAUAUGGCAUUGGAAAGCUUCUUAAAAUGCGCUACUUUUUCAUGUUAAAAGUUGUUUCUAAUUUGGAACGGUUUAAAAGUAAUUUAGAAAAUGGUACAAGUUCCACCGAGUUCGUAUUUUCGAGCUAAUUUUGUAACCGUACGUCCGAAUGCAACAAAUGAUACGGAGUUGGAAAGCUUGAGAAAAUUCGAAACUUUUUUGUAUAUAUUGUUUCUCCUAAUUCCUUACAGUUUUAAGUCAAAUUGGAAAAUGAAUAAAAACAUAUUUUUGGCAUAAUUUCUACAUACUUUAUCGGAAUGGGCCAAAGAAUAUACCGCUGAAAAGCUACGGAAAAUGCAAAACUUUUUCAUGUUGAUGGUUUUCUCUGACUCCCGACCAUUUUCAAGUAAUUACAAAAAUGGCGAGAUCAUUCGUUCUGCCUUUAUCGCGAAACUGAUUAUUCGAAAAUGCACCGCGUGAAGAACGUGAACUUCUCGGCACGUUUUCUUGAACUUCACUCUGUUUUUCAUGUGCUUUUCUUUUCUCAUAUAUCUCUAUCCACGGCUCCUAGCUCUCCAUCCACUUAUCGGAAUUGAGCAAGUGAUAUACCGAUGGAAAGCUGUUGUAAACACGCAACUUUCCCGUGUUGAUCAUUUUUUCAUACUCGCAACGAUUGUAAAAGUUUUUCAUCUGAAAUUCAUUCAGCGUACUAGUAGAACUUCAUGCUAUUUUCACGUUGAACUUCUGUGACGUAUUUUUGUUUGUACAUGCGCCUGAACUUCCCUCUGUACGAGCCCGACCUUCGGUCUAUCUUUGCAAUCGUGGCUUCCCCCGCAAAUUAUUCUGUUUAGUAGUGUUCUAUAUGAUGUUAGUGUAAUCUAGAAAAGUUUUUUAGCAACUAAAUACCGGUUUUAAAUAGAAAUCUCGCUCGCUGGCGGAUUUUGCUCUCGGGUCGUGAUAAAAUUGCGUUUUUUGUAAUUUUACUGCCUGAUUUGUUCGACCUGAACUUCCCCUAGUGCUAUAUUGAACUUCCGUCAACAUUGCCCAAAUGGGGCUUGCGAUAUACCGUUGGAAAUCUAUGGACACCAGUAUCAUGACCCAACUUCAAAUUUUGGCAAAAUGUAAGUGGUUUAAGAGCAGUUUUGAAAACUGUUUUUUCUUCAUACAAAAAAAUGGAUCGUAUUUUCGAUCGCAUUUCUAAACCGUUUAUCGGAAUGAGGCAAAUAAUAUGGCGUUGGAAAGCUGUUGUAAAACCGCUCCUUCCACAUGCUGAAAGUUUUUUCUAAUUCCCUAUGGUUAAAGAGCAAUGUGGAAAAUCGUAAAAUUUCGCAAACCGAACAAUCGAGUUCAUAUUUUUAUUGUCAUUUUAAACGCCUAAUCCAAUUGAGACAAAUGAUAUGGCGUUGGAAAACUUAUGAAAAUUCUCUUUUUUCUCAUGUUGAAAGUUUUUUUUAAUUUAUAAUAGUUUAAGAGUAAUUUAGAAAACGGUACAAGUUCUACCAAGUUUGUAUUUUUGAUAUUUUUUUAAUCAUACGUCUGAACGUAGCAAAUGAUAUGGCGUUAAAAAGCCUGAACAAAUGUGAAACUUUUUGGUAUAUAUUGUUUCUCGAAAUUCAUUAUGGUUUUACGUUGAUUUUGAAAAUGGCUAAAAAUGUAUUUUCGCCGUAAUUUCUACAAACUUUUUCAUGUUGAUGGUAUUCUCUGAAUCCCAGCCAUUUUCAAGUAAUUUUAGAAAUGGCGAGAUCGCUCAUUCUUCCUUUAUCGCGAAACAGAUUCGUCGAAAAUGCAUCGCGUGAAGUACUUGAACUUCUAUGGCAGUUCUGCCUGAACUUCACUCUGGUUUUCACGUGCUUUUUUCUUGCACGUAGCUCUUCAUUCACUCAUCGGAAUUAAGCAAGUGAUAUACCGAUGGAAAGCUGCUAUAAGCACACAACUUUUUCGUGUUGAUCAUUUUUUCAUACUUGCGACGGUUUUAAAAGUUUUUCUUGUGAAAUUCAUUUAGUGUAGUAGUUGAACUUCCUGCUGUUUUCAGGUUGGACUUCUGUGACAUAUUUUUGUUUAUAAUUUUCCCAUCCAUUUUCGUCAGUGUUACACAAAUGAUAUUCUUUUUAUACAAACCUCUCUCACAAUAUUUUUUUAACUUUCUCCGACUGAGGACUUGAACUUACACAAAUGAUAUUCCUGUCGUUUUGAAGUAAUUUAGACAAUGACAAGAUCAUGAUUUCUGCCUUCAUCGCGAAUGGAAAUGCACUGCGUGAAGUAGUUGAACUUCUCGGGCAUGACUGUUUGAACUUCACUCUAUUUUUGACGUGAUGUUUUUUGCACUGCAUGAAAUAGUUGAACUUCUAGGACAUGUCUAUUCGAACUUCACUCUGUUUCACUUUAUUGUAUUUUUCUUAUAUGAAAUACUCACAAUGUAGUACGUGAACUUCUGGUUGUUAUCACUUUGAACUUCUCUCUGGUUUCAGAAAAUUAUUUUAAAACACAAACUACAUAUUUUUUAUGUUGGACAUCUAAAUACACGGUGAACCUGUCUCACAAGAAUUUUUUUGAACUUUUCCUCACCGAGCACUUGAACUUCUAGCAACCAUUUUUUCGUUUAUGAGUUGUUUUUAAAAGUGCAAAAAAUGGCGUUGUGAUUUUUAUUUUUUGAACAGGUAAAUCCUAGGUUUUAAUAAACUCCGAACUUCUCUGUUAUUUCAAUAUGAACUUCACCUUUUUAUAUUUUGAGUAAAGAAUUGUAUUCGAUUUUUAUACGAAAAAAUCGAACAUGGAAAUACAAGGUGAACCUCUCUCGCAAGAAUUUUUGAACAUCUCCGGACAUAGCAGUUGAACUUCUUUCAACAAACCUUUUAUGCUUUUAUUUUUUUAUAUUUUAUUCUCACAUGAAAUGCAUUCCUUGUAGUAGUUGAACUUUUCGUGGUUUUCACCUUGAACUUCUGUCACGUAUUUUUGUUCAACCUCUCUCACACAAGAAUUUUUGAACUUUCUCGGGCGGAGCACUUGAACUUCUAGCAACAAAACUUUAUGCUAUGCAUUUCCAUUCUUUUUUUUCAAUACAAAAUGCACACCGUGUAGUACAUGAACUUCUGGUAGUUAUCAAUCUGAACUUCUGAGAUCAUGUGUUCUGCCUUCGUCGGAAAAAUAGAGUCUCCAAAAAUGCACUUCGUGAAGUGGUUGAAUUUCUGGAGCAGUUAUUUUUGAACUUCACUAUGUUUUUCACGUGUUUUUUUAUGUCGGUCCAUUAUCUAAAUUUGAACCGGUCCAUUAUCUAAAUUUGAACUUCUAGUAUUUUCUAUUUUGAAAUGGUGAAAAUCCUUUUUUAUGAGUUUUGAACUGCUCCAUUUAAAAAAAUUGAACUUGUUGUUUUUUUUAUGUUUGAACUUCUGGUUUUCUUUCUUUAAUUAUGAGGAAGACUUUGAAUAUUUUAUAAACAUCGAACAGCUCCUAUUUUAAAAUUUGGACUUUUUGGUUUUAUUUCUUGUAGUAAUGGAAAAAAUAUUAGUUUUUUUUAAUAAAUAUCGAGCCAUUCCAUUUUUUAAAAUUCGAACUUCUAGGUUUUUUUCUAUGAAGAAAAUCUCUUUUACCUUUUAUUUCUUCUUAGUAAUGAAAAAAUAUCAGUAGUUGUAAAGGUCAAACCACUCCGUUAUUCUUAUUUGAACUUGUAGGUUCUUUUAGAAAUGGGAAAAAAUGUUUAUCAAAUUUGACCUUCUUGGUUUUUAUAGUGGACCUUUUUGGUUAUCUAAUAAAAAUCAAACUUUUAAGGGUUUUUAGAUGUGAACUUAUAAGGUUUUUUAACGAAGAAAAUCCCCUUUUUUAUAAAUUUGUGUUGAGAUGCUUUUGUUUUUCUUAGUUUGACCUUCUUGGAUUUGUAAUAAACAUUGACCUUCUUCAUCUUUUAAAUUCGAACCUGUAGUAUUUUCAAGAAAUGGGGAACUCCAUUUUUUAUAACUUUUGAAAUGAUCAUUUUUUUAAAAUUUGAUCUUUUUGGUUAUCUUUUUUCUAUAACUGGAAAAAUCCAUGGGAAUUUUUUUGUAUACUCAUAACAUCUUAUUUGAACUCUGAAAUUUAUUAAAUUUCAACUUCGAAAGUUAACAUUUAUAAGAGACUUUUUUUGUUAUCUUCAUUAAUUAUAAAAAUUGCACUACUCUUUUAUUUGAAUGUGAACUUCUUUGUUUUUGUAUUAGCGGGAAAUUUCGAGUUUUCCAAUCGCUUUGUUAUUUAAAUUUGUAUUGCUUCAUUAUUGAAAGUUGAACUUUGAGUUUUUGUUUUUUGAUGAGACCGGGCUGCAGAACAUACGCCCAAAGCAAGCACAAAAUGCGUUCAAUUUUUUUGUUCAGAUACACACACGAACACCCGAAGAGCAAGAUUACAAAAAACAGAAAAUAAAGUCCAUGCGUUUUUUCUUUUCUAUUCAGGAUUUACACACACGAACUUCUUGGUUUAAUCGUUAGUAACCAAAAAAAAUUGAGUUUUUAUAAUAAAUAUUGAACUGCUCCGUUUUAUGAAAUUGAACUUCCUCGUUUAGUAUUUAGUAGCAAGGAAAAUCUAGGGUUUUUAUAUACAUUGAACUUUUUAUUUUUUAAAAUUGAACUUAUUGGUUUUUUCAAUUUGGACUUCUUGGUGUUAUUCAUGUGUAACAGGAAAAAAAUCCUAUUUUUGUAAUAAACAUCGUACCACUCAAUUUUAAAUUCAGUUUUGUAGAAAACAUCACGCAUAGUUGAAUUGCAACUCAAAUUUUUAUUUUUUGAACUUUUGCAUUUUUUAGUAGUAGUUCAUGGGUUUUGUUUUAUUUUGAUAACUAGAUCUUUUUUUUACUUUUUCUUCCUUACAUUUAAUAUUUGAACUUCGGGUAUCCCAUAUUUUUACGUAAUGAAAGAGCAAAAGAUCUCUAGAGUUCACUUGUUUUGCAACAAGCAGACUGCAUAAAUCACAAAAGUUGUCUACUUUUAUAGUUGGAAAUAUAUCGAGCAGAGAUGGAAAAUUAUGUUCAAAGGGAAGCAAAUGUCCCUUAGUAUUUGAUCCAGACAAAAUAUUUUUUUCCUUUUCUUUUGGAGCAUAAACACAAGCAGCUUUAGAGAGCAUACUUUUUUGUUCUUACUGGAUAAGAAUUUUGAACUUAUGCAAUUGGCGUAUUUUAAAACCCAAGGAGAUUUUGCCCGCGCCUUGGACCCCACAACAUAGAUCCACCGCACGAGUUGCUCGUCGUCGGCCGAUGAAGGAAAUGUGGCCAGUCUGGUGUUAGUUUUCUAAACUCUCUGGUCUUUUGUUUCUGGAUUUCCUAGGCAGUAAUAUAUGAACUUCUCGACAUGAGAAUUUUUUGCCAAAUAUCUAAGGCGUAAAACAUACACAAAAAGUGAAGAGGAGAAUAUGUAAAACGUGUCUUCAAAAACUGUGGAAAUUUGGGAAUCGUCUAAGCAUAACGAUCAGCAGCGAAAACACGGUGCACACUUGACAACAAAUAUUCUGAAAUGACCUAUCCACACCGGGCCCUUUUCUAUAUAAGAAAAGGCACUAACUAAUAGCGCACAUAUUUCUCCGCUACACAUUUCCUCAGUAUCUUCUCUCACCUUCAUCCAUUCAGUGUUGCUAUGCGUUAUCCCCUCUCUCAAAUACUCCCUCUGUAAACUAAUAUAAGAGUGUUUAGAUCACUAAAUUAGUGAUCUAAAUGCUCUUAUAUUAGUUUACAGAGGGAGUACAUAGCAGAACAUCUUGAUUUUUGAGAAAACAACCUUAAUGGACCACCUGACAUUGGGCGCCCUGCAAAGCAACAUGCAUGAUCUCCGAUGCUUGUUGUACCCUUUUUCUUUAGAUCAAGUUGAAAUUUGUUCUUAGCUUCAGUGUGUUCUUCGUCAUCUUUCUGCCUGCAAAAGGUAAUCAGUUUGUGCAACUUGCUGCUAUUAGUUGGUCUGCUUGGGAGAAGGCCACUGUCGCGGCUGUUGACAGGAAGGUUGGGACUUCUGGGAGCCCAUGGUGCUUGCCCACUUGGUUCUCGGCUACAAACGCAAGACCACAGUGAUACGAGAGGCACUGCAGUUCAAGUGCGCCCCAGUGGACCUGCGCUCGGCUUGGCACGCGCAAGUUGGCGGAGUGUCAACGCGCUAUGGUCUACGGCCGAGGUACUAUGUGAACGGCAGCAGGCUGGUGUCGCGUGUGCGGCAACAGAGAGAGGAGUUGCGGAAGUUCGGCUAGAGACGCGAUGGUAGGGCACACGUGAUGGAUGGAGACCAGGCCUACCGUGCGGCAAGAGGGAAGCUACGCCAUGGGGCAAAGGUGCUUUUGGAGACGAGGCACUGCAGUUGCAGAUGGAGGCGGCACACUCGGACCGGCGGAGUCAUGUGCGUGAAGGUGCCGCACCUUCUGCCGGAGGUGGCUCGCCGGCUCCUUGACUGUGGAGGCGCGCCGGCAGGUUGGCCGGCGGAGCCACGCUGGGGCGGCGAGAUGCAGGGCGGUGGCGCGUUGAAGGGUGGAGGCGCGGGGGGGUGGCCAGAUCCAGGAGGCGGCGGGAGGCGAUCUUGGAUGGAGAGAGGCGCGUCGGGGCCGGGGCGACGGCGGUGAGAGGCGUGUCGGGGGAUGGGGGCCGACGGUGUGAGGCGCGCCAGGGCCGGGGCUGGGGCGACGGCAGCGAGAGGCGCCGGAUCAAGGGAGAGGGAGGCGUCGUGGCGGUGGAUCCAGGGGCAGGGGAUCGGGGCAGGUUGGGGACGAGCGGUGGUGGGAUGGGAUUUUUUCUUUUUCGCAGCACGGGGAGUUCGGGAACAAGCCGAACCCUCAUAUAUAGGCGCCUGGUGAUUCAAAUAACUNNNNNNNNNNNNNNNNNNNNNNNNNNNNNNNNNNNNNNNNNNNNNNNNNNNNNNNNNNNNNNNNNNNNNNNNNNNNNNNNNNNNNNNNNNNNNNNNNNNNNNNNNNNNNNNNNNNNNNNNNNNNNNNNNNNNNNNNNNNNNNNNNNNNNNNNNNNNNNNNNNNNNNNNNNNNNNNNNNNNNNNNNNNNNNNNNNNNNNNNNNNNNNNNNNNNNNNNNNNNNNNNNNNNNNNNNNNNNNNNNNNNNUUACGUCCCCUAACAUCUGAACUUAACUUUCACAUGGUAUUUUCGUGUUUGUUGAUGAGUUGGUCAAGAAAGAAUCCCGCCAAUUCCUCUUAAAUUGCUCAUAUGCGAUCUUGUGGUAGUAGUUCGUCUCGCGUCUGCCACAUCUAAUUUCAAGAAGGGGGUCAGUACAUAUAUAUGAAUGAAACUGAACACAAAUGAUGGUAAUAAAAAAAUUGUGAAUAUUAUUGCUUACGCACUUCAUAUUGUUGUUUAGAGUAGCCCCGCUCACAGGUGGUGUGGUGGAUGAAGUCGCAAAUGUAGUAUCCACACAAAUCAUUCUCGGUUUCUGCCACAAUCACUUUACAAGAAAUAGAGAUCAAUCAAACUAAUAAGCAAGCAUGCUAAAUGGUAUUGAUGAAACUAGCUAGAAUCAAUGUGAGAUGCGCGGAACUAACUAGUAGCUAGUACUUACUUUCGGGUGGUCAAAUCGCAGUUGCGCCGGCAGUCCCGGAGCUUGUGCGAUGAACUUUUUCCAAACCCUGUCAGACAAAGAAAACAACUACUUGAUAUCAGGAAAUGAACAAAGUUGCCGAUAUGGUGCGAUAAUGAUCGAUUGAACUUACUUCUCGAGCAUUUUAGUCAUGGUCGCAUAUUCCUCCAGAUUUUUUCGUUUGGAGUCUAUGACGGUUACUAGUCCUUGCUCAAGCUUAAUCUCUAGUAGAAUAAAGUGGUACCUGUGCAUGCAUGCAUAACUCAUCAAUUACAUUAUUAUAACCUCAAGUAAUAAGGGAAACCGAAUAUGCACAAGACAGUAACACUCACUUGUAUUCGUAAGGAAAGAGUAUUGUAGCUUUGUUUUAAUUUCGAAGUAACGAUGCGAGCAACUUGGCCUCGGUUUGUCUGGCAUCAUGUUUAACACUCCAUUCAUCCAUGAGAUUUGUGUUAAUGAACCCAAUAUCACCUACUUGUCUUUUCUUCAAUUCAGCGAUCUUCAAUCUGCAUAAUAUAGUGAGGAUAAUUAUAUAUACACGCAAUGAAAGAGCUGAGAUAUAUACAGAGACUUAACUAAUUACAGAAAAGUAGUACUUAAAGUAGUACUUACAGACAAUAGCAAGUGAUGAUUGUUUUAUCGAGGGCCAUUUGAUUGUAGAACUGGAAGAAUUCCUCAAAUGGAACUGACAACAGAUCAAUUCCAACGAGGUCAUGCUCCUCUUUAACCGAUAACGACAAAGUAUUUUUCCCAGACUCCGUGCAGAUGUCCAUGUUCCAAUCAUGGAAUCUUUGCAUCAUCGUUGUUAGUGAUGUACCAGGUCUGGCGAGAGGCUUCCCGUGCUCGAAUCUGAAUAUGUCCACCUCCAUUGUUCCAAAAAUUAUUGCAUCGUCGUCGGCCAUGUAAUCUCCAGGGUUGGUACCGGGCAGCACCCCCGGAAGAUUAGCGACGAUAUCGCUAGACACAUUGAGCGGGGGGCACGAUUGCUUCGCUUGUUCGUCGAGCUGGGGAAUUUGUUUCACUUUUCUUCAUUCCGCUCCUGGCUGUAGUGCCUCCCGUUUAGAGGCUUGACAGACGAUGGACCGUAUCUGUAUUGCCUCCUGCCUCUGGCUGUACUGCUAGACGCCGGAGCAGUCGGAGCGGUUGCGGCUGUCUUCUUUCGGUCGUUAAGAGGCGGAGCAGCCGAAGGCGGACUGCUACGACGCGCUGGAGCAGCCGGAGCGGCGGCGUCUAUGUUCCACCAUUGCUUACGAGGCGGCGAAGGAGGAGGCGGGCUGCUCGGACGGGCCGGAGCAGGCGGAGAAGGAGGCGGAGUACUGCCGUCCUCACGCGUUGGAGCAGGAGGUGGAGUGCCCUGAUCACUCGCCGGAGGAGGAAGAGGAGGCAGAGGAGGCGGAGUGCCCAGCUGACUAGCAGGAGCCAUGAAGUUCAGAAGCUUGAUGUGCUCCUUCCGCCAUAGACACGGAGUAUGCAUAGCAAGACCCAGCUGAGUCUCCCCAUCACCUGUAGGGUGGUCAAGCUGGAGCUCCUCAAAUCCCUCCAUUAUUUCGUCCACCAUCACAACAGCAUAGCCUUGUGGAAUCGGACGGCAGUGAAAAGUUGCUCCGGGUGAAGGAGGGAACACAUAGCUGACAACCGCCUUGACUUUGAGCUGAUCCCAUUGCGUCAUAAGGUGGCACUGGUGUGAAUCCGUGAUAAAAUCCAUGGGGUAGCUAGGACCCGUCAACAAGUCAGGCUGCUGAAUGAGCUCAGUGGAAGCCAUACUGCUUCUCCGCUGAGAUGGUGGGGUAGCUUCUAGGGUAGCAUCUUGGGCGGGAUCUCGCAGCUGCUGGUUCUCAGCAUCUCGUUCCUCUAGCUUUCUUACCCUUGCCUUAAGCUCCUGCAGUUUGCUCGGGUCCAUUUUCCUCCUCCUCUUUUGGGUUUUGUAACCGCCUGCGUCGAGAAAGCCAACCUUCCAUGAAACGGAGCCUGGCGUGCCUCGUGUUCGUCCAGGGUGCUCAGGAUUCCCGAGGGCCCUUGUGAGCUCGUCUUUCUCUCUGUUGAGAACGAACUUCCCUUCCUGCACUUUGUUGAUUGCUUUCAAAGCUUCGUGAUGGGUGUUGCACAUUGCUCAUCCGUCUAGCAGCACUUCCCUGUUUCAGGGUCCAAUGUUCCACUAGCCCCGAAGAACCAAGUCCUACAACGGUCUGGCCAGUGCGAUGUCUCUGAUUUGACCCGUUUAGCAAUCAGGUCCUACUCAGCCUUGUCCCACAACGGCCGGGCUUUGAGGUAGCCACCUGACCCCAUGCGAUGGUAAUGCUCCUUCUUUGCAGCAUUUAUCUUGUUAGUCGCUGACAUCUUCUUACCCCUCUCCGAUGUCUUGUUGACCACAAAUGCGGGCCAGUGAUCUCUUAUCUUCUCAAAUCGGCCGGUGAAUUCUGGAGUAUUGUCUUGGUCGACAUACGUUGUUUUCAACUCAUUCUUCCACCUCAUGAAUAGAUCUGCCAUCUUCUUGAGAGCAUAGGACUUGAUCAAUGGCUCUAUAACUAGAUUCUCCGAAUCCUCCUCUUCCGAUAGGGUGAAAUUUACCUUCAGCGCUUUCCAAAGAUCUACUUUAUGUCUAUCUUCGACAAAAGGAACUUGAAGAAGCUCUUCCUUCUUAGGCUCAUUCCAUAGCUCGAUGCUGAUCGGGAUCAUGUCCCUAACAAGAACCCCGCACUGAGCAGAAAAUGCUUCCUUGGUCUGGAGGGGUUUAAUCGGUUGGCCAUCGCACGCAAUUUCUGUGAUCGUGAACCUUUCAUCCUGACGCAACUUUUUCUUCGGGCCUCGUUUCUUUAAUGAAGUAUUGCUUAAUCCGGAGGGCUAUAUAAAAGAAGAAAGAAGAGUUAAUAUAUGUACAUACCAAAACAAUUAAUGCACAUUUAGCUAGUCCAGGCUUAAUAUAUAUAUAUAUAUAUAUAUAUAUAUAUAUAUAUAUAUAUAUAUAUGUAUGUAUAUAUAUAUAUAAACAUUAUUCUGAUCACGGGAUCAGAAUAAUAUUCUGAUCACAACAUUAACUUCCCGAGUAACGCGCCUGACCUUCCCCGAGUACUAGGUUGAACUUCAGCUAAAAUUUGUCCAAAUGGGGCUUGCGAUAUACCGUUGGAAAGUUAUGGACACCAAUAUCAUGACCCAAGUUAAACUUUUGGCAAAACGUAAGCGGUUUAAGAGCAGUUUUAAAAACCGUUUUUUCUUCAUACAAAAAACGUGAAUCGUAUUUUCGAUCGCAUUUCUAAACCGUUUAUCGGAAUGAGGUAAAUAAUAUAGCGUUGGAAAGCUGCUGCAAAACUGCUCCUUUGACAUGUUCAAAGUUUUCUCUAAUUCCAUAUGGAUAAAGAGUAGUUUUGAAAAUCAUAAAAUAUCGCAAACCAAACAGCCGAGUUCAUAUUUUCAAUGUAAUUUCUAAAAGGCUAAUCCAUUGAGGUAAAUGAUAUGGCAUUGGAAAGCUUGUGAAAAUGCACUACUUUUUCAUGUUAAAAGAUUUUUCUAAUUUGGAACGGUUUAAAAGUAAUUCAAAAAAUGGUACAAGUUCCAUCGUGUUCAUAUUUUCGAGCUAAUUUUUUAAUCGUACGUCCGAAUGCAACAAAUGAUACGGCAUUGGAAAGCUUGAGAAAAUUCGAAACGUUUUCCUAUAUAUUGUUUCUCCUAAUUCCUUACAGUUUUAAGGAAAAUUGGAAAAUGCCUAAAAACGUAUUUUUGGCGUAAUUUCUACAUACUUUAUCGGAAUGGGGCAAAUAAUAUACCGCAGGAAAGCUAUGGAAAGUGCGAAACUAUUUUAUGUUGAUGGUUUUCUAUGAUUCCUAGCCGUUUUCAAGUAAUUGCGAAAAUGGCGAGAUCGUUCGUUCUGCCUUUAUCGCGAAAUUGAUUCUUCGAAAAUCCACCGCAUGAAGAACCUGAACUUCUCGGCACGUGUACUUGAACUUCACUCUAUUUUUCACAUGCUUUUUUUGCUCGUAUAUCUCUAUCCACUGCUCCUAGCUCUCCAUCCACUCACCUAAAUUGAGCAAGUGAUAUACCGAUGGAAAGCUGCAUAAAACACGUAAUUUUCCCGUGUUGAUCAUUUUUUCAUACUCGCAACGAUUUUAAAAGUUUGUCAUCUGAAAUUCAUUCAGCGUAGUAGUUUAACUUCAUGUUGUUUUCACGUUGAACUUCUGUGACGUAUUUUUGUUCAACCUCUCCCACACUAGAAUUUUUGAAGUUUCUCCAGUCGAGCACUUGAACUUCUAGCAACAAAACUUUAUGCUUUGCAUUUUCAUUCUUUUUUAAUACAAAAUGCACAUCGUGUAGUACGUGAACUUCUGGGAGUUAUCAAUCUGAACUUCUCUCAGUUACGUGAAAAUAUCUGAGUUUUUUAUGAAUAUUAAUCUGAAUUUCUUAAUCCUUUUUUUAUGAAUUCUAAAGCGGUCUAUUUUUAAAAGUUGAACUUCUUGUUAUUUUAUUUUUUAACUUCUUGUUAUUUUAGUUUUGAACUUCUUAUUUUCAUUCUCUAAUAACGAGGGAAAUCCAAGUUUUCUAUAAUCAUCGAACUUCUCCAUCUUUUAAAUAUGGACUUCCUGGGUUUUUCUUAAUCUUUUUUAUGAAAUUUUGAAGCGCUCUAUUUUUAAAAGUUGAACUUCUUGUUUUUUAAUUUUUGAACUUCUUAUUUCCAUUCUUUAAUAACGAGAAAAAUUUGAGUUUUCUAUAAUCAUCGAACUUCUCCAUCUAUUUAAUAUGUACUUUCUGAUUUUAUUUCUUGAUCUUUUUUAUGAAAUUUUCAAGCACUCUAUUUUUAAAAUUUGAACUUAUUGUUAUUUUAUUUUUGAAGUUCUUGUUUCCAUUCUUUAAUAACGAGGAAAAUCACCGAACUUCUCCAUUUAUUUAAUAUGGACUUCCUGGUUUUAUUUCUUAUUCUUUUUUAUGAAAUUUUGAAGCGCUCUAUUUUAAAAUUUGAACUUCUUGUUAUUUUAUUUUUGAACUUCUUGUUUCCAUUCUUUAAUAACGAGGAAAAUCAUUGAACUUCUCCAUCUAUUUAAUAAACAUCGACUCAUUCCGUAUAUUCAAAUUUGAACUUCUAGGGUCUUUUUUAAAGGACAAAAUCCGUUUUUAUAUAAAAUUGUUUGGGAUGCUUUUUUUACAUUCUUUCGGUUUGUAAUAAACAUUGAACUUCUUCCUCUUUUAAAUUUGAACCUCUAGGUUUUUUGUAGAAAUGGGGUAAUCCAAUAUUUUUAUAAUUUUUAAAAUGAUUAUUUUUUGUAAACAUCGAACUGAUCGGUUUUUUCAAUUCGAACUUAAUAGUUUUAUUACAAAAAAUUGGAACGUGAAUUCCCUCGGGGUUUUUUGUCAAGAAAAAUCGACAAAAUAACAUCUUUUUUAAUGAUACUGUAAAUUUUUGUACAUUUUUUCCAUGUACUGAUGAAACUUUUUCUCCAUGUGUUCUUACUCGUUUUCUUUCUCUAAUUCUCCCUAGUGUUUUUUAUAAACAUCGAACUUCGCUAGUUUUAAAAUUUGAACUUCAUAGUUUUAUUUUCUUAAAACGGGAACAAUCCGAAUUUUAUAAAUAUCGUACUUGGCUAUUAUUUGAAGUUGAAGUUCGAUUUCUUUUUUUUCUCCAUGGCAUUGUUGAAUGAUGCAAAAACACAAGAAGAAUAAAUACUCCACGGCAUUGAUGCAUUUUGGAGAUAAAAUUGGAAGAAACUAGCUCUGAAAACUUUGGAGAUAAGAUUGGAAGAAACCAACUCUAAAAACUAAAAUGUACAUGCCCACCAACUAGUACUCUAUCUACAUCACAACACACACACACACUUUUGGUGUUAUCUCCUUAUUCUUUGAUCUAAUUCGGCUCAUGCCACAUAACUCCUUUUCAAACACUUAUUUGUUAUAGAGUUUUCCUUAUUUUUAUCAAGUCUAUUACCUUUCAACUUCAACUUUUUCUGUAUCCGACCUGCCACACAUUCUAUUUUAUAGGAACUCAUACAAAUUCAUUUUUCAGAUCAAAGCAGAUGCCCUAUUGAACAUAGUAGCAUCAUCACAAUAUCCAUAGUUGCAUUGCUACAUCCAAAGCCAGCAACAUCACCUAACUUCAUCAAAAAAGUACAGGGAGCGACAAUAGUGUGUAGGAGGCCGAGGGAGUCAGGCAAGUCGCUAGUGGUGGCGCACUGGCGUGUGCAGCCGGACGCGGAGUGGUGGACUCAGGCGGUGUGGUGGGGUGGACGCCGGCACCGGGAUUGGGCGGGGCUGGUAGGAAAUGUGGAGGUCGUUGUCUCGGUUGUAAGCCUACGACAAUCACAAAGCACAACAUCUGCAACUAGUGUUAGUUUUUUCUUCUUGUGUAAUAUACAUUGAACUGCUGCAAGAAAUCAGAAGAAUGGAAUCAGUUUAACAAAAUCAAAGAAUUAAUUGUAGAACAUGUGGCUGGGGACCUCGAGUUGUCCCUUACCACCUGCUCGACCACCAGGCAAACGGCUCCGCGGUGCCACUCGAGAGCGCUGGUCUGCAUGCAUACCACAUUCAGAUGAGAUACCAUCUUAAAUGGUUGGUACAAACCAAAAAUUAUCUACGAAAAUCAAGACAUGGCAUCGAGAUUUCAGAAGAAAAGUAAAAGCAGUUCCUCCUGUCAUAGUGCUGGACUACAGGCUUGCCCAUCUCGUUGCAGACAACAUCAAUUUGGAGGAGUGGCAUGGAUCCUCCUGUGUCGCAACGCUUCUGGCGGGUGGGUUGCUGGGGUGGGGGGUGGACGGGUGGUUGCUGCAGCGCCGGUUGUAAGUGAUGGACCUUAGUGUCAGCAGCGCCCGCGACCAGGUGAAGGCCGAGAGUUCUCCUAGCUGUAGGUCAAGACCUUCCCCAUCUGCAGGUCGGCUGAAGGGAUGGCGAGUCGGUGGUUGGUCAGGAGGUGAGUGGGACGGGGUGGGGAUGUGGCGGUUGGCCGGAGGGCGCACAGGGUGGCAAAGCGGUGGCUGGUCGGAUGCCGUGAUUUUGUUGUCGGGACAGGGGCGGCGCGCGUGGCAGGGAGUCGUCACUGGAAGAGAAGCUGGGCGAGGCCGGGGGUAGCCUAGGUGGCAGGGAAGACGCGGCAGCGUACCAGAGGUAGGUGGCGGGGUCGCAUGCCGGUGCUUGGUGGUAGCUGGCCACCACAGGAUCUGGCGACACGCGUGGGGUUCCAGGGAGGGCGCACCGCAGCGGGUGGAUCAGGGGAGGUGGCGUGGAGGCGGGGGCCUCCGAGGAGGGGGCGCGGUGNNNNNNNNNNNNNNNNNNNNNNNNNNNNNNNNNNNNNNNNNNNNNNNNNNNNNNNNNNNNNNNNNNNNNNNNNNNNNNNNNNNNNNNNNNNNNNNNNNNNNNNNNNNNNNNNNNNNNNNNNNNNNNNNNNNNNNNNNNNNNNNNNNNNNNNNNNNNNNNNNNNNNNNNNNNNNNNNNNNNNNNNNNNNNNNNNNNNNNNNNNNNNNNNNNNNNNNNNNNNNNNNNNNNNNNNNNNNNNNNNNNNNNNNNNNNNNNNNNNNNNNNNNNNNNNNNNNNNNNNNNNNNNNNNNNNNNNNNNNNNNNNNNNNNNNNNNNNNNNNNNNNNNNNNNNNNNNNNNNNNNNNNNNNNNNNNNNNNNNNNNNNNNNNNNNNNNNNNNNNNNNNNNNNNNNNNNNNNNNNNNNNNNNNNNNNNNNNNNNNNNNNNNNNNNNNNNNNNNNNNNNNNNNNNGCAGGGAGGGGGCGUGUCAAUGUAGGGGUCUGGGGAGGGAGGGGGUGGGUUCGGUGGCGGGGGAUGCGGGGGUGCGGGCGGUUGCGGGGUGGAGUGCGGGAGACGUGGCGAGAGGACGCGGGGUUUUCUUUUUUCCUGUUUCAUCGUCUCGCGCUUGCCGCCACCGGUUCGGGAGGAUCUCCUCACGCUCUAUAUGGGCGCGCCGUGAUCCAAAUAACUAUUCUGAUCCCAGGAUCAUAAUAGUGCUACCCUAUAUACAUAUAUAUAUAUAUAGUGUGGGUCUAUUAUGAUAACACCCUUAAGACUCUUAUUCUACCAACACCCACCUUAUUCUGCUAACACCCAACCUAUUUCGUAACUACAAACUAACCAUGCAAAGGAACCAAACGAACUGCGCGGGCAAAGAAAAAAAUCCCACCACACCUUAUCCUAUCCUCACCCACCCCACUCCUCCCUCUCUCCCCAUGCUCCACCACCGUCCCAACCGCGCCACCGAGCCAACUCCCCCGUGCCGCCGCACCACCUACCGCCAACCCCGCCGGCCAUGGCGCCACCUUCCCCAGGCCAGGCGGCCACGCAACCGCGCCACCCCACCACCUCGCGCGACACUGCAGCACCUACCUCCUACCCACCUUCUCCACGACGACACCCCCAUCUGCUCGCGCCUCCCCACACCUCACGCUCUGCCACGGCCCACAUCCAUGAUGCCGCCCCUUCCUUUCCCUUCCCCGGCAACCUGCCUCUGUCUGCGCCGCCCUCUGCAUCGGAUCCGGUGAGAUCCUAUGCUUCAUGCCCCCACCGCCAUCGCCUAAGGUCGCUCCGGCGCCGGAUCUGGCGCGACCAGCCUCCACGGUGCCUAUUCCAUCUCGCCCCGCCUCCACCUUCUCUACCUCUCUCUUUCUCCUGCCCCGAGCCCCCUACUCCCGGCGAACAUCCACUUCCCGUCGGCAUCAGUAGCAGAUAUGGGGAGGUCUCAUGGCCGACGCCCCAUCCCUGGCGUGCACUACUUGUUGCAAGGCAGGCAGGCAGCAGUCCACCGGUGAAGUGGUGCGCGGCGCACUUUGUGCCGGACCUCCUCGGUUAGGCAAAUGGACUGCAUGGUGCAUGGCCAGCGAUGGUGCUCAGGUGACCACAGCAGCACCGAAGGUGAGCCUCCCCUCCUAUCCCUAAUUGCCUUCAUCUAUCUCCCUCACAUCUCCCUUAUGCCCACAGGUGCCACCAUGGGCAUCUCAAUCUUGUCUCCCACCGCCGCUCUGGAUCCUGAUGUCGUUGUGCGUCAGAUCUCCUCUACGGCAUUCAGUUGAGAUAGGGCGUCGCCGGCGUGCAGUUCGCUUGGUUCCCCUCGCUGUGGUACGGUGCGUCACCAUCAUUCUAUUCCACUUUGGGACCUUCUUUUUCUUCAGAUUUUGCUUGUCUGCAGUUCGCCUAUGAUCUUGGUGUGGUGCCGUGGAUGUGCCAGCGGCCGCUCUCUGUGUGGUUGGCCACACUGUCCUUUGCAGAUCACUGGAGGGAGAGAGGAGGUGCUCUACAUGGCGUGUUGCAGUUCCUGGUGCCACUCCAGUGCAGCUUGGUUUGUGCACAAAAGUGGAGUUCUUUUUUGUUGUUGUAGUAGUUCCUCGUCAUUGUAAUUUGUGUGUGUUUGUACUAUGGAUUAAAAAGAGGAUCACUGUAGUUCGUUCGCCCCGUCUCGUAGUCCAGAGAUGUACAGAUCGCAGCUCUCUUGAAAACAUUCAUUGAAGAAAACAACAACAAAAAAUUGUUUAGGUGCAGCACACUUGUUUCAUUGCCGCAGUGAUCUUCUCUCUCCCAGUGGUUCACUAUGUUGCCAAGUGCAAAAACAAAUUGGAAAAGUUGAUUUUUUUAAUGCAGCUCACUUUGUUGUUGUGUAGUAGAAAGAAAAUUGGAAAAAGAAAAAUUGAUGCAGUACACUCACCUCGUCCCUGCAGUACUAAUGCUCGACAUGAAGUGCACUCCACCUCAUUUGGGAAAUUUAUGUCCCACAAAAAAGAAAUGAUGCAGUGCACUUGUCACUUGUCUGUCUGAUGAAGUGCAGUUCUCAGUAUAAAGAAGUGUGGUUUGCCAGCUCGUUUGGAAAAAUUUACGUCCCACAAAAAAGAAAUCAUGUAGUGCACUUGUCUGUUUGAUGAAGUGCAGGUUUUAGUCUAAAGAAGUGCGGUUUGAAUACCUCGUUUGGGAAAAUUUACGUCCCACAAAAAAAGAAUCAUGCAGUGCACUUAUCCAUCUGAUGAAGUGCAAGUUUUGGUCUAAAGAAGUACGGUUUGCUACCUCGUUUGGGAAAUUUACAUAGCACAAAAAAGAAAACAUGCAGUGCACUUGUCGGUCUGAUGAAGUGCAGUUUUUUGGUCUGAAAGCAUUGCGGUUUUCUGUCUGAUGCAGUACAUACGACGAUUUUGGGUCAUGAAAAAACAGAGUGUCCGCAUUUUCGUUAAAAAUCAAAAUUGUUAUUAAACCGUAAGGAAUCAGAGAGAGUGUUCUACAUGUAAAAGUUGCACCUCGUCGAUAUCUUUCCAACGGCGUAUAAUUCGAAUCAUUUCGACCAACGGUUUGCAAAAGUUUCACGAAAAACGGCCACUGCCUCCCGUCGUCAGCCGCACGAUUUUUAAAAUUAACUAAAAACCGUAAGGAAUCUCAAAAAUAUUCCAACAUAUGAAAGUUGCGCCUUAUCCGUAGCUUUCCAACGGCGUAUCAUACGCCUUGUUUCGACAAAUAGUUCAAAAACUGGAGCUAAAACAGUACCGAAAAUUGAAAAAAAUUCAAAAAAAAUGUAAUUUCGCGAUUUAGUAAAUUUGAAACUGCUCUUAAACCGUAACGAAUUAGAAAAAUAAUAGGUAUGAAAAGGAUGCGCCUCGACAAUAUAUUUUGAACGGCGUAUCAUUUGCUUUAUUCUGAUGAGCGGUUUAGAACAAAUCACAAAAAUACGCUCGCUGCCAAUCGUCAUCCGCCGCACCGUUUUUGAAACUGCUCUUAAACCGCAAGGAAUCUCGAAAAGUGUUCAACAUGGCGAAGUUGCGCCUAAUCCAGAGCUUUCCAACGGUAUAUUAUACGCGUCAUUCCGAUAAGCGGUUAAAAAACUAGAGCGAAAACAGUACCAAAAACAACGCAUGCCGUUUUUUUCAACAUGAAGUUCACUCGCUUGAGUUGUGCAGCACACUUGGUUCAAACAAUGACGUGCACUUGCAUUGAGCGUGCAGUGCGGAAGUGUUAUCAAAAUAGUUAUUCUGCUAAUAUUAGCAGAAUAGACGGGCUAUAUAUGUACUGAUAACCGGAGCCGUCAUCACGGUCGCCGGAGCCACCAUCAUGAUCAUGACCCUCCUCCAUUGUUUGAUCAACGGAGCCUGCUUCCUCUCCUUGCAGACCUUCUUGGACGUCAUUGAGAAAUGACGCGACUACAUCACCUCCGUCACGGAUUAUGUCCCCCAAUAUCUCUUCUUAAUCGAAGUCUCUUUGAUGAUCCAUAGUUUCUGCAAAUAUUACAACAUGGCAAUUAAUAUACAAACAAGAGAUGGAUAUAUCGAAGUUAUCGGGGAGGGGGUAUAUCGACAACGACGACAUAUACAUAGAAAAAAUGUUAUCGGGGAGGGGGUAUAUAUAUCGACCCCCCUCUUAUCGAAGUUAUCAGAGAGGGGGUAUAUCGACCCCCUCUCUCUCAUGAUUGUCCGACGUUUGUGUAGUGUCAAAGGAUUCAAACAAAACCAUGUCUUCAUCAUUAGGCAAAAGUAACAGGCGCAUGAUGGUACGAAGCUCUUCUAAGUUAUUUUGGAAGGGAAUCUCGGAUAGGAUAAUUCACUUUUUGGUACAAAGUACAGCAAGAGCCUUCCAAAUAUCGCUAUUUGGAAGGCAUGUGCUAAAAUUUGUACCAAAUGGCGGAUUAUCCUAUCCGGGACUCCGUUCCAGAAUAAUAUUGGAGGACUUUGUACCAUCAUGUCCCGGUUACUUCUGGCUAAUGAUGAAGCCAUGGAUUUCUUCAAUACUUUGACACUAGGCAACCUCUCGACCCCUCGGCGAUCCUCGACCCCUCGACGACCCUCGACCCUCGAACCCUUGGCAACCCUCGAACCCUCGGCCCCUCUACGACCCUCGAACCCUCGACCCUCGAACCCUCGAACCCUCAAAUCCUCGAACCCUUGACCCUCAAUCGGCCUCGACGACCCUCGACGCCUCUGUGACCCCUCAGCGAUCCUCGACACCCCCAUUCCCGAUAAAAAGAAGAAGAAGAAGAAGAAGAAGAAGAAGAAAUAGAGGAGAAGAAGAAGAAAAAAUAGAAGAAAAAAAGAGGAGAAGAAGAAGAAUAGAGGAGAAGAAGAAAAAUAGAAAUUUCUAUUUUUCUUCUUCUCCUCUAUUCCUUCUUCUUGUCCUCUUUUUUUCCUUCUUCUUCCUCUUCUUAUAUUUUCUCUCCUCUUCUUCCUCUCUUCUUCUUCUUCUUCUCUUCUUCUUCUCCUUCUUCCUCUUCUUAUUUUCCUUUUCCUCUCCUCCCUUUUCUUCCUUCUUCUCUUUUCCAUACAUAUAAAAAGUACAUACAUGUAUACAAAAAAUACAUCUCAAAACUACAUAUAUCUAGAUAAUACAUACAUAUAUGAACAUCUAAAAAUACAUACAUACAUAUAUGAAAAAUCAUAUAUAAAAAACCGCAACGAGGCGGCGGCAGCGGGGGCAGGGGCGAAGCGGUGCUCAUAGAGGGAGGCGUCGGGGCAGGGGGGCGCACGGCGGGGCCGAGGGUGCCGGCGGCGGGCAGGGGUGUGUCGGGGCGGGCAGGGCCGCGUCGAGGCAGAGGUCGGCGACGAGGAUGACGCGCGGCGCUGUGGGGGCGAGGGCGGCGGCGGUGGCGAGGGCGCAUCGGCGACGAGGACGGCGUCGAGGCGGCGAGUGCUACUUCUUCAGCUUGCGUUGGUUUUCCAUGAAGAGGAAAGGGUGAUGCAACAAUAGUAGCGUAAGUAUUUCCUAAGAAAGUUCAUACUGACAUAAGAAAUAGUAAUACUUCAAGCAUACUAAUCAAAGCAAUCAUGUCUUCUCAAAAUAACAUGGCUAAAGAAAGUUCAUCCCUACAAAAUCAUAUAGUUAGGCUAUGCUUCAUUUUCGUGACACAAAAAUGUUCCCAAAUUCUACACCCCCGAUGACAAGCCAAGCAAUUGUUUCGUACUUAAAUAAUCUCAAACUUUUUCAACUUUCACGCAAUACAUGAGCGUGAGCCAUGGAUAUAGCACUAUGGGUGGAAUAGAAUAUGAUGAUGGGGAUUGUGUGGAGAAGACAAAAAGGGAGAAAGUCUCACAUUGACGAGGAUAAUCAACGGGCUAUGGAGAUGCCCAUCAUUUGAUGUCAACAUGAGGAGUAGGGAUUGCCAUGCAACGGAUGCACUAGAGCUAUAAAUGUAUGCAAGUUCAACAAAAGAAAACUAGUGGGUGUGCAUCCAACUUGCUUGCUCACGAAGACCUAGGGCAUUUUGAGGAAGCCCAUCGUAGGAAUAUACAAGCCAAGUUCUAUAAUGAAAAAUUCCCACUAGUAUAUGAAAGUGACAACAUAUGAGACUCGCUAUAUGAAGAACAUGGUGCUACUUUGAAGCACAAGUGUGGAACAAGAGAUAGUAAUAUUACCCCCUUUUUAUUUUAUUUUCUUCUUCUUCUUUUUUUCUUUUCUUUUUUUUGGGCCUUUCUUUUUUUCUUUUGGCCUUUCUUUUUUUUCUUUUUUUUCUUUGGCCUUUCUUUAUUUUUUAUUUUGGCCUGUCUUUUUUUUUCUUUUUGGGGACAAUGCUCUAAUAAUGAUGAUCAUCACACUUUUAUUAAUUUACAACACAUGAAUUACAACUCAAAACUAGAACAAGAUAUGACUCUAUAUGAAUGCCUCCGGCGGUGUACCGGGAUGGGCAAUGAAUCAAGAGUGACAUGUAUGAAAGAUUAUGCAAAGUGGCCAUGCCACAAAUACAAUGUCAACUACAUGAUCAUGCAAUGACAAUAUGACAAUAGUAAUGCGCGUCAUGAUGAUAAACGGAACGGUGGAAAGUUGCAUGGCAAUAUAUCUCGGAAUGGCUAUGGAAAUGCCAUAAUAGGUAGGUAUGGUGGCUGUUUUUAGGAAGAUAUAAGGAGGUUUAUGUGUGAUAGAGCGUAUCAUAUCAUGGGGUUUGGAUGCACCGGUGAAGUUUGCACCAACUCUCAAGGUGAGAAAGGGCAAUGCACGGUACAGAAGAGGCUAGCAAUGGUGGAUAGGUAAAAGUGCGUAUAAUCCAUGGACUCAACAUUAGUCAAAAGAACUCAUAUACUUAUUGCAAAAAUUUAGAAGUCAUCAAAAACCAAGCACUACGCGCAUGCUCCUAGAGGGAUAGAUUGGUAGGAAAAGACCAUCGCUCGUCCCCGACCGCCACUCAUAAGGAUGCACAAUCCAAGGACACUUCAUGUUUCAAAUUUGUUACACAACUUUAACCAUACGUGCAUGCUACGGGACUUGCUAACUUCAACACAAGCAUUCUUUAAAUUCAUAAUCACCCAACUAGCAUGACUUUAAUAUCACUACCUCCAUAUCUCAAAACAAUUAUCAAGUAUCAAAUUGAUCAUAGCAUCCAAUUCACUUCAUAUGAUAGUUUUUGUUAUACCCAACUUGGAUGCCUACCAUUCUAGGACCAAUUUUAUAACCAUAGCAAAUACCGUGCUGUUCUAAGAGACUCUCAAAAUAAUAUAAGUGAAGCAUGAGAGACUAGCAAUUUCUACAAAAUUAAGCCACCGCCGUGCUCUAAAAGAUAUAAGUGAAGCACUAGAGCAAAACUAUCUAGCUCAAAAGAUAUAAGUGAAGCACAUAGAGUACUCUAAUAAAUUCGAAUCAAGUGGGCUUCUCCCAAAAUGUGUGUACAGCAAGGAUGAUUGUGGAAAACUAAAAAGCAAAAACUAAUAUCAUACACGACGCUCCAAGCAAAACACAUAUCAUGUGGCGAAUAAAAAUAUAGCUCCAAGUAAAGUUACCAAUGAACGAAGACGAAAGAGGGGAUGCCUUCCGAGGGAAUCCCCAAGCUUAGGCUUUUGGCUAUUCUUGAAUACCUUGGGGUGCCAUGGGAUCCCCAAGCUUAGGCUCUUGCCACUCCUUAUUCCAUAGUCCAUCAAAUCUUUACCCAAAACUUGAAAACUUCACAACACAAAACUCAACAAGAAAUCUCAUACGCUCCGUUAGUGAAAGAAAGCAAAACCACCACAUAAGGUACUGUAAUGAACUCAUUAUUUAUUUAUAUUGGUGUUAAACCUACUGUAUUUCAAGUUUUCUAUGGUUCAUACCAAUUAAUACUAUCCAUAGAUGCAUCAAAAUAAGCAAACAACACACGAAAAACAGAAUCUGUCAAAAACAGAACAGUCUGUAGCAAUCUGUAACUAACGCAAACUUCUGAAACUCUAAAAAUCCUACCAAAAUAGGAAGUCCUGGGUAAUUUGUCUAUUGAUCUAUAGAAAAAAGAAUCAACGCAAAAGCACGUUUCUAUGAUUUAACAAACCUAAUUUCGUGCGCACAAGGUUUCUGUUUUUCAGCAGAAUCAAAUUAACUAUUACCAUAGGUUAUCCUAUAGGUUCUACUUGGCACAAACACUAAUUAAAACAUAAAAACACAUCUAAACAGAAGGUAGAUGCAAAAUUUAUUACUAAACAGAAACAAAAACAAAAAACACAAAUAAAAUUGGGUUGCCUCCCAACUAGCGCUAUCGUUUAACGCCCCGAGCUAGGCAUAAAAGCGAAGAUAGAUCUAAGUAGUGCCAUCUUUGGCACUCAAUUCCUCAAUAGAGCACUUAUAAUCUAUAGGUGUUUCUCCCUUUUUGGCAAUGAUUAAACCUUUAAGCAAAAAUUCAAGAAAUUCAUUUGUAGCAAAAGGUUCCUUAAUGAUAGAGAGACAAUUAGGAUGAACACUUAUUGAUUUGACAUCCGCGUCUCCCUUAAUAGAAGAUUCACCCUUAUUUUUGGGAACAUAAAUAAAUUUGGCAGUUUUGGUAGGGGGGUUUUGCAGUGUUUUUCAUGGAAGAAAAUGCCGACCCUAAGUUGGUAAUUGUAUCCUCAAGUUUACCAAUUCUUGCAGAAUCUAGAACUAUUUUUGCAUUAACUAUAGGUUCUUUUUCUUUAAAAAAAAUUCAAAGUAACUCCAACCCUAGAUCCAUAUUGGGUAAUGUGAUUAUGAAUCUUUUUAUACAAAUUUUCAAUCAACUCAACAGUGGCAACUUUAUUUUCAAUAAUUUCAAGCCGUUGCAUCACAUGUUCCAAAGUUAAAAUAGUUCCAUUAACCAAAAGAGGUGGUGGGCCAAACAAAUCUAACAUAGCAUUAUAAGCAUCAAACAUAUCACUACUCAAGAAAUCCCCUCCGGUAACAGUAUCAAGAACGCAUCUAUUCCAAGGAGUAACGCCUACAUAAAAAUUGCAAAGAAGUACGGAAGUAGAAAGCUUCCUAGUAGAUUUAUUUUGAGCAUUGCAAAAUCUAUGCCAAGCAUCUUUUAGAUUUUCUCCCUCCCUUUGCUUAAAAUUAAGAAUUUCAUGUUCGAGAGUGAUAACAAGGAUAGGAGGACUAGCCAUUACGACAAGGUAAACGAUCUAACACACGAGCAACCAGAAAAAGGCAAGCGAAAAAGAGAGAGGAGAAGAUUGGGAAAGAGAGGGCAAAUAAAAUGGCAAGGGUGAACUGGGGGAGAGGAAAACGAGAGGCAAAUGGCAAAUAAUGUAAACGCGAGGGAGAUGAGUUUGUGAUGGGUACUUGGUAUGUCUGGACUUGAGCGAAGACCUCCCCGGCAACGGCGCCAGAAAUCCUUCUUGCUACGUCUUGAACUUGCGUUGGUUUUCCUUGAAGAGGAAAGGGUGAUGCAGCAAUAGUAGCGUAAGUAUUUCCCUCUGUUUUUGAGAACCAAGGUAUCAAUCCAGUAGGAGGCUCCUCAAAAGUCCCACACACCUACAUAAAGAAACAAAGAACUCGCAACCAACGCAAUAAAGGGGUUGUCAAUCCCUUCACGGCCACUUGCGAAAGCGAGAUCUGAUAGAGAUAGUAUGAUAAGAUAAAUAUAUUUUUGGUAUUUUAUAAUAUAGAUUGGAAAAGUAAAGAUGCAAAUAAAAGUAGAUUGAAAGCUUAUAUGAUAAAAGAUAGACCCGGGGGCCAUAGGUUUCACUAGUGGCUUCUCUCAAGAUAGCAUAAGUAUUACGAUGGGUGAACAAAUUACUGUCGAGCAAUUGAUAGAAAAGCGAAUAAUUAUGAGAUUAUGUAGGUAUGAUCAUGUAUAUAGGCAUCACGUCCGCGACAAGUAGACCGACUCCUGCCUGCAUCUACUACUAUUACUCCACACAUCGACCGCUAUCCAGCAUGCAUCUAGAGUAUUAAGUUCAUAAGAACAGAGUAACGCAUUAAGAAAGAUGACAUGAUGUAGAGGGAUAAACUCAUGCAAUAUGAUAUAAACCCCAUCUUUUUAUCCUCGAUGGCAACAAUACAAUACGUGCCUUGCAACCCCUAUUGUCACUGGGUAAGGACACCUCAAGAUUGAACCCAAAGCUAAGCACUUCUCCCAUUGCAACAAAGAUCAAUCUAGUAGGCCAAACCAAACUGAUAAUUCUAAGAGACUUGCAAAGAUAACUCAAUCAUACAUAAAAGAAUUCAGAGGAGAUUCAAAUAUUUCUCAUAGAUAAACUUGAUCAUAAACCCACAAUUCAUCGGAACUCGACAAACACACCGCAAAAAGAGUUACAUCGAAUAGAUCUCCACAAGAGAGGGGGAGAACAUGGUAUUGAGAUCCAAAAAGAGAGAAGAAGCCAUCUAGCUAAUAACUAUGGACCUGAAGGUCUAUGGUAAACUACUCACAACUCAUUGGAGCGGCUAUGGUGCUGAUGUAGAAGCCCUCCAUGGUCGAUUCCCCCUCCGGCGGAGCGCCGGCGAAGGUUCCAAGAUGGGAUCUCGCGGAUACAGAAGGUUAUGGUGGUGGAAUUUUUUUUUCGUUAGCUCCUUGGAUGUUUUUGGGGUACGUGGGUAUAUAUAGGAGGAAUAAGUAGGUCGGUGGCCGCCCGAGGGGCCCACGAGAUAGGGGCACGCCUUGUAGGGGUGGGCGCACCCUCCACCCUCGUGGCCGCCUCGGCUGCUUCUUGGCUUGCACUCCAAGUCCUCUGGAUCACGUUUGUUCCAAAAAUCACGCUCCCGAAGGUUUCAUUCCGUUUGGACUUCGUUUGAUAUUCCUUUUCUUCGAAAUACUGAAAUAGGCAAAAAAAACAGCAAUACGGGUUGGGCCUCUGGUUAGUAGGUUAGUCCCAAAAAUGAUAUAAAUGUGUAAAGUAAAGCCCAUAAACAUCCAAAAGGGGUAAUAUAAUAGCAUGGAACAAUAAAAAAUUAUAGAUACGUUGGAGACGUAUCAGCGAGGUCGGGGCAGCGGUGGCGCGGGGCGGCGACGGUGUCGGGGGUGAUGGCGACGGCGCAGGGUGGCGCGCGACGACGGUGUCGGGGCGGUGAGACGGGCGUGGGCAACGACGGCGGCGGCGACGGGGCAGAGGGCGGCGUCGACGGCGGGAGAAUGAGGAACUAAAACGAAAAUUUCACAAGUCCUGCUUAUAUACACAGGCAUUGGUCCCGGUUCGUGGCACAAAUUGGGACGAAAGCCCCCCUUUAGUCCCGGUUGGUGCUGCCAACCGGGACCAAAUGCCUCUUUUCAGCAGCCCAAAGGGCGGGAAGCAGAGGCCUUUGGCCCCGGUUGGUGGCACCAACCGGGACUAAGGUGGGCUUUCGUCCCGGUUUGUGCCGCCAACCAAUACGAAUGCGCCCUUUGGUACCGGUUAGUGCCACCAACCGGGACCAAAGGCCUCGUGCUGCCCGUGGACAAAAUUUUAGUCCCACCUCGCUAGUUGAGAGGGGCGCGCAGUGGUUUAUAAGCCCCACUGCCGCACCCCUCUCAAGCUUCUCUCUAUUGUAGGCUUACGGGCCUAAUUGUCACUAUUAUGCCUGAUGGGCCUACUGGGCCUUCUGCGGGCCUGAAUCCCGGCCCAUGGUGGGGUUUCUAUUCGUAUUCAGGACGUAGUGGCCGAGUAGGUGGCAUUUUUUUAUUUUUCCCAGUUUUUUUUUCUGUUUUUUGCAUUAUUUAUUUUCUUUUGUUUUUUGCUUUAUUUUUUAGUUCCUUUUGCUUUUAGGUAAUAAAAAAUAUAAACUUUCUGUUAGUGCCAUUUGUUUUCCAAUUUGAAUAGUUUAAAUUUGAAUUUUUUGAAAUUUGUGUGAAUCACUAGUUUUUGAAUAACUUUACUGUAAACAUAGAUUUUUGAGUGAUUCUUUUUCCUGCUAUUUAAUAUUACUGUGUUUAUCAUUAUAUUCAAAAAUAGAUUUUGUUAUUUUGGUUUCUAACACAAAAAUUCUUUAUGAUAAUUCUUUUUGCUAUUAAAGUUUCUAACAAAAAAAUUCUUUAUGAAAAUUAUUUUUGCCUUUAAUGUUUUGAACAGAAAAUACUUUGAUCAUAACAGAAUAUUUUAAUUGAUUAUUUUUAGUUCAUUCUUUUUGCUAUUAGUUCAUUCUUUUUGCUAUUAGUUCAUUAUUUGAGCUAAAUGACCCUUAAAUUGAAAAGCACUACAAAUGAACUCUGAAAAGGUUGAAAGUUGGCAUGGUAUCAUCAUUUCACCCACAUAGCAUGUGCUAAAAAGUUGAGAGGGUUACGACAAAAAUUGGAUACAAAAUAGAUAAUCUCUUUGGAAGUAUCAGGGUUUCGGAUGAAAACUCAUCUGUUACAAAGGGAUUUCAUUUGUUCAAAUGUAACUGCAGUGAUAUUGUACAUCAAAGGCAUCAUCAUAAUAGUUGUUGAUAGAAAGUCUUCACUUUUUCUUUGCUUGUGUUCUUUGGUUAUUGCGCCGUAACCAUGCAUAAUCUUCAUCGUUUAACAUGAUGCUUGGGUCAGCCUUGACUUUGAAGGGAAGAAUUUCAUGAAACUUUUCAUAAUCUUCAGACACGUCUGUCUUGCCCUCCAAUCCCAUGAUGUCUCUUUUUCUUGAAAGAACUAUGUGGCGCUUUGGCUCAUUGUAUGAUGUAUCAGCUUCCUUAUAUGUUCUUUUUUCUCGGUUUGGUAGACAUGUCCUUCACAUAGAAAAUAUGUGCCACUUCGUUGGCUUGGAUGAAUGGCUCUUCUUUGUACCCCAGAUUGUUCAGAUCCACUGAUGUCACACCCAAUAUGCGAUACUAUCCUAAAGAGACUCGAAGGUCCCACCAAGGAUAGAACCGCAUAUUGAAACGCUUUUGCAAGGUGGAUAUCAUUACAUCAACAUUACAUAAUAGAUGGGGAUACAUACAAGAGGCAUACAAUGCCACACGAAUACAACAAUACAUCAUACAUAAGAUCAUCAUCCGACUACGGAUGAAACACAAACAGAAACUCAAACGACAUCCACCCUGCUAGCCCAGGCUGCCGACCUGGAACCUAUCCCCUGAUCAAAGAAGAAGCAGAAGAAGAACUCCAAGACAAGCAAAACAUCGCUCUCGCGUCAUGAUUAUUGCACAACCUGUACCUGCAACUGUUAUUGUAGUAAACUGUGAGCCACGGGGACUUAGCAAUCCCAUUACCAUGGGUAUCAAGACUAGCAAAGUUUAAAGGGUAAGGAAGGGGUAAAGUGGUGAGGUUGCAGCAGCGACUAAGCAUAUAUGAUGGCUAACAUACGCAAAUAAGAGCGAGAAGAGAAGCAAAGUAAUGGUCGUGAAGCUAGCAAUGAUCAAGAAGUGAUCCUGAACUCCUACUUACGUCAAACAUGACCCAAAGACCGUGUUCACUUCCCGGACUCCGCCGAGAAGAGACCAUCACCGCUACACACGCGGUUGAUGCGUUUUAAUUCGGAUCUGGUGUCAAGUUAUCUACAACCGGACAUUAACAAAUUCCCAUAUGCCUAUAACCGCAGGCACGGCUUUCGAAAGAUUAUACCAUGCAGGGGUGUCCCAACUUAGCCCAUGAUAAGCUCUCGCGAUCAACGAAGGAUAUACCUUCUCCCAAGAAGACCCGAUCAGACUCGGAAUCCCGAUUUACAAGACAUUUCGACAAUGGUAAAACAAGACCCGCAAAGCCACCCGAUGCGCCGACAAAUCCCGAUAGGAGCUGCACAUAUCUCGUUCUCAGGGAAACACCGGAUGAGACUAGCUACGAGUAAAACCAACCCUCAAGUUGCCCCGAGGUGGCCCCGCAGGCAGCUCAGUUCGGACCAACACUUAGACAAGCACUGGCCCGGGGGGGGCUAAAAUAAGGAUGACCCUCGGGUUGGCCGACCCAACGGAAGGGUAUAGGUGGUGGUGAGGCAAAUGGUAAAACCAAGGUUGGGCCUUGCUGGAAGAGUUUUAUUCAAAGCGAACUGUCAAGGGGGUCCCAUAAAUCACCCAACUGCGUAAGGAACGCAAAAUCCGGGAACAUAACACUGGUAUGACAGAAACUAGGGCGGCAAGAGUGGAACAAAACACUAGGCAAAAGGCCGAGUCUUCCACCCUUUACCAAGUAUAUAGAUGCAUUAAUAAUAUAAGAGAUAUUGUGAUAUCCCAACAUAAUCCUGUCCACCAUGGAGAAAUCUUCAACUUCACCUGCAACUAGCAACGCUAUAAGAGGGGCUGAGCAAAAGCGGUAACAUAGCCAAACAACGGUUUGCAUAGGAAAGGUGUCAAAGGUUAGAGGUUCAUGGCAAUAUGGGAGGCUUGAUAAACAGGUGAUAGGUAGCGCAGCAAAGCGAUAGAACGAAGCAACUAGCAUAGCAAUGAUAGUAGUGAGAUCUAGGGUAGCGGUCAUCUUGCCUAAAAUCCUGCUAGGAAGAAGAACGAGUCCAUGAAGAAGACGAACGGGAGUAGUCGAACGAAUCCUCACAAUCGCAACAUUAUCGGAACUAAGAAGCAACAUCGGAAAGAAAUAAACAACAUGGUAAACACACAAGCAUAAACAUGACAUGAUGCACAAACAAGUAUGAUGCAUGUCCGGUUUAAAGAGGCAUGGCAUGACAAAGUGCAACAAACAACACUACAAAUUAAGUGGAGCUCAAUAUGCAACGAGUUGCAUAUUGACGAAACACCACUAGCAAUUAUUUAGUUCUCUCUCGGUUAGGUACACAACAAUAUUAAAUGUUGUUAAACAUGGCAAGGGGUGAGACAUAAGUAAACUAACUAUUUAGGCAAGUUUAAAUGAGGCCGGAACAACGAACAACAAUUCCGGAAAAUCCCCAUAUGCAUAUUUUAGAUUUGGUACUGUUCUGUCCUAAACACAAUUUUAAUGUUGUUAAAUAGGAAAAUGAAGUGCAGCAUGUUAAACUAGGAAUUUUUCCACCCCAUUUACAUAUAAAGUUUAUUUAAAAUGGAGCUACAGUUAUUUAGUUAUGAAAUAAAGCAUUUUAACAUGGCAUUUAUACAAAUUUAAACAAACAACAUUUUAAACAUUUUAACAUGGGAUGAAAGUGGCAUAUUAUGAAACUAGAUGAAAUUCUAAGCACUUUACAUAUAUAAUUUGUUUUAACCCGAUGCACGGUUGGUGAUUUAUUAAAUGCAUGAACAACAGGGGUCAAUCUGCAAAACUGCAUUUUACUGGAUAAUAGAGAAAAAUCGCAGCGCAAGAAAAAAAACUACGCGGGCCGAAACAAGCUGGCCCAACAGGAGGAAAAACAGAGGAGGGGCGCUGGGGUGUGGCCACACCCAUGGGCCUUGGCCCGAUUGGAGGGGAGGCUGCUGCAGGAGGGGCGCGCUGGGCCUGGAUGCGGGCUGUGGCCUAAGCGACAGCUGCAGAGGCCUUUGCGGGCGUGACGCUGGUCAACAGGCAGCGGUCGAGCUAUUGAUGCUCGAUGCAGGGAAGCUGCGGGUGGCGCCUGGAGGUAGCAGGGGAGCGGCGGCGGCAAACUUGACGGGGAGAUGGCCUCCGGCGACAGGUGGAUGGCGGGGACGUGAGGAUCCGGCCCAGCGUGGACGGAUCUGGCAGUCUCUGGUGUUGAACGUAGCAGGCCAGCGGCGGGAGCUGCAAGGCCAUGGCAGGGAAUUAAAUUCAGAGAAGUGGUAGGGAGGGAGGAAAGAGAUAGGAGAAGGAGGGGGGCGGACAGAGGGAGGCGGACCUGAUGGAGCUCGUGCUCCGGCGAGCUACUGUUUGUUGCCUACCAGAUGGAGACGGGGCUUGGCGCAGAAGACGCGGACGACGAGGAGGAGACAGGGCCUCGGAUGCUCGCGAGCGAGGGGAAAGCGAGCUCCGGCUCGAACCAGACGAAGGACUUGGCAAAACGGGUGUGGAAGAAAGAGCUCAGGCUCCUACUUGCUGCUCGGGGGUCGCAGGACGACGGAGGCGGCGCCAUGGAGCUUGGGCGAGCUCCUGCUCGUUCCUGUACAGAGAGAGGUAGAGGACUGAGAGAGAGAAAGGGAAGAAGAAGGAGAGAAGUGGAGCGGAACAAAGAGACGAGGCACGGCCUGGCCGUGGUCUUGCGGGCAACGGGCGCGGAUGAAGGCAGCUGCGGCGGCUGGACGCGUCCAGGGGACAGGGAGGAGGUGGUUGGAUGGAUCGGUGGACUGGUAGGCGGAGGCUGCGAGUGGAGGGGGAGAGGAUUUGGAUCAGGUGCGGGCUUGGAUCCCGAGGGAGAGGAGUGGCGGCGGGAGGAUGGGGAUGGGACAGCCGGCCUAGGUUUUAGGGUUAGACUAUAUAUAUACAUAAGAAAGAGAGGGGAGUUUGGAUCAUCCGAUUAAAAUCGGACGGUCAAGAAUAAAAUACUUCAGGAGUCCAAACAAAUGAACGAAGAUAUUUUAGGGAUGUUUGGGGUUGAUCCGGGCCCAUCGGUAACGACAGCUCGGGCCGGGUUCGGGGAAGUUUCGGACACGCACGCAAGGGGGGUUUGGUCAUCACGGUCAAGAGGGAAGCAAAAACCCGAUUGGUUUGGAACGGUCAGCGCGAGCAAGGCGAUCCGAGGGAAGGUGAUGAAGGCAAAGGGAGAAACGGCAACGAUGAACGAAUGCAAGUUUUAAGAAAAUGAUGUCGAUGCAAUGCGAAUGAUGACAUGAGACGAGAAGCAUGACAUGAACAAAAAGCAAAACAAAAGACAAAACCCAACCACGGAGAAAAUAACAUAUCACAUAGCCGGAAAUGGCAAGAGUCGGAGUUAUGAAUAUGGAAAGUUGCAUCCGGGGCGUUACAACACUCCACCACUACGAGAGGAUCUCGUCCCGAGAUCUAGGAUGGCACCGAAGAGAAAACAGAAGAGGAAGAGAAGAGGUAAAACUAAAUUGCUUCUUCAAAAAAUGAGUGAAACCAUGAACCUUGAGAGGUUGAGCAAAAUGAAAGAUAGAAAACAACGAAGAUAAACACAACUGAGAGUACUGCGGUAGAAAAUAGAAACAAGGAACACCAUGUGAACCUUGGGGGUUGAAAGACAUAAGAAAAGGGUUGCAAUGGACAAGAAGUACAUGCAAGCACUCCGGUUGAAACGAGAUGUACAAGGAAUGACAAAUAUCAAUUAAGACAUCACUCCGGUUGGAAUUGGGAUGAAUAGAAUAUGAACUUGAGAAGACGAGAUGAUACUUGAUGAAAUCAACAACACACUACCUCCGGAACUAUUGAAAGAAUGGCAUAAUGGGUAAGAAGGAUUUCAGACAACACUCCUGUUGAAAAGAGAGGCAAAACUUGAUAAGAUGAAAAGAACUUGAAGAGAUGACACCGCACUCCGGUUAAAUGGAUAAGCACGAAAAGAACAUGAUCCUCAAUUCGAGAAGAUGAGAGAAAAGAGCAACAUCACAAUGUCUCCGGGAGAAAGAAUAGAAGAUAGAUCAUUGGAAUAACAGAAUGGAGUAGAAAAUGCCAACUUCUGCCACAAAUGAGCUUGGAAAGCAUCCUUGCAAAGAAGAAUUGAACGGAGUUGUUGCAAAAUCAACAACGAAAAGCACAAGCUUGUUGUGGGCUUAUGGAAAACAUCUCAACACUUGAGGUGAAAUUCUGCCACUAAUGAAAAACAAUAGCUUGCUUGAGAUCAACGAAGAGAUGAAAAACCUCUUUCACCGAGAAGGAUAUGGAGAAAGCUUGGAUCAUUGAUAAGCACCACAAAUAGCAACAUUCCUUAGGGAAGGCUUUAGGUGAAAUCUAUACCAAGAUAACUCCAAGGAAGAAAAUGAUGGGUUUAAAAUAUCUCAUUCUUGACAACUUCAAUCACGAAGGGAAGUUGUCAAGAGUGACAUAACACCACCUCAAAAGAUAAGGUAGGAAGAAUUGCACUUCGGAUGCAAGAUGAAGAAUGCUUGAACUCCUCAAAACAAAACAUGUGUUGAGCACCAUGUUUACUUUUGAGUAUAGCUUGGCGGAUCAUAACUUCAAGAGAAAUCUUGAAGAACAAUUGAAGAAUGAAAAGAAUCCUUCAUGAACCAUCAUGUAGAGCCUCCAUGAAGAACUCCGGUAAUAAGAGGAUGAUGAAAAGAAAAAGAAGUUGGAAACACAAGGUGAAGCUUGCAAUGAUUUAGAUGGAGCUUCGCGAUGAGAUAAUGCGGAAAACCUGGAACUCCGGAAAAGAAAAGAUGAAGCAUCUCGAACCGAGAAAUGUGACAUGGUGAACAACUCUAGAGAGAAGAAACUAGAUCACUUGGAUGAAACAAUAAUAAGAAAUACGGUAUGCGUAUCCUUCACCAAUUUGAAUUGAUGACAAGCAAUGGAUUUGGCAUACUACGUAUUCUCGUAGAAAGGAUUAAGAUAGAUAUAGCGCAAACUUGAGAAGGUCUUGAUGGAAACACCGGUAGGAUUGGAAACAACGAACAAAUUGAUAUGAUAACGAAGGAAGUGAAAUCUUGAACGAACCACCGUAAGAAUUGAAAAUGAAAGUAGCAAAGGCACAAUUCACCGGAAAGAAUUGGAAAACGAAUGAAGAUACUUGAGGGGAUUUAGCUACCUGAGAACGAAGAGAUCAUGAACUGAUUAGAGGAUAUUAUAACGAUUCACCGGUAAGAUUUGGAGAAUGAUAGCUACAUGCUGAGAAUGAAUAAUUAUGACAUGAUGUCCUUCGGAAGAAAGAAAUGGAAACAACUCAUGAAAUGCUCCGGAUGGGUGAAAAGAAUUCCCACAAUCGAAAACAGUUAUGAGAGGAUGGCAUCAAACUUGAACUAUGCAUCUUGGGAAGAACGGGUAAGGAUUUAAGAGGAACUCUUCUUCGGUCUUCAAAACCCGAGAAUGACAAGGAGAAACACCACCCAAUUGUUUAGACACUCCGGAACAAAGAAGAAUAGAAAUGUUGAACCAACGAUGAAAAUGAUUUGAAAGCGAUCUUGGAGAAGGAAUAUGAGUGAUGAGAAUUCAUUCUUACGUCAAACUUGGAAAAGAAUUUGGGAAUGGCUCGAGGAAAAUUAGACGAGUCAGGUAAGAUCCUGGGAAAAGACCUGUGGGUUAGGGCCCACUAAAAGAAAAACACCGGUUGAAUUAAAUGGCUUGAAUGGAAACACGAAUCUUCCGAGAUAUCUUCAACACUCCGGAUAUGAACUGGGAGAGGCGGAUAAAUAAGAGAGCCUUGGAUAAGAAAUUCACAUGGGAAGAUAUGUGAAACGAAAGGAAGAGAUAUGAUCAACACCGAAACUUGAAAUUAAUCCACCGGAGAAGAAAAGAGACGAAGAAUAAUGAACUUGAAGCUUCAUUAGUAUCUUCGUGAGAAUCACCGGAUAGGAACAUUGAUUGAAAAGAGUGAACUGACUUCACAUGAAUAAAUGGAUACUUGAUUAAGAAAUCUGAGUCCUUGAAGAAAAAGGGUGGGAGGGUGGGGAAAAACAAAGACAACUUGGGAUGAACGAAACAAACACCGUUGAGAAAACUUAGAAUUGAUCUUGCGGAUGGGGAGAAUGAUGGGAUCAUCUCGAAGAGAAGCGCACCGGUUGGAAAAGAGUUGACAUGACAACCUCAAUGAUCAAGAAGGAUUAGCACUCCCAUAGAAAUAUGAGAACACCAUUUAGGAAAGGUAUGGAUUCAACAUUUGACUUCGAAGCAACUCGAAUACCACAAAUAAAACAAAAACAAAGGAUUUGUCUUGCAGAAUAAGCCGGAACAAAUACAUAUGAUAGAGAUUUACCCAAUCCCAUAUCAUGCAUCUGUCGGAAAGAUAUUCUAAGAGCUACUUGAAUUCCCACCUAUAAACUCCCGAAACUUUCUGGUUAUGCAAUCUGGUGUUGGGGAUACAGCGGAAGCAAUAUAUCUCACCCAAACUAACAAUACCUACAUCCAGUUGUAUCCAUCCGUCAACACAUAACCAAGAAAACUCCGGAAAUCGUGUACCUCAACCUUCGAAAAGCAUCUGUUAUACGAGUUAUGGCCAUACUCCCGAACUCCCCAGUACUGGGUGACGUCGAGGUUAUCUCACCAACAACUGCAUAAAAGAGAUUGUUGAUGUCAGCAAAACUCAGGUAUUCCAGAACUGCAACGAUAAAAUUGUGACGACAACACCUCGGAGCUCAACUCCUCGGGUCAAUGCCACAUAAUAGAUAGGAGGCACCAAGAACAAUGUUCUCGUCACAAAACCAUCGGAACGAUUCCAAGAUACCCGCGUGAUCCUAAAAAUUUUUUAGUGAAAUUUGAGGAGAGGAAAGUCAAAACAUCUACGUCAGGAAACCUCACCAGAGCGACGAAGGGACUGAGGAGUAAAAAGAAUCCUACUCUCCGAUAUAUAUAAUCCUAAGACUCAAAAAUAGUUUUCUUCUAGACUCAACAACGGCCAACAAUCAAGGGGGCUCCUAUGGUCGGUCGAGGCUCUGAUUACCAACUUGUCACGCCCAAUAUGCGAUACUAUCCUAAAGAGACUCGAAGGUCCCACCAAGGAUAGAACCGCAUAUUGAAACACUUUUGCAAGGUGGAUAUCAUUACAUCAACAUUACAUAAUAGAUGGGGAUACAUACAAGAGGCAUACAAUGCCACACGAAUACAACAAUACAUCAUACAUAAGAUCAUCAUCCGACUACGGAUGAAACACAAACAGAAACUCAAACGACAUCCACCCUGCUAGCCCAGGCUGCCGACCUGGAACCUAUCCCCUGAUCGAAGAAGAAGCAGAAGAACUCCAAGACAAGCAAAACAUCGCUCUCGCGUCAUGAUUAUCGCACAACCUGUACCUGCAACUGUUGUUGUAGUAAUCUGUGAGCCACGAGGACUCAGCAAUCCCAUUACCAUGGGUAUCAAGACUAGCAAAGCUUAAAGGGUAAGGAAGGGGUAAAGUGGUGAGGUUGCAGCAGCGACUAAGCAUAUAUGAUGGCUAACAUACGCAAAUAAGAGCGAGAAGAGAAGCAAAGGAACGGUCGUGAACCUAGCAAUGAUCAAGAAGUGAUCAUGAACUCCUACUUACGUCAAACAUAACCCAAAGACUGUGUUCACUUCCCGGACUCCGCCGAGAAGAGACCAUCACGGCUACACACGCGGUUGAUGCGUUUUAAUUCGGAUCUGGUGUCAAGUUAUCUACAACCGGACAUUAACAAAUUCCCAUCUGCCUAUAACCACAGGCACGGCUUUCGAAAGAUUAUACCCUGCAGGGGUGUCCCAACUUAGCCCAUGAUAAGCUCUCGCGAUCAACGAAGGAUAUACCUUCUCCCAGGAAGACCCGAUCAGACUCGGAAUCCCGGUUUACAAGAUAUUUCGACAAUGGUAAAACAAGACCAGCAAAGCCGCCCGAUGCGCCGAAAAAUCCCGAUAGGAGCUACACAUAUCUCGUUCUCAGGGCAACACCGGAUGAGACUAGCUACGAGUAAAACCAACCCUCAAGUUUCCCCGAGGUGGCCCGCAGGCAGCUCAGUUCGGACCAACACUUAGACAAGCACUGGCCCGGGGGGGGGGGCUAAAAUAAAGAUGACCCUCGGUGUCGUGGAUUUGUCACGGCAGAUGUCCUAGUGAAAGGACUUAGUCGUGGAGCCAUUGCCACGGGUUUACUUGAAGGGGUUAAAGCGGACACAAAGACACGAGGGUUUUAUACUAGUUCGGCCCCUUCGAUGAAGGUAAAGCCUACGUCUAGUUGUGAUGGAAUUGAUAUGGUCUCGAUGGCUAGGGAGCAAACAAGCUUCGCCCAGGCUCGAGUUGUCGUUGUCUGUCCUGAACCGCCGCCGGGUCGUCCCCUUAUAUACACGGGUGACGCCCGACAGUCCAUAGAGUCCCAACCGGUUCAUACUCGUAUCCCGGUUGGUAUCUCUCUAUUCCUAACUUAUAAUACAAGUUAUACAUCAGGUCGGUUUACGGCUACAGAUUCUAAACCGACUAUAGGCCUUGGGCCUUCAUCUGCUUAUACCACUAAUGAAGUUAACCCGGCCCAAGUAGGCUGGUUUACGCCUAGUGGUAAUAUCCCCAACAUUAGGCCCCAGAUUGAUUUGAACUGGUUCAUGUCAAUCCUUCACAAAAUCUUGUGUCUUGGACAUCUUCUGGUAAUUGGUAAACCGCCAUGUUGUCAUCAUUUCUGGUUGUUGUAAACCGGCAUGACGUCAUCAUGAAAUUUGUCAUUUAUAACGCCCUCUUUUAACGGCAGCUCCUGGAUCCGCGCGCUUGACCUAACUCUGUUGCCUUAUAAAUAAGACCGGAUGGUCAUCUCCUUUCUUUUCCCCUCAUCUCUUCUUCUUCGUCUUCCUUGCGUUGCCAGCCUUGGAGCUCUGCCGCCACCGUCGACCUCUGCUUCGUCUUGGGCCGCUGCAUCAACCUAAGUGCACCAGAGUACUGCGGUAUCGUUCCGCAUCUUCUCCGUUCCCAGUAAGCUUUCUCCUCUUCUUGACCUAGAUCUGUUCUUAGGGUUCCAUGUUGGUGCUGUCUUCGUCACUUGCUCAUACUUGUAUUCCGACUCUUGGAUGAAUCUGUAAACUCCCGCUGUGUUCAGUAGUAAUCUUUAAGCAUCCGCCUGUUAUUUCUUAUCUAAGCCCAUAGAUCUCACGCACAUACCCGCUCAAUGGUUCACUUCCGUUCCGCCUUACUCUUCGGAAUAUUUUCUGUUUUUGUGAGCUCGCUGUAGAUCCGUGGCUGUAAUAAGAUCUUGUGAAACCUGUUUCUGUAUACCUAGUUGUCCAUAGCUUCAAUUUCUUCCGAUGCUUAGGUCAGGCGGUUUAACUUAUCAUAGAAAAAAGUUACUAAACCGGUGUAUACCAUUAGUCCCCUGGUUGAACCGCCAGAAUCCACAUGAUGCCGCAUUGUGGAAGACCGGUUUAUCGUAGUUUAGAUCAACACCUUCUUUUACCCAGCGUGUUCUUGAACCGGAUCAUCUAUUUCUUGUAGAUCUCGCCAUGGCCAAACAAGUGUAUGAGUGCAAUUGGGUUCCUUCUCGCGUCACGGAAUCACAGUUGGACGAUCUAGUCUUGAUCGGCGCUUUAGAUAGUAAAGAUACGAUCCACUGGAGGGUUCCUGGAAAUGAAUGUCCACCUACCCCCCAGGAAGGAGAGGUUGUGGUCUUCGCAGAUCACUUGGCCCGGGGCUUCAAACCGCCCGGCUCUAAAUUUUACUGGGAUGUGUUAGCCAAUUUUCAGCUCCGCCCACAGGAUAUUGGCCCCAACUCUGUUACCAAUCUAUGCCACUUUCAACUGCUCUCUGAGGUAUACUUUCAAGAGGAGCCUUCAUUCGAAUUGUUUAGAGACCUCUUUCAUUUAAAUCGUCGCACUGAAUUCACCGAUGGCCCCAACACUGAAUUGGGCGGUAUGGCCAUUCAGAAGAGGAAGGAAAUCACUUAUCCCCACGUCAAACUCCAUACUCACCCCAAGGAGUGGAAUGCAACUUGGUUUUAUUGCAAGGAUACCUCCCCUGACAAUGAAAAUCCCUUGCCUGGUUUCCGUCCGGAACGGCUCAGCAACACGCACCCUUUUCCACAAAGACUAAGCGCCAAGGAAAGAAUUAAAUACGCUCCGCAACUGUCCAAGCUCCGAGCUUUUAUGGCCAACGGCUUAACGGGAAUAGAUCUUGCACGCUGUUGGAUAUCAUGGAGCAUACUGCCUCUGAGCCGGCGCUCCAAUUUGAUGUGCAAGUAUACUGAUAGUGUCGAUGACCCACUCUGACACACUAAAAUCCAACUCCCCGAUGACGAAGUCACAGAAUCUGUGAAAAAGAUGCUGAAUGAACCGGAGCACCUCUGUGCUCAAACCGGUCUGCCUCCUUACUACACCACCAACAAACCGCCAGCGGUAAUAUUUUAAUUGCUCUCUUGUUGAACCGGUUACUGCUUUAUAUGUUUGACAUUUAAUUACUGCUGAUCCAGGGCGAUAAUCCAUUUUGGAGCAAGAAACUUCCUCAAGACAAAACGGAGAAAGCAGGGCGGCCAAUCCGUCCCAAGACCAAGGUUAUUAAGAAGCCAGCUCAUAAGAGAAAAACCACCGCUUCAUCUGAUCCAACUAUUGAUGAUGAUGUGGGUAACCCGGACCUUGAGGUAGAACUUGACUCGCUUGGCUUAUUUUUUACACGCCUUAUUGAUGAUGAUGCUUGUCAGGAUGACGCUGAAGCCAGCAAUGCGGAAUUUGUUGAGGUAACUAUUCUCUCUUCCGAUUCAGAAAUCUUGCCUUUGCCAAAACUUCGACAGGCAAACCGGAAAGUUAAAUUUUCUCAUCAUCUUGCUUAUUUGGAUCCUAAAUUUCAUAUGAAGAUUCAGCAACAUGAAGUUCGCCGCACAACCCGGCACAGUGGCCAGGUAGUUACCUCCACCGGUUUACCAAACAGUCCGGUUCGAAAACGCCGCUCCGAGGUCUCUGACCUUUUUGUUGAUUUACAUCCUAAAGCGGGUUUCUUCCGUCAACCUCUUAACCCAUCCGACUCCAAUUAUCAGGUUACUUCUCAUUCAUCUUCUGGUGAAUCGUCGUCUCUUAGCUGCCACCGUUAAAAACGGUUCUUGGGUAAGCUAAGCUGAACAUAUGCUUCCAGUACAUUGUGUAAUGGCUUAUGCUUUUCCUUGACUCUUUGGUUUUCUUUCAGGGCCAAACCUAAACCGAGCAAGAAAGCCCGCCUGGAUAAAGCGGCCGAAGAGGAUGUAGCCCAAGAACAUGACAAAACACCAGAUCUUGAGGCAUUUGCUCCUGAGGAUAUUCCCAAUGAUCCUCCUUUACAAGACGAUGCUAUUCCCGAAGAGAGCCUAUUAAUACUUCAGUCUCUGCUGACCCGCCUGUCAGCUCCGUCUGGAUUGAGAAAUCCCACAAUCCUGUUGACAAACCGAUCAUACUAACACAAACCGGCGAGUCCAAAGAUGAUGAUGUUGUGAUUACCGGUGUAGGCCGCUUUGAACCCGGGAAUCCUGUCACCUUAACCAAGCAUACCAAAAAAGAGGAUUUUUCCGCUCUGAAUAAAGAAAAAUGGGAUGUUGAACUGGAGACAUAUGUUGCUCUGAGUGCCCACGAUCUUCAUACCGGCUAUCUAAACCGGCUUUAUACUAGCCGUGACUGUGAAGCUGGUCUGGUAAAAAUGAUGAGGGAUAAAUUUGAGGUAACUUACUUCUUUACUGCCUGCCUUUGCACCAAUCCUCCUAGCCCCCAAGGGUCGGUUUGUAGCCUUCGUCAAACCGGGACUUGAAUAUGAUCCUCAACACUUUUUGAAAUCCAUUAAUAUAGCCCCCAAGGGCCAGUUUAACUUAGCAGAAUUAGACCGGGGCUCGGACAGAAAAACUAUCCUUAGAACAUAAUUUGAUCAAAUAGCCAUUAGCCCCCAAGUGCCAAGUUGAAUACCUGUAUUGAGCUUGGGACUUCGCAAUCUAAUAACUUGAUGAAGAUUGAAGGUGCAUUAGCCCCCAAGUAUCAGGCGUAUAACUUUGUUUAUGUGGUUGAUACUUCAAUUUCUUUGGACCGUUUGUUGAAAGCUAAAUGCUGUCUGUAUGCAGGCUGAGGUGAGAAUCAAGGAGGACCGGAUUGCCGAUUUGCAGGAGGCCUUGAAAACCCAACAGGCUGAAACAGACAAGGCAAAGGAAGAACUAACCAGCGCCUUGAGCACCGCUGAACAGCUGAAGAAGGGCUUCAAGAAAGAGUGGGCUGAUUGGGCCACUGAGAAGGCCGCUUUAACCAAAAGAGCGGAAAAUGCUGAAGCUGCCCUUAACCGGUGGUGGAUGAACUUACGGCCGUAAAGCAGCAAAUACACUCCAUGACCGCUGCAAUCUUUGGUAAGCUCCUUUGAACUUCUUUGAUAAUUUGAACCUGCUGUAAUGUAAAUCCGGUGUGAGACCGUCCCUGUAUUGUUGUAGUCACACGCAUUGGGCACUUAGGAAAUGAUGUGCGGAAGAAACUGAAGGCUGCCUACACCUUAGUGGAACAAUUAUAUACCGGAGCCCAAUGGAUCAUCACCACAGCCUCUCAUAACAACCCGGCACCUUCUUUAAUCCAGGACACUCUUAACAGGUUGUCGAUGCUUCCGGCCCGGAUGGAGGAGCUGAAGAAAUCUGCUGCUCGAACUGGAGCUAUUAACGCUUUGAUCCGGGCAAAGGCAUGGGUGCCAGAUUUCGACCAUGUGGAAGCAUCUCAAGGCUAUCCCAGCCUGAAGGAAGAUGGCUCUGAAUUUAAUGAAGAGGAUUUAAGGGCAAUAAACCGUGCAGUGCGCCCUCUGGCUUGUCAGUUAGCUGAAGAGGCAGACUUGACGCAUUAUCAAGCACAAUACAAUGACCAGAACAAGCGAGUGCCUGCCCCAACUCUUGAAGCGGAGAAUCUGAUCCCUCCAAUCCGUAAGCACACUUACACUCCUGAUAUUGAGCCGUCUUCCCUAAUCCAUGAAGAGGCUGUUUUCCAAGCUUUAAUGGGAAUCGACUGGACCACUGUUGAUUUCCAGCCAACGGGUAGAGAUGAGGAAGCUGAAGUGGCGGAUGAUGAAGAGCAGGCUUGAACCAGAAGCCGGUUUGGAUAGCUGUCUUUGGCAUCUUUCCAAAAGAACAACGAUCUUAUUUGGGCACCGUGCUGCCUUGUAAUAGAAUAGUUAAUACUUCUGCCUUGAAUAUGCCUUCGCGCAUAAGUACUGAAGCUUUUGUUUCGAAAAACUUCAAUUCAUAUUUCCUGCCAUGUCUGGGCAUGAAGCUGGCUUAGCCAAGCUUGAAGCGGAGUUUUUAUAAACCAUUACCGUCAAUAAGGGGGGAGAAAACAGCUCCCGUAAAAGAAAAGGUAAACCAGGCAUACUUCUCCGGAUUAAAGGGGAAUCAAAUCCAUCGGCUGAACCGGAAAAAGGGUGUUUGCUGACAUAAAAGAAAUCCAACAAAAACAAAGAACAAACAAACCAUGAAAAUAACAUGGAAGCAAAGGCAAUGAUAAAAACCAUUUGCAAAAAGUAUGCUAUACUGAGCUGAUCAGAUGGUGUUACCAUGGUCGGACAGGACCAAGCCCCCAAUAGGAGUGACAAUGAUUCAAGUCAGCCAGGUCCCCAAAUGAUUCGUGGCAUAUAUGCCAGAUCAAGAGGCGUGGCAAUGGUUCGAGUUCGACCAAGCCCCCAAGUGAUUUUGUGGCCUUAGGCCGAUCAAGAGGCGUGACUGGUUCAGACGUGACCAUGUCCCCAAGUGAUCUGGUGGCUGUCGCCUAUCAAAAGGUGUCGCGUUGCUUCGGACACGACCAAGGCCCCAAGUGAUAUAUAAAAAGCAAUUGUCAAGGGGAAAACCGGAGGCCGCUUUAAAAACAGAACCACUCCAGGUAACCACGCAUGAUAAGAAAGACAGAGACCCUGCUUUAGCUGAGGCUCCGGUUUUAUUAUAUCAAAGAUAAUAUAUACACUGUCAUGAUAUGUACAUAGAUAGAGCCGAUGGCUCAAGUGUAGUAAGGCCGAAGAUGAGCUAUAUUCCACGGCCUAUUGGUCUCCUCCUCUGAUGUACGUGAGUCUUUAUGCCCUCGAAUAUCAAUCAGAUAGUACGACCCGUUGUGCAAAUUCUUGCUGACCACGAAGGAUCCCUCCCAAGGUGGGGAUAACUUGUGCAUAUCCGUCUGAUCUUGGAUGAGUCGAAGCACCAAAUCACCUUCUUGAAAAGUUCUGGUUCUAACCCGGCGACUGUGAUAGCGACGAAGAUCUUGCUGGUAAAUCACCGAACGGGCAGCCGCUAUAUCACGCUCCUCGUCCAAUAGGUCCAAAGCGUCUUGCCGUGCUGUCUCAUUGUCUGCUUCAACAUAAGCUGCCACACGAGGCGAAUCGUGCCGGAUAUCACUAGGGAGAACUGCCUCUGCUCCAUAGACCAUGAAAAAUGGUGUGUAUCAUGUGGACCGGUUUGGCGUAGUAUUGAUACUCCAUAACACAGAUGGUAGCUCUUCAACCCAACAUCCUGGUGUUCUUUGCAAUGGGACCAUAAGCCGGGGUUUGAUGCCUCGCAAGAUUUCCUGAUUAGCUCGUUCUGCCUGUCCAUUGGACUGGGGGUGUGCCACUGACGACACGUCAAGUCGGAUGUGCUCACGUUCACAUAACUCCUUCAUAGCGUCCUUGGAUAAAUUGGUACCAUUGUCAGUAAUGAUACUAUGUGGAAAACCAAACCGGAAAAUCACCUUUUUGAUGAACUGCACCGAUGUUGCUGCAUCACACUUGCUGACAGGCUCCGCUUCAACCCACUUGGUAAAUUUGUCAACUGCCACCAAAAGGUGGGUUUUCUUAUCCUUGGAUCUUUUAAAAGGUCCGACCAUAUCCAGCCCCCAAGUUGCAAACAGCCACGUUAUUGGGAUCAUCCUCAAUUCUUGAGCCGGCACAUGAGCACGCCUUGAAAAUUUCUGACAUCCAUCACACCGUUUAACCAAGUCCUCCACGUCAGCAUGCGCUGUCAACCAGUAGAACCCGUGACGAAACGCCUUUGCUACCAGAGACUUUGAACUGGCGUGAUGUCCACAAUCCCCUUCAUGGAUUUCUCUUAAUAUUUCACAGCCUUCCUCAGGAGAAACACAACGUUGAAACGCCCCUGAUACACUGCAGUGAUGCAAUUCACCAUUAACAAUCGUCAUAGACUUGGAUCGUCGGACUAUCUGCCUGGCUAGAAUCUCAUCCUCUGGUAACUCCCCCCGGUUCAUGUACAUAAGAUAAGGAACCGUCCAAUCCGGAAUAGCAUGCAGUGCUGCCACCAAUUGAGCCUCUGGAUCAGGAAUAGCCAAAUCCGCUUCACCUGGGAGCUGGACUGACGGGUUGUGCAACACGUCCAGAAAGACAUUAGGCGGGACCGGUUUGCGCUGAGAACCCAACCGGCUUAAAGCGUCCGCCGCUUCAUUCUUCCGACAGUCCACAUGAUCCACUUGAUAACCCUUGAAACAACCCGCAAUAUUAUCCACCUCCCGACGAUAUGCAGCCAUGAGCAGGUCCUUAGAAUCCCAAGUGCCAGACACCUGUUGAACCACGAGGUCCGAGUCACCGAAGCACUUAACCCGGCUUAAGUUCAUCUCUUUAGCCAUCCGGAGACCAUGGAGCAAGGCUUCGUACUCAGCUGCAUUAUUAGUACAAGGGAACAUUAAGCGGAGAACAUAACAAAACUUAUCACCUCGUGGGGAAGUUAAUACGACUCCAGCCCCUGAGCCUUCCAGUUGCCUGGAUCCAUCAAAAUGAAUAGUCCAAUAUGUGUGAUCCGGCUUCUCCUCUGGUGCUUGUAACUCCGUCCAAUCAUUGAUGAAAUCAACAAGUGCUUGAGACUUCACCGCCGUCCAAGGUACAUACUUCAGUCCGUGUGGCCCAAGCUCUAUAGCCCACUUGGCAAUCCGGCCAGUCGCCUCCCGGUUCUGUAUGAUGUCACCCAAGGGAGCUGAACUGACCACUGUGAUGGGGUGCCCUUGAAAAUACUGCUUCAACUUCCGAAUAGCCAUGAAAACACCGUAGACGAGCUUCUGCCAAUGCGGAUACCUUUGCUUGGAUUCAAUAAGCACUUCGCUGAUAUAAUAAACCGGCCGCUGAACCGGAUACUCCUUGCCUGCCUCCUUGCGUUCCACCACAAUAGCCACGCUAACUGCCCAAGCAUUAGCUGCUACGUAUAAUAAUAGUGGCUCCUUGUCGACCGGAGCUGCAAGGACAGGCGGAUUGGCUAACUACCGCUUCAAGUCCUCAAAUGCUUCAUCAGCAGUCGAACUCCAAAUGAAAUGGUCUGUCUUCCUCAGCAUUUGGUACAAAGGAAUGGCCUUUUCUCCGAGGCGGCUGAUAAACCGGCUUAGUGCGGUGAUUCGGCCCGCCAAGUGCUGAACAUCAUUGAUGCACUUCGGUUUAGCCAGGGAGGUGAUAGCUGUAAUCUUCUCCGGAUUAGCCUCAAUUCCUCUAUUAGACACCAGGAAACCUAGUAACUUGCCUGCCGGAACACCAAAGACACACUUGGCCGGAUUAAGCAUCAUAUUGUAAACCCGCAAGUUGUCAAAGGUUUCCUUCAAUUCAUCCACCAGCGUCUCCUUCUGCCUUGAUUUUACUACAAUAUCAUCCACAUAGGCAUGCACAUUGCGGCCGAUCUGUUUAUGCAGGCAAUUCUGUAAACACCGUUGAUAGGUGGCUUGGGCACUCUUGAGGCCGAAGGGCAUAGAUACAUAGCAGAAGGCUCCAAAGGGAGUAAUAAACGUUGUUUUCUCCUAGUCCUUAACCGCCAUUUUGAUCUGAUGAUAUCCAGAGUAUGCAUCCAAAAAACUCAAACGCUCACAACCCGCCGUGGCAUCAUUGAUCUGGUCAAUGCGGGGGAGGGCAAAAGGAUCCGCUGGACAGGCCCUGUUAAGAUCUGCGUAAUCCACACACAUACGCCAAGUGCCAUUUUUCUUGAGAACCAACACCGGAUUAGCAAGCCACUCUGGAUGGAACACCUCAAUGAUAAAGCCAGCUGCCAAAAGCCUGGCCACUUCCUCUCCAAUGGCCUUUCACCUUUCUUCGUUAAACCGGCGGAGGAAUUGCUUCACCGGUUUAUACCUAGGAUCCACAUUAAGAGUGUGCUCAGCGAGUUCCCUCAGUACACCUGACAUGUCGGAUGGUUUCCAUGCGAAGAUGUCCCGAUUCUCAUGGAUGAACUCGAUGAGCGCACUUUCCUAUUUGGGAUCCAAAUUGGUACUGACAGUGAACUGCUUGGACGAAUCGCCGGGCACGAAGUCAACAAGCUUGGUCUCAGCUGCCGAUUUGAACUUCAGAUCCGAAUCAUGUUCUGUAGUUGGUUUCUUCAGAGGAAUCAUAUCCGUUGGAUCAACAUUGUCCUUAUAGUACUUCAACUCCUCCGUGGCACAGACCGACUCUGCAUAAGCCGCAUCACCUUCCUCACAUUCCAAAGCGACCAUACGGCUCCCAUGAACCGUUAUUGUCCCCUUGUAACCCGGCAUCUUGAGCUGCAAGUAAAUAUAACAAGGCCGCGCCAUGAACUUGGCGUAAGCCGGCCGACCAAACAAGGCAUGAUAUGGGCUCUGGAUCUUCACCACCUCAAAUGUUAGUUUUUCCGACCGGGAGUCGUGCUCGUCCCCAAAAACCACGUCCAGGGCUAUCUUACCAACAUGAUAUGUAGAUUUGCCAGGCACCACACCAUGGAACACCGUAUUAGAUGGUCUGAGAUCUUUGUCUGUUAAACCCAUGCGACGGAAUGUCUCAUGGUAUAGUAUGUUAAUACUGCUUCCUCCAUCCAUGAGUACCUUGGUGAAUUUAUAACCCCCCACCUGAGGGUCUACCACUAAUGCUAGCUGGCCGGGAUUAUCAACCCGGGGCGGGUGAUCCUCUCUGCUCCACACGAUAGGCUGUUCCGACCAGCGCAAGUAACGCGGUAAGGCCGGUUCAGCAGAAUUCACUGCUCGCUUGUGGAGUUUUCGGUCGCGUUUAUCCAAGCUAGUUGUGAAAACAUGAUAUUGCCCAUUGUUCAACUGUUUUGGCUGGCUCUGAUAACCUGACUGCUGCUGCUGCUGCUGGCCGUUCUGAUUAUUCUGGUGAUUGUGACCGCCCUGAUUGCGACCUGAACCGGAAGCUCCAUCGUGAUCCGGCCCACGAAAACCGGAUCCUGAACUGCCACCUGACCCGUGAUCAUACCGGAAGGCAUUAGAGUUUUUAAACUCCUGCAUGAUAUAACAAUCCUUCCAAAGAUGGUUAGCUGGCGCCUCCUUCGUCCCGUGCUUCGGGCAAGGUUGAUUCAUCAAAUAACUCAAGCGGCUUGCGUUAGGAUUGGGAGCCCCAUUACGAUUUGCCGCUUUACCUCUGCGCCGCUGCCCCCUGUCCUGUGCAUUAGUGUUGGCCACAAAGUCCAUGCUGCCAUCCACCUUGCGCUUGCCUCCGUUUCCAUGACCCGCCGGUUUAUACUGCUGCUGUUUGGAGUUGCUAUUCUUCCUUCCCUUCCCUGCUUCAUCAUCAUCAGUCUCGGGAUCCUUGGUACUGUCCGAAUCAGCAUACUUCACUAGAGCGGCCAUGAGGGUUCCCAUGUCAUUACAGAACCGCUUCAUGCGUCCCAAUUUCAAUUUUAAGGGCUCAAACCGGCAGUUGCCUUCCAGGGUUAAGAUCGCAGAGUCAGCAUUAAUCCUGUCGGACAAGUGCAAAAUUUCCGAAACGUGGCGCACCCAAUGGGUCGUUGAUUCUCCUUCCCCCUGGACACAAGCCGCCAGGUCUACUAUAGAUUUGGGCUGCUUACACGUAUCCUUGAAAUUCUGGAUAAACCGGGCCCGCAACUGGGCCCAUGAGCCGAUAGAAUUGGGCGGUAAGCUCUUCAACCAAGUACGCGCCGUGCCUUCAAGCAUCAUGGUGAAGUAUUUUGCACAUGCGGUCUCAUCCACGUCUAACAUCUCCAUGGCCAUCUCAUAACUCUCUAUCCACGCUUCAGGGGAUAAAUCAGCGGUGUAACUCGGCACCUUGCGUGGACCCUUGAAAUCUUUGGGCAGGCGCACAUUGUGUAAAGCGGGGAUUAAACAAGGCACUCCCAAAGCGGAUGCGACUCCUGGUCCGGCGAAGGUGGUAGGGCGAACCGGUGUAAGUUGAUCCGCAUCAUCCUGCGCUGCUAACUCGGCUUCCCUCCGUGCCCGGGCCCGGUCCACCACAUCCUGAGCAUCGCGAACACCGCCCGCCGGGCUAUUGCCAUAGGCUGCUUCACGGCCUCGCGCAUUGCUCGAUAUGGCCGGUUCAUCCAUGCGCCUGCUAUAGCUCCGGCUUGGACGGGGCGUAGAGUGAAUCCGAUCACGGCUGUACGAGUAUGCUUCCUGCUGAAUCAGCGCGGUCCGGAGAAGCUCCUUAACCCGGCGCGUCUCUAUCGCUUGCGGAGAGUCCCCUUCGACUGGGAUUGCCUCUAAUCGCGCGGCGGCCGCAACAAGGUUGUCCAUAGGAUUAGAAUAAUGACCUGGGGGCAUCUAGACCAGCGGAAGAAUCUCAAUGUUCUGCUGAGGAGGUUCCAUCAGGCGAGGUUGGACCGUCCCCCUGGUCCUGGUGCCUCAAUCCGGUUUGUCUCCAGGUGCCGCGGCGGAUUACUGGGUCCAGCUCCUGGAGUGUGAAAGAGAUUCCGGGGAUCAAACCCUAACGGCAGGCGUGACCUGUGCUUCCGCUUUAAGACCUCCUGUGAUGUGUUCUGGUCAAGCAUGAGCUUAUAAGCCUGGGCAUCCAAAGCGGCCCGCUCUGCGGCCAUCCUGUCUUUUCUGCGGCCAGAUCCGCUUUGGCUUGCACGAUCUGUUCUCUCACCUUUGCAAUUUCUGUAUUAUGGGCCUCCUGAUCCGCCGGAUUGUCCUCUGCCAUGAGCGCGGCUAGUGUAUCAAAUAGAUCAGAUAGAACUUGAACCGGCGGGCGCACAAGGCCUCCUGCCCCUGCUGAUCCGGAGAGACAUGCUGCGGCGGUCGAAGAGUAAUUCGCCGCCUGUGUGCCGGCCAUGCAUAUUCCAACCUGGUUGACCUGGCCUGGGGGGUCCGGAAUACUGUCGCCAUCGGAACAGCCCCUAACCUGGUCGUCUUGUAACUGGUAUAGUGAUUCGGUCUCUCCGAUCGAGGACUCGUCGCCGGAAUAGAUGACGGCCUCGCUACCGUGUUCUGACUCGUCCUCACACCCUCCUUCAUGGAUGAUUCCGAUGAAGGCACGCUUCACGGCCGGUUUAGCCUGGGUAGAUCUCGCACGCUGAGCCGUCUCGACGAGGUCGAUGCAGAUGUCCGGCUCAGGCCCCGGCUCACCGAUCUUUCCGAUGAAAACGUGUAUGCCACCAAAGGGGACCCGGUACCCGUAUUCAAUCGAAUCGGCCUCAGGACCCCAUCCUGCGUCGUCAAUGUAGAUCUUGCCACGACGACUCUUGGUCAUCUGGCCCACAGCAUAGCCUUCGAGUCCUUUGAGCUUGCCCUCCAAGAUCGUCAAACCAUCGUGCGAUAGCCCCACGGUGGGCGCCAACUGUCGUGGAUUUGUCACGGCAGAUGUCCUAGUGAAAGGACUUAGUCAUGGAGCCAUCGCCACGGGUUUACUUGAAGGGGUUAAAGUGGACACAAAGACACGAGGGUUUUAUACUAGUUCGGCCCCUUCGAUGAAGGUAAAGCCUACGUCUAGUUGUGAUGGAAUUGAUAUGGUCUCGAUGGCUAGGGAGCAAACAAGCUUCGCCCAGGCUCGAGUUGUCGUUGUCUGUCCUGAACCGCCGCCGGGUCGUCCCCUUAUAUACACGGGUGACGCCCGACGGUCCAUAGAGUCCCAACCGGUUCAUACUCGUAUCCCGGUUGGUAUCUCUCUAUUCCUAACUUAUAAUACAAGUUAUACAUCAGGUCGGUUUACGGCUACAGAUUCUAAACCGACUAUAGGCCUUGGGCCUUCAUCUGCUUAUACCACUAAUGAAGUUAACCCGGCCCAAGUAGGCCGGUUUACGCCUAGUGGUAAUAUCCCCAACACUCGGGUUGGCCGACCCAAUGGAAGGGUAUAGGUGGUGGUGAGGCAAAUGGUAAAACCAAGGUUGGGCCUUGCUGGAAGAGUUUUAUUCAAAGCGAACUGUCAAGGGGGUCCCAUAAAUCACCCAACCGCGUAAGGAACGCAAAAUCCGGGAACAUAACACCGGUAUGACAGAAACUAGGGCGGCAAGAGUGGAACAAAACACCAGGCAAAAGGCCGAGUCUUCCACCCUUUACCAAGUAUAUAGAUGCAUUAAUAAUAUAAGAGAUAUUGUGAUAUCCCAACAUAAUCCUGUCCACCAUGGAGAAAUCUUCAACUUCACCUGCAACUAGCAACGCUAUAAGAGGGGAUGAGCAAAAGCGGUAACAUAGCCAAAAAACGGUUUGCAUAGGAAAGGUGUCAAAGGUUAGAGGUUCAUGGCAAUAUGGGAGGCUUGAUAAACAGGUGAUAGGUAGCGCAGCAAAGCGAUAGAACGAAGCAACUAGCAUAGCAAUGAUAGUAGUGAGAUCCAGGGUAGCGGUCAUCUUGCCUGAAAUCCCGCUAGGAAGAAGAACGAGUCCAUGAAGAAGACGAACAGGAGUAGUCGAACGAAUCCUCACAAUCGCAACAUUAACGGAACUAAGAAGCAACACCGGAAAGAAAUAAACAACAUGGUAAACACACAAGCAUAAACAUGGCAUGAUGCACAAACAAGUAUGAUGCAUGUCCGGUUUAAAGAGGCAUGGCAUGGCAAAGUGCAACAAACAACACUACAAAUUAAGUGGAGCUCAAUAUGCAACGAGUUGCAUAUUGAUGAAACACCACAAGCAAUUAUUUAGUUCUCUCUCGAUUAGGUACACAACAAUAUUAAAUGUUGUUAAACAUGGCAAGAGGUGAGGCAUAAGUAAACUAACUAAAAAUUUUCCUACGGUUUCACCAAGAUCCAUCUAUGAGUUCAUCUAAGCAACGAGUUAUAGGAGAGAGAUGCAUCUACAUACCACUUGUAGAUCGCGUGCGGAAGCGUUCAAGGGAACGGGGAUGAUGGAGUCGUACUCGCCGUGAUCCAAUCACCGAUGACCAAGUGCCGAACGGACAGCACCUCCGCGUUCAACACACGUACGGAGAGGAUGACGUCUCCUCCUUCUUGAUCCAGCAAGGGGGAACGAUAGGUUGAGGAAGAAGGCUCCAGCAGCAGCACGACGGCGUGGUGAUGGUGGAGAGGCAGUACUCCGACAGGGCUUUGCCAAGCACUUAAUAGAGGAGGAGAGGUGUUGGGGAGGGGAGGGGCUGCACCUUAGAUGUCUUGUGCAGCCCUCCCCUCGCCCCUCUAUUUAUAGGGGAAGGGGGAAGGGGGCCGACCCCCUCUAGAUGAGAUCUAGAGGGGGGGCGGCGGCCAAGGGAGGGGGCUUGUCCCCCAAGCAAGGGGGGCGCCCCCACUAGGGAUUCCCCCCCAACCCUAGGCGCAUGGGCCCAAGGGGGGGCGCGCCCAGCCCUCCAGGGGCUGGUUCCCUGCCCCCUACGGCCCAUGAGGCCCUCCGAGAGGGGUCGCCCCUCCCGAUGGACCCCCGGAACCCCUCCGGUGGCCCCGGUACAAUACAGAUAUGCCCCCGAAACUUUCCGGUGACCGUAUGACAACUUCCCAUAUAUAAAUCUUCACCUCCAGACCAUUCCGGAACUCCUCAUGACGUCCGGGAUCUCAUCCGGGACUCCGAACAACAUUCGGUAAUCACAUACAAGUCUUCCUAAUAACCCUAGCGUCACCGAACCUUAAGUGUGUAGACCCUACGGGUUCGGGAGACAUGCAGACAUGACCGAGACGGCCCUCCGGUCAAUAACCAACAGCGGGAUCUGGAUACCCAUGUUGUCUCCCACAUGCUCCUUGAUGAUCUCAUCGGAUGAACCACGAUGUCGAGGAUUCAAUCAACCCCGUAUACAAUUCCCUUUGUCAAAGCGGUACGUUACUUGCCCGAGACUCGAUCGUCGGUAUCCCAAUACCUCGUUCAGUCUCGUUACCGACAAGUCACUUUACUCGUACCGUAAUGCAUGAUCCCGUGACCAAACACUUGUCACUUUGAGCUCAUUAUGAUGAUGCAUUACCGAGUGGGCCCAGAGAUACCUCUCCGUUAUACGGAGUGACAAAUCCCAGUCUCGGUCCGUGUCAACCCAACAGACACUUUCGGAGAUACCUGUAGUGCACCUUUAUAGUCACCCAGUUACAUUGUGACGUUUGAUACACCCAAAGCACUCCUACGGUAUCCGGUAGUUACACGAUCUCAUGGUCUAAGGAAACGAUACUUGACAUUGGAAAAGCUCUAGCAAAACGAACUACACGAUCUUGUGCUAUGCUUAGGAUUGGGUCUUGUCCAUCACAUCAUUCUCCUAAUGAUGUGAUCCCGUUGUCAACGACAUCUAAUGUCCAUAGUCAGGAAACCAUGACUAUUUGUUGACCAACGAGCUAGUCAACUAGAGGCUUACUAGGGACGUAUUGUGGUCUAUGUAUUCACACGUGUAUUACGAUUUCCGGAUAAUACAAUUAUAGCAUUAAUAAAGGACAACUAUCAUGAACAAAGAAAUAUAAUAAUAAUCCUUUUAUUAUUGCCUCUAGGGCAUAUUUCCAACAGUCUCCCACUUGCACUAGAGUCAAUAAUCUAGUUACAUUGUGAUGAAUCGAACACCCAUAGAGUUCUGGUGUUGAUCAUGUUUUGCUCGCGGAAGAGGUUUAGUCAACGGAUCUGCGACAUUCAGAUCCGUAUGUACUUUGCAAAUAUCUAUGUCUCCAUCUUGAACAUUUUCACGGAUGGAGUUGAAACGACGCUUGAUGUGCCUGGUCUUCUUGUGAAACCUGGGCUCCUUGGCAAGGGCAAUAGCUCCAGUGUUGUCACAGAAGAGUUUGAUCGGCCCCGACGCAUUGGGUAUGACUCCUAGGUCGGUGAUGAACUCCUUCACCCAAAUUGCUUCAUGCGCUGCCUCUGAGGCUGCCAUGUAUUCCGCUUCACAUGUAGAUCCCGCCACGACGCUCUGCUUGCAGCUGCACCAGCUUACUGCCCCACCAUUCAACAUAUACACAUAUCCGGUUUGUGACUUAGAGUCAUCCAGAUCUGUGUCGAAGCUAGCGUCGACGUAACCCUUUACGAUGAGCUCUUCAUCACCUCCAUAAACGAGAAACACGUCCUUUGUCCUUUUCAGGUACUUCAGGAUAUUCUUGACCGUUGUCCAGUGUUCCUUGCCGGGAUUACUUUGGUACCUUCCUACCAAACUUACGGCAAGGUUUACAUCAGGUCUGGUACACAGCAUGGCAUACAUAAUAGAUCCUAUGGCUGAGGCAUAGGGGAUGACACUCAUCUCUUCUUUAUCUUUUGCCGUGGUCGGGCAUUGAGCCGAGCUCAAUCUCACACCUUGCAAUACAGGCAAGAACCCUUUCUUGGACUGAUCCAUUUUGAACUUCUUCAAAAUCUUAUCAAGGUAUGUGCUUUGUGAAAGACCUAUGAGGCGUCUCGAUCUAUCCCUAUAGAUCUUGAUGCCUAAUAUGUAAGCAGCUUCUCCAAGGUCCUUCAUUGAAAAACACUUAUUCAAGUAGGCCUUAAUGUUGUCCAAGAAUUCUAUAUCAUUUCCCAUCAAAAGUAUGUCAUCUACAUAUAAUAUGAGAAAUGCUACGGAGCUCCCACUCACUUUCUUGUAAACGCAGGCUUCUCCAUAAGUCUGCAUAAACCCAAACGCUUUGAUCAUCUCAUCAAAGCGAAUGUUCCAGCUCCGAGAUGCUUGCACCAGCCCAUAAAUGGAUCGCUGGAGCUUGCAUACUUUGUUAGCAUUCUUAGGAUCGACAAAACCUUCCGGCUGCAUCAUAUACAGCUCUUCCUUAAGAUAACCGUUAAGGAAUGCCGUUUUGACGUCCAUCUGCCAUAUCUCAUAAUCAUAGUAUGCGGCAAUUGCUAACAUGAUUCGAACGGACUUAAGCUUCGCUACGGGAGAGAAAGUCUCAUCGUAGUCAACCCCUUGAACUUGCCGAUAACCCUUAGCGACAAGUCGAGCUUUAUAGAUGGUGACAUUACCAUCCGUGUCCGUCUUCUUCUUAAAGAUCCAUUUGUUUUCUAUCGCUCGCCGAUCAUCGGGCAAGUCAGUCAAAGUCCAUACUUUGUUUUCAUACAUGGAUUCUAUCUCGGAUUGCAUGGCUUCUAGCCAUUUGUUGGAAUCUGGGCCCACCAUCGCUUCUUCAUAGUUUGAAGGUUCACCGUUGUCUAACAACAUGAUUUCCAGGACAGGGUUGCCAUACCACUCUGGUGUGGAACGUGUCCUCGUGGACCUACGAAGUUCAGUAGCAACUUGAUCCGAAGUACCUUGAUCAUCAUCAUUAAUUUCCUCUCCAGUUGGUGUAGGCACCACAGGAACAUUUUCCUGAGCUGCACUACUUUCCGAUUCAAGAGGUAGUACUUCAUCGAGUUCUAAUUUUCUCCCACUUACUCCUUUCGAGAGAAACUCCUUUUCCAGAAAGGAUCCAUUCUUGGCAACAAAGAUCUUGCCUUCAGAUCUAAGGUAGAAGGUAUACCCAAUGGUUUCCUUGGGGUAUCCUAUGAAGACGCAUUUUUCCGACUUGGGUUCGAGCUUUUCAGGUUGAAGUUUCUUGACAUAAGCAUCGCAUCCCCAAACUUUUAGGAACGACAACUUAGGUUUCUUCCCAAACCAUAAUUCAUACGGUGUUGUCUCAACGGAUUUAGACGGUGCCCUAUUUAAAGUGAAUGUAGCUGUCUCUAGAGCGUAUCCCCAAAAUGAUAGCGGUAAAUCGGUAAGAGACAUCAUAGAUUGCACCAUAUCCAAUAGAGUGCGAUUACGACAUUAGGACACACCGUUACGCUGAGGUGUUCCAGGCGGCGUGAGUUGUGAAACAAUUCCACAUUUCCUUAAGUGUGUACCAAAUCCGUGACUUAAAUAUUCUCCUCCACGAUCUGAUCAUAAGAAUUUUAUCAUUCGGUCAUGUUGAUUCUCUACUUCAUUCUAAAAUUCCUUGAACUUUUCAAAGGUCUCAGACUUGUGUUUCAUCAAGUAGACAUACCCAUAUCUACUUAAGUCAUCAGUGAGAGUGAGAACAUAACGAUAUCCUCCGCGAGCCUCAACGCUCAUUGGACCACACACAUCAGUAUGUAUGAUUUCCAAUAAGUUGGUUGCUCGCUCCAUAGUUUCGGAGAACGGAGUCUUGGUCAUUUUGCCCAUGAGGCAUGGUUCGCAUGUGUCAAAUGAUUCAUAAUCGAGAGACUCUAAAAGUCCAUCAACAUGGAGCUUCUUCAUGCGCUUGACACCAAUGUGACCAAGGCGGCAGUGCCACAAGUAUGUGGGACUAUCGUUAUCAACUUUACAUCUUUUGGUAUUCACACUAUGAAUAUGUGUAACAUUACGUUCGAGAUUCAUUAAGAAUAAACCAUUGACCAUCGGGGCAUGACCAUAAAACAUAUCUCUCAUAUAAAUAGAACAACCAUUAUUCUCGGAUUUAAAUGAGUAGCCAUCUCGUAUUAAACGAGAUCCAGAUACAAUGUUCAUGCUCAAACUUGGCACUAAAUAACAAUUAUUAAGGUUUAAAACUAAUCCCGUAGGUAAAUGUAGAGGUAGCGUGCCGACGGCGAUCACAUCGACCUUGGAACCAUUCCCGACGCGCAUCGUCACCUCGUCCUUCGCCAGUAUCCGCUUAUUCCGCAGCUCCUGCUGUGAGUUACAAAUAUGAGCAACGGCACCGGUAUCAAAUACCCAGGAGUUACUACGAGUACUGGUAAGGUACACAUCAAUUACAUGUAUAUCACAUAUACCUUUAGUGUUGCCUGCCUUCUUGUCCGCUAAGUAUUUGGGGCAGUUCCGCUUCCAGUGACCCUUCCCUUUGCAAUAAAAGCACUCAGUCUCAGGCUUGGGUCCAUUCUUUGACUUCUUCCCGGCAACUGGCUUACUGGGCGCGGCAACAUCUUUGCCGUUCUUCUUGAAGUUCUUCUUACCCUUGCCCUUCUUGAACUUAGUGGUCUUAUUGACCAUCAACACUUGAUGUUCUUUCUUGAUUUCAACCUCUGCUGACUUCAGCAUUGAAAAUACUUCAGGAAUGGUCUUUACCAUCCCCUGCAUAUUGUAGUUCAUCACAAAGCUCUUUUAGCUCGGUGGGAGCGAUUGAAGGAUUCUGUCAAUGACCGCCUCGUCCGGGAGGUUGAUCUCCAGCUGGGACAGGUGGCUGUGUAACCCAGACAUUUUGAGUAUGUGCUCACUGACAGAACUGUUUUCCUCCAUCUUAAAACUAUAGAACUUGUCGGAGACUUCAUAUCUCUCGACCCGGGCAUGAGCUUGAAAAACCAUUUUCAGCUCCUCGAACAUCUCAUAUGCUCCGUGUUGCUCAAAACGUUUUUGGAGCCCCGGUUCUAAGCUGUAAAGCAUGCCGCACUGAACGAGGGAGUAAUCAUCAGCACGUAACUGCCAAGCAUUCAUAAUGUCUUGGUUCUCUGGGAUGGGUGCUUCACCUAGCGGUCCUUCUAGGACAUAUGCUUUCUUGGCUGCUAUGAGGAUAAUCCUUAGGUUCCGGACCCAGUCCGAAUAGUUGCUGCCAUCAUCUUUCAACUUGGUUUUCUCUAGGAACGCGUUGAAGUUCAUGUUGACAUGAGCGUUGGCCAUUUGAUCUACAAGACAUGUUUUGCAAAGAUUUUAGACUAAGUUCAUGAUAAUUAAGUUCAUCUAAUCAAAUUAUUUAAUGAACUCCCACUCAGAUUUGACAUCCCUCUAGUCAUCUAAGUGUUACAUGAUCCGAGUCGACUAGGCCAUGUCCGAUCGUCACGUGAGACGUACUAGUCAUCAUCGGUAAACAUCUCCAUGUUGAUCGUAUCUUCCAUACGACUCAUGUUCGACCUUUCGGUCUCUUGUGUUCCGAGGCCAUGUCUGUACAUGCUAGGCUCGUCAAGUUAACCCUAAGUGUUUAUGCAUGUGUAAAACUGUCUUACACCCGUUGUAUGUGAACGUAAGGAUCUAUCACACCCGAUCAUCACGUGGUGCUUCGAAAUGACGAACUUUAGCAAUGGUGCACAGUUAGGGGGAACACUUUCUUGAAAUUAUUAUAAGGGAUCAUCUUAUUUACUACCGCCGUUCUAAGUAAACAAGAUGCAUAAAACAUAAUAAACAUCACAUGCAAUUAUAUAAAGUAGUGACAUGAUAUGGCCAAUAUCAUAUAGCUCCUUCGAUCUCCAUCUUCGGGGCUCCAUGAUCAUCUUCGUCACCGGCAUGACACCAUGAUCUCCAUCAUCAUGAUCUCCAUCAUCGUGCCUCCAUGAAGUUGCUCGCCAACUAUUACUUCUACUACUAUAGCUAAUGGUUUAGCAAUAAAGUAAAGUAAUUACAUGGCGUUGAAUCAUUGACACACAGGUCAUACAAUAAUUAAGACAACUCCUAUGGCUCCUGCCGGUUGUCAUACUCAUCGACAUGCAAGUCGUGAUUCCUAUUACAAGAACAUGAUCUCAUACAUCACAAUAUAUCAUUCGUCAUUCAUCACAACUUCUGGCCAUAUCACAUCACAUGACAAUUGCUGCAAAAACAAGUUAGACGUCCUCUAAUUGUUGUUGCAUCUUUUACGUGGCUGCAAUUGGGUUCUAGCAAGAACGUUUCCUUACCUACGAAUAACCACAACGUGAUUUUAUCAACUUCUAUUUACCCUUCAUAAGGACCCUUUUCAUCGAAUCCGCUCCAACUAAAGUGGGAGAGACAGACACCCGCUAGCCACCUUAUGCAACUAGUGCAUGUCAGUCGGUGGAACCUGUCUCACGUAAGCGUACGUGUAAGGUCGGUCCGGGCCGCUUCAUCCCACAAUACCGCUGAAGCAAAAUAAGACUAGUAGUGGCAAGCAAGUUGACAAGAUCUACGCCCACAACAAAAUUGUGUUCUACUCGUGCAAUAGAGAACUACGCAUAGACCUAGCUCAUGAUGCCACUGUUGGGGAAUGUUGCAGAAAAUUAAAAAAUUUCCUACGGUUUCAGCAAGAUCCAUCUAUGAGUUCAUCUAAGCAACGAGUGAUAGGAGAGAGAUGCAUCUACAUACCACUUGUAGAUUGCGUGCGGAAGCGUUCCAGGGAACGGAGAUGAUGGAGUCGUACUCGCCGUGAUCCAAAUCACUGAUGACCAAGUGCCGAACGGACAGCACCUCCGCGUUCAACACACAUACGGAGCGGAUGACGUCUCCUCCUUCUUGAUCCAGCAAGGGGGAAGGAGAGGUUGAGUAAGAAGGCUCCAGCAGCAGCACCACAGCAUGGUGAUGGUGGAGAGGCAGUACUCCGACAGGGCUUCGCCAAUCACUUAACGGAGGAGGAGAGGUGUUGGGGAGGGGAGGGGCUGCACCUUGGAUGUCUUGUGCAGCCCUCCCCUCGCCCCUCUAUUUAUAGGGGAAGGGGGAAGGGGGCCGGCCCUCUCUAGAUGAGAUCUAGAGGGGGGGCGUCGGCCAAGGGAGGGGGCUUGCCCCCCAAGCAAGGGGGGCGCCCCCACUAGGGUUUCCCCCCCAACCCUAGGUGCAUGGGCCCAAGGGGGGGCGCCCAGCCCUCCAGGGGCUGGUUCCCUGCCCCCUACGACCCAUGAGGCCCUCCGAGAGGGGUGGCCCCUCCCGGUGGACCCCCGGAACCCCUCCGGUGGCCCCGGUACAAUACCGAUAUGCCCCCGAAACUUUCCGGUGACCGUAUGACAACUUCCCAUAUAUAAAUCUUCACCUUCGGACCAUUCCGGAACUCCUCGUGACAUCCGGGAUCUCAUCUGGGACUCCGAACAACAUUCGGUAAUCACAUACAAGUCUUCCUAAUAACCCUAGCGUCACCGAACCUUAAGUGUGUAGACCCUACGGGUUCGGGAGACAUGCAGACAUGACCGAGACGGCUCUCCGGUCAAUAACCAACAGCGGGAUCUGGAUACCCAUGUUGGCUCCCACAUGCUCCUCGAUGAUCUCAUCGGAUGAACCACGAUGUCGAGGAUUCAAUCAACCCCGUAUACAAUUCCCUUUGUCAAAACGGUACGUUACUUGCCCGAGACUCGAUCAUCGGUAUCCCAAUACCUCGUUCAGUCUCGUUACCGGCAAGUCACUUUACUCGUACUGUAAUGCAUGAUCCCGUGACCAAACACUUGGUCACUUUGAGCUCGUUAUGAUGAUGCAUUACCGAGUGGGCCCAGAGAUACCUCUCCGUCAUACGGAGUGACAAAUCCCAGUCUCGAUCCGUGUCAACCCAACAGAAACUUUUGGAGAUACCUGUAGUGCACGUUUUUAGUCACCCAGUUACGUUGUGACGUUUGAUACACCCAAAGCACUCCUAUGGUAUCCGGGAGUUACACGAUCUCAUGGUCUAAGGAAACGAUACUUGACAUUGGAAAAGCUCUAGCAAAACGAACUACACGAUCUUGUGCUAUGCUUAGGAUUGGGUCUUGUCCAUCACAUCAUUCUCCUAAUGAUGUGAUCCCAUUGUCAACGACAUCUAAUGUCCAUAGUCAGGAAACCAUGACUAUCUGUUGACCAACGAGCUAGUCAACUAGAGGCUUACUAGGGACGUAUUGUAGUCUAUGUAUUCACACGUGUAUUAUGAUUUCCGGAUAAUACAAUUAUAGCAUGAAUAAAAGACAACUAUCAUGAACAAAGAAAUAUAAUAAUAAUCCUUUUAUUAUUGCCUCUAGGGCAUAUUUCCAACAUGGCAGUCCUGGAUUUGCCCCGUGUUCCGAAGCCGCACGCGACCAAGGUGCCACUAAGUGUGCAGAGCGUCCUGACGGACUUCACAGACGUGUUUGCCGACCCCAAGGGCUUCCCUCCACAUCGUCGCUAUGAUCAUGCCAUCACCCUGGUGGACAACACGUGCCCCUCCAACUGGCGACCAUACCGCUACCCGCCCUUGUAGAAAGACGAGAUUGAGCGUCAGGUCCAGGAGAUGCUCCAGUCCGGCAUCAUCGAGCACAUCAUGAGUCCCUUCGCCACGCUCGUGCUGCUCGUCAAUAAGAAGGACGACACCUGGCGUUUUUGUGUUGAUUAUCGAUAGCUCAACGACGCCACGGCCAAGAAAAAAUUUCUCCUGCCCAUCAUGGACGAAUUGCUCGAUGAGUUGGCCAGAGCAGCCUUCUUUUCUAAGCUGGACCUCCGCGCUGGUUAUCACCAGAUAUGCAUGUGCGCGGGCAAUGAGGAGAAGACGGUGUUCAAGACGCACGAUGGCCACUUUCACUUCAAGGUCAUGCCGUUCUGGCUGACGAACGGCAACCUUCCAGUGCCUGAUGAAUGCAAUCUUCGCCAAGUACGUGCGUAAGUUUGUGAACAUAUUUCUUGAUGACAUCUUAAUCUUCAAUGAGACAUUGGAGGAUCACCUGGAGCACCUUCGCCUCGUCCUCGCCCUGCUCCGAGAUCACCAGCUGUACGCCAAGGAGUCCAAGUGCUCUUUCGCCCAGGACAACAUCUCCUACCUCGGCCAUAUCAUUUCCAAGGAGGGCUUNNNNNNNNNNNNNNNNNNNNNNNNNNNNNNNNNNNNNNNNNNNNNNNNNNNNNNNNNNNNNNNNNGCCACGGACCCCGAGAAGAUGCAAGCUAUGGUGGCAUGACCUACCCCAAGCACAGCGACAGAGCUUUGCGGCUUCCUCGGUCUCACCGGCUACUACCGCAAGUUCAUCGCACACUACGGCAUCAUCGCCUAGCCGCUCACUAGCUUGCUGACCAAGAAGGGCUUCGAGUGGACGGGGAGGGCUCAGGUGGCGUUCGAUCUCCUCAAGCGCGCAAUGGUGACUGCGCCCUUGCUCGUGCUCCCAGACUUCGCGCGCCCGUUUGCGAUUGAGACGGACGCGUGCGACACCGGCAUCGGCGCAGUGCUGGCUCAGGAAGGGCACCCAGUGGCGUUCUUCAGCAAAGCCCUAGGCGUGUGCAAUCAGAGGCUGUCGGCAUAUGAGAAGGAGUUCAUCGCCGUCAUGAUGGCCGUCGAGAAGUGGCACGCAUACUUGCAGUAGGGCCCGUUCACCAUCAUCACGGAUCACAAAAGCCUAUGCAACCUCUAGGACCAGCAGCUCGCCACCGACCUGCAGCGCAAGGCAAUGGCCAAGCUGGUGGGGCUCCAAUUGAAGUUCUGCUACCAUCGUGACAGCAAAAAUGGAGCUACUGACGCUCUGUCUCGCGUUGGCGCGACUCUAAACCUCGACACGCUCUCCAUCUGCCAGCCCGCAUGGGUUCAGGAAGUGGCAAGCUCCUAUGCCACGGACGUUGAAGCACAAGAUCNNNNNNNNNNNNNNNNNNNNNNNNNNNNNNNNNNNNNNNNNNNNNNNNNNNNNNNNNNNNNNNNNNNNNNNNNNNNNNNNNNNNNNNNNNNNNNNNNNNNNNNNNNNNNNNNNNNNNNNNNNNNNNNNNNNNNNNNNNNNNNNNNNNNNNNNNNNNNNNNNNNNNNNNNNNNNNNNNNNNNNNNNNNNNNNNNNNNNNNNNNNNNNNNNNNNNNNNNNNNNNNNNNNNNNNNNNNNNNNNNNNNNNNNNNNNNNNNCCUGGCGCGUCUCGCGAUCCACAGUCCCGACAACGACGGGUACGAGCUCUACAAGGGGCUCAUCCACAAGCAGGAGCGCUUGUGGAUCGGCAAGAACACGACAUUGCACACCAAGAUCAUCAGCGCUCUGCACGACAACGCGGUCGAUGGUCACUCCAGCGCCACGGCCACCUACCAGCGCAUCAAGAAACUUUUUGUUUGGGAAGGCUUGAAGACCGACGUCACCGACUAUGUGCGGCAGUGCCCAGUCUGCCAGCAUGCCAAGCACGAGCAAUCCAAGCCGGCGGGCAUGCUCGCACGCUUACCAGUUUCGACAGCUUCCUAGCGCGACCUCACCAUGGAUUUUGUGGAAGGCUUGCCAUCGUCGGAGGGCUUUGAUUCGAUAAUGGUGGUCAUGGACAGACUAACCAAAUCAGCGCACUUCAUUCCGCUUCGCCACCCAUUCAAAUCCCCUCAGGUGGCCAAGGCAUUCUGGGAUCAGGUCGUCAAGCUGCACGGCAUCCCGAGCUCCAUCGUCUCCGACCGCGAUCGCGUCUUCACCAGCACUCUCUGGCGCGAACUCUUCGCCAGCGCGGGCACCAAGUUGCUCUUCUCCAUGGCGUAUCACCGCCAGAUGGAUGGCCAGAGCGAAAGCGUCAACCAGUGCAUGGAAAUGUACUUGUGUUGCACCGUGCACGACGCGCCCCGGCAAUGGUGUCGAUGGCUGCCUACAGCGGAAUUCUGGUACAACUCGUCAUUCCAUUCCUCGAUAAAAUGCUCCCCCUUCAAAGCUCUCUACGGCGUCGGGCGCCAUGGCACUCUGGGACAACAAGAUGGUGCCCAUGAUCGACGGUGAGCCCUGGGACUAGGGCGUGCACAUGGCGCGGCUGCGCGAACACAUUCUCCGUGCCCAUCACAGGUUCAAGAAGCAGACUGAUCAGCAUCGCACGAAGCGCUCCUUCGAGGUGGGCGACGUGGUUCUCCUCAAGCUUCAGCCCUAUGCGUAGUCGUCGGUGGCAAACAGACCCUGCGCCAAGCUGGCGUACAAGUACUUCGGGCCAUUCUGAGUGAUCGACAAGGUCGGCAAGCUAGCGUACAAACUGGAGUUGCCGGCGGACAACAAGAUCCACCUAGUCUUCCACGUAUCCCAGCUCAAGCCAUUCACCCCCAACUAUACACCGGUCUUCUCCGAGCUGCCACGACCCCCAGACCUCGCCGGCCAUGACGACGAACCGGUGGAAAUCCUGGAGCGGCGCAUGGUCAAGCGCGGUAACAGCGCCUUAGUGCAGGUUAAGGUGCGCUGGCGCAACAACGAGACAGCGACGACGACGUGGGAGGACUACGACACCCUUAGCCGCCGUUUUCCACAAGCCCCGGCGUGGGACGCACCAUCGGCCGACGACGAGGACCAGCGCGCAGAACCUAAAGACGGCGCCCGUUCUGAAGGAGUGGGGAAUGUCACACCUGCAUCACCAAGAGAUGAUGCGGUGAACGCGUGAUGGUGUGGACCCCUCUGCCAUGUGGCAUGGACCCACCUGUAAGGCAGGUUGACAAGUGGAGCGCGACUAUAUAGCCAGUUGUAGGCCAGUAGGCAGGGCAUGCGAUGUGUGUGGUGUAUGAAUCUGAACUCUCACCUAAUUUGUACCUCCUCCCUUGGAAAGAAGCUUCUCUCCCAAGUCUCGAUCUCAUCCCCUUUCCCCUCUCGAUCUGACCCCGUGUAGAUGAGUUUGUGACAGGCGAGUGCUCCUGCCCAUCGAGAACUCCGGCCUCCCCACGGAGAUCUCGGUGGAGGUUGUCGUCGCCCCCGGUGGAGGAGGCUGGAUCCGCUCCGUCGGGCUCAUCUCUGUGAGGAUGGUGGGGCCUCGCGUGGUGGCUUUGGUGCUCCAGAAGAUUGGAGGUGGAGGAAGCAGGCAGAGGAGGAAAGGAUGGGGUGCGCAACAACUGUGGUCUCGAUCAUGGAAUCCAUUCCCGGAAAAUAUUCCGUUGCGGGCUGAGGUUCCACUUGGUAGCGCUCGUGACCCCCUCCUGCAUGCUGGUACACUGCCACUCUGACCGAGCCAGGAAAGACUGCACCGUGGCAGAAGAAAACCAGGCGGGAGGCGCACAGAAAAUCAAAGAAUCCCGCCACACUUUUAGGCCAGCAAAUCUCAGCACGGAUCUCAGCGUGCGCGUGGACGCGUGCGAUGGUUGUGACCACAGUACGUUUUGAUAUCCACAAUUUUUCCUAUAUAUAUAUAUAUAUAUAUAUAUAUAUAUAUAUAUAUAUAUAUAUAUAUAUAUAUACUAGCAAAAGAGCCCGUGCGUUGCAACGGGAUAACAAAAUUAUGUUUCAUCACUUAUCACAAUUGCUCUAUCUCGUCACUGUCAUCAACUUAUUCAUCCUUCUGCCCUUUUGCAAGUUUUAUUAUGUACACGGCCUUGUGGUUUCCAUCGUCAUACUAAGAAAAUGCCAGUUAGAAAUGAGAGGUGGAGGUCAAGGCCUACUCUGAGUGCCAUCUUAAUAACUCGAGCCUCGAUCUGUUUUACUUUCCUUGUCAGCAUAAUUAAUGAUUCUGAUUUUCUUGUAUCUGGGUUAUAUAACCAAAUGCUCCUCGUGGAGUUAGUGUCCACAUCCCUUGAUGGUAAUCAUUAUAGCUGCAAUUGAAGGCUGUGAUGUUGCAUCGAAUAUAUUUGGGUGGGAUCGUGCACAUGGAAAAUUUUGGUACCAUCGACGAUGAAGGGUAAAAAAGAUGUUGGAUACCUACAAAUAUAUUCAACUUGAAAAAUAAUGCUUCCUCUAUAAAGAGUUAUAAGAGCGUUUAAUUCUUUACAAAGGGAGUACGUGUCAAAUAAUGUAUGGUCCGAUAGAAAGCAUCUACUUAGAUUUUGCGACAUCCGUUACUGCAGGUGCUGUUGCAGUUGAUGGUCAGUUGGACAGCAGGCAAAGGUAUGUAUAUCAGCUUGAGCUCCGAGUCAAAGAAGAUAUGUGAGUGACCGAUUCAACGUUGAUGACCGUGUCGGCCUCCCAGCGAGAGACCUGCUUCUCCUAUGAGCUCCCACUCGAGGGAAGCGAGGCAUGCGGAGCCAGCCUGGUUCCCAACAUCUGCAAGCUCCCCACCUCGUUGUAAACUUGUAGACUAUGCCAAAUCACAAGUAUGUUUAGGGGCAAUCAAAAGUUGCGGUAGCAGUACUUCUUCUUCCGGUCUCUCCAUGGAGUGCAUACACGUAUAAAUGGUAUGGUCAAUCACAAGAUGGCCAACUCCCCUACACUAAUAUGUGCAUACGAUGUGAUCAUCGAGGGUCCAUUAUACCAUUGAUGAUUGAUUGAUGGAAGCAGCGGCUCAAGCGAUUAAUAUAGUGGUACUAAUGUACCUGGUCGAAAACGUGUUGCAUGGCGUCUAGAUCGUUGCGUCCACGCUCAAGGGCUGCUACUGAUGGCGGCGACGACUUUGCUGAGGCGAGCCUAUUUUUUCAAGAGCCGUGUUGGUCCUGAUAUUUUUAUACAUGUAUAUAUCUAGAGUCCUAUGUCCACGUUCAACAUAUUCAUAUGGAAUAUCAAAGGGAGAUGAGCAAAAAAAUGCGUGUAUUGUUUGUGCCUGACUCGGACAAAUAUGGCGCAAGAAAUUAGGCCGACGAAAGGAUUUUUUAGGUAUGUAUGUAUAUUUAAAAUUUAUACACAUUUUUCUUAGUUUUUUUUCAUAUAUAACAUGUUAUAUUUUGAGUUAGCGUUUGAAAGAUGAAUAUUUCAAAGACCAUUUUAAUCUGUUCGACGUAAAAAUUUAGACCGACGAAAGGAAUUUUUAGGUAUGUAUGUAUAUUUAAAACUUAUACACAUUUUUCUCAGUUUUUUUUCAUAUAUAACAUGUUAUAUUUUGAGUUAGCGUUUGAAAGAUAAAUAUUUCAAAGACCAUUUUAAUCUGUUAGACGUAAAAAUUUAGGCCGACGAAAGGAUGUUAGGUAUAUACGUAUGUAAACUUAAUAACUUANNNNNNNNNNNNNNNNNNNNNNNNNNNNNNNNNNNNNNNNNNNNNNNNNNNNNNNNNNNNNNNNNNNNNNNNNNNNNNNNNNNNNNNNNNNNNNNNNNNNNNNNNNNNNNNNNNNNNNNNNNNNNNNNNNNNNNNNNNNNNNNNNNNNNNNNNNNNNNNNNNNNNNNNNNNNNNNNNNNNNNNNNNNNNNNNNNNNNNNNNNNNNNNNNNNNNNNNNNNNNNNNNNNNNNNNNNNNNNNNNNNNNNNNNNNNNNNNNNNNNNNNNNNNNNNNNNNNNNNNNNNNNNNNNNNNNNNNNNNNNNNNNNNNNNNNNNNNNNNNNNNNNNNNNNNNNNNNNNNNNNNNNNNNNNNNNNNNNNNNNNNNNNNNNNNNNNNNNNNNNNNNNNNNNNNNNNNNNNNNNNNNNNNNNNNNNNNNNNNNNNNNNNNNNNNNNNNNNNNNNNNNNNNNNNNNNNNNNNNNNNNNNNNNNNNNNNNNNNNNNNNNNNNNNNNNNNNNNNNNNNNNNNNNNNNNNNNNNNNNNNNNNNNNNNNNNNNNNNNNNNNNNNNNNNNNNNNNNNNNNNNNNNNNNNNNNNNNNNNNNNNNNNNNNNNNNNNNNNNNNNNNNNNNNNNNNNNNNNNNNNNNNNNNNNNNNNNNNNNNNNNNNNNNNNNNNNNNNNNNNNNNNNNNNNNNNNNNNNNNNNNNNNNNNNNNNNNNNNNNNNNNNNNNNNNNNNNNNNNNNNNNNNNNNNNNNNNNNNNNNNNNNNNNNNNNNNNNNNNNNNNNNNNNNNNNNNNNNNNNNNNNNNNNNNNNNNNNNNNNNNNNNNNNNNNNNNNNNNNNNNNNNNNNNNNNNNNNNNNNNNNNNNNNNNNNNNNNNNNNNNNNNNNNNNNNNNNNNNNNNNNNNNNNNNNNNNNNNNNNNNNNNNNNNNNNNNNNNNNNNNNNNNNNNNNNNNNNNNNNNNNNNNNNNNNNNNNNNNNNNNNNNNNNNNNNNNNNNNNNNNNNNNNNNNNNNNNNNNNNNNNNNNNNNNNNNNNNNNNNNNNNNNNNNNNNNNNNNNNNNNNNNNNNNNNNNNNNNNNNNNNNNNNNNNNNNNNNNNNNNNNNNNNNNNNNNNNNNNNNNNNNNNNNNNNNNNNNNNNNNNNNNNNNNNNNNNNNNNNNNNNNNNNNNNNNNNNNNNNNNNNNNNNNNNNNNNNNNNNNNNNNNNNNNNNNNNNNNNNNNNNNNNNNNNNNNNNNNNNNNNNNNNNNAAAAAAAAAAAUGAAACUCCGUGGGCACUAGCACCCACGGUUUUAUUGAUAUAGAAGAAGCAUCCCUCAUGAGAAUUCCAGAAAUUCGUUCCCGACGUGGAUCGAACUCUGGUCGUUAGGUUUACAAUCAUGCGCCCCCAACCACUGGGCUAUGCCCACGUCCUCCCAGGUCAAUUUCUUUCAUUCAGCCCUGCAUCUCCUAGAUGGCUCGUUCAAUCACUUCUACAUAAUCAGUUCUGUGACAUGUGUGCUGCACAAUAGGUGUUUGCAGCAAUGUUUGAGCACUGUACCAGCCACGACCGCAGUCGUUGCAUCCCUGAACUGUCAUGGGCCUCCUGCGGCCUUGCUUCUUCCCCUGCCUUCUGCGCGGGCGAACCCCUUUUCGUCUUCCCAGGCACGGCCGCGACCUCCUUCUCAGUCGUGGCGCUCCAUCCACCUUCCUCCCCGUCUAGCUAGUAUAAGACACCUGCUGAUUUUAGAUCCUGCUAGCUUGGCAUGGGCAGAUUCCUUUACCAGGCAACACAAGUUUCGAUUUUCGGAACGUGUGCUUGAUUUUGAAUUACAUAUGUUGUUGACAGGAUAUUAGAAGAGAGCUAAAGAUAAAAGCGUUAGUGGUUCUUGAAUCGGCGCCAAAUAUGGACAUAGUCGUGCAAAGAUCCCUGGUAAGCUAAAUUGUUUGCUUUUUCCCCCUGGUUACUACUUUUUGGAUGGAUGGAUACCUUGAGCGUUUCACAUAUAUCCUCUUCUGCCUUUAGACAGAGCGAGCCUGUCCAGAAUGCAACCAUCAUGAACUCGAAUAUUACACGAAGCAGGUUAUUUGCUCACCUUCAGCUUUAGUUAUGAUUUUCUCUUUCUAGUUCUGAAUCCUGCCGACCGACCUUCUUGACGUGCAAUUGCAGCUUCGGUCGGCGGAUGAGGGGCAGACUAUCUUCUACGAGUGCCCGGAGUGCGGCCACGCGUUCAAUGAGAACAGCUAAGAAAAAGGUUUCCUACUAUCAGGGUAUGGAUAUGGGUGGAAGAAACUGCUCCUGCCAUUGGUUGACAAUCGAUGUUCAACAAAAUUUCUCCUGCCAUGCGUUGACCAUUGAUAGAUUCCCUGCAGCGGCCAAAUCCUGGUGCCGCUCGUGAACUUCGCCUCCAUCAGCUCCACUUCGCCGGAGCAAUUAGUCCAGAGGAGGAGGUGUAGCCGGUCCACCUGAUCUCCGACGUGUUAUUCUAACUCCAAAUAAAUUCUUUUUGAGUUCUAUUCUUAGUCACAUGUACACAUGCAGGUUCUAAACUUCUUGUCCAGUCAUUCUAGUACUGAUGAAGAUCGAGUUGACUGAAAUAAUAUAGUCGAUUCUUGAGACCCUUACUAGUCUUUCCAUAUAUAGAAGUUGUGCCUGAUAUCCAAACAUAACUUUUCUCNNNNNNNNNNNNNNNNNNNNNNNNNNNNNNNNNNNNNNNNNNNNNNNNNNNNNNNNNNNNNNNNNNNNNNNNNNNNNNNNNNNNNNNNNNNNNNNNNNNNNNNNNNNNNNNNNNNNNNNNNNNNNNNNNNNNNNNNNNNNNNNNNNNNNNNNNNNNNNNNNNNNNNNNNNNNNNNNNNNNNNNNNNNNNNNNNNNNNNNNNNNNNNNNNNNNNNNNNNNNNNNNNNNNNNNNNNNNNNNNNNNNNNNNNNNNNNNNNNNNNNNNNNNNNNNNNNNNNNNNNNNNNNNNNNNNNNNNNNNNNNNNNNNNNNNNNNNNNNNNNNNNNNNNNNNNNNNNNNNNNNNNNNNNNNNNNNNNNNNNNNNNNNNNNNNNNNNNNNNNNNNNNNNNNNNNNNNNNNNNNNNNNNNNNNNNNNNNNNNNNNNNNNNNNNNNNNNNNNNNNNNNNNNNNNNNNNNNNNNNNNNNNNNNNNNNNNNNNNNNNNNNNNNNNNNNNNNNNNNNNNNNNNNNNNNNNNNNNNNNNNNNNNNNNNNNNNNNNNNNNNNNNNNNNNNNNNNNNNNNNNNNNNNNNNNNNNNNNNNNNNNNNNNNNNNNNNNNNNNNNNNNNNNNNNNNNNNNNNNNNNNNNNNNNNNNNNNNNNNNNNNNNNNNNNNNNNNNNNNNNNNNNNNNNNNNNNNNNNNNNNNNNNNNNNNNNNNNNNNNNNNNNNNNNNNNNNNNNNNNNNNNNNNNNNNNNNNNNNNNNNNNNNNNNNNNNNNNNNNNNNNNNNNNNNNNNNNNNNNNNNNNNNNNNNNNNNNNNNNNNNNNNNNNNNNNNNNNNNNNNNNNNNNNNNNNNNNNNNNNNNNNNNNNNNNNNNNNNNNNNNNNNNNNNNNNNNNNNNNNNNNNNNNNNNNNNNNNNNNNNNNNNNNNNNNNNNNNNNNNNNNNNNNNNNNNNNNNNNNNNNNNNNNNNNNNNNNNNNNNNNNNNNNNNNNNNNNNNNNNNNNNNNNNNNNNNNNNNNNNNNNNNNNNNNNNNNNNNNNNNNNNNNNNNNNNNNNNNNNNNNNNNNNNNNNNNNNNNNNNNNNNNNNNNNNNNNNNNNNNNNNNNNNNNNNNNNNNNNNNNNNNNNNNNNNNNNNNNNNNNNNNNNNNNNNNNNNNNNNNNNNNNNNNNNNNNNNNNNNNNNNNNNNNNNNNNNNNNNNNNNNNNNNNNNNNNNNNNNNNNNNNNNNNNNNNNNNNNNNNNNNNNNNNNNNNNNNNNNNNNNNNNNNNNNNNNNNNNNNNNNNNNNNNNNNNNNNNNNNNNNNNNNNNNNNNNNNNNNNNNNNNNNNNNNNNNNNNNNNNNNNNNNNNNNNNNNNNNNNNNNNNNNNNNNNNNNNNNNNNNNNNNNNNNNNNNNNNNNNNNNNNNNNNNNNNNNNNNNNNNNNNNNNNNNNNNNNNNNNNNNNNNNNNNNNNNNNNNNNNNNNNNNNNNNNNNNNNNNNNNNNNNNNNNNNNNNNNNNNNNNNNNNNNNNNNNNNNNNNNNNNNNNNNNNNNNNNNNNNNNNNNNNNNNNNNNNNNNNNNNNNNNNNNNNNNNNNNNNNNNNNNNNNNNNNNNNNNNNNNNNNNNNNNNNNNNNNNNNNNNNNNNNNNNNNNNNNNNNNNNNNNNNNNNNNNNNNNNNNNNNNNNNNNNNNNNNNNNNNNNNNNNNNNNNNNNNNNNNNNNNNNNNNNNNNNNNNNNNNNNNNNNNNNNNNNNNNNNNNNNNNNNNNNNNNNNNNNNNNNNNNNNNNNNNNNNNNNNNNNNNNNNNNNNNNNNNNNNNNNNNNNNNNNNNNNNNNNNNNNNNNNNNNNNNNNNNNNNNNNNNNNNNNNNNNNNNNNNNNNNNNNNNNNNNNNNNNNNNNNNNNNNNNNNNNNNNNNNNNNNNNNNNNNNNNNNNNNNNNNNNNNNGUGGUCGUCCAUUUUUAGUUGGAUCCUACUCGCUGGAAACCACAACAGAGGUUGGUGCUGACCUUCUUCGAGACCGCCGCUCUCUCCCACAUUUGCAGGCUCUACGGCAAGACAUGCUGCCUCGACAUAAAAAAAUCUUCCAUUUUUGUUUCUUUUAAACCCAAAACCUUGCUUACAAACAAACACAAAAUAAUAACAUCGUCAGUCUGAACAUUCCUGCUACUGAAUUCGGUACUAGUUGUGUAAUUUCUAGCUUCCACGCCCAUUGUGAGUUGUUGUUACCAAGGGAAGAGUACAUAGUUGAUGUCUGUAGUUUACUGAUGCAAAAGGUUAUAAGUUUGUACUAAAAAAUUGUAGUUUACUAAGGCAAAGAGUUAUGCGUAUUCAGCAGUCCAAGUAGUUGUCUAAACGGAAGUUUGGUAGCUGUCCAAAUAAUUGUCUAAACGGCAGUCUGAACAUUCUUGCUGCUAAAUAUCUCUCCUCUCUCAAAUUCGUUCAAAUUUGUUGCUUGUUCUUGUUGUUGCCCUGAGUGCCCUCAAGUUGUUUGUUGUUAUUCCCAUGAGAAACCUUGUCUGGAUGGAAAGUAGCAUAUAUUCUACUCCCUCCGUUCCUAAAUAUUUGUCUUUAUAGACAUUUCAAAUGACUACUACAUACGGAUGUAUGUAGACAUAUUUUAGAGUGUAGAUUCACUCAUUUUGCUCCGUAUAUAGUCACUUAUUGAAAUGCCUAGAAAGACAAGUAUUUAGGAACGGAGGGAGUAUUCUAUUCUUGCAAAAGCUUCAUUCAUGUUCUGUUUUGAAGUUACUUGGCAUAAAAAUUACUAUAUAUGCUAUUGUAAAACACUAGAUUUCUUCUAAAUGUGAAGUUUAAGCUCUCGGGAUUUGCUCUUCUAUUUUUUUUAUUGAUGCAUGUUCAUGAGCAGUUCAAAACCUAAUAUUUUUAUUGACAAUUUGAACUUGCAAUCUUACUAUCUUGUACUAUUCUAAAAAAAUUGUACUCAUGCAGGUAAUUGAAGGGUGCAGACUUGGCAGCGGAGUGGUUUGUUCAACAACAGUACAAUGACCGAAAGAACAUCAGUUCAAAAAAUAUGCAGGAGGUUUGGGAGCCAAACAACUGGUAUUUUGUUGUGUUUUAAUUUUUGGGUGCAUGAUUGAACAAAGAGAGAGAAAUAAUGUAUGACAUAUAUACUGUUGUUGCAGGAGGUUCAAAGAUUGUCGUGGAGCAAGUUCAAGAGUUUGGUUUCAUGUGGAAAAAUGUGAUUUUUUGGUCAAGAUUUUGCAUGAUUGAUAGCCAUCAGUGGCAGCCGGCGAGCAGUUCAAGCCCGCAUGCGCGAGCCGCCCAUCGUCUUCCACACGUGAUCCUAUUGCUUGAUGAUGCUUGACAUGAACUGAACUAGCUGGAUGGAAUUGUUUUUCUGCAAUGUAAUGUAAAUGAAUAUGGUAAACAAACUGGGACACCAAAUUGUUUUAGAGGUGGAGUUUGUGCUCCAGUUGAGUUCCAGCAGAUUGUGGCUGCUGGUUGUUUCAAGUGAAGGUGGUCGGGCAUUACUUGUGUAGGACUGAAUGAAUCUUGUAUGUAAAGGAAACUGGAUCAAAUAGUCGUCAGUGUUAAGAUUUAAAAUUACAUUUUGAUCCAUUCUCUUGUGAUUUUAGGCUGAACUCCAAUACUUGCAUCCGCCACCCCAACACGGACGUGUUCCCUCAGUCCUCUCUCGACAAACCCAACAGUACAGGUUCUCCGGUGCGCCAAGUAUUGCCUGUGGUGAUGCCUGCAUCAUGGCCCAUUGAGGAGAUCUUGUGUAUUCCACAUAGAAGAAAUAUUGUUAGUUCAUGAAUAUUUUCGCCAGGUAGAAAGUUUUGGAGAGGAAAACAUAAGUUUUUAAAAGAAGGAAUGGUAAAAAUGUAAGUCCGUUCAACUAUAUAAACCAUAAAAGUACGAUGGUGAUGACAUUGACAGUAAGGAUAAGGAUGAGAAAGAAAAUUAAAAACUAAAACUAAAAAAACAUCGAGUGAUUAUUUUUUGAGAAGUACAAACUCUCUAGUACCAUAAGUACCAUAAAUUAAAAAUUAAGAAUUGCCUAAGUUCUGACUCAAGGGGACAAAUUUGCAAAAAAAAAAUCAUAGCAGUAAAGGUUCGAAGGAAAAAAAGCAACUUAACAAAUGGAAAAAACGGCAAUGGAUUUAUAUUAUGUUAAUCAUGGGUGUGCUCUUGUUUGUCAGCUCAUGUGUGCUCUUGUUAUCAGGUCGUGUGCCAACUUGUUAUCAAUUUUGUGUGUGUGUGAGUUGGAAAACCAAGUGUAGCUGCUGCAGAAAAAAGGCAUGGGAUGUGCUGCCCUCAGUCCUCUCUCAACAAAUCCAGCAGUGCGGGUUCUCUGGUGCGCCAAGUAUUGCCGGCGGCGAUGCUUGCAUCAUGGCCCAUUGAGUAGAUGCAAUUUUCCUGGUUUUCACAGACAACAUGGAUUUUAGUUCAGCUACAUAAACCACGCAGGUUCAGUGAUAAUGAUACCAUAAGUUCGGACAAGAAAAUAAAUAAGAAUUAAAANNNNNNNNNNAGAAAAUUUUAAAUUCUACAAGUUCAAGUGCUCAUCCACACAUGAUAAUUCAAGUUGGUAAAAGUUUAAAAUGGUAAAAAGUUCAAGUUACAAAACAAGAGAAAUCUAGAACAUUCGUUGCAAAAAAAAAAUUGACUUCAAAAAAAAGAAACACGCAAAAAAAAUUGGCAAAAAAAUAACAUUCAGUUCAACAAUAAAAACCAUGCAAGUUCGGGGCUAGGAUACAGUACACUGUUGAAAACUUACGAGAAAAAAAUUACCCAUAAAACAGAGCAAAAUAUAAUUAGUAGAAACACACUUAAUACAAACCCAUGCAAAUAUCAGUACAAGUAUACUUUUUUGGAACCAUUCAAAAUUACUGUACCAAAAAUAGCUCAGUACAAAUAUACACAUAUAUCAGUACGACUACUCUGUUUUCCAGACGAGAAAACAGCAGGAUCCGUCAUGCCAUAUUCGAAAUUACUCUUAAACGGUUGUAAAGUAAAGAAAACGUCCAACAUGACUAAGUUUCGCAUUUUCGAUAGCUAUCCAACGGUAUAUUAUUUGCCCCAUUUCGACAAACUUUUUAAAAAACCGUGUUUGAAACCAAUUUUAACCGUAUUUGAAUUCGUAUUUAAAUCAUAAGGAAUUAGAAAAAAGCUUUCUAUACGCAAAAGUUGCGCAUUUUUCAUAGCUUUCCAACGCCGUAUCAUUUGCGUCAAUUCGACAAACCCUUUGCAAAAAAUAGUGAAAAAACGUUUCGCCCAGAAUUUCACCAUUUUUCAAAUUACUUUUGAAUCAUAUAGAAUUUGAAAAACUAGUAGAUAUAUGGAAGAUGNNNNNNNNNNNNNNNNNNNNNNNNNNNNNNNNNNNNNNNNNNNNNNNNNNNNNNNNNNNNNNNNNNNNNNNNNNNNNNNNNNNNNNNNNNNNNNNNNNNNNNNNNNNCUCAAUUCUGACAAACCGUUUGAAAAUUAAGUUCAAAAUACGGUUCGCGUUUUUGGUUUUGAAAAAAACGGUUUUUCCAAAACUGCUCUUAAAUCAUAAUUUUUUGCAAAAACAAAUUAUAAGAUUGUAAUGUGGAUGUAAAGAGCUUUCCAACUAUAUAUUACACGCCUCAUUUCGACAAAAAUAAUUGCAAAAACAUUCGAACUAAAAAAGACGAUUUUUAACAGCAACAGAAAGCAUCAGUUUAGCCGCUCGAAUUUCAUCAGUUAUAGCGCAUGAAUUCAUCAGUUCAAGUAGGGUAACAGAAUAAUAUUCUAUUACGCGUAACAGAAUAGCCCAUAUGUAUAUACAUAUAUAUAUAUUACAAAAACACUUCCAUUCAAAAUUCGGAAAAUGUUAAUCUUGCAAUUGAAAAUUAUUAAACCUGUAUAGGAAAAUGUUUUUGAUGUAUAAGAAAAAUGUAUAAAUUUAAAUGUAAAAGUAGAAAGUGUUAAUUGUCUAUACUAAAAAUGCUAAUCAUACGUGUGAAAAAAUUGUGACAACUAAUAAAAGUCAAAUAUUUCAAAAACAUUUAUGUGACACUUAAAAAUGUUUAUAAAAAUGCUAAAAAAUUUGUCUAACUAAAACUGAAGUCAUAUUUAAAAUAUUUAAACUUGUUUAGAAAAAUGUUAAUAGUGCAUUUAAAAAUGUUAAACGUGUGUAGGAACAUGUUCUGAUGUAUACAGAAAAUGUAUAAAUGUAAAUCUAAAAAGUAGAAAAUGUUAAUUGUGUAUAUGAAAAAUGUUAAUCAUUUGUAUGAAUAAUGUUUGCGGCAAUUAAGAAAAUGUCACCCAUUUCAAAAGAAUGUACAUUACAUUAAAAAAUAUAUUCACAUGUUUCAAAAAUGUGUUCAUGUCAUUUUCAGAAAAUGUUCAUGCAAUGUAAAAAAAUGUUUUCAUAGUUCAAAAAAUAUUCUUAUCACUUGAAAAAUGUUUUAACGUGUAUCUGAAAAAUAUAUUCAAAGCAUGCUUUGUAAAAUGUUAAAUGUGUAUAAAAAGUGUUGCACAUCUAUACAAAAUGUAAAUGUGUAUGAAAAAGUAUAGAUGUAUUAAAAAGCCAAAGAAACAAAAAUAAAAGCGAAGAAAUAAAAAAACUGAAAACCCGAGAAAGAAACAAAGAAUAGCAAAGUAUAAAGAAGCAAAAGGAAAAACCAAAGAAAAUCGUUCAAAAAACCGAAAACAUCAGGAAGAGAAAAAAAGAAAACCCCAAAACGAUGAAAAAAAACUAAUGAGGCCAAAGGAAAAUAAGAACAGAAAACAAAAAAGAAAUAAAAAGAAAAAAUGAACUUAACUGAUCGAACUAAGCGACCGCACGCAGGCAAGUGAAGGCAACGAGCGACCCACCUUAUGCGCUGACCCGUAGUAAUCCGCUUGUAGGCGAUUCCUGUUUGGAAUCGGCACGGGAGAGACAUAGCGAAAUCACUAGUUAAGGAGUACUCGUUGUGAAUAUCACUCCAACUUCUUCAGGUUGCGGACAAGUGGCGCGCUGCAUGUGCGCCACUUGUCGCGACCUGGGAGUUUUCCCUUUUUUCGUAGAUCCGUUUAUCCAAAGCGUUUUAUCUUUUAAACCGUGCGUCCAGGGCCGUCUCCAGAAAUUAGGGGGCCCGGUGUGAAAUGCAAAUGCUGCCCUAAAAUCUAAAAAUUCCUAUAGCUAAAAAAUACUCACUUCUUCACACACAAAAAACAUACUGUACUAUUUAAAUUAUAUAACUUUAAAUAUAUAUCGUUUCAAACAAUAUCUAGAUAUAUAUCUCAUACCGACUAUCUUUCCCCAAACAGUCCACCACUGAGCAACGAACGUAUAGCAAUUUGUUAAUUAGUUGGACAACUGGAUUCACAUGUUUCAGCAUACUCAUUAGUCAUCAACUCUUGGACAGAAAAAAUAGCCUAGAGAAAUCAGCUUGGACGCACCUGAUGGGCCUGGACAGUUAGUCUGUGAUGCGUAAAUCAAAUCUCCUGAUCGAUUUGACCACAGCCUUGGCGCUCAACCAUCGGCAGUUUUCUGCUUUGCUUGGCGGCGUUGGCCCCUGCUAGCCCGGCGCUGAUUUCUGUUCGAACUCAUGGCGUGAAUUCUACCGCCUGGCACUGCCGUCCAAUCCUUGCGAUCGCGCCGAUGCCAAGCAGAAACAAUCAAGCCGGGGACCUCGGGAAUGCCGGAAAAGAAACGACGACCUAAUUAAUCGGGAGCAGGCUCACAUCGUGAGGGAUUUCGUUCAGAGAGGAGGCUCGGGCUAUCGGACCAGGCUGGGCAGGCCAAGAACCAUGCAAACAAAAGGAACGAAACGACUCCUUGGCGAUCGAUCGCGAGAGCGAUCGAUUCCGACCGCGCGUAGCGCACUUCCUGUUUCCUUUCCUUUUCUAGCUCGUUUCCUUUUUCCUCCGCCGCAGCUGCCCUGCCGCUUCCCUCCCCCCUCCUCGCUGUCGGCUCCUCCCACCGCCGCCGCACUCAUCGCCGUGAACACCGCCGCCGCACUCAUCGCCGUGAACACUGCCGCAUCCCCAUCCACACAGCCCCGCCUAGGGCUGCUGGUACANNNNNNNNNNNNNNNNNNNNNNNNNNNNNNNNNNNNNNNNNNNNNNNNNNNNNNNNNNNNNNNNNNNNNNNNNNNNNNNNNNNNNNNNNNNNNNNNNNNNNNNNNNNNNNNNNNNNNNNNNNNNNNNNNNNNNNNNNNNNNNNNNNNNNNNNNNNNNNNNNNNNNNNNNNNNNNNNNNNNNNNNNNNNNNNNNNNNNNNNNNNNNNNNNNNNNNNNNNNNNNNNNNNNNNNNNNNNNNNNNNNNNNNNNNNNNNNNNNNNNNNNNNNNNNNNNNNNNNNNNNNNNNNNNNNNNNNNNNNNNNNNNNNNNNNNNNNNNNNNNNNNNNNNNNNNNNNNNNNNNNNNNNNNNNNNNNNNNNNNNNNNNNNNNNNNNNNNNNNNNNNNNNNNNNNNNNNNNNNNNNNNNNNNNNNNNNNNNNNNNNNNNNNNNNNNNNNNNNNNNNNNNNNNNNNNNNNNNNNNNNNNNNNNNNNNNNNNNNNNNNNNNNNNNNNNNNNNNNNNNNNNNNNNNNNNNNNNNNNNNNNNNNNNNNNNNNNNNNNNNNNNNNNNNNNNNNNNNNNNNNNNNNNNNNNNNNNNNNNNNNNNNNNNNNNNNNNNNNNNNNNNNNNNNNNNNNNNNNNNNNNNNNNNNNNNNNNNNNNNNNNNNNNNNNNNNNNNNNNNNNNNNNNNNNNNNNNNNNNNNNNNNNNNNNNNNNNNNNNNNNNNNNNNNNNNNNNNNNNNNNNNNNNNNNNNNNNNNNNNNNNNNNNNNNNNNNNNNNNNNNNNNNNNNNNNNNNNNNNNNNNNNNNNNNNNNNNNNNNNNNNNNNNNNNNNNNNNNNNNNNNNNNNNNNNNNNNNNNNNNNNNNNNNNNNNNNNNNNNNNNNNNNNNNNNNNNNNNNNNNNNNNNNNNNNNNNNNNNNNNNNNNNNNNNNNNNNNNNNNNNNNNNNNNNNNNNNNNNNNNNNNNNNNNNNNNNNNNNNNNNNNNNNNNNNNNNNNNNNNNNNNNNNNNNNNNNNNNNNNNNNNNNNNNNNNNNNNNNNNNNNNNNNNNNNNNNNNNNNNNNNNNNNNNNNNNNNNNNNNNNNNNNNNNNNNNNNNNNNNNNNNNNNNNNNNNNNNNNNNNNNNNNNNNNNNNNNNNNNNNNNNNNNNNNNNNNNNNNNNNNNNNNNNNNNNNNNNNNNNNNNNNNNNNNNNNNNNNNNNNNNNNNNNNNNNNNNNNNNNNNNNNNNNNNNNNNNNNNNNNNNNNNNNNNNNNNNNNNNNNNNNNNNNNNNNNNNNNNNNNNNNNNNNNNNNNNNNNNNNNNNNNNNNNNNNNNNNNNNNNNNNNNNNNNNNNNNNNNNNNNNNNNNNNNNNNNNNNNNNNNNNNNNNNNNNNNNNNNNNNNNNNNNNNNNNNNNNNNNNNNNNNNNNNNNNNNNNNNNNNNNNNNNNNNNNNNNNNNNNNNNNNNNNNNNNNNNNNNNNNNNNNNNNNNNNNNNNNNNNNNNNNNNNNNNNNNNNNNNNNNNNNNNNNNNNNNNNNNNNNNNNNNNNNNNNNNNNNNNNNNNNNNNNNNNNNNNNNNNNNNNNNNNNNNNNNNNNNNNNNNNNNNNNNNNNNNNNNNNNNNNNNNNNNNNNNNNNNNNNNNNNNNNNNNNNNNNNNNNNNNNNNNNNNNNNNNNNNNNNNNNNNNNNNNNNNNNNNNNNNNNNNNNNNNNNNNNNNNNNNNNNNNNNNNNNNNNNNNNNNNNNNNNNNNNNNNNNNNNNNNNNNNNNNNNNNNNNNNNNNNNNNNNNNNNNNNNNNNNNNNNNNNNNNNNNNNNNNNNNNNNNNNNNNNNNNNNNNNNNNNNNNNNNNNNNNNNNNNNNNNNNNNNNNNNNNNNNNNNNNNNNNNNNNNNNNNNNNNNNNNNNNNNNNNNNNNNNNNNNNNNNNNNNNNNNNNNNNNNNNNNNNNNNNNNNNNNNNNNNNNNNNNNNNNNNNNNNNNNNNNNNNNNNNNNNNNNNNNNNNNNNNNNNNNNNNNNNNNNNNNNNNNNNNNNNNNNNNNNNNNNNNNNNNNNNNNNNNNNNNNNNNNNNNNNNNNNNNNNNNNNNNNNNNNNNNNNNNNNNNNNNNNNNNNNNNNNNNNNNNNNNNNNNNNNNNNNNNNNNNNNNNNNNNNNNNNNNNNNNNNNNNNNNNNNNNNNNNNNNNNNNNNNNNNNNNNNNNNNNNNNNNNNNNNNNNNNNNNNNNNNNNNNNNNNNNNNNNNNNNNNNNNNNNNNNNNNNNNNNNNNNNNNNNNNNNNNNNNNNNNNNNNNNNNNNNNNNNNNNNNNNNNNNNNNNNNNNNNNNNNNNNNNNNNNNNNNNNNNNNNNNNNNNNNNNNNNNNNNNNNNNNNNNNNNNNNNNNNNNNNNNNNNNNNNNNNNNNNNNNNNNNNNNNNNNNNNNNNNNNNNNNNNNNNNNNNNNNNNNNNNNNNNNNNNNNNNNNNNNNNNNNNNNNNNNNNNNNNNNNNNNNNNNNNNNNNNNNNNNNNNNNNNNNNNNNNNNNNNNNNNNNNNNNNNNNNNNNNNNNNNNNNNNNNNNNNNNNNNNNNNNNNNNNNNNNNNNNNNNNNNNNNNNNNNNNNNNNNNNNNNNNNNNNNNNNNNNNNNNNNNNNNNNNNNNNNNNNNNNNNNNNNNNNNNNNNNNNNNNNNNNNNNNNNNNNNNNNNNNNNNNNNNNNNNNNNNNNNNNNNNNNNNNNNNNNNNNNNNNNNNNNNNNNNNNNNNNNNNNNNNNNNNNNNNNNNNNNNNNNNNNNNNNNNNNNNNNNNNNNNNNNNNNNNNNNNNNNNNNNNNNNNNNNNNNNNNNNNNNNNNNNNNNNNNNNNNNNNNNNNNNNNNNNNNNNNNNNNNNNNNNNNNNNNNNNNNNNNNNNNNNNNNNNNNNNNNNNNNNNNNNNNNNNNNNNNNNNNNNNNNNNNNNNNNNNNNNNNNNNNNNNNNNNNNNNNNNNNNNNNNNNNNNNNNNNNNNNNNNNNNNNNNNNNNNNNNNNNNNNNNNNNNNNNNNNNNNNNNNNNNNNNNNNNNNNNNNNNNNNNNNNNNNNNNNNNNNNNNNNNNNNNNNNNNNNNNNNNNNNNNNNNNNNNNNNNNNNNNNNNNNNNNNNNNNNNNNNNNNNNNNNNNNNNNNNNNNNNNNNNNNNNNNNNNNNNNNNNNNNNNNNNNNNNNNNNNNNNNNNNNNNNNNNNNNNNNNNNNNNNNNNNNNNNNNNNNNNNNNNNNNNNNNNNNNNNNNNNNNNNNNNNNNNNNNNNNNNNNNNNNNNNNNNNNNNNNNNNNNNNNNNNNNNNNNNNNNNNNNNNNNNNNNNNNNNNNNNNNNNNNNNNNNNNNNNNNNNNNNNNNNNNNNNNNNNNNNNNNNNNNNNNNNNNNNNNNNNNNNNNNNNNNNNNNNNNNNNNNNNNNNNNNNNNNNNNNNNNNNNNNNNNNNNNNNNNNNNNNNNNNNNNNNNNNNNNNNNNNNNNNNNNNNNNNNNNNNNNNNNNNNNNNNNNNNNNNNNNNNNNNNNNNNNNNNNNNNNNNNNNNNNNNNNNNNNNNNNNNNNNNNNNNNNNNNNNNNNNNNNNNNNNNNNNNNNNNNNNNNNNNNNNNNNNNNNNNNNNNNNNNNNNNNNNNNNNNNNNNNNNNNNNNNNNNNNNNNNNNNNNNNNNNNNNNNNNNNNNNNNNNNNNNNNNNNNNNNNNNNNNNNNNNNNNNNNNNNNNNNNNNNNNNNNNNNNNNNNNNNNNNNNNNNNNNNNNNNNNNNNNNNNNNNNNNNNNNNNNNNNNNNNNNNCACUGCCAUCCUGUCUUAGCGUAAACGCGAGUCGAGGCGGACGUUGUCGCGGUAGCGACGACGGACGCCGAGACGAGCACGUGACACCACUCCCACCCUGUCUAUCUUAGGGUUACGCGAGUCGAGGCGAACGUCGUCGCGGUAGCGACGACGGACGCCGAGACGAGCACGUGACACCAUUCCCACCCUGUCUUAGCGUAACGCGAGUCGACGCGGACGUCGUCGCAGUAGCGACGACGGACGCCGAGACGAGCACGUGACACCACUGCCACCCUGUCUUAGCGUAACGCGAGUCGAGGCGGACGUCGUCGCGGUAGCGACGACGGACGCCGAGACGAGCACGUGACACCACUCCCACCCUGUCUAUCUUAGGGUUACGCGAGUCGAGGCGGACGUCGUCGCGGUAGCGACGACGGAUGCCGAGACAAGCACGUGACACCAUGGCCACCCUGUCUAUCUUAGGGUUACGCGAGUCGAGGCGGACGUCGUCGAGGUAGCGACGACGGACGCCGAGACGAGCACGUGACACCACUGCCACCCUGUCUUAGCGUAACGCGAGUCGANNNNNNNNNNNNNNNNNNNNNNNNNNNNNNNNNNNNNNNNNNNNNNNNNNNNNNNNNNNNNNNNNNNNNNNNNNNNNNNNNNNNNNNNNNNNNNNNNNNNNNNNNNNNNNNNNNNNNNNNNNNNNNNNNNNNNNNNNNNNNNNNNNNNNNNNNNNNNNNNNNNNNNNNNNNNNNNNNNNNNNNNNNNNNNNNNNNNNNNNNNNNNNNNNNNNNNNNNNNNNNNNNNNNNNNNNNNNNNNNNNNNNNNNNNNNNNNNNNNNNNNNNNNNNNNNNNNNNNNNNNNNNNNNNNNNNNNNNNNNNNNNNNNNNNNNNNNNNNNNNNNNNNNNNNNNNNNNNNNNNNNNNNNNNNNNNNACCACUGCCACCCUGUCUUAGCAUAACGCGAGUCGAGGCGGACAUCGUCGUGGUAGCGACGAUCAACGCUGAGAUGAGCACGUGACACCACUGCCACCCUGUCUUAGCGUAACGCGAGUCGAGGCGGACGUCGUCGCGGUAGCGAUGACGGACGCCGAGACGAGCAUGUGACACCAUUCCCACCCUGUCUUAGCAUAACGCGAGUCGAGGCGGACGUCGUCGCGGUAGCGACGACGGACGCUGAGACGAGCACGUGACACCAUUGCCACCCUGUCUUAGCAUAACGUGAGUCGAGGCGGACGUCGUCACGGUAGCGACGACGGACGCUGAGACGAGCACGUGACACCAUUCCCUCCCUGUCUUAGCGUAACGCGAGUCGAGGCGGACGUCGUCACGGUAGCGACGACGAACGCCGAGACAAGCACGUGACACCAUUCCUACCCUGUCUUAGCGUAACGCGAGUCGAGGAGGACAUCGUCGCGGUAGCGAUGACGGACGCCGAGACGAGCAUGUGAGACGAGGACGUGACACCAUUCCCACCCUGUCUUAGCGUAACGCGAGUCGAGGCGGACGUCGUCGCGGUAGCGACGACGGACACCGAGACGAGCACGUGACACCACUGCCAGCCUGUCAUAGCAAAACGCAAGUCGAGGCGGACGUCGUCGCGGUAGCGAUGACGGACGCCGAGACGAGCACGUGACACCAUUCCCAGCCUGUCUUAGCGUAACGCGAGUCGAGGCGGACGUCGUCGCGGUAGCGACGACGGACGCCAAGACGAGCACGUGACACCACUGCCACCCUGUCUUAGCGUAACGCGAGUCGAGGCAGACGUCAUCGCGGUAACGACGACGGACGCCAAGACGAGCACGUGACACCAUUCCCACCCUGUCUUAGCGUAACACGAGUCGAGGCGGACGUCGUCGCGGUAGCGAUGACGGACGCCGAGACGAGCAUGUGACACCCGUGCCACCCUGUCUUAGCAUNNNNNNNNNNCAGCGUCGAGAGGAUGACGCGAGGCGUCGCGGUGUCCAGGUGAUGCAGGCGAGCAGGGUGGUGGCGUGGCGAGCUCGGCCGCGUGCGCCGAGUGCCUCCUCUGCCUACUGGCGCGAGGAGGAAGGCGACAGGGGAGGGAGGCGGCGGUGGGCUGGGCCAGCGGGAGGAGCUGGCCAGCUGGGCCGGCUACAGGUAAGUGGCCCAGGUGGCCUUCUCUCUUUUAUUUUUUUGUUCUGUUUUAUUUUCUUUUUAUUUAAUUUCUUUGCCACUGUUUUCAAUUCCAAAAUAAUUUCAAACAGUGCCAAAACAUUCUGAAAUAUUUUAUGUUACCUCUCUGGACUAUUCCAAGAGUACAUAAAACAUUUCAAAGCAUUUGAAAAUAUAUUCAUUAUAUAUUAUGAAUAUAUCCCCAAAUUCAAAUAGAUUAUUGAUUUAAAUUCAGAGACCAAAUAAUUCCUUAAAAAUAUUCCAGAAUUUUGGUUUGAUAUAUAACUCUUGCCAAAAUUCACAAAACUAUUUUUAGGGCAUUUUGGAUUCACAGAAUGCAAUUUAAAGGGUGCUUGCCCUUCUUUUAACUAGGGUUUUGAGGCUUCUGAAUUCCUCAGUUCAAAUUUCAUUUGAAUUUAAACAUGAUGCAGACAUGAAGCUAGGCUAGAGCAAUGCCAGAAGCUAGGGAUGUGACAGUCGAGGCGGACGUCGUCGCGGUAGCGACGACGGACGCCGAGACGAGCACGUGACACCAUUCCUACCCUGUCUUAGCGUAACGCGAGUCGAGGCGGACGUCGUCGCGGUAGCGACGACGGACGCCGAGACGAGCACGUGACACCAUUCCCACCCUGUCUUAGCGUAACGCGAGUCGAGGCGGACGUCGUCACGGUAGCGACGAUGGACGCCGAGACGAGCACGUGACACCACUGCCACCCUGUCUUAGCGUAACGCGAGUCGAGGCGNNNNNNNNNNNNNNNNNNNNNNNNNNNNNNNNNNNNNNNNNNNNNNNNNNNNNNNNNNNNNNNNNNNNNNNNNNNNNNNNNNNNNNNNNNNNNNNNNNNNNNNNNNNNNNNNNNNNNNNNNNNNNNNNNNNNNNNNNNNNNNNNNNNNNNNNNNNNNNNNNNNNNNNNNNNNNNNNNNNNNNNNNNNNNNNNNNNNNNNNNNNNNNNNNNNNNNNNNNNNNNNNNNNNNNNNNNNNNNNNNNNNNNNNNNNNNNNNNNNNNNNNNNNNNNNNNNNNNNNNNNNNNNNNNNNNNNNNNNNNNNNNNNNNNNNNNNNNNNNNNNNNNNNNNNNNNNNNNNNNNNNNNNNNNNNNNNNNNNNNNNNNNNNNNNNNNNNNNNNNNNNNNNNNNNNNNNNNNNNNNNNNNNNNNNNNNNNNNNNNNGCGACGACGAACGCCGAGACGAGCACGUGACACCACUGCCACCCUGUCUUAGCAUAACGCGAGUCGAGGCGGACGUCGUCGCGGUAGCGACCACGGACGCCGAGACGAGCACAUGACACCACUGCCACCCUGUCUUAGCGUAACGCGAGUCGAGGCGGACGUCGUCGCGGUAGCGAAGACGGACGCUGAGACGAGCACGUGACACCACUGCCACCCUGUCUUUGCGUAACGCGAGUCGAGGCGGACGUCCUCGCGGUACCGACGACGGACGCCGAGACGAGCACGUGACACCAUUCCCACCCUGUAUUAGCGUAACGCGAGUCGAGGCAAACGACGUCGCGGUAGCGACCACGGACGCCGAGACGAGCACGUGACACCACUGCCACCCUGUCUUAGCAUAACGCGAGUCGAGGUGGACGUCGUCGCGGUAGCGACGACGGACGCCGAGAUGAGCACGUGACACCGCGGCCACCCUGUCUUAGCGUAACGCGAGUCGAGGCGGACGUCCUCACGGUAGCGACGACGGACGCCGAGACGAGCANNNNNNNNNNNNNNNNNNNNNNNNNNNNNNNNNNNNNNNNNNNNNNNNNNNNNNNNNNNNNNNNNNNNNNNNNNNNNNNNNNNNNNNNNNNNNNNNNNNNNNNNNNNNNNNNNNNNNNNNNNNNNNNNNNNNNNNNNNNNNNNNNNNNNNNNNNNNNNNNNNNNNNNNNNNNNNNNNNNNNNNNNNNNNNNNNNNNNNNNNNNNNNNNNNNNNNNNNNNNNNNNNNNNNNNNNNNNNNNNNNNNNNNNNNNNNNNNNNCACAGCCACCCUGUCUAUCUUAGGGUUACGCGAGUCGAGUCGGACGUCGUCGCGGUAGCGACGACGGACACCGAGACGAGCACAUGACAACACUGCCACCCUGUCUAUCUUAGGGUUACGCGAGUCAAGGCGGACGUCGUCGCGGUAGCGACGACGGACGCCGAGACGAGCACGUGACACCACUGCCACCCUGUCUUAGCAUAACGCGAGUCGAGGCGAACAUUGUCGCGGUAGCGACGACGGACGCCGAGACGAGCACGUGACACCACAGCCACCCUGUCUUAGCGUAACGCGAGUCGAGCCAGACGUCGUCGCGGUAGCGACGACGGACGCCGAGACGAGCACGUGUCACCACUGCCACCCUGUCUUAGCGUAAUGCGAGUCGAGGCGAACGUUGUCGCGGUAGCGACGACGGAUGCCGAGACGAGCACGUGACACCACAGCCACCCUGUCUUAGCGUAAAGUGAGUCGAGGCGGACGUCAUCGCGGUAGGGACGAUGGACGCCGAGACGAGCACGUGACACCACUGCCACCCUGUCUUAGCGUAACGCGAGUCGAGGCAGACAUCGUCGCGGUAGCGACGACGGACACCGAGACGAGCACGUGACACCACGGCCACCCUGUCUUAGCGUAACGCGAGUGGAGGCGGACGUCAUCGCGGUAGCGACGACAGACGCCGAGACGAGCACGUGACACCACUGCCACCCUGUCUAUCUUAGGGUAACGCGAGUCGAGGCGGACGUCGUCGCGGUAGCGACGANNNNNNNNNNGUCGAGGCGGACGUCGUCGCGAUAGCGACGACGGACGCCGAGCCGAGCACGUGACACCACUGCCACCCUGUCUUAGGGUAACGCGAGUCGAGGCGGACGUCGUUGCGGUAGCGACGACGGACGCCGAGACAAGCAUGUGACAACACUCCCACCUUGUCUUAGCGUAACGCGAGUCGAGGCGGACGUCGUCGUGGUAGUGGUGACGGACGCCGAGACGAGCACGUGACACCAUUCCCACCCUGUCUUAGCGUAACGCGAGUCGAGGCGGAUGUGAACGCGGUAGCGACGACGAAUGCCGAGACGAGCACGUGACACCACUGCCACCCUGUCUUAGCGUAACGCGAGUCGAGGCGGAUGUCGUCGCGGUAGCGACGACGGACGUCGAGACGAGCACGUGACACCAUUCCCACCAUGUCUUAGCGUAACGCGAGUCGAGGCGGACAUCGUCGCGGUAGCGACGACGGACGCCGAGACGAGCACGUGACACCAUUCCCACCCUGUCUUAGCAUAACACGAGUCGAGGCAGACGUCGUCGCGGUAGCGACGACGGACGCUGAGACGAGCACGUGACACCACUCCCACNNNNNNNNNNCUAGCGACGACGGACGCCGAGACGAGCACGUGACACCACUGCCACCCUGUCUUAGCGUAACGCGAGUCGAGGCGGACGUCGUCGCGGUAGCGACGAGGGACACCGAGACGAGCACGUGACACCACUGCCACCCUGUCUUAGCGUAACGCGAGUCAAGGCGGACGUCGUCGCGGUAGCGACGACGGACGCCGAGACGAGCACGUGACACUGCUGCCACCCUAUCUUAGCGUAACGUGACUCGAGGUGGACGUCAUCGCAGUAGCGACGACGGACGCCGAGACGAGCACGUGACACCACUGCCACCCUGUCUUAGGGUGACGCAAGUCGAGGCGGACGUCGUCGCGGUAGCGACGACGAACGCCGAGACGAGCAUGUGACACCACUGCCACCCUGUCUUAGGGUAACGCGAGUCGAGGCGGACGUCGUCGCGGGAGCGACGACGGACGUUGAGACGAGCACGUGACACCGCUGCCACCCUGUCUUAGCGUAACGCGAGUCGAGGCGGACGUCGUCGCGGGAGCGACGACGGACGCCGAGACGAGCACGUGACACCGUUGCCACCCUGUCUUAGCGUAANNNNNNNNNNUCGCGGUAGCGACGACGGACGCCGAGACGAGCACGCGACGCCACGGCCACCCUAUCUAUCUUAGGGUUACGCGAGUCGAGGCGGACGUCGUCGCAGUAGCGACGACGUAAAAAUGUUGGUGUUUUAAAAAUUUGGUAGAAAUUUCAGAAAAUGUUGUUCAUUUCAAAAAAUGUUCGUGUUUUAAAAAAUGUUCUUGUUUUCCUAAAAAAAUUCACAAAUUCAAAAGUUGUUCAUUUCUAUAAAUAUGUUCUUGCUUUUUAGAUUUUCUUAUUAAUUUAAAACUUGUUCGUAGUAGAUCAAUUUAAUGUCGAUUCAACCGAAAAGCAUUAGAUCAAUUUACUUCAGUAAGCUAUUUUUUGUUUAACUAAAUUUUAUUUCUGGAUAGUAUUAACCGAAAAGCAUUAGAUCAAUUUACUUCAGUAAGCUAUCUUAGGGUUACGCGAGUCGAGGCGGUCGUCGUCGCGGUAGCGACGACGGACGCCGAGACGAGCACGUGACACCACUGCCACCCUGUCUUAGCGUAAGGCGAGUCGAGGCGGACGUCGUCGCGGUAGCAACGACGGACGCCGAGACGAGCACGUGACACCACUGCCACCCUGUCUUAGCGUAACGCGAGUCGAGGCGGACGUCGUCGCAGUAGGGGACGACGGAUGCCGAGACGACCACGUGACACCAUUCCCACCCUGUCUAUCUUACGGUUACGCGAGUCGAGGUGGACUUCGUCGCGGUAGCGACGUCGGACGCCGAGACGAGCACGUGACACCACNNNNNNNNNNCACGGCCACCCUGUCUUAGCGUAACGCGAGUCGAGGCGGACGUCGUCGCGGUAGCGACGACGGACGCGGAGACGACCACGUGACACCAUGGCCACCCUGUCUUAGCGUAACGCGAGUCGAGGCGGACGUCGUCGCGGUAGCGACGACGGACGCCGAGACGAGCACGUGACACCAUGGCCACCCUGUCUUAGCGUAACGCGAGUCGAGGCGGACGUCGUCGCGGUAGUGACAACGGACGCCGAGACGAGCACGUGACACCACUGCCACCCUGUCUUAGCAUAACGCGAGUCGAGGCGGACGUUAGGAGUGGAAUGGUCAUCACUUAUUGUAGCAGUUUUCUGAAAAAGUAACAUCUUUUCAUGCAGUGACAUUAAUGUGGCCAUUGAGAAUUUGAGAAGUAAUUUUCAGGAAAAGUGUAUCUUUCAUCUUGCAUAAAGAUUGCAUCCUUAACUUCUCUUUCUUUCCAGUUCUACUAAUUUUCUGUUUGGUAGGUGGGUACCAUAUCAUUUUUUUUAUUUAGGAAACAUUAUUUAGGAUUAAGUCUUGGUUGGUGAACUGUUCCUCAGCUAUGAACUCUUUUUUACAUUCACCAAAUGUUAUUGGAACUAUGUAUAGUUCCUCGUAUUGUCAUGUACUUUGGUUUAACCUACAGUGUAAUAUUUGUUAACACAUAGUCUGUGUUUCACUAAUGUGAACUAAGACUUUCAUGUACUGUGUAUGACAGCUGCAUUUGUACCGACUGAUUAUAAUGUGCUUUGCUGCAUUUGUACCGACUGAAUUAUAAUGUGCUUUGCUGCAUUUGUACCGACUGAUUAUAAUGUGCUUUGCUUCUCAUCGCACAACUGAUAAUUUUCUGAAAUACUCACUCUAUUUUAAUCAAGGNNNNNNNNNNCGUGACACCACUGCCACCCUGUCUUAGCGUAUCGCGAGUCGAGGCAGACGUCGUCACGGUAGGGACGGCGAACGCCGAGACAAGCACAUGACACCACUGCCUUCCUGUCUUAGCGUAAUGCGAGUCGAGGCGGACGUCGUCGCGGUACCGACAACGGACGCCGAGACGAGCACGUGACACCACUGCCACCCUGUCUUAGCGUAACGCGAGUCGAGGCGGACGUCGUCGCGGUAGCGACGACGGACGCCGAGACGAGCACGUGACACCACUGCCUCCCUGUCUUAGCGUAACACGAGUCGAGGGGGACGUCGUCGCGGUAGCGACGAUGGAUGCCGAGACGAGCACGUGACACCACUGCCUCCCUGUCUUAGCGUAACGCGAGUCGAGGCGGACGUCGUCGAGGUAGCGACGACGGACGCCGAGAGGAGCACGUGACACCACGGCCUCCCUGUCUUAGCGUAACGCGAGUCGAGGCGGACAUCGUCGCGGUAGCGACGCCGGACGCCGAUAUGAGCACGUGACACCACUACCACCCNNNNNNNNNNNNNNNNNNNNNNNNNNNNNNNNNNNNNNNNNNNNNNNNNNNNNNNNNNNNNNNNNNNNNNNNNNNNNNNNNNNNNNNNNNNNNNNNNNNNNNNNNNNNNNNNNNNNNNNNNNNNNNNNNNNNNNNNNNNNNNNNNNNNNNNNNNNNNNNNNNNNNNNNNNNNNNNNNNNNNNNNNNNNNNNNNNNNNNNNNNNNNNNNNNNNNNNNNNNNNNNNNNNNNNNNNNNNNNNNNNNNNNNCGACGAUGGACGCCGAGACGAGCACGUGACACCACUGCCACCCUGUCUUAGGGUAACGCGAUUCGAGGCGGACAUCGUCGCGGGAGCGACGACGGACGCCGAGACGAGCACGUGACACCACUGCCUCCCUGUCUUAGCGUAACGCGAGUCGAGGCGGACGUCGUCGCGGUAGCGACGAUGGACGCCGAGACGAGCACGUGACACCACUGCCACCCUGUCUUAGCGUAACGCGAGUCGAGGCGGACGUCGUCGCGGUAGCGACGACGGACGCCGAGACGAGCACGAGACACCAUUGGUUUUUUCUCUUCCAUGCUGUAGCACAGAGUCCAUAAGUUUCAUUGUUGUUGAUUUUUGGGCAGUUACAUAUUUAAGUGCAACCUGUUUUCUUGUUCACGCUGAUUUUCAAAGACCAAACUAUUUGUCAGAUAAAGACAACUCAUUUCACCAUUGGUUUUUUCUCUUCCAUGCUGUAGCACAGAGUCCAUAAGUUUCAUUGUUGUUCAUUUUUGGGCAGUUACAUAUUUAACUGCAACCUGUUUUCUUGUUCACGCUGAUUUUCAAAGAUCAAACUAUUUGUCAGAUAAAGACAACUCAUUUUUAGCAGUUCAUAAUAUUGUCGCUGUUUAGGGUCUAGUGUUUUCUUCCUUGGUUUUGCAUCACGACGCUUCACCCAUGUUUUGACUAUUUAAGUUGGUGUACAACUGUGCAUGGUAUGUAAAUAUAAUAGUCUGUUCUAACCUAUUCUCUGCUUUUUUUCAGAGCGUGAGCUCCGACCAUUCAGAAAAACAGGGACAUUGUGAAUUUACUAGAUUGCGACAAGUCUAGACAGGGAAUAGGCCGAGUUUGCAAUGAGCAGCUUGCAGAGCUACUAUGGCCUGAGUUCUCAAAGAGGAGAUGACAUGGAUUUAACUACAUUAAUGUCCUUGUACAGCAAGGGAAGCUCCCAAGGUAUUGGAAGUGAAAUACUCCCAAAUUCUUCUUCUCCACCUUGAUAGUACACAAAGCAUUGGCGGAGGCAACGGGGCGACCAAAGAAUUAGUUCAUUGGUUCCAUACGCCAUGGCAGAAAGUGGAGGCCGAUCCCCGGGAUGACCCUUUCUGCCGGAUUCAAUUAAGAUGAUCAAAAGUUUUUUGCCGAGGCCUAUUUUCCGGUAUGCGUUUGAAUUUGGACACAGACUCAGAGAACGCUGGGAUCUUCAUGUGGUGGAGCUCCAAGUGGACCUUCAACCAUGAGUCCUUCACCUGUCCGUUGCUCGAUGGUCUGCCCAAACCUGUGCCGGGUCGUACGAUGAAAGCUGCUUUGACUGAGUUCUAGUCAAUGUAGCGGCACAAUAGGAGUUAUUUUUGUAUUACCACUCUGCUGUUGCAAGCUUCAUCUGUGAUCUGUUAUGUCAUUCAUAUGAGCUAAGUUGAGAGGGAAAUGGAAGAGGAGGCUUGGUUCGACACCACUGCCUCCCUGUCUUAGCGUAACGCGACUCGAGGCGGACAUCGUCGCGGUAGCGACGACGGACGCCAAGACGAGCACGUGACACCACUGCCUCCCUGUCUUAGCGUAACGCNNNNNNNNNNNNNNNNNNNNNNNNNNNNNNNNNNNNNNNNNNNNNNNNNNNNNNNNNNNNNNNNNNNNNNNNNNNNNNNNNNNNNNNNNNNNNNNNNNNNNNNNNNNNNNNNNNNNNNNNNNNNNNNNNNNNNNNNNNNNNNNNNNNNNNNNNNNNNNNNNNNNNNNNNNNNNNNNNNNNNNNNNNNNNNNNNNNNNNNNNNNNNNNNNNNNNNNNNNNNNNNNNNNNNNNNNNNNNNNNNNNNNNNNNNNNNNNNNNNNNNNNNNNNNNNNNNNNNNNNNNNNNNNNNNNNNNNNNNNNNNNNNNNNNNNNNNNNNNNNNNNNNNNNNNNNNNNNNNNNNNNNNNNNNNNNNNNNNNNNNNNNNUCUUAGCGUAACACGAGUCGAGGCGGACGUCGUCGCGGUAGCCACGACGGAUGCCGAGACGAGCACGUGACACCACUCCCACCCUGUCUUAGCGUAACGCGAGUCGAGGCGGACGUCGUCGCGGUAGCGACGACGAACGCCAAGACGAGCACGUGACACCACUGCCACCCUGUCUUAGUGUAACGCGAGUCGAGGCAGACGUCGUCGCGGUAGCGACGACGAACGCCAAGACGAGUACGUGACACCACUGCCACCCUGUCUUAGCGUAACGCGAGUCGAGGCGGACGUCGUCGCGGUAGCGACCACGGAUGCCGAGACGAGCACAUGACACCACUGCCACCCUGUCUUAGCAUAACGCGAGUCGAGGCGGAUGUCGUCGAGGUAGCGAAGACGGACGCUGAGACGAGCACGUGACACCACGGCCACCCUGUCUUAGCGUAACGCGAGUCGAGGCGGACGUCCUCGCGGUACCGACGACGGACGCCGAGACGAGCAUGUGACACCAUUCCCAUCCUAUAUUAGCGUAACGCGAGUCGAGGCAAACAUCGUCGCGGUAGCGACCAAGGACGCCGAGACGAGCACGUGACACCACUGCCACCCUGUCUUAGCGUAACGCGAGUCGAGGCGGACGUCGUCGCGGUAGCGACGACGGANNNNNNNNNNNNNNNNNNNNNNNNNNNNNNNNNNNNNNNNNNNNNNNNNNNNNNNNNNNNNNNNNNNNNNNNNNNNNNNNNNNNNNNNNNNNNNNNNNNNNNNNNNNNNNNNNNNNNNNNNNNNNNNNNNNNNNNNNNNNNNNNNNNNNNNNNNNNNNNNNNNNNNNNNNNNNNNNNNNNNNNNNNNNNNNNNNNNNNNNNNNNNNNNNNNNNNNNNNNNNNNNNNNNNNNNNCGACGACGGACGCCGAGACGAGCACAUGACACCAUUCCCACCCUGUCUUAGCGUAACGCGAGUCGAGGCGGACGUCGUCACGGUAGCGACGACGGACGCCUAGACGAGCACAUGACACCAUUCCCACCCUGUCUUAGCGUAACGCGAGUCGAGGCGGACGUCAUCGCGGUAGCGACGACGGACGCGGACGAGCACGUGACACCACUCCCACCCUGUCUUAGCGUAACGCGAGUCGAGGCGGACGUCGUCGCGGUAGCGAGGAGGGACGCCGAGACGAGCACGUGACACCACUGCCACCCUGUCUUAGCGUAACGCGAGUCGAGGCGGACGUCGUCGCGGUAGCGACGACGGACACCGAGACGAGCACGUGACACCACUGCCACCCUGUCUUAGCGUAACGCGAGUCGAGGCGGACAUCGUCGCGGUAGCGACGACGGACACCGAGACGAGCACGUGACACCAUUCCCACCCUGUCUUAGCGUAACGCGAGUCGAGGCGGACGUUGUCGCGGUAGCGACGACNNNNNNNNNNNNNNNNNNNNNNNNNNNNNNNNNNNNNNNNNNNNNNNNNNNNNNNNNNNNNNNNNNNNNNNNNNNNNNNNNNNNNNNNNNNNNNNNNNNNNNNNNNNNNNNNNNNNNNNNNNNNNNNNNNNNNNNNNNNNNNNNNNNNNNNNNNNNNNNNNNNNNNNNNNNNNNNNNNNNNNNNNNNNNNNNNNNNNNNNNNNNNNNNNNNNNNNNNNNNNNNNNNNNNNNNNNNNNNNNNNNNNNNNNNNNNNNNNNNNNNNNNNNNNNNNNNNNNNNNNNNNNNNNNNNNNNNNNNNNNNNNNNNNNNNNNNNNNNNNNNNNNNNNNNNNNNNNNNNNNNNNNNNNNNNNNNNNNNNNNNNNNNNNNNNNNNNNNNNNNNNNNNNNNNNNNNNNNNNNNNNNNNNNNNNNNNNNNNNNNNNNNNNNNNNNNNNNNNNNNNNNNNNNNNNNNNNNNNNNNNNNNGCCGAGAUGAGCACGUGACACCAUUCCCACCCUGUCUUAGCGUAACGCGAGUCGAGGCGGACGUCGUCGCGGUAGCGAUGACGGACGCCGAGACGAGCACGUGACACCCGUGCCACCCUGUCUUAGCAUAACGCGAGUCGAGGCGGACGUUGUCGCGGUAGCGACGACGGACGCCAAGACGAGCACGUGACACCAGUGCCAUCCUGUCUUAGCGUAACACGAGUCCAGGCGGACGUUGUCGUGGUAGCGACGACGGACGCCAAGACGAGCACAUGACACCAGUGCCACCCUGUCUUAGCGUAACGUGAGUCGAGGCGGACAUCGUCGCGGUAGCGACGACGGACGCCGAGACGAGCACGUGACACCAGUGCCACCCUGUCUUAGCAUAACGUGAGUCGAGGCGGACGUCGUCAUGGUAGCGACGACGGACGCCGAGACGAGCACGUGACACCAUUCCCUCCCUGUCUUAGCGUAACGCGAGUCGAGGCGGACGUCGUCACGGUAGCAACGACGAACGCCGAGACAAGCACGUGGCACCAUUCCUACCCUGUCUUAGCGUAACGCGAGUCGAGGAGGACGUCAUCGCGGUAGCGAUGACGGACGCCGAGACGAGCAUGUGACAUUACUGCCACCCUGUNNNNNNNNNNUUUUUUUCAAUGACUGAACAAAAACUUGACCACCGACAGUUCUAGUCCUUUACUGUUUGGACUCUACGAUAUUAAUUGACUUCCCUAAACAUGUGUAACCGGCCCUGAUUUAUUGCUUAACUUACUUGGGAAGUGAAACACAAACCAAAGGAACUCUGAAUAAGCAUAGCUCAUAGCUCAGCUCUAAAUUUUUACUGUGCCAAUCUUGAGAUAUCUGCAUGGAGUUCUUUUUCUACAUACUUUUAGUCAUUCUGAAUUUUUCAUAUGACCUUCCUGAAAUUGUGUGCACUUUGUUUUUUCUACAUGAAUCCUCUACAAUACAUGUACUUGUCAAUUGACUUAAUUUCCUCUUCAGGUUGUCAAUGUUGCUGCAAGGCUGGACAAGUCACCUUUUUGAAACCAUUUUGCUUCACUCGUUUUGAAGACCAUAUACAAGUUUCAUAUUUACUUUAUAUUUUAUUGACCAGAAAGGCUACAAAGUACGGGUGCUAAAUUAGAAUGGACUUUUCAUAUGUAGCCAGUAUGUUGCACAUAUCUUACUUGUGGAAAUGAUUUAUUACAAGCGUUGUAAUAUUAUAAAUGUGAAGGACAUAUGUUGAAUUUUCUAUUGUUGGGUAUGAAUGGAUUUGAAUGCUAAGUUGAGAUAUCUCUUUAUGCCUAUGUUUUAAUUCCAAAAUAUGCCCUAUUUAGCCAUUUUGUUGUUGUUUUGGAAACAUGUACAAAGGGAGAUUUUUUGAUGGGAAAUCCCCUAUCUGCCCUUCAUCACCAGUCUGCCGAGACGAGACCGUGACACCACUACCACCCUGUGUUAGCGUAAUGCGAGUCGAGGCGGACGUCGUCGCGCUAGUGACGAAGGACACCAACACGAGCACGUGAAACCAUUGCCACCCUGUCUUAGCGUAAGGCGAGUCGAGGCGGACGUCGUCGCGGUAGCGACGACGGACGCCAAGACGAGCACGUGACACCAUUACCAUCCUGUGUUAGCAUAACGCGAGUCGAGGCGGACGUCGUCGCGGUAGCGACNNNNNNNNNNNNNNNNNNNNNNNNNNNNNNNNNNNNNNNNNNNNNNNNNNNNNNNNNNNNNNNNNNNNNNNNNNNNNNNNNNNNNNNNNNNNNNNNNNNNNNNNNNNNNNNNNNNNNNNNNNNNNNNNNNNNNNNNNNNNNNNNNNNNNNNNNNNNNNNNNNNNNNNNNNNNNNNNNNNNNNNNNNNNNNNNNNNNNNNNNNNNNNNNNNNNNNNNNNNNNNNNNNNNNNNNNNNNNNNNNNNNNNNNNNNNNNNNNNNNNNNNNNNNNNNNNNNNNNNNNNNNNNNNNNNNNNNNNNNNNNNNNNNNNNNNNNNNNNNNNNNNNNNNNNNNNNNNNNNNNNNNNNNNNNNNNNNNNNNNNNNNNNNNNNNNNNNNNNNNNNNNNNNNNNNNNNNNNNNNNNNNNNNNNNNNNNNNNNNNNNNNNNNNNNNNNNNNNNNNNNNNNNNNNNNNNNNNNNNNNNNNNNNNNNNNNNNNNNNNNNNNNNNNNNNNNNNNNNNNNNNNNNNNNNNNNNNNNNNNNNNNNNNNNNNNNNNNNNNNNNNNNNNNNNNNNNNNNNNNNNNNNNNNNNNNNNNNNNNNNNNNNNNNNNNNNNNNNNNNNNNNNNNNNNNNNNNNNNNNNNNNNNNNNNNNNNNNNNNNNNNNNNNNNNNNNNNNNNNNNNNNNNNNNNNNNNNNNNNNNNNNNNNNNNNNNNNNNNNNNNNNNNNNNNNNNNNNNNNNNNNNNNNNNNNNNNNNNNNNNNNNNNNNNNNNNNNNNNNNNNNNNNNNNNNNNNNNNNNNNNNNNNNNNNNNNNNNNNNNNNNNNNNNNNNNNNNNNNNNNNNNNNNNNNNNNNNNNNNNNNNNNNNNNNNNNNNNNNNNNNNNNNNNNNNNNNNNNNNNNNNNNNNNNNNNNNNNNNNNNNNNNNNNNNNNNNNNNNNNNNNNNNNNNNNNNNNNNNNNNNNNNNNNNNNNNNNNNNNNNNNNNNNNNNNNNNNNNNNNNNNNNNNNNNNNNNNNNNNNNNNNNNNNNNNNNNNNNNNNNNNNNNNNNNNNNNNNNNNNNNNNNNNNNNNNNNNNNNNNNNNNNNNNNNNNNNNNNNNNNNNNNNNNNNNNNNNNNNNNNNNNNNNNNNNNNNNNNNNNNNNNNNNNNNNNNNNNNNNNNNNNNNNNNNNNNNNNNNNNNNNNNNNNNNNNNNNNNNNNNNNNNNNNNNNNNNNNNNNNNNNNNNNNNNNNNNNNNNNNNNNNNNNNNNNNNNNNNNNNNNNNNNNNNNNNNNNNNNNNNNNNNNNNNNNNNNNNNNNNNNNNNNNNNNNNNNNNNNNNNNNNNNNNNNNNNNNNNNNNNNNNNNNNNNNNNNNNNNNNNNNNNNNNNNNNNNNNNNNNNNNNNNNNNNNNNNNNNNNNNNNNNNNNNNNNNNNNNNNNNNNNNNNNNNNNNNNNNNNNNNNNNNNNNNNNNNNNNNNNNNNNNNNNNNNNNNNNNNNNNNNNNNNNNNNNNNNNNNNNNNNNNNNNNNNNNNNNNNNNNNNNNNNNNNNNNNNNNNNNNNNNNNNNNNNNNNNNNNNNNNNNNNNNNNNNNNNNNNNNNNNNNNNNNNNNNNNNNNNNNNNNNNNNNNNNNNNNNNNNNNNNNNNNNNNNNNNNNNNNNNNNNNNNNNNNNNNNNNNNNNNNNNNNNNNNNNNNNNNNNNNNNNNNNNNNNNNNNNNNNNNNNNNNNNNNNNNNNNNNNNNNNNNNNNNNNNNNNNNNNNNNNNNNNNNNNNNNNNNNNNNNNNNNNNNNNNNNNNNNNNNNNNNNNNNNNNNNNNNNNNNNNNNNNNNNNNNNNNNNNNNNNGUAAUGCGAGUCGAGGCGGACGUCAUCGCGGUACAGACGAAGGACGCUGAGACGAGCACGUGACACCACUGCCACCCUGUCUUAGCGUAACGCGAAUCGAGGCGAACGUCGUCGCGGUAGCGACGACGGACGCCGAGAGGAGCACGUGACACCACUGCCUCCCUGUCUUAGCGUAACGUGAGUCGAGGCGUACGUCGUCGCGGUAGAGACGACGGACGCCGAGACGAGCACGUGACACCACUGCCACCGUGUCUUAGCGUAAUGCGAGUUGAGGUGGACGUCGUCGCGGUAGAGACGAAGGACACCGAGACGAGCACGUGACACCACUGCUGCCCUGUCUAAGCGUAACGCGGGUCGAGGCGGACGUCAUCGUGGUAGCGACGACGGACGCCGAGACGAGCACAUGACACAACUGUCACCCUGUCUUAGCGUAACGCGAGUCGAAGCGACAUCGUCGCGGUAGCGAUGACGGACGCCGAGACGAGCACGUGACACCACUGCCACCCUGUCUUAGUGUAACGCGAGUCGAGGCGACGUCGUCGCGGUAGCGAUGACGGACGCCAAGACGAGCACGUGACACCACUACCACCCUGUCUUAGCGCAACGCGAGUCGUGGCGGACGUCGUCGCGGUAGCGACGACGGACGCCGAGACGAGCANNNNNNNNNNUGUCUAUCUUAGGGUUACGCGAGUCGAGGCGGACGACGUCGCGGUAGCGACGACGGACGCCGAGACGAGCACAUGACACCACUGCCACCCUGUCUAUCUUAGGGUUACGCGAGUCGAGGCGGACGUCGUCGCGGUAGCGACGACGGACGCCGAGACGAGCACGUGACACCACUGCCACCCUGUCUUAGCGUAACGCGAGUCGAGCCGGACGUCGUCGCGGUAGCGACGACGGACACCGAGACGAGCACAUGACCCCACUGCCACCCUGUCUUAGCGUAACGCGAGUCGAGGCGAACGUCGUCGCGGUAGCGACGACGGACGCCGAGACGAGCACGUGACACCACAGCCACCCUGUCUUAGCGUAACGCGAGUCGAGCCGGACGUCGUCGCGGUAGCGACGACGGACGCCGAGACGAGCACGUGACACCACUGCCACCCUGUCUAUCUUAGGGUUACGUGAGUCAAGGCGGACGUCGUCGCGGUAGCGACGAUGGACGCCGAGACGAGCACAUGACACCACUGCCACCCUGUCUUAGCGUAACACGAGUCGAGGCGGACGUCAUCGCGGUAGCGACGAUGGACGCCGAGACGAGCACGUGACACCACUGCCACCCUGUCUUAGCGUAAAUGCGAGUCGAGGUGGACGUCGUCGCGGUAGCGACGAUGGACGUCGAGACGAGCACGUGACACCACUGCCACCCUGUCUUAGCGUAACGCGAGUCGAGGCGGACGUCGUCGCGGUAGCGACGACGGAUGCCGAGACGAGCACGUGACACCACUGCCACCCUGUCUUAGCGUAACGCGAGUCGAGGCGGACGUCGUCGCGGUAGCGACGACGGACGCCGAGACGAGCACGUGACACCACUGCCACCCUGUCUUAGCGGAAACGCGAGUCGAGGCGGACGUCUUCACGGUAGCGAGCAUGUGACACCACUGCCACCCUGUCUAUCUUAGGGUUACGCGAGUCGGGNNNNNNNNNNUGCCACCUGUCUAUCUUAGGGUUACGCGAGUCGAGGCGGACGUCGUAGCGGUAGCGACGACGGACGCCGAGACGAGCACGUGACACCACUGCCACCCUGUCUUAGCGUAACGCGAGUCGAGGCGAACGUCGUCGCGGUAGCGACGACGGACGCCGAGACGAGCACGUGACACCACAGCCACCCUGUCUUAGCGUAAACGCGAGUCGAGGCGGACGUCGUCGCGGUAGCGACGACGGACGCCGAGACAAGCACGUGACACCACUGCCACCCUGUCUUAGCGUAACGCGAGUCGAGGCGGACGUCGUCGCGGNNNNNNNNNNUAGCGACGAUGGACGUCGAGACGAGCACGUGACACCACUGCCACCCUGUCUUAGCGUAACGCGAGUCGAGGCGGACGUCGUCGCGGUAGCGACGACGGAUGCCGAGACGAGCACGUGACACCACUGCCACCCUGUCUUAGCGUAACGCGAGUCGAGGCGGACGUCGUCGCGGUAGCGACGACGGACGCCGAGACGAGCACGUGACACCACUGCCACCCUGUCUUAGCGGAAACGCGAGUCGAGGCGGACGUCUUCACGGUAGCGAGCAUGUGACACCACUGCCACCCUGUCUAUCUUAGGGUUACGCGAGUCGAGACGGACGUCGUCGCGGUAGCGACGAUGGACGCCGAGACGAGCACGUGACACCACAGCCACCCUGUCUAUCUUAGGGUUACGCGAGUCGAGGCGGACGUCGUCGCGGUAGCGACAACGGACGCCGAGACGAGCACAUGACACCACUGCCACCUGUCUAUCUUAGGGUUACGCGAGUCGAGGCGGACGUCGUAGCGGUAGCGACGACGGACGCCGAGACGAGCACGUGACACCACUGCCACCCUGUCUUAGCGUAACGCGAGUCGAGGCGAACGUCGUCGCGGUAGCGACGACGGACGCCNNNNNNNNNNNNNNNNNNNNNNNNNNNNNNNNNNNNNNNNNNNNNNNNNNNNNNNNNNNNNNNNNNNNNNNNNNNNNNNNNNNNNNNNNNNNNNNNNNNNGAGAAUAGGCGAUAUCUGGUGAUCAAGGGGGGGGGCUUGCCUGGUUGCUCUGGCAAGAGAGAGGGGUCGUCAACUCCGUAGUCGAACUGGUCAGUAGCAGCGUCGGUCUCGUAGUCUACCGGAGAGAAGAGGGGGAAGAAAUAAUGAAUACAGAGCAAACAAAGCAUCACAAAAUAUAACAAGGCAAUACGCGGUGUUCGGUGUGCCCUAACGCGGUAGUAGGUGAUACCGGUGAAGGGGGAAAAACAUCCGGGAAAGUAUUCCCGGGGUUCCGUGUUUUCGGGCAGAGGAGCCGGAGGGGGAAAGUUGCGAGUUCGAUAGGUUAGGGGGGUGUGGCGGACGAACGGGUUGCGUAUCCGAAAUCGUCUCGUCGUUCUGAGCAACUUUCAUGUACAAAGUUUUUCCAUCGGAGUUACGGUUAAUUUUUUUAUAAUUUUCCAAAGUUUUAUCAAUAUUCUAGAAUUUUGUGUUUAAUUUAAAUCCGAAUUGACCAAGUCAAUGUGACUAGUCAAAAGGAGAGGUGGUGGCCCACAUGUCAUGGACAUAGGUGUAGAUUACUUAGGCUAAAUUAAUUUAAACUAGGGGCCACAUGGCAUUGUUUAUAUAGACUAAUUAGCACUAAAUUACAUCCUACCUAAACUAGCCCUAAUUAAUCCUAGCCUAAUUAAACCAUGGGCCGGCCGGUGGCAUAGCCAGCCGUGGCUGCGUACACACACGCAACACACAUAGCUAGGGGUUACUUUUGUUCCAACAAAGCAUUUUGCGAUUUUUACAGAAUUUAAUCCAUGCCAUAUUUGAAUUUGGUCCAAUAGAAUAAUUUGGAGGUUGCUAUGUGUACUCCCAACACAAAUUAAUUUCAACGAAGUUAGACUUGGUUUGACCAUAGUUUUGUUGCCAUCCAGAGAGCUAAGAAGAUGGAAAUAGCAAAAGCUAGCCAGCGCUACAGUAACAUUCAGUUACUGUAGCAGCGGCAGCAGAGCAGCGAACGCAGCGGCAGAAGUUAAGGAAUAGCAGCGACGGCAGCAGCUAUGCAUCCGUAGUAGUAACAAGAAGCAGCAGUAGGAAGCAAGUAACAACAGCAGAGUUUCAGCGGCAUCAGCAGUAAAGGUAGUAGGCAGCGGGACAACGCGACUGGGCGCGGGCGCGCGUUGUGCAGGGCCGGAGCUCAGGCACGCAGGGGCAGGGCGGCCAGGGGGCGCGCGGGAGCACGCACGGGGGCGAGGCCACGCGCAGGCGGGCAGACACGGAGGCGCGCGGGCAUGGCGGGGGUCACGGCGGACGACGCAGCAGACGGUGGCUGCGAGGCCGGGCGGCAGUCGGCAGCGGCCAACGCAGCGGCGAGGCGGGCGCGCAGCAACAGUUCAACAGGGGCGGCAGCAGAAGCAUGCAUGGGAGCGCGGGGAGGGGCCAGUUGCGCGUGGGAGCGACCAAGGACGGCCAGAGCCGGGCCAAGCGCAUGCUCGGGCGCGACGGUGUAGCUCUGGAUAGGGGAGGCGGGACCCGGCCUACGGCAAUGAAGGAAAAGGGGAGCGGGGCGCGGGAGCUCACCGUGUGGGCGCAUGGGGGCCCGGUGACGGAUUAGUAGCUGCGGGGCGGUCGGAGUUGACGGAGAUGGUCGAUGACCGAAGCGGACGAGGGCGACGCGAAUCCGGCGAAGGUGGGGGUUCCGGCAGGUCUUCGUCUCCGUAGUGGACGCAGCGGGCGAUGGCGGUCGUCGUGGACGCAACGGUGAGGGAGAAGUGGCCGGUGGUCGCGAGCUUCACCGGAGCGAGCCCAUGUCGGCGCUCGGCGGGGAUGGAUCUGGCGAGGGGGAGGGGGGUGAGGCGGAGAGGACCAGGGAGGGGAGAAGAGAGCAAGCGGGGGGAGUGGUAGAUAUUUUGGCGAGCGGGGAGGUCCAGCGCAGCUCUUAUCCCCUCGUCGGGCGUCGCCGGCGAGGUGGCUGGACGGCGACGGGCGCGCACGGUCCUGCCCGGUCGGUGGAACAGGAAGCGACCGGGGAGGGGGAGUGGGCCGGCUUAGCUGGGCCGGUUCGAAUGGCUAGGCCCGAGGGGUGCUCUCUCUCUUUUUUUUUAAAAAAAAUUCUGUUUAGUCUUUUCUUUUUGUUUACUGCUGUCUUUUUUCCUAUUAUUUAUUGCACCUAAAUUAGUACCACUAAUUAUACCUCUACUACAAAAAGUUUAGACCUCCAAUUAAAAUAGUUUAACAUUUUAAUAAUUAUAAAAGGCAUUCAAUUAAUUCGUUUGCUGUUGUUUUAUUUAUUUUAGAGCAUUCAAACACUUUUAAAGAUGUUGGUUUCUCCACCAUUACUACUUAUGCAUUAUUUGCCACUACCAUAACAAUUUGGUUUUAAUAUUUGAAAACUUUUAUUUGCUUGCCUUUGUUUUAAAUUUUAACUGGGUUUCAAACAGACACGAGUUUAUCCACACUAACCGAGGUGACGUGGCAUCCUUAGCGAGGGAUCACUGUAGCUUAAUUAUCCGGGCAUCACACAUACACUUAUAGCUCUUAGUGCAUCCAUUGCAUGGCAAUCCCUACUCCUCGCAUUGAAAUCAAUUGAUGGGCAUCUCCAUAGCCCGUUGAUUAGCCGCUUCGAUGUGAGACUUUCUCCCUUUUUGUCUUCUCCAUAUAAACCUCCACCAUCAUAUUCUAUUCCACCUAUAGUGCUAUACCCAUGGCUUGCGCUCAUGUAUUGCGUGAGGGUUGAAAAAGCUGAAGCGCAUUAAAAAGUAUGAACCAAUUGCUUGGCUUGUCAUCGGGGUUGCAUGAUGGGAGCAUUUUGUGUGACGAAAAUGAAGCAUGGCCAAACUAUAUGAUUUUGUAGGGAUAAGCUUGCUUUGGCCAUGUUGUUUUGAAAAGACAUGAUUGCUUUAUUAGUACGCUCGAAGUAUUAUCAUUUUUUAUGUCAAAUGAUAGACUAUUGUUUUGAAUCACUCGUAUCUUAAUAUUCAUGCCAUGAUUAGACAUAUGAUCAAGAUUAUGCUAGGUAGCAUUCCACAUAAAAAAUUAUCUUUUUUUAUCAUUUACCUACUCAAGGACGAGUAGGAAUUAAGCUUGGGGAUGCUGAUACGUCUCUGUCGUAUCUAUAAUUUUUGAUUGUUCCAUGCCAAUAUUCUUCAACUUUCAUAUACUUUUGGCAACUUUUUAUACUAUUUUUGGGACUAACAUAUUGAUCCAGUGCCCGGUGCCAGUUCCUGUUUGUUGCAUGUAUUAUGUUUCGCAUAAACCCAAUAUCAAACGGAAUCCAAACGGGAUAAAAACGGACGGAGAAUUAUUUUGGAAUAUUUGGGAUUUUCCGGAGGAAGAAUCAACGCGAAACAGUGCCCGAGGUGGCCACGAGACAGGGGGCGCGCCCUCCCCCUGGGCGCGCCUGGCACCCUCAUGGGCCACCCGUAAGGCGGUUGACGCUCUUCUUUUGCCGCAAGAAAGCUAAUUUUAUGAGAAAAAUCUGGGCGAAAGAUUCACCCCAAUCGGAGUUACGGAUCUCCGGAUAUAAAAGAAACGGUGAAGGGGAAGGAUCUGGGAACGCAGAAACAGAGAGAGACAGAGAGAUAGAUCCAAUCUCGAAGGGGCUCUCGCCCCUCCCACGCCAUGGGAGCCAAGGACCAGAGGGGAAACCCUUCUCCCAUCUAGGUAGGAGGUCAAGGAAGAAGAAGAAGAAGGGGCCCUCUCUCCCCCUUGCUUCCGGUGGCGCCGGAACGCUGCCGGGGGCCAUCAUCAUCACCGCGAUCUUCACCAACACCUCCAUCAUCUUCACCAACAUCUCCAUCACCUUCCCCCAUCUAUAUUCAGUGGUCCACUCUUCCGCAACCCGCUGUACCCUCUACUUGAACAUGGUGCUUUAUGCUUCAUAUUAUUAUCCAAUGAUGUGUUGCCAUCCUAUGAUGUCUAAGUAGAUUUUCGUUGUCCUAUCGGUGAUUGAUGAAUUGCUAUGAUUGGUUUGGGUUGCAUGUUUUAUUAUUGGUGUUGUCCUAUGGUGCUCUCUGUGUCGCACAAGCAUGAGGGAUCCCCGUUGUAGGGUUUGCAAUAUAUUCAUGAUUUGCUUAUGGUGGGUGGCGUGAGUGACAGAAGCACAGACCCGAGUAAGUAGGUUGUUUGCGUAUGGGAUAAAGGGGGCUUAAUACUUUAAUGCUAUUUGGGUUUUAUUUUAAUGAUCUUUAGUAGUUGCGGAUGCCUUCUAGAGUUCCUAUCAUAAGUGCAUAUGAUCCAAGAAGAGAAAGUAUGUUAGCUUAUGCCUCUCACUCAAAUAGAAUUGCAAUAGUGCUUACCGGUCUAGUAACAUAGUCAAUUGCUUAGGGAAAAUUUCACAACUCCUACCACCACUUUUCCACACUCGCUAUAUUUACUUUAUUAUUUCUUUAUCUAAACAGCCCCUAGUUUAUAUUUACGUGCUCUUUAUUAUCUUGCAAACCUAUCCAACAACACCUACAAAGUACUUCUAGUUUCAUACUUGUUCUAGGUAAAGCGAACAUCAAGUGUGCGUAGAGUCGUAUCAGUGGCCGAUAGGACUUGAGAGAGUAUUUGUUCUACCUUUAGCUCCUCGUUGGGUUCGACACUCUUACUUAUCGAAAGAGGCUACAACUAUCUCGUAUACUUGCGGAUUAUCAAGACCUUUUUCUGGCGCCAUUGCCGGGGAGUCAUAGCGUGGGGUGAAUAUUCUCGUGUGUGCUUGUUUGCUUUAUCACUAAGUAACUUUUAUUUGCUGUUCUUAGUUGUUUUCUAUCUUUAGUUAUGGGUAGGAAACGCAAAAUACCAAAAAAAUUAGUUGUAUCGACUACACCAAUGGUUGAAGAACCACUCAAAAUCUAUCACACUCCUGAAGCUUUUUACUUGGAUCAUCUUCGAUCCCUUUGUGCUCGUGCUGAAGCCCCAACUAGCUUAGUUGAAGGCAAAUCUUUAGAUGAGCAUGCUUGUUAUGUGCGACACCGUAUAUCUGAAAAAGGGAAACUUUUACUGGAUCAAAUUCAUCGUUUGCAAUGCUAUGCUUGGAAUUUAUAUGAAAUUUAUGAUAUUGCUUGUUGUGCUGAAAACCCUAAGAAACACCUUCCCUACCAAUGUGAGUUUAUUGAUAAUGGAAUCGUAUCUUCGUAUGCUAAGGGUGUUUAUAAUUACUAUGAUGUUCAACAAAUUGAAGAAUUUGUUGCUUUUAAGGGUGCUUAUGAAAUUGCUUCUUUGAUUGAAAAGUAUGAUGCUACUCUCUACAAAUCUGAAAAUUUUACCGUACUUGAAUAUUGUUAUGAUAAUUAUGCUUAUAAUGCCUAUGUUAAACUAUAUAUUGAUAAAUUCUCCGCUGUCCAAGAAGAGACUAAUAUUUUGCAGGAAGCUAUGGAAGAAGAAAUUGAUGAAACUGUGAGCUCAUUGGAUGAAAAAGAUGAUGAGGAGAGCGAAGAACAAAAGGAGGAAGAGCGGAUUGAUCACCAUGCCCACCUUCUAAUGAGAGUAACUCUUCAACUCAUACAUUGUUUAAUUCCCCUUCGUGCUUACCGAAGUAUGAUUGCUAUGAUGAUUGCUAUGAUCCCGUUGAUUCUCUUCAAAUAUCCCUUUUUGAUGAUGCUUGUUAUGCUUGCGGCCAAGAUGCCAAUAUGAAUUAUGCUUAUGGAGAUGAACUUGCUAUAGUUCCUUAUGUUAAACAUGAAAUUGUUGCUAUUGCACCCAUGCAUGGUAGUCCUAUUAUCUAUUUGAAUUCUCCCGACUACACUAUAUCGGAGAAGUUUGUGCUUAUUAAGGAUUAUAUUGAUGGGUUGCGUUUUACUACUACACAUGAUGAUUUUGAUAGAUAUAAUAUGCAUGUGCUUGCUGCUCCUACUUGCAAUUAUUAUGAGAGAGAAACUAUAUCUCCACCUCUCUAUGUUUCCAAUAUGAUAGAAUUGCAAGAAUCUGCUUAUACUAUGCAUUGGCCUUUACUAUGUGUGCAUGAAUUGUUCUUUUAUGACAUGCCGAUGCAUAGGAACAGAGUUAGACUUCGUCAUUGUAUGAUAUAUGUUACUUUGUGCUCACUACUAAAUCACAAAUCAUUGUUUUAAAAUUGGCUUUGAUAUACCUUGGGAUCCGGGUGGAUCCAUUACUUGAGCACUAUAUGCCUAGCUUAAUGGCUUUAAAGAAAGCGCUGCCAGGGAGACAACCCGGAAGUUCUAGAGAGUCAUUUAUUUAUGUUGUGUGCUUUCAUAUAGUCUAAAAAAAUAGGGAACCCUAAAAACUUUUCAAAAAGAAAAGUAAAAGUGAGAAAGACAAGCAUUGUUGAAGUGGGAGCUAGCCUUGAACUUUGUUCAUGCUCACAGAAACUUUGUGAAUCUUGAUUACAGAAACUUCUCAUCAAAAAUAAUUAUCCCCUUGUAUAAUUACAUUGUCUUAUAAAAAUAAUGUGCUAAGGUUUGCCUUUAGGAUGUUUACAAUGCUUGUUGGUUUGUACGGUGCAGGACAGAAACUUUGGCUGUAGUGCACGAUUUUACAUUUUUUUACUGGAACGUCAAACGGUUAUGAUUCCUUUUGCACUGUCUUGAUGUACAACUUUUUUAUUUUUCAUAAUUUUGGUAUAAUUUUUGGGGUACCAUAAGUAUGGUGAAUGUUCAUAUUGCUACAGACUGUUCUGUAUUUGACAGAUUCUGUUUUUGAUGCAUAGUUUGCUUGUUUUGAUGAAUCUAUGAAUUUAUAUCAGUGAAUUAAGCCAUGAAAAAGUUAUGUUACAGUAGAAACAAUGCAAAAACAAAAUAUGAAUUGGUUUGCAACAGUACUUAGAGUGGUGAUUUGCUUUAUUAUACUAACGGAUCUUACCGAGUUUUCUGUUGAAGUUUUGUGUGGAUGAAGUGUCUAAUCGAGGAGGUCUCGAUAUGGGGAAAAGGAAGAGAGGCAAGAGCUCAAGCUUGGGGAUGCCCGAGGCAACCCAAGUAAAUAUUCAAGGAGACUCAAGCGUCUAAGCUUGGGGAUGCCCAGAAGGCAUCCCCUCUUUCUUCAACAAGUAUCGGUAUGUUUUCGUAUUCGUUUCGUUCAUGCGAUAUGUGCAAGUCUUGGAGCGUCUUUUGCAUUUAGUUUUCACUUUUCUUUUUUGCACCAUGCUGGUAUGAGAUAGUCCUUGGUUGAUUUAUAGAAUGCUCAUUGCACUUCACUUAAAUCUUUUGAGUAUGGCUUUAUAGAAUGCUUCAUGUGCUUCACUUAUUAUCAUUUGAAGUCUGGAUUGCCUGUUUCUCUUCACAUAGAAAACCGCCAUUUGUAGAAUGCUCUUUUGCUUCACUUGUAUUUGUUAGAGCGUGGGCAUAUCUUUUGUAGAAAGAAUCAAACUCUCUUGCUUCACUUAUAUCUAUUUAGAGAGAUGACAGGAAUUGGUCAUUCACAUGGUUAGUCAUAAAAUCCUACAUAAACUUGUAGAUCACUGAAUAUGAUAUGUUUGAUUCCUUGCAGUAGUUUUGCGAUAUAAAGAUGGUGAUAUUAGAGUCAUGCUAGUGGGUGGUUGUGGAUUGUAGAGACACUUGUGUUGGGGUUUGCAAGUCCCGUAGCAUGCACGUAUGGUAACCGUUAUGUGAUAAAUUUGAAGCAUGGGGUGUUUCUUUGAUUGUCUUCCUUAUGAGUGGCGGUUGGGGAUGAGCGAUGGUCUUUUCCUACUAAUCUAUCCUCCUAGGGGAAUGCGUAGUAGUACUUUGCUUCGAGGGCUAAUAAACUUUUACAAUAAGUACAUGCGUUCUUUAUGACUAAUGUGAGUCCAUGGAUUAUACGCACUUUUACCGUUCCAUCAUUGCUAGCCUCUUCGGUACCGUGCAUUGCCCUUUCUCACCUCGAGAGUUGGUGCAAACUUCGCAGGUGCAUCCAAACCCCGUGAUAUGAUACGCUCUGUCACACAUAAGACUCCUUAUAUCUUCCUCAAAACAGCCACCAUACCUACCUAUCAUGGCAUUUUCAUAGCCAUUCCGAGAUAUAUUGCCAUGUAACUUCCACCAUCAUCAUAUACAUGACUUGAGCAUUUAUUGUCAUAUUGCUUUGCAUGAUCGUAAGAUAGCUAGCAUGAUGUUUUCAUGGCUUGUCCGUUUUUUGAUGUCAUUGCUACGCUAGAUCAUUGCACAUCCCGGUACACCGCCGGAAGCAUUCAUAUAGAGUCAUAUCUUUGUUCUAGUAUCGAGUUGUAAUAUUGAGUUGUAAGUAAAUAAAAGUGUGAUGAUCAUCAUUAUAGAGCAUUGCCCCAUGAAAAAAAGAAAAAAGAAAAAAAGGAAAGGCCAAAGAAGCCUAAAUAAAAAAAGGGGGCCAAAGAAGCCCACCCAAAAAAAGAAAAAAAGAAAAAAGGGGGCAAUGUUACUAUCCUUUUACCACACUUGUGCUUCAGAGUAGCAUCAUGUUCUUCAUAUAGAGAGUCUCCUAUGUUGUCACUUUCAUAUACUAGUGGGAACUUUUCAUUAUAGAACUUGGCUUGUAUAUUCCAACGAUGGGCUUCCUCAAAUGCCCUAGGUCUUCAUGAGCAAGCAAGUUGGAUGCACACCCACUUAGUUUUCAGUUUGAGCUUUCAUACACUUAUAGCUCUUAGUGCAUCCGUUGCAUGGCAAUCCCUACUCCUCGCAUUGACAUCAAUUGAUGGGCAUCUCCAUAGCCCGUUGAUUAGCCGCGUCGAUGUGAGACUUUUUUCCUUUCUUGUCUUCUCCAUAUAAACCUCCACCAUCAUAUUCUAUUCCACCUAUAGUGCUAUAUACAUGGCUUGCACUCAUGUAUUGUGUGAGGGUUGAAAAAGCUGAAGCGCGUUAAAAAGUAUGAACCAAUUGCUCGUCUUGUCAUCGAGGUUGUGCAUGAUGGAAGCAUUUUGUGUGACGAAAAUGAAGCAUGGCCAAACUAUAUGAUUUUGUAGGGAUAAGCUUGCUUUGGCCAUGUUGUUUUGAAAAGACAUGAUUGAACUAUUAGUACGCUCGAAGUAUUAUCGUUUUUUAUGUCAAAUGAUAGACUAUUGCUUUGAAUCACUCGUAUCUUAAUAUUCAUGCCAUGAUUAGACAUAUGAUCAAGAUUAUGCUAGGUAGCAUUCCCCAUAAAAAAUUAUCUUUUUUAUCAUUUACCUACUCGAGAACAAGUAGGAAUUAAGCUUGGGGAAGCUGAUACGUCUUUGUUGUAUAUAUAAUUUUUGAUUGUUCCAUGCCAAUAUUCUUCAACUUUCAUAUACUUUUGGCAACUUUUUAUACUGUUUUUGGGACUAACAUAUUGAUCCAGUGUCCAGUGCCAGUUCCCGUUUGUUGCAUGUUUUAUGUUUCGCAGAAACACAAUAUCAAACGGAAUCCAAACGGACGGAAAAUUAUUUUGGGAUAUUUGGGAUUUUCCGGAGGAAGAAUCAACGCGAAAUGGUGCCCGAGGUGGCCACGAGACAGGGGGCGCACCCUCCCCCCUGGGCGCACCUGGCACCCUCGUGGGCCACCCGUAAGGCGGUUGAAGCUCUUCUUUUGCCGCAAGAAAGCUAAUUUUAUGAGAAAAAUCUAGGUGAAAGAUUCACCCAAUCGAAGUUAGGGAUCUCCGAAUGUAAAAGAAACGGUGAAGGGGAAGGAUCUGGCAACGCAGAAACAAAGAGAGACAAAGAGAUAGAUCCAAUCUCGGAGGGGCUCUCGCCCCUCCCACGCCAUGGGAGCCAAGGACCAGAGGGGAAACCCUUCUCCCAUCUAGGGAGGAGGUCAAGGAAGAAGAAGAAGAAGGGGGCUCUCUCUCCCCCUUGCUUCCGGUGGCGCCGGAACGCUGCCGGGGUCCAUCAUCAUCACUGCGAUCUUCACCAACACCUCCAUCAUCUUCACCAACAUCUCCAUCACCUUCCCCCAUCUAUAUUCAGCGGUCCACUCUCCCGCAACCCGUUGUAUCCUCUACUUGAACAUGGUGCUUUAUGCUUCAUAUUAUUAUCUAAUGAUGUGUUGCCAUCCUAUUAAGUCUGAGUAGAUUUUCGUUAUCCUAUCGGUGAUUGAUGACUUGCUAUGAUUGGUUUCAGUUGCAUGUUUUAUUAUCGGUGUUGUCCUAUGGUGCUCUCCGUGUCGCGCAAGCGUGAGGGAUCCUCGUUGUAGGGUUUGCAAUAUGUUCAUGAUUUGCUUAUGGUGGGUGACGUGAGUGACAGAAGCACAGACCCGAGUAAGUAGGUUGUUUGCAUAUGGGAUAAAGGGGACUUAAUACUUUAAUGCUAUGAUUGGGUUUUACCUUAAUGAUCUUUAGCAGUUGCGGAUGCUUGCUAGAGUUCCAAUCAUAAGUGCAUAUAAUCCAAGAAGAGAAAGUAUGUUAGCUUAUGCCUCUCCCUCAAAUAGAAUUGCAAUAGUGAUUACCGGUCUAGUAACAUAGUCAAUUGCUUAGGGACAAUUUCACAACUCCUACCAUCACUUUUCCACACUCGCUAUAUUUACUUUAUUGUUUCUUUAUCUAAACAGCCCCUAGUUUAUAUUUACGUGCUCUUUAUUAUUUUGCAAACCUAUCCAACAACACCUACAAAGUACUUCUAGUUUCAUACUUGUUCUAGGUAAAGCGAACGUCAAGUGUGCGUAGAGUCGUAUCAGUGGCUGAUAGGACUUGAGAGAGUAUUUCUUCUACCUUUAGCUCCUCGUUGGGUUCGACACUCUUACUUAUCGAAAGAGACUACAACUAUCUUGUAUACUUGUAGGUUAUCAUCCGCCAACUCGUUCGGACACCAGACGGACCGCACGGCCUCCGGCGAGGCAGCUACGGCUGGCCUUGCACCAGAUCCAUACCCCAUUUGGGCGGACGCAAUGGAUUCCCGACGUAUGGAGUCUGAAUGCAGCCGUCCACGGGCCUCCUCCCGGGCGCGGCAGAGUGCAAGACGGACGACCAUCUCCUCUUUGGGGGCGCGCGGGAUGAGCUCGGGGUCGACAGAUCUGGAGGUGAAGGAUUCGGAUCCGCUGCCCGCCAUGCCGGAGACGACCGGAAGGAGCCUGAGACGAGUUUGGGUGGCGGAUGGGGAGUGGAGGGGAGGGGAGGGAAGUGGCUAGGGUUUGGUCCGGCGAGCGGAUGGGAAGAAUUUUAUGUGGGAUCGGGUGAGGAAGCGUGGGCCGGGGCUGACAUGACGGGCGUGACCGGGCGCGCCCGGGCGCCCCAUAUCUGCUCCACAUUUGAGCUAGAUAUGGGGAUGCCGGUUAGCCCGGGUGAGGGUCCAUCUAGGUUAAAAAAUCGUGACUGAACAGUGAUCGCCCACUCGGAUGUAUGAGACGGGUUUGAGGGGUGCGGCUAUAAAUACUAGUCCAAGCGCUGUAAUCCGUAGACGGUGGAAAAUUACCGAACGAAACGCGUCGCUAGUUCACCUUGAUAAAAAGCCACGCCCGCUGCUGGCGAUACACAUCACCCCCCUGCCGAAACACGGCUAAAAAAAACCUGCCAAAACUAAAACAUGACUCGCUCAUAAAAAACAAAAACAUGCCUGGCUCAGACCCUCCUCAUCCUGUGUGGCUCCCUCGAUUGAUCCCAAAUCCCCAAUUAAUCCCACCGCCGCCUAGAGCACAAGAGCGGGCAGCGGCAGCCUGCGAACGCCAAGUACGGCGUGACCAGCCAGGUGGGCCGGUAGAGGAGUGCCGAGGUGCGCAGCCCCGGCCGGAUUAGUUACUUUGUUUCUCAAUUCAGAUUGUUAACGGAUGCGAGAUGCAAAUCCAGAUUGUUAUCCAGGACGAUUGGACGAAGAGGGAGCAAAUCUAUGAGUGAAAAGGAUAAGGGAAGGGAAGGAAUGCAAAAUGAAAGGUUAGUUACUUAAUUUCUCAAUUAUGCGUUUGAGUGCUUGAUGAUUGAAUUGCACGAACACGUUGCACCUGGAUUGUACGUGAUUCUAGUUAAUGUCAUAUAAUCUACUGUAGUUAGUGUGUGGACUGUCUUGGUUAUGCAUCAUACAAUUUUUAUUAUUUUUAUUUUUUGUGUGUAUCAAGUCGCACCUACAAAUUAAUCCUGCCUCAGCCACUGAGCACAGCCGAAAAAGUUCGCAUCCUUUUGAAGAAGCACAAAUACAUUUCGAAUAUAGGGCGCGAAACACAUCCUAUGGAGAAUAUUCUGAUUUAUUGAUCCAACAAGUUUAACCAUGCUUUAAUAGCCAAUUUACAAGCCACAGCAACAUCUAACCAGUGCUUCUGAAACUAAACAUAAGCAUGGUUGCAGACUUGCAGUAGCUUCCCAGGCACCAAACUAAACCCAUCUCAUCCAUGGGGUUUCUUGCAAGAGUUUAGGACAUGGUUGGAGGAACCAGAAGCUUGUGCAUUUCUGACACAGAAGGCAUUAGCUACUCAUCUACAUCGAUAUAGACAGGGUGAUCUCGGCGAAUGAUGUGGACGUUCAUGGUAAGCACCUGCUCGUUCUUGAGCAGCUCAAACAGGCACAUGUCGUCAUCCUGCAGCUUGUUGUCGUUUACAAACUUCUUCCAGCCUGUGUGUAGCUCAUAAAAUUUGCACUUUUCCUUGUCGCCGAUAUAGAGCUUGGCUUCCCAAGUGUGGUUCUUCCCAGGCACUUGAAGCCUCAUCCACUGCUCCUCGCGUGGAAGAUGAUCAUCAGCGUAUCCCUGUUCGAUGUACUGAGUUGCACAUUCACAAGGUAGGAUGUUAAGUUGUCAACAGAUCAAAUAAGCAAACACAUGCGUCCUUACCAAGAAAGAGGAAACUGCAUGGAUCGAGCACAACUUACCAGCUUGGCACGGCAGCUAGGCAUGAUGGACACGAAUAUUUUGGUUUCUGGCUGAAUAACAAGGAGCCUCUCUUUGAUUUUUCUCUUCUGCUGCCAAGUCAGUUCGGUGCAUCUGGUAACCACAUACCCCGUGUCAGUGCGAGUCACUUUCAUCUUCUGCCGGCUAGCUGGUUUAAGAUGAUAGACUAUUAUUGCCACUCCACCAUCGCUCUUUGACAUUUCAAAUGCACAGAUAUCGCCUUCCUGCAAUUUGUUGUCGCGAACAAAGCAGGGCCAACCAGAAAAAAUGAUACAAGAAAGGAUGCAUGCUCCAUCAGUGAUAACCUUCAAAUUGGCAUCCCAUGUUUUGCUGUUCUGAGGAUGACAAAGUUUGAUAAUCUGGUCUUGAUGAGGAAGGUGAUUGGCAGCAUACUCCUUACGGAUGACCUAUUACAAAUGAAUGAUCUGGCUGAUGAAUUAUCUCAAACCAUAAUUUGCAGAGAGCUAGUGUUUCAACGAUUCGAACAAAGUUCUAGCAAGAUAUUCUGAAUUCUGUUUUCUGAACAUGGUGUUCAUUCAAAUAAAUAAAUAAUCAAAGCAUUGUACAGUAAUCAAAACAUACUGUAAACCUACCAGAAAUCCAUCAGAUAGAUUUUUCUCGUUCAUGGCUGUGACAUAAAAUUGAAUUCCAUUCCGAUUUUCGUUCAAAAAUGCAUCAACUCUUGCCUUCUGGGCACUAGUCAGUUUACAACCCAUUUCUAAAAUGUAAUGUGAUUCGGUAGACCCCCGAAGGCCACCUGAACUGCUGGGUUCCUGAAUAUCUUUUGGAAAUGUUACAUCUUCAGCUGUGCAACAUCAAUCAUGAAGGCAGAAAUCAGAAUAAAAAGUAAAUUAAGAAAAUCUAAAACAAAACAUCAAUAGAAAUUCAUACUCAACUGUUCAAUACUGAACUUGAUUUCUGUGAACUUGAGUCUGCUUGAUUUAUCUUUGAAGUUCUGCAACUGUCACUUGUACCGUCGUUCUGGCUUUCUUUUUUGGUGGGUAGUGAUUGAUCAUGAAAAAUGUCCCUCUCUUGGAGAUUAGGACCACAGCUCAUGAUAACACAUGAAAGCUCGUUCUCGCAGCCACUUGGUUUAAAGAUUUUUACUUUGAAGUGGGAGUCCCCACUGUAUGUAAAGACUAGGAAGUCAUUUUGUUUAAGUUCAUACGCACUGGCAAAGUUUGCCCACCCUGAUCCAAAAACUAACUUAUGCUGUUCCCUGGCAACCUGAACAAUAUAAAUUUUACCAUCUGGGACUUCUAGUUUGAGUUCAUCAGAUAUGUGACCUCUGAAAUUAGUUGCGAACUUUGGUGGUAUGGCCUGCAUGAAGAAAUAAAUCACAAAGGAUCUUUGACCAGAAAAUGACCACAUACGAGGCUAAGUGAUUGCUAGUCCAUCUUCAUGCCUAUAUAAUUCACUGCAAAGAAAACUAAGAGCACACAUGCUUCUGUAAUAUAAAAAAGGGCAGCCCGGUGCAUGUAGCUCCCGCUUGCACACAUGCUUCUGUAAUAUCUAUUAUCAAAUUUUGGUUAUCUAGGUAAGUAUACUUUGUGGCUUCGUGCAAUUAAUUCUCAAAAGAAGUAUAUUUAGUGUAACCCAAAUGGUGCUCAAACUCCUAAAUUCGUCAUCAAGAUUAUCAAAUUACUAGCAGUGUUACUCAGUUUUUUGCAAAACUAUAGUUGUGAAAACUGCAGGAGGUAUAUUUGGUGCACAAGAAACACUGUAAUUGGCAAGGUCUUACCAUUUCAUUCUUGAAAUUACCCAGAGUCAUAAUUUUGAAGAAAGACCAGUCAUGAUCUUUCAUGUGCCAAUAAUGGUGACCAACACAUUCUGUGCAUACUACACACGGUUUCUUCAUCCUGUCAUCAUCUUGUCCAGGCCUGCCAUAUCAGUUGAGAUGAAAUUGUUAGAAUAUUGAAAUCAAAAUCCACACACACGGACAACCAUUUUGAGACAAACUUUGACCGUCGAUUGGACCUACAUAAUAUGAGUUAUAUGCCCACCAAAAAUAUUCCACUCCUUGCAAACAAGUUUCCAGUGGUAUAAUUUUUAUGGUAUACUCAUACAUUAUUCGUUUAACUGAUGGUCAAAGCAAAUAACAAAAUAUGCGCAGACCUUGCAAACCUGAACAUAGGGAGAUGACAUGACGAGUGAACAAAGUUAUACUUAUUGGUCCUAGGAACACAAAAUGCAACUAAAGUUAGUACGGACCUUUCUCUAUGUGAUUGCAAAGGACUUUUACUUACUUACGAAGCCUUUUAUCCCAAACAAGUUGGGGUAGGCUAGAUAUGAAACCCUUUCACGAGGACUUCCCAGGAGGUCACCCAUCCUAGUACUACUCUCGCCCAAAUGGGUUUCAUACCCAAAAGACUGGCUAGUUUUUACGUUGGCUCGCCAAGCCUAUCACAACCCUUAGAUAUGAAACCCUUUCACGAGGACUUCCUAGGAGGUCACCCAUCCUAGUACUAUUCUCGCUCAAAUGGGUUUCAUACCUAUGGGACUGGCUAGUUUUUACGUUGGCUCGCCAAGCCUAUCACAACCCUCCUCCUUUACCCGGGCUUGGGACCGGCUAUGCCUAGAAGACAUAGGCGGAGUUAUGUGAUUGCAAAGGACUAUCAUGACAAAUGUCCCUUUCCUCGGCAUUAGGACCACAGCUCGUCAUAACACAUGCCAACUCUUUCUCGCAACCAUUUGGUUUAAAGAUUUGAACUUUGAAAUGGGAGUCUCCACUGUAUAUAAAGACUAGGAAGUAACCCUGUUCAAGUUCGAAAGCACAAGCAAACUUCGUCCACCCUGAUUGAAGAACUAACUUCUCCUGUUCCCUGGCAACCUGAACAUUAUAAAUUUUACCAUUUGGGACUUCUAGUUUGACUUCAUCAGAUAUGUCACCUCUGAAAUUAGUGGCGAACUCUUCUGGUAUGGCCUGUAUGAAGAAAAAAAAUGAUAAAGGAUCAUCGACCAGCCAAUCACCACAGACAAGGUUAAGGGAUUGCUAGUCCAUCUCCAUUCCUAUAUAAUUCACUAUAAGGAAAAGUAGGAACAAACAUGCUUCUCUAAUAUUUAUUAUCAUUUUGGUUAUCUGGGUACUUCAUGCAAUUUAAUUCUCCAAUAAAGUAUGUUUGUUGUAACCAAAAUUGGUUCUCAAACUCCUAAUUUCAUCGUCAUGAUUAUCAAAUUACUAGCAGUACUUCUCAUUUUUUGGCAAAACAGCAGUUUUCAAAACUUCCCAAGAUAUAUUUGGUGCACAAGAAAUAGUGUAAUUGGCAAUGCCUUACCAUUUCAUCCUUGAAAUUACUGAGAAUCAUAACCUUGAAGAAAGACCAGGUAUGAUCCUCCAUGUGCCAAUAGUGGCGGGCAACACAUUCUAUGCAUAUUGUGCAUGCUCUGUUCCUGCGAUCAUUUGGUCCGGUCCUGCUAUAAACAGUUGAGAUGAAACUGUUAAAAUAUUGAAAUCAAAAUCCACACGCACACAUAUUUUGUGACUAACUUUGAUGAUCGAUUUGACCUACAAAAUGUGAGUUAUAUGCCGCCAAAAGUGUACCACUGGAUUUGCAUUCGAGAUAAGUUUUCAAUGGUAUAAUUUUUAUGGUAUAUAACUCAUACAUUACUGGUCUAGUUGUUGGUCAAAGUAAAUAUCAAAAUAUGUGCAGACCUUGCAAAUCCGAACAGAGGGAGAUGACAAGACGAGUGGACAAAGUUAUGUCUAUUAGUCCUAGGAACACAUAAUGUAGCUAACAUUAGGACUAACCUUUCUCUAGGUGAUUGCAUAGGGUUAUCAUGACAGCCACUCUUUUGUUGGGCACAAGUAGUGAAAUUCUUCAUGACACAAGACAACAACUUAUCACAGCCACUUAUAUCGAAGAUUCGAACUUUGAAAUGGCAAUUCCCACUAUACCCAAAUAACACUAUGUCACCCUGUUCAAGAUCAUAUGCACUGGCAAAUCUAUCCCAUCCAGAUCGAAGGACUAGCUCGUGACGUUCCUCGGCAACCUGAAUACCAAAUUUUUGGCCAUCUGGCAAUUCUAGCUCUAUUUUUUCAGAUAUUUGCUGUCUGAUAUUGUUUGCAAAUCCUUUUGGAAUGGUCUGCACAAAUAGUCAAUUGAGACCACUUUUAAAUUAGUAUUAUCCUGACAGUCCCUCUAAAGGCAAGCAAGAGCAUUGUACAAAAUGAGUUUGUCACAUGAGAUCAAAACUAGUGUCUCCAAUACAGAACAUAGCUUGUGAAAUGUUCCUUUUUUUUAUCAGCAACUAGCCAACCACCAAGUUUAUCUUCAUGCAUAUUCAGCUAUCCUAACUCCUAAGUGAGGGAGCAUCCACAUAGUGGUAGGCGUAGAUUUCACCAAAAGAUUUUAGUUCAUGAGGUUUUAGGUUUGAAGUCGCAUUCUCCUUAUAAACAAUAGUACAUAUUUCCUCCUGUGCAAUCUCCUUUUUUUUCAUUUUCUUCUAUAUAUAGAAAAAAUAGAUUAGUGCUGCUAACUUCACUAGAAAAUCAAGACGAUACAUGUUUUUCUUGUGAAGGUAGAAUUUUGGUUAUUUCUAUAUGCUUAAUGCGAUAUUUUUCAGAAAUAAUUUCAAGGCUCCGAACUUCAGCAUGAAAUUUACAAAAUUGCUAGCUCAGUUUGUCAGUAUCCCCCAAAAUAACAAUCUGAAAACUAAACAAGAUAUAUCUUAAUGCACAAGAACAGAGUAAAUUGACAAUGCCUUACCAGUCCAUUUUUUGAAUCACUGACACCCACCAUAACCAUGAAGAAACGCAUUUUAUCCAUUCGGUGCCAAUAAUGAAAUGCAGCACAAUCCUUGCAUAUUGUGCGACAUUUGCUUCUCAUGUUACCCCACCUACCAUGUUAGUUGGGAUGAAAUUGUUAUAGACAAUUUAUAUCAGACAUUCACACAUAAGUGUUGUGCACACCCACAUGCUGCUCAAAGGUAAACACACCAAGUACAUGAUAAAUAACAUAAUUUGAUUACGAUGGUAGGCAGGCAAGUAUACGACACAUAAUACUAAGAAAAAAACAAAUGUUUCUACUUUAUAAUGUCAUAGGUAAGAAUAUCGAAUAUCGAUUGAGUCCACAUGAUUUUAUUUGUUAGGACAGAAAAGGUGACUAGAGGUAGCACUGCAGCAUAGUUGCCAACCUUUCAGUUUUUGUAGACGACUGCGUAUCAUUACCGCGCAACAUGUUCAUUUCAUGGACACAAGGAGUGUUCAUUGCAACACAGGAUAACUCUUUCUCGCAGCCAGUUUGAUUGAAUAUUCGAACUUCAAAGCAGGAGCUUCCACUGAAUUCAAACAAUAAGGUGUCACCCUGUUCGAGUUCAUAUGUGCUCACAAAUGCCGCCCAUCCAGAUUGAAGGACUAGGCCAUUCUGUUCCUUAGAAACCUGAACGCUAUGUUUUUCACCAUUAGGUACUUCUAGCAUGACUUGGUCAGAUAUCUGGCCUCUGAUAUUAUUUGCUAGCUUUCUUGGCACAUCCUGCAAGAAUAAGCAAGUGGGACAUUUCUUAACUUAAACAGAAGGUUCAUGUUAUGGCAAUCAAGAUUCAAGAGUGCAUUACAAACGCCUGUUUGUUUGAACACAACCAACAACUAUUUUAUUUGCAGAAACAGGGUACAUACACACUGGAUCAAUUGAAAUGUAGUCAUGUCGGCGCCAAGCAAAGAAUAGUUGAGUGUGACCAUAGAAAAGUUAGAUGGAUGACAUGUAAAACUAUAUUUUUUAACUAAUGUAUGCUAGUAUGGAGUAUGGACUAUGGAGUAUAUUUUAGAGUGAGGAAAUUCCGCACUGCUGUUUUUUAUCUAAGUGGGGAAAAAGAUCAGCAACAACAACAAUGGCCCUAACUUUAGUUCAUUGUCAUGCCUAAAAUGACAUUUCAUAACCAGAUUAGUGCCCUCCGUUCACAAAUAUACAUUUGAUUUAUAAAAAAGUUGAAACAUCUUAUUAUUUAUGAACGGAGGGAGUAUAUCAAAGAACAAACACAUUUUUGAAACUCACAACUUCAAGAUUAAGACUAUAAAAUUGCAGGCUAAACAUGUCCGUUCUCCUAGAAAAUGCGAGCCUAAACAUUAUAACAAGAAACCCUAAACCCUAAACCCUAAAUGUUGCACAUGAAUAGUAAAUGACAAAAUCUUACCACGAAAUCACCGGUCACAAUCUUGACGAAACUCUUUUUCCACUCACCGACGCGGUGCCAAUUGUGGUACACGAUGCACUCGCUGCAUCUUGUGAAAGAUGUCUUCAUUCUACCACACCUACCUUGUUAAUUGAGAUCCAAGUUGUUAGAAAUUGGCAAAUAUAUCACGUACGAGCCCAACAGAACUCAACGCACAAGCGGGUAAAAACAAGCACAAUAUCCAUGUUAAACCAAAAGGAAAAAGAUCCAAAUGUGAACCCUACACUCAAAAUAAAUAAGUACAAUGAAGUCAAGCGAGCCCAAGCAACUGCUGUCAACCAAAACAAGUAGUCCCUCCUAUCCAUAUUACUUGAUACAUCCUUUUGAGUGACAACUGAUAUGAAUCUAGAUACAUCCAUUUGAGUGACAAGUAAUAUGGAUCUAAACGUUUGAGCGGCAAAUAAUAUGGAUCGGAGGGAGUACUAUACCAUUGCGGCCUCAGCCACAUUUCAUAUGAACUUGUGUCACCACGUUUAAGAUCUGUAAGCAUUUCUUUGUUUUUUGGUUUUGAACUUGUAAUGCUAAAAACUUCACCAAAAAAGAGUAUCAUUCUCCAUAAGAAAGCUGUGCACUUGGACAUGGGUGCAUGCAUGUGGCUGAGUCGAGAUUACCUGUUGCAAGAAGCUUUCUAAGCCGUAUGAUGCAGAAGGCCCCGGAGCGGUGGCGGUGACUCUCUCACGAGAUGGACGGAGAGCAGCAACAGAGGCAGGAGUAUAUAUAGGAGUAGUUGGCAAGAGAGAAAAGAGAAAAAGUUAACUGUGCAAGGUAAUGAAAAUGCUGCUCAAUGGAUGGAUGGCAGGCGCACAUUGGUAACCUGCGAGUCUCCCACCAACUUUACAUGCACCCCCAUUGGAUCAAUUUGUUUCUUGGAACUCAAACACUCAUUUACUCUCCUUUUUGUGGUCAAACACUCAUUUACUUCAUUUACUAGUAUCUUCAUUUACCAUGAAUUGUAAAAUCUUAUGUAAAAUUCAAAUUUGAUUAACAAUUAAAUAAAAAAUCAUAUAUUUUAAGUUUAAUUUCAGAUUAUAUUUUUUUUGUUGUAUAAAUUAUACUUUAAAUAUAAGAUGUUCUAUUAAUAAUUUUGUGAAACAAAUGUAUAUAGACACAUUUUAGUGUGUUUGUUCACUCAUUUCACUCCAUAUGCAGUUCAUAUUAAAAUAUGCAAAACAUUUUAUAUUAAUGAAAGAAGUAUAUUUUACCUUUGAAAUACAUUAUAUUUUAGAUGCAUGAGCGUCACUAUUGCAGUGAAAUAAAUAGUCUAUCGAUGAACAUAUCGACAACUUGAAGAAAUUCAACUAGCAGUAAGGGUAACUCCAACACCCGACCCCAUAUUUUCUUCGUCUCAGUCCGUUUGGGCUGAAACGGUCAAAUGCGACGCCCAAUGCGCGACCCCAUUCUUAAAUUGUGUCCAGCCUGACCCACUUUUGGCGUGAAUUUGCCUCGGAUUUACGUCCAGACAGACAGUGAAUGGACACGCACGCGUCCUUUCCUUGUCCUCCCUCGGGCCCGCGUAUUGGCCGUCCAACCACUUCUCACCAGCCACAUUUAUGCAGCACGCGCGGACAGGCCCGCCUGUCAGCACCAAGCCGCCCCCUAAGUGUCCUUUUUAAAUGUCAAAGUUGUGGACCGACCAUUCCAUAUCCUCUUCACUGCCGCUUCGCCGCCCUUCCACACCAUUCAUGCCCCCUCAAAAGCCGACAAGCCCUAGAGCACGUCUCUGGCCGCUACCCCCACAAUGGGGAUGUCGAAGUGGAUCCUCGGCAAGACGGCUAAGCACCACCACGAAGCGGGGCCGUCCUCUGGUUCACGGAAGCCGAGGAAAGCCACUGGCUUCUCCAUCUCUCCGGUCACUGCCCUGCCGUGUUGAAAUAUAUUGUCCGCCUUCCUCCAUCAGAUCGAUCUUUUAGCCGUGCCCCGGGAAGAGGGGAUUAAUCGCUCCGGAGGCGGCGCGCUGCGGAAGUGAUGGAGAAAACCUAUGAUUGACGUCGUGAGACUAACCGUUCUAAUACCAUGUAAAUCCCGAUUAUCCUCAAUUCCGGUGAAGAAAUCAUCAGAAAUUGGUGCAAACGGCCAAUCAUCGUGUUGGUACAAGCUACACGCACUAGAUCGGCACCGGCCUUCAACCAAGGCGCAUCAUCCCUGGUGGUUCAUCGACGCCGACUGUGCGAAAUCAACCACACACGGCGGCCUGCACACUCGACACCCGACACGCAUGGGGGCGCUACAAGAUUCGUCUCAGCUUAGCGUAUGCAUAUGCGGCUACGAAGCACCGGGUCGUCCACCAGGGAAGUCUGGAAUCCCAGGAGGGCGAUUUUCCAAGCCAGACGUGGACAUCGGCGAGACACCACCGGCUGCACCGAGCAUUACACCUGCACCAGCCGCAUGAAUCGAUCACGGGAGGGCGAACCGGUACGAGCUAUCGAGCGUCCGAGUCUUCCCAGAGUCGAUCCCGUGAUCUUCGUCGAGCAGGUCAGAUUCGCGUGGCUUCUUCGCAGCUCAACGUCGUACGGGCGGCGCGUGCACGAUCCAGAGCAGGCGCACGGCGACCCCAUGCGCUGGAGCAGCCAGCUUCAACCACGCGGCGCCGCGACUCCAUCCAGCCCAGGCACAAGUCGACUUCGACCAGGCUCAUCCACGCCACAUGCAUGGACGUGGUUUCAGCGAUGGGGGCUUCGGCCAGAUGUGGUCUCUGACUCGCUGCAGCUCCAACCGGCCUCCUGCUCACGGACACCGCCCGCGCGCUAGGCGCACACGCUACGAACACCUGAGCUGACCCAGCAGAGGUCCAUCGCAGAGAAACUUCGAGCACGCGACAGCAUCAGACUGCAUCACGGGCGGGCACUACACCAGCAUCGGCCACGGGUGUACCGAGCACGACUACAUCAUCACGAUCUGCACCAGAUUAUUCUUCAUCAAGCCGAAUCACUGCACCGAAUUGUAUGACUACGCCAGGCUACGGGUACGACACGGCAUGGACAUCUAGCGUUUUUUGACAGAUUUUUAUAUAAGACGCAACCUCGACGACGGCAACUACUGCGUCACAAUCGACGACAUCGACCGUGUCAUCCAUGCCGGCGCGACUGCAUUGACAAGACGCCACUAGUGACGAUCCCUACACAUCCACACGGUUCUGGCAAAAUCAAUGUGUGCUCGACGUGUUUCCUCCGGUCCUGGCAAAACCUAUGGACUCAUCGCUAACGGCAUCCUCUGACAUCCGCAAGGUGCAUCGUCCACGACUGCCGCUCCGUCAUCUACAACGUAGUGCAUUUUUUUGCGCCUCCGACUUUGUGCGGUUUCAUCAUCCACGACUACAUCAUCAACCACGACUUCCUCAACUACGGCUACAUCGUCAUCGACAUAUGUGGCUACGUCUACAACUACUCAUCGACAACAACUAUAGUCAACAUCGUCCGCCUUGUCACUUGCGUCCACGACACUCCCGCUGUGGCUGCGGGGGGGAAUAGAGGAGAAGACUAGGAAGGCACCAGAAGGGGACGCAGUCACCGCCCUAGGUGCCGACCCAUCAGCCAUCACAGACGUAGUUGAUGAUGGUGCAGCAGAGAAGACGACAGAAGCGCAAGACUUCAAAUUCAGUCGCAAUCGUCUGCUUCACUCCCGCUAUGACUAAGGGGGAGUGUUAGAAGUAUAAUUAUGUUUAAGUUAGAGGUUAGGAGUUGGAGAUAGGAUUGGUUUAAAUCAUGUACAUCUUGCCCUCUACUCCAAGUCUCUUCCGCAUAUUGUACUCUAUAGAUACCCCUACGUAGGUCAGAUCAAAACAACACAGAAAUAUUAGUCAUCCUAUAUUUUCUACACGCCACACGCCAGGUCGUAUGUCAAGGUCGAUACCUGUAGGGGUACUGGGAGACGGCCACCCCGCUUCCUUGGUCGGAUGCGCACCUGCCCAAUGGAUCAGGUGUCUGUGCCAGCCGCCCAGCAAGCGGCCGCGCCCGCCUCAUGGAUAUCAACUACCGGUGACGUCAGAUCCCGGUGCAUCUCCUCGAUGACCCAAGGUGCGACGUGGACUCGCCCCUUUGGGAUACAUGAUUUUGGGAUGAGCACGGCAUGUUGCGGCAGACCUAUUUUGCCAGCCAUGCUCAAAGCCCUCCACCGGCGCACGCACCCCGUGAGCGUCCUCCCAGCCCUCCCCGUGUGUACGGGCGUGCCAGGCCGCGCGCAUACGCCCUCGCCUCCCCCGCCACACCACAUCAACCGAUGACGGCCGAAGAGGAGGAGCUGGUGAGGAAGGUGCUUGAGGACUCCGGGAGGGAGUAUGAGCAGAGCUAGCGAGAGCAGUGAGACGACCUUGAGGUGCAGAUGGCACUGUCGGCCGCGGGUGAUGUCGCUAUCCCGGAGCUUGAGGGGAUGGAGGAACCGGACGACGCAAAGCCGCGAUGGAAUCCGGCGGCGGUGGGCCAGCACUGGUCGUGGACUUCGACCGUGCCGUGUACGCCGGAGAUGGUGUCAGCGCCGGUCGUGUGGGUUGGGACCGAUACAUGGUCACCGUCCCGCGUGCCGCCACUGUCCCAGCAGUGCAACCACCGCAGGCGCCACCAUCUCACCUGUGGUAGCCACCUCCCUUCAUCAAUGUUGGAAGGCAAUGCAACUCUCGAUAUUGAUCGGGUGCACAACGCACGUAUAUAUGUAUAGUCUAGCAAAUAACCUCAUCUAUAUAAGGAAACUAGUGGCGGGGCCGGUAGGAGAUUAUCCUAACCAUAUGCAUGUGUAAGGGCCUACGUAAUAUGUUCAACACCCCCCUCGUAGUCGACAGGUCACUUGUGACACAUAGACUGGACCGUAACUCCUCAAAUGUAGGCGUCGGUAACCCCUUGGUCAUGACAUCAGCAAACUGCUGAGCGGUGGGGACAUGAAGAACACAGAUGCAUCCAGGAGCCACCUGCUCACGCACGAAGUGGAUGUCGAGCUCAAUGUGCUUCGUGCGACUAUGAUGAACGGGGUUGGCGGAGAGGUAGACAGCAGAGACGUUGUCGCAGUAGACAAUGGUGGCCUUGGACACGUCAAGGAGCAACUCCUGGAGUAGCUGGCGAAGCCACGAGCACUCGGCAACGGCAUUGCCCACAACGCGAUACUCAGCCUCGGCACUGGAGCGGGAUACCGUGGGUUGUCGUUUAGACGACCACCAUAUAAGCGAAGGUUCGAGGUAGACGCAGUAGUCAAAAGUGGAGCGCCGUGUGUCGGGGCAGCCAUCCCAAUCAGUGCCACUGUAGGUAACAAGGUUAGUCGAGGACGAGGCCAUCAACGUAAGACCAAGAGCCAUAGUGUCACGGAUGUACUGAAGAAUCCACUUCACUAGGUUCCAGUGAGCAUCACGAGGAGCAUGCAUAUGAAGGCACACCUGCUGAACGGCAUACUGCAAGUCGGGCCGAGUGAGCAUUAAGUAUCGGAGGGCGCCGAUGAUGGAGCGGUAGAAGGCGGCAUCCGGCGCCGGCGAGCCAUCAAGUGCAGAAACCUUGGCCUUCGUGUCGAUAUGCAUGGGGACAGGCUUGCAGUUAACCAUGCCUGCUCGCUCAAGCAGCUCCUACGCAUAAUAUUGCUAAUGAAGAAAGAACCCAUCGGCACGCUGCACCACCUAUCCCGAGGAAGUAGUGCAACGAACCAAGAUCCUUAAUGGCGAACUCGAUGCUGAGGCGCGCGGUGAGCUGGCGAAGAAGCUCAGUCGAGGAGGCCGUCGGGAUUAUGUCGUCGACGUAGAGGAGCAGGUACGCAGUCGCAUGGCCCUGGUGAUACACAAACAACGAGGCGUCGGAGCGAGUAGCUCAAAACCCAAGUUGUUGUAGGAAGGCGGUAAUGCGCUGGUACCAUGCUCGCGGUGCCUGCUUCAACCCAUACAAGUAGCGGGAGAGCAAACACACAUGAUUCGAAUGAGCAGCAUCGACGAAUCCAGUAGGGUGCUGAUAGUAAACCUGCUUGGCAAGGUGACCAUGCAGAAAGGCAUUAGAAACGUCGAUCUGAUGUACCGACCACGCGCGAGACAUGGCUAGCUGGAGGACAGCAUGAAUCGUGCCCGGUUUCAUAACCAGAGUGAAGGUGUCGGUGAAGUCAACUCCAGCACGCUGACGAAAGCCACGCACCACCUAACGAGCCUUAUAUCGAUCAAGGGACCCGUCGGGACGAGCCUUAUGGCGAAAGACCCACUUGCCACUGAUGACAUUGGCAUGAGGUGGCCGAGGAACAAGCUGCCAAGUGCGGUUACGCAGGACCGCAUCGAACUCUUCCUGUGUCAUAGCUAGCCAGCGAGGAUCACGGAGAGCGUCUUGAGAUGACGAUGGAAGAGGAGACGACUUAGAGGUCGAGGCGGUGAGAAGGUACUCGUCCGCGGAGUAGCGCGUGCUGGGGUAAUGGAUGCCUGCCCGGGCAUGUGUAAGCAUGCGUGGCGGUGCGGCCAGUGGAUCAACUAAGGGCAAGGUCAAAGAAGAGCCCGUCGGGAUCUCGGCUAGGGAAAUCAAGGAGCCAGGAUCAGUUGCAGGCGCCGCGCUAACUGAUGGGGCUACAGACUCGAUGGGUGAAGAGGGCGCCGAGGGCACUGUGGCCACGGAGCCAGCCAUCGGGGAGGGUGCCAGUGAUAGGCUGACUGGGACAACCGAAGAGCCUGGCGUGGUAGCCGCGGGAGUCGAGCCCGGCGCGGGGGACCCCAAGGAGACCGCGGGAUGGGGCGACGAAGGAUCCCUUGAAGGAGCCCGACCUGUGGUGAAGGCGGGUGUCUCGAAGUCAGGAGGCGGCCCAAGCACCGUGCAGGAGCACCCACCAUGAGGAUCAGGUGGAGGGGCUCUAGAGGCCGGGGUCGAUGGCGGCGAGGCGGCAGCUGUAGGUUCCUAGUGAAAUGGAAAAAUCCUCCCAUCAAAGUACAUGUGUCGUGAGGUGAACACGCAGUGGGAAACUAGAUCGUAACAUCGGUAGCCUUUGGUGUUUGGUGGGUAUCCGAGAAAGAUGCAUGCCAGGGAGCGAGGAGCGAGUUUGUGAGGAGUGGUGGAGGCAAUGCUAGGAUAGCAGAGACACCCAAAAACACGAAGAUUGUCAUAAGAAGGAGGGGCACCAAAAAGAAGAUAGUGUGGCGCAAAGUUCCCACGAGCACGACAUGGGCGAAUAUUAAGGAGAGAGGCGGUGGCUACGACGUCCGACCAAAAGUGGGGUGGGACAUUAGCGUGGAAGAGGAGGGUGCGAACGCAGUCGUUAAGAGUGCGAGGAACCCGUUCGGCGCGACCAUUUUGUUGGGAGGUGUAUGGCAAGUAAGACAAACAAUCGUGCCAUGUGUGGCAAGAAGGGUGCGAACACCAAUGUUAUCGAACUCCUUCCUAUUGCCGGUUUGAAACACAUGAAUGAGACACCCAAACUGCGUAGUGACAUAGGAGUAAAAUGUGGUAAGAACGAAUGUCGGUGGGAAACGACACCUAUGGGAUCACAAGAAUCCUUACUACGGUUGUCGGGGCGCAGGGCUGUGAGAAGAGUAGGAUUAGCAAAUCAGCACAAGGAUCGUUUACCCAGGUUCGGGUCGCGAGGAUGCGUAAAACCCUAGUCCUGCUUUGGUGGAUGUAUUGAGUGUUCUUGAGCUCUUGAACUAGCUACCGUGGCUGCGUGGUUCCAAAGAGCCGAAUCCCUCUCCAGUACGCCAUGGGCCUCCUUUUAUAGUCGAAAGGGGCUGCCACAGUGGCACACAGGAGGUGGAAAGGCCUAUAGUGCUUUGAGCUUAUCGCUCGUAUUACAGGACAAGACGCAUUUAAUGCGUAGCUUAGGUGUCCCCUUGAUUUAUUGGGGACGGGAGCGAGGCCCGUCCCAUCCGUCGCCACUCUUCCUCGCUUUGACACGCGCCCUGGCCAGCGAUGCAUGCGGUGCCAUGUAGGCAGGCAAGUAGCUGAGGUGGCGCGAUGGUGGAGCCUUCACGAAGAUCUGCAUGCCGCCACGCAGGCGUGUGCUUAGUUGGCCUGGAAGCUGCAUGUUGCCACGUAGGUGCCUGCCCAGCUGGUUGGGCUGGCAGCUGCAUGCGAACGGCAGUGGAGACUUGGUCGGUGCGGGCCUAGCUGUGGUCCCGCUGACGCCCUUGGCAAGGGUCUUGCCGGGUGGCCCGGCAAGGGUCUUGCCGUGGCGCGCUGUCGUCCCUGGCAAGGAUCUUGCCAGGGGUCUUGCGGGUUCCCUCGGCAAGGAUCUUGUUGAGGGUCAUUGCCUUCCAAUCCUCAUCCGAUCUUGAAUAUUCUUUGUCUUCACAAAGAUCUGCAUACCACCACGGAGGUGCCUCCAGAGCCCUGGCCCAACGUGGUUUAUGGUGUUGGAGACCGUGGGUUCGAGGGUGGCUCACUCCGCUGGUGUGGGCGAGCCACCCCGGCAAGGGUCUUGCCGGGGCUGCUGAGGCUGCCCCGGCAAGACCGGGAAACCUGCUUCGUCCAUCUGCUCUCUGUGGUCUCGGUCGUUGGCGUUGCUUUGACCAUCUUGUGGCUCCGACUCCUCCCUUUUGCCCUGCUAAGUGAGGCUUCGGCCUGUGGCUCUGAUUUCCUAUCUCCGCCCUACUAAGUGUGGCCGUGGGCGUGACUUUGACUGCCCGUGCACAAAUAAGGGGUACAAAAGAGCGCCCCUAUUUUAAUACACCGACAGGAGCCCCCGGGCCUGGUCCACACAUAAGCGCGACACGUUGUUGGGCCAGGCCCAGAACGGUGCGCGGGCAGGUGGGGAGGUUUUUACCGCGAUAUCUUUUCCGCCGCGCUUCCCCAUGACCUGUGUUGAAUGCGAGACGUGGGGGUCGCGCGCGCGGGUGAUCGAAGCACGCUUGCGUCAUCUUGUGGUGAACAGUAAAGAGGCGGCUUGCGUGUCCCUUCGAGACCGUGGGGCCACCGCUCAUUUACUGUCCUUACCUGGGAACCGUCGCUCCACGCGUCCCAUUACCCCGUCUCCCGUGCCACGUAUGCCGCAUGCAUGACGCAAAGCGAAUGACAAGCCUGCGGGAUACGGGAAGACGUGCAAAUGUGGGUCGAUUCCCACGCGCCUUUAAUUGGGCGGGGAGGGCGGUCGACGGCCUUGCCCGCUGUCACCUUUAAUGAGCCGGAUUGGCCACGAGGGGCGGCCGAGCCCCACCCCCAUCUCUUUAUAAGGAGGGGAGCGAGAGGAACGGCGCCUCCCAGUCCCUCAUCAUCCGCCUCUCCCCAUCGCUGCUCCUUCCUCUCUUCUAUCAUGGCGAGAGGGCGCGGUGAGGCUUCAUAGGUGGCAGCGAGGGUCUCUUCCCGACAAUGCGUCGCUCCUCCCCAAGAGCUCGUACCGGCGGAGCCAGCCGUUAGAGGGAGGGGAAGGGGGCGAGGUCGAGGCCGUCGCGGCGCUCGAGAAAGAGGAGGACGGGGCGGCAGAUCGGCCUCGCCUCCGCCAGUGGCCCCUCCCCCGGUGGAGGGCCGCGUCGAGGAUAACCCUUACGAGUUCUUCAUUAGGCUGCGCCAGCCGUCGCGCCGUCGUCUUCGCCUCCCGAUCCCAUUUGUGCGGGGAUGGAGCUGGACCCGCCGCAUGCGCUACGGCUGCAUAUGAGGGGUUGUGGGAACAGCGGCACAUGGGCCGGUGUCGAGUUCCCCGCCCCUCACGUCAUGUAUCUUCGCUGAGGGUGGAAGACUUUUGCCCGCAUCCACAGCCUGACGGAGGGGCUCACUCUCCAUUUCAAAUUAAUGGAGAGCGGCCUCCUCUCUGUCAAGGUCUUUGGGCACUUAGGGACUCGCGUAAGGUGCUGCGUGGAGAGCUCCUCUGACGAUGAAGAUUCCUCCUCGAGCGAGAGUGGCGAGGAGGACAGCGGCAACGGCGACGAGGGUAGCGGGCGGCAGGAUGACGGGUCCGACUAAGAGUCGGGCGCCACUCCGGGCGACACCGGCGACCCCAUCAUCCAUGUCACCGGCUCCUUGAACUUCUCGGGGUCGCCUCCUUGGGCGGCUGGCAUAGGGAGGCCGGAGAAGGUGAAGAAGGCGGGUGGCGGGCCGUCAAGUCGGAGUACGAUGACACCGACGCCUUCAUAGCGUAUUGACGGACCGCUGCCUCACCUUCCAGCUCUUCCUCCGGCGCCACCACUGCCAACCCUCCCCUAGGCGACCACCGACAUGUUCUCUUGGCGCCUUCUGCUGCUCGUACCUCGCCUAGGCGCUCCUUCUGCCCUUUUGCCUUCUUGUUUCAUUUCCUGAGGAGAGGGACAAGAAAGGGAUUACGGGCAUCUUAUCUUUUUUUUAAUUCGUAAGCCCACGGGCUUUAUUGAGAUCUAAAACCUGUAAUCUUCAUGUUCAUGUUUAUAUUCCGUAAAAGUGUACCUGUAUGGAACGUAUUAAUGGAAAAGGGGGCUUGCCGGGUCUUGUGUGUGCGUGUGGGCAAAGCCCAUACCAAGGAACAAAUCCUUGUUAUUUAUAAUAUAAACACCACUGCCCGACAGCAGGUCUUGCCGUUCCCCCACUCCGUUCGUCCAUACUCACGCCUUUGGCGGAGGCAGGGACGAGGUGGGGGUGGGCCCUACGCUUGCUUCCUUGCCGCCGCGGCUACAACCAUAUUCCUAACCAAGAAGCUCUUGGGUGAUAGGAACGAGGGGAGCACGACAGCUUUGGAACAAAACAAGGUUCCGUACGUCCCAAGUUUUAUACGGAAAUGCACGACAGGGAAUGGGAAAACUUAUCUGAAUCUGCAGCCCUCGGCAACCCUGACUUGCCGUGGGUGGGCCCUCGUGUCUUUAGCCUUCGGCAAGCUUGGCUAGCCGGGUCCGGAGCGCCGGCUUGUUCUCUUCCUUCCACUUGGCUUGGCGGAAACAUUUAUGUACCCUGCGCACCAAAGAGGAUAGAUAGGAAUAAAAUGACACAAGAUCGACCUCUAUGCUAGGGGUUAGUCGCCGCUAAGCACUACCAACCCUAACCGAGGGAGGGACUCAAUCUAGCAUGCAUGCUAUAACUUAGGGCGCCAGCGCUUCGUUUAUUUAUGCUCAGGGUCUGCGUCUGGCUUUGUACAAAGGGUUACAUGCCUUAUCAGCAAGGCUUGUACAAAAGGUGGCUUGCCGGGAGGCCCGACAGCCGUGCCUUAUGGUUAAAACUUGCGAAGAUGCUCGAUAUUUCAGGAAUUGCUCACUGGAAUGGCAUCUUCGGUCUCCAGGCGGACUGUGCCGGGCUUGGUGACUCAUGUUACCCGAUAAGGGCCUUCCCACUUUGGCGUCAACUUGUUGGAAUUCUUGGCCGACUGAAUAUGUCGAAGAACAAGGUCGCCUUCCUCAAAGCUCCAGGCAUGAACCUUGCGACUAUGGUAGCGGCGCAAGGCUUGCUGGUAGCGUGCUGCUCUCACAGCCGCCCGGAGAUGAUCUUCCUCAAGGAGCGUUGCGUCAUCUUGCCACAAUCGCUCUUGCUCAAGCUCAUCAUAAGCGAGCACUUGAGCUGACCCGUAUAUGAGUUCCGUGGGGAGAACUGCUUCUACCCCGUAGACCAGGGCAAAGGGUGUCUGGCCGGUGGCUCGAUUUGGUGUCGUUCUGAUCGACCAAAGAACCGCCGGCAACUCGUCAAUCCAGCGCCUUCCACUCUUGCGCAGCCUGUCAAAAGUCUUCGUUCUUAAGCCUCACAGAACUUCAGCAUUUGCUCUCUCUACUUAGCCUUUGCUCCGUGGGUGUGCCACGGAAGCAAAACAGACCUUGCUGCCGAGAUCCUCAAUGGACUGCAUGAAGGCGUGGCUUGUGAACUGUGUGCCAUUGUCGGUGAUGAUCAUGUUGGGUACACCAAAACGGCAAACUAGCCCCUUGAAGAACUUGAUGGCUGACUGCGUUGUCACCUUCCUCACUGCUUCCACCUCUGGCCACUUUGUGAACUUGUCGAUUGCAACGUACAAGUACUCAAAGCCCCCGAUGGCACAAGGGAAAGGGCCCAAUAUGUCGAGCCCCUAGACCGAGAAGGGCCAGGAGAGAGGGAUGGUUUGAAGGGCUUGAGCUGGUUGAUGAAGCUUCCUUGAAUGGAACUGGCACGCUUCACACUUGGUUACUAGUGCUGUCGCAUCCUGGAGGGCAGUGGGACAGAAGAAACCUUGCCGGAAAGCCGUGCCAGCAAGGGCCCUCGACCCUAUGUGGGAGCCACAUAUGCCUCCAUGUAUCUCUGCCAACAGCUCUAGUCCUUCCUCCCGGGAGAUGCACUUCAAUUUCACCCCAUUCGGUCUUUUUCUGUACAAGAUGUUAUCAACGAAUUGGUACAGAGUAGACCGGUGGGCUACUCUCUCUGCCUCUUCCUGCUCCUCAGGAAGCUCUCCUUUUUGGAGGAAUCGGACGGUGUGCUGCGCCCACGCCGGAGCCCAUGGCUCGAUGACAAGGACCGAAGGCAUCUCUUCCGCCACGGGAGCGGCCAUCUCUACGGCCAUGGCCUGAGGCCCUGCCGGAGUCGGUUGCCCCGCGGCAGGAUCGGCAUCGACGGCAACAUCUUUGCCGGCGGCUCCGGGGAGCUCGGUGGGGAAGUACUUGCCGGGGCCUAGCUUCCUCCGCUUGUUCUGCCUGGUUGAUGGUUCGACGGAUGGUUGAGUUAACCGAAGCACAAAAGUACCUGGUUCCACAGGUAGCUUGAGGGCAAUGCGCUUUGACAGGCAGUCGGCGAUGUCGUUUUCCGUCUGAGGGACAUGCUCUGCUCGUAUACCGUCAAAGCGCUCCUCUAGUUUCCUCACUUCAUCCACGUAAGCUUCCAUUAGUGGGCUUUGAUAAUCUUUGUUGAUCUGCCUGACGACGAGCUGCGAAUCACCCUGACGAUGAGCUUUUUGACUCCGAGGUCCGCCGCAAUCCUGAGACCGGCGAGCAGGCCCUCGUACUCGGCGGUGUUGUUAGUGGACAUCUCUCGGGGAAAGUGCAUUUGGAUGACAUACUUGAGGUGCUCUCCGGUGGGUGCGACAAGCAGCACACCAGCACCGGCGCCUUGCACCGAGAAAGCCCCAUCAGAGUACAUGAUCUAGUUGCGGCUCGUUUCCUUGCCGGGGAGAGUGGUCUCAUGUACCUCUUCAUCAGGCGUCGAGGUCCAUUAUGCAAGGAACUCCGCGAAGACUUUGCUCUGAAUCGUCCAGGUGCUUUCGAACUUUAAACCGAAACUUGACAGCUCCAGGGCCCAUUCCACGAUCCUCCCCGUUGCAUCUAGGUUAUGCAAUAUCCGUUGCAACGGGAGGCGGGUGACCACGGUGAUCUCGUGCGCUUGGAAGUAAUGACGCAGCUUCUUCGAGGCCAUAAGGAGGCCGAAGAGAAAUUUUUGCACACCUGAGUACCUCAACCUAGCCCCCUGCAAGAGGGAGCUGACGAAGUAAACUGGGUGAUGCACCAUUUUCUUCUUCCGCGCCACUUCACCUAGUCAUGCGGGCCCUGUCGCACUGGCGUCAGCCUCUGCCGGUGACUCGGUCUUGCAGGAACCGAGCCCUGCCAGAGAGGGUUUCGGCUCGUGAUCCGUUGACUCUACCGCUGCCGCUGCCUCUUCAUCGACCUCUCUCUGCGCCACCAGUGCGGCGCUAACCACCUGAUUCGCCGCCGCUAGGUACAGCAACAACCGUUCUUGUGGCUUGGGCGCAAACAGCACUGGAGUAGAGGAGAGGUACUUCUUCAAAUCCUGCAGCGCUGCCUCGGCCUCUGGGGUCCACUCCAUUGGGCCCGUCUUCUUCAAGAUCUUGAAAAAGGGAAGGGCACGCUCCGCGGACUUGGAGGUGAAUCUGCUCAUGGCGGCAAUGCAACCAGUGAGUCAAUGCACGUCUUUGAUCCGUUUAGGUGCCUCAAUCUGUUCGAUGGCCUUGAUCUUAUCUGGGUUUGCCUCAAUCCCGCGCUGCGACACAAAGAACCCGAGAAGCUUGCCGGACGGGACAUCGAAGACACACUUCUCAGGGUUCAAUUUGAGGUUGAUCUUGCGCAGGUUUGCAAAUGUUUCCUCCAGAUCUUGCACAAGUGUUGCUUUGUCCUUGGUUUUUACCACUAUGUCAUCCAUAUAAGCUUCCAUAUUUCUAUGUAGCUGGGGCUCAAAACCAAUUUGGACUGCUCUUGCAAAGGUCGAGCCAACACUCUUCAACCAAUACGUACCACAUGGGGUGAUGAACGUUGUCUUCUCCUCGUCUUCUUUUGUCAUGAAGAUCUGGUGGUACCCUGAGUAGGCGUCGAGGAAUGAUAACAGGUCACACCCGGCCGUGGAGUCAACAAUCUGGUCGAUGCGUGGUAACGGGAAGGGAUCCUUUGGACAAGCUUUAUUGAUGUCUGUGUAGUCAAUACACAGUCACCACUUCUCGUUUGCCUUGCGCACCACUACCGGGUUGGCCAACCACGUCGGAUGGAGCACCCCCCCCCCUUACCAAGCCUGCCGCCUCUAGUUUUCUGAUCUCCUCCGUGAUGAACUCCUGCCUCUCUAGAGCUUGCUUCCUGACCUUCUGCUUGACGGGCCGUGCGUGAGGACAGACAACAAGAUGGUGCUCAAUCACUUCCCUAGGAACGCCGGGGAUGUCGGAGGCUUGCCAUGCAAACACAUCGACAUUCGCCCACAGGAAAGUGACGAGCUCGCUUUCCUAUUUGCCAUCGAGGGUGGAACUUAUGGUAAAAGCUCCCCCCGUGCCAUCCUCCUUGACGGGCACCUUCUUGGUCUCUGGUGGUGCAGCUCUGGACUUCUUGCUCUUGCCGGUGGAGCUCUCUGGCACGUCCUCAAUGGGAGUGCAACACCCCGAAGAGGUGCGCUUGCCGGAGUGGGUGCGAGGGGUCUUGUCGGUCUUUUUCCCUCCCGGGACUCCGUCGGCAGGAGCGGGUGCCUUGGCGGCAGCCUCUGCAACUGCUUCCCGUAGAGUUGGUCGGCGCAAAUCAACGCAUCUUUCUUGUCGGAGGGGACGGUGAUGAUGUUCAUCGGCCCGGGCAUCUUCAGCAUGUUGUAGGCGUAAUGUGAAGUCGCCAUGAACUUGGCUAGUGCCGGGUGGCCGAGGAUCCCGUUGUUGGGCAAGGGGAUCUCGGCUACAUCAAAGACAAUCCUCUCUGUCUUGUAGUUCAGCUCGCCUCCAAACGUCACGGGCAGCGUGACCUUUCCCUUCGUCUGGCUCCUCCCCGGGUUGACCCCUUGGAACAUGCCCAUCUCCUCGAGGUCUCCAUCAGGGAUCUGCAGCCUCUUGAUCACAACAGGCGAGAUCAAGUUCAGACCGGCCCCGCCGUCAACUAGCAUCUUCGUCACCUUGAGGUUACGGAUUGUUGGUGAGACCAACAACGGCAAGCAUCCAACCGCAGUAGUGCGGUUAGGAUGGUCCUCGGUGUCGAAGAUGAUAGGCGUGCUGGACCACUCCAGCAGCUUCCGUGCGUCAAGCGACGGCUCCACCGCUGUGAUCUCACGCGCCCACUGCUUGAGCUGGCGGUGGGAUGUAUGCAGCGAGGCGCCACCAUCGACGCACAUGGCUUCUGUGGCUUUCUGGAACUCGUGGUCGCCGGACUCACCGUCCUCGUCGUGAUCAUCGUCUUCCUGCUUCUUGUCGCGGCCCCGGGCGGGCCUCUCCUGCUGAUUAUCUUUGUCGCGGUGGCCUCCUUGGCCGCCACGCUUCUUGCCGGAUCCCUCGGCACCCUCUUGGCCCUUCUCAUUGUCUCGCUACUCAUACUCAGCUUUCUGCUUCUCAGCGAGUAGCUCCACUUGCCGGCAGUUCUGGAGGUCAUGGCCCUUGGUGCAGUGGAUCUUGCAAUACUGCUUGUCGGAGCCCCCUGGCUUAUCGGCAGCCACCAAGGCCCGGCAAGCGACACACCUAGCAACCUCCUUGCUAGGGUCGCUCGCCUUGGGUUUCUUGGUGGCGCCGGUAUCGUCGGACCCCUCGACGGCAAGCACGGUCUUGCCCUUGCGCUUCCUGUUACGGCGCCGGCCCUUCUUCGCCGGGGUGGCGGUAUCAUCCGUGGAGUCGGUUUCCGCGCCGACGUCUUCGUCGGGGUACUUCCUUCCCUCUUCAGCGCGAGUGCACCGAUCGGCUAGAACAUAAAGCUCGACCACAUCCUUGACCUUGUUCAUCGCCAGCUCCUCACGCAUCUUGCGAUUGCGCACAUUCUGAUGGAAUGCGCUGAUCACGGCGGCAGGAUGAACAUCGGGAAUGUUGUACUGCACCCGGCUGAACCUUUGGAUGUACUUAUGCAAGUUUUCUCCUUCUUUCUAGGGGAUGAUGUGCAAGUCGCUCGCCUAGCCAUGAGCUUGGUGGCCCCCAGUAAAGGCACCAAAAAACUCAUGACACAGAUCCGCCCAAGAAGAAAUGGAGUCCACCGGCAAGUGCAUCAACCAUGACAUAACAUUAGGCUUGAGUGCCAGCGGGAAGUAAUUGGCAAGCACCUUAUCGUCGCGGGCCCCAGCAGCUUGCAUCACGAUGGUGUAGAUGCUGAGGAACUCCGACGGGUGAGUCUUGUCGUUGUACUUCUCGCCAACAUCGGGCUUGAACGUGCGGUGGGAGGUCCACUGGAACUGCCGCGGCUCACGGGUGAAGGCCGGGCAACCCACCUCGUAGGGUAGGCCACCGUAGCCUCCCGGUGUUGGGUGGUCCGUAGUGGGCCCUGCCCGCCUGUCCGACUGGUGGCGCGCGUCAUGCCGGCGCUCGAUGGUGGUUCGAGCGUCUUCAUGAGCUCGCUCUCGAAGAACUUGGCGUUGGUCGCGGUGGGUUUGCGGAUCGGACGACGCUAUGGAGAUAUCAUCACGAGCAUCGUCGCGACGGACCGACACCCGCGGUGGCCUGUAUGGAGGAGGGGAGUGCAUCGUGGCCACAUCACCUCCGACCCGACCUCUAUUGGCGUGCAGUGGCUCGUCGUAGCAACGGUCGACGGGUCCCACCGGCCGCAACUCAUCAUUGUUAGCGAUGCCGAUGAGGCUCCAGACGAUGGCCCUCCAUUCAUCAAGCUUCUCCGCAGCGGGAGGAAAGUCAAGGAGCAGUUGUGCACGUGCUAGGGCUUCUGUUGGCGUGGGCGGCGGCGAAAGCUGUGUGGACCGCGAUGCGCUUCGACUUCUAACCGCGUUAGAAGGAGCCCCAUCAUGGCCCCGCAGCCGUCUGCCACCUCUGCCAGCACCUCGGUGCGCAUGCUGGCCCUCCUCAUCAUGUGAAGGGCGCAUGGGACUCUUCCCAGGGCAGCGCCCAGGGUCACCAGCAGGGCGGCGUUGCUCAUCGCGCACGACCUGCGAAGAGCGCACCAUGGGCGCCGGUAUUGGUGUCUUGGAAGUCGCCGUGCCGCCGUCUGGCGGCACGACGACGCCCUUGGAGGGCCCCGUGCCGCCUGCGGGUGGCCCGACUCCGUCUCUGGAGCUUGCGACGCAUGGCUUGUCGCUUGGCGUAUGAACGACGCUUCUCACCAGGCCUGGACUGCCAGGGUGAUGUGGAUGUUCGCGGGCCGCUCCACGGGUUCUCUCCGCGACUGGCCCACUACUGGUCUGCACCGGUACUGGCAGUUCGGUCCCGGACGAACCGAUCGUCGUGGUCGUCUUCUUCUUAGGAUCCAUCGCGAUGAAGAACUGCUAGGCCAACUACUAGACCAGAUUCUCACAAUUGCGCCCCCUACCUGGCGUGCCAAAGAUGUCGGUGGGAAACGACACCUAUGGGAUCACAAGAAUCCCUACUACGGUUGCCGGGGCGUAGGGCUGUGAGAAGAGCAGGAUUAGCAAUCAGCACAAGGAUCAUUUACCCAGAUUCGGGCCGCGAGGAUGCGUAAAACCCUAGUCCUGCUUUGGUGGAUGUAUUGAGUGUUCUUGAGCUCUUGAACUAGCUAUCAUGGCUGUGUGGUUCCAAAGAGCCGAAUCCCUCUCCAGUACGCCAUGGGCCUCCUUUUAUAGUCGAAAGGGGCUGCCACAGUGGAACACAAGAGGUGGAAAGGCCUACAGUGCUAUGAGCUUAUCGCUCGUAUUACAGGACAAGACGCAUUUAAUGCGUAGCUUAGGUGUCCCCUUGCUUUAUUGGGGACGUGAGCGAGGCCCGUCCCGUCCGUCACCGCUCUUCCUCGCUUUGACACGCGCCAUGGCCAGCGAUGCAUGCGGCGCCAUGUAGGCAGGCAAGCAGCUGAGGUGGCACGGUGGUGGAGCCUUCACGAAGAUUUGCAUGCCGGCACGCAGGCGUGUGCUGAGUUGGCCUGGAAGCUGCAUGUUGCCACGCAGGUGCCUGCCCAGCUGGUUGGGCUGGUAACUGCAUGCGAACGGCGGUGGAGACUUGGUUGGUGCGGGCCUGGCUGUGGUCCCGCUGACGCCCUUGGCAAGGGUCUUGUUGGGUGACCUGGCAAGGGUCGUGCCGUGGUGCGCUGUCGUCCCCGGCAAGGAUCUUGCCGGGGGUCUUGCGGGUUCCCUCGGCAAGGAUCUUGUCGAGGGUCGUUGCCUUCCAAUCCUCAUCCGAUCUUGAAUAUUCUUUGUCUUCACAAAGAUCUGCAUGCUACCACGGAGGUGCCUCCCGAGCCCUGGCCCAACGUGGUUGAUGGUGUUGGAGACCGUGGGUUCGAGGGUGGCUCAAUCCGCUGGUGUGGGCGAGCCGCCCCGGCAAGGGUCUUGCCGGGGUAACCUGCUUCAUCCAUCUGCUCUCUAUGGUCUCGGUCUUUGGUGUUGCUUUGAUCAUCUUGCGGCUUUGACUCCUCCCUUUUGCCCUGCUAAGUGAGGCUUCGGCAUGUGGCUCUGAUUUCCUGUCUCCGCCCUACUAAGUGUGGUCGUGGGCGCAGCUCUGACUGCCCGUGCACAAAUAAGGGGUAGAAAAGAGCGCCCCUAUUUUAGUACACCGGCAAUGAAGAGCGCAUCGUAUUUUCUCCACAACAGGAAGGUCCACACAUAAUGCGAAAAAUCAUCUAGAAUAACAAGAUAAUAGAGAUAGCCCGUAUUACUAGCAACUGGAGAUGUCCAUACAUCACUAGGAAUCAACUCAAAUGGAUACGACGCCACUGAUGAGGACGUGCUAAAGGGAAGGCGAACAUGCUUGCCGAGAUGACAGACAUGACAAGUAUGAUAAUCGAUUUUAUUACACGUGGACGAAAAACUCCUAAGAAUAUGACGAAGGGUGGGCAGGGUUCGGAUGACCCAAGCGAGCAUGCCAAAGGUCCACGGUGACGGAGAGGGCGACUGGAGUAGUGGCGGAGGAGUGGAUCGGGUAGAGCUUGUCCGGGCUAUCACAUUGGUGGAGCACAAUCCGGGUAUGGGCGUACUUGACAAAAAAACAAUAUUGUCAAAUUCAAUGGCGACAGUAUUUUCACAUGUAAAAGAACGAACAGAGACAAGAUUUUUGAUUAAGUAAGGUGAAACAAGUACGUUAGAUAAGGGUAAAGGCGUGGAUGACGACGGAAAAGAGGCAUGGCCUACAUGAGUAAUGGGAAGGGAAGAACCGUCCCCGACAGUUAUACGAGUGGACGUAUUAACGGGAUAUGAAGAGGUGAGAUUACCGGGGUGGGGAGUCAUGUGGGCAGUAGCCCCGAUGUCCAUAUACCAGUCUCCUCCCCCGAUGUAGUUGUUGGGUGUCGAAGCGAAGUGGAGCGCUGCAAGGAGGGUCGGGUCCCAUGGAGCCGGCAGAAGGGCGAGCGCUGCAGCCAGGUAUGAGGGCUCCGCAGCCGGGUAGGAGGGCGCUACAUCGGGAUACCCCCCUAGCUGAUGAAGGCGGGGGCAGCAACAUAGGGUAACCGCCGGGCUGUUGGCCCUGGAUCCGUGCGGCGAGGAGGGCCUAAUGGGCACCCGAGUGAGCGCCAAGAAUGUCGGUGGGUACCGGGGUGCGUGGGAUGGACAUAGUGUACACAUGGACGACACCUGUCCGUGGGUUCGGCGCGGCGGCCCAAGGGGCGGUGGAAGCGGCUGGCAUGGCACCCCCCGACGUCAUUCUACUGUUGCUGCUUCCGUCCGCAAUGGCCACCGCGGUGGCGGUCAUUGCCGGCCGGUGGCGGUUGGUGUUGGUGAGGAAGGGCCGCGGCCGACGGUUGGUGUUGGUGAGGAAGGGUCGCGGCCUACGGCUGCUGUAGCGACGGAAAGUAGGAGGCAGACAACAUGGGAAACCGUGGUGGGGCGGGUGGGGCAGCGCCAUGAGAAGUCCUCGCUGCGAGCGCGGUAUGGGUAGCCCAAGACUUGACCAUCUUCAUCCUCCUCUUCUCUAGGCGAAGGUAGGCCACAACCCUAGGUAUGGUCGGGUUGGGGAGGAAGGUGAGAUUGGAGGUCGUGUUUCUGAACUCCUCACUCAGGCCGGUGGUGAGAGUGCUAAGGAGAAGCUCAUCGGAGACCUUGUCCCCAGGAUCACGAAGCUCAUUGACAAGUUUCUUAAGGCGCAUACAGUAGUCGUGGAUGGACGAGUCAUGUUGAUGGCAGCCAAAGAACUCCUGCUGAAGGAAUACGCGGUGCUGGAGGGCAUUGUCGAUGAAGGAGCCCAUUAAGCUUUGCCCACACAGCGUGCGCGUCAUCCUUGUCGCACACAAUAGUGUUGAAGAGGUCCUUCGAGAUGGUUUGAUAAAGCUAGUGGGUGAUGGUAGCGUCAAUGGUCAUCCAAUCAUCAUCACCGAGCAUGUGGGUGGUGCCAACGGAACCGUCAACAUGAUCUUGAAGAUGGUACUCACGGAACACUAGGGGAAAGUAAGUUUUCCAGGCGUAAUAGGUGGAGUUGGUGGAAUCAAGAACAGUGGGAACGCAACCGAAUAUGUCAAGAUCGCGGAUGAGUUAAACAAGAGGAGGAUCGGGACCGGCAAAGGGGUUCGAUCCGGCAGAGAUAGAGGAGUUGGUAGAUGCCAUCAGUUGGGGUGGGGGCGGUUGGCGCGGCGACAGAAGUUGCAGUAGCGCGAGGGCAGAGAGAUGGUGGCUUGCGCGAUCGGGUGGGGAGGGGCGAUCAAGGUGGGGAGGGGUGAUUGGGGUGGGGAUGGGAUGGGGUCAGGAGGAGGGAAGGAAGAGGAGACGGGGAGAGGUGCAAGCAACGGUGACAGGGGACGGCAGCAGCGGGAGGAGUGUGAUGGCGGCGGUAGCGGGGGGCGGCGGCAGCGGCGGCUGAGCGGAAGGUAGGAUUAGGAUUGGGAAGGGAAAACUGAUACCACGUUGGAAGGCAAUGCAACUCUCGAUAUUGAUCAGGUGCACAACACACGUAUAUAUGUACAAAUGUAGCCCACAACCUCAUCUAUACAAGGAAACUAGAGGUGCGGCCGGUAGGAGAUUAUCCUAACACAGGUAUAACAUGGUGCUAUACAAACGGUUUUUAACCCCUUUUUGGGACGGCAUUUUGAACUAUCGCCAAGUGAGUGUGCCCGAUGGGAGGGGUCCUUCCCACAUGACCCAAAAACCGUCGGGGAUAGGGAGCCAUGAUGCAUACAGUUGUCCCUAUAAAAUUGUUUCUGAUUCUCGAAUAUCCCAAACGCUUCAACCUUGCAACUCGUUUGUGCUCGCAUUGCCAUCGUGGUCGGUAUUUUGUGGUGCUACGUUUACAAUGCGCGACCCAUCACAAAUAGUUCAUAAUUAUAGAACGUGUAUGAUAAGCAGACAAUCACACGCAUUUACUUUUCCUCGACUGUAUGCGACUCGAUGUAAGAGCGCAUACAGUUAUCCCUAUAAAACUGCAUGCGAAGCUUGAAUAUAUCCCACACGAUUCAUCCGUCGUACCCGCGUCAGAUGAAGACCUAUCACACGCGUUCUUCUAUGACCCAAACGUUUGCGAUGCGAACAACAUCAUAAAAAAUCCAUAAUUUCCAAGUAUGUGUGAUAAGGUGACUUUCGCAAACAUUUAAUAAGAAGGAACUAUGUACAAUGAUGUUGUUAAUCGCACACGUUUUUUCUUAGCUGAUCGUGUGUGCAGUAGAGAUUGAUCGCACAUGUAGUGGAUCCGAGAAACGUGUCUGGUCUCCACGUUUAUCACACACAUUUUGCUUUCGCAAACCGUGUGCAGUGCAAUCCCUAAUUUAAUCCAUGCAUUUAAAAAUCACAGAUUUUUGAAUUUGAAAGUAGGCAAUCACUUAUUUCAUAUCAAACCAUGUUUAUUACAAAUAUAGGUUCAACAACGAAUGCAUAAUUCGAUGCACAGGUACAUCACUACUGCAGGAUGCUGCUAGCGUGACACUACGAUCAGAGACCCUUGGAGGAAACUAUGUGCGAUGCAUUAAUCGCAAACGAAGAUGUAAAAAACCCAUCAAAAAGGUGCAAAACGUUUGCGAUGGCGGAGCCAUCAAACACGGUUCAGAUUUUAGUUGCAUGUGCGAUGCAGGGCACAUGAUUAAUCCAUUCGAACUGUUUGCGAUGAGGCAGGACAACAGAAACGGGCAGUCAUAUAAAUCUGUGCGCAAUAUACGACAUAUAAUUUGCUCCGAUGAACUGUUUGCUAUUAGGGAGUGCAACAGAAAUGGUUAGCCAGAUCAAGGUGUGUGUGAUAUACGGCAUACAGUUCACUCGGACGAACAGUUUUCGAUUAGGGAACACAACAGAAAUGGUUCAACUUAACAAGAUGUGUGUGAUACGUGGCAAACAACCGACUCAGAUGAACUAUUUGCGAUGAGAAAUUACAACACAAAUGGUUAAAACAGUUAGUUUGUGUGCGAUUAUGUGUGUACAAAAAACUUUGGAAAAUGCAAACCAGUUAUUUGCGGUGGCUAGGAGUAUCGCACAUGAUGCGUCUGUGAGUACUCAUGUGCGGUGAUUAGUAAGUUACACAAAUGUUUCCUUGUGUUAACACGUGUGUGAUAAAUAACACGUGGCACCGGAUACGGUAUUCGGGUUGUGUGUGUGCUUCACUUAGUCUUCCUACGCUCCACAUGGGUGAAUUGUAAAAUCCACGCCUCUUUCCUCACCGGUUUCCCGCCACCAGCUAAGGGCUUGCUGCAUAUAACCCAGGCGGCAAUGCAUCAUCGUGACACUCUACAUAGAUCUAGUCCUCACGCAUCUACCAUUAGUUAUUCCAAGCAUGCCAGGCAACGACCAAAGCUUCGACAUCGACGCCUACCUGUGUUACAUCUUUGGCGAGGAGAACGAGCCGGAGCAGGUCGGGGAGAAAGAGCUUCAUCGGCUGGUGCAGGCACCAUGGCCCAUCGGCAGCGAUAUCGGCGUGACAGUCCUUGGGCGCACAAUCGACAUGUUGCAGAAGAGGUGUGAUGAGCAGUUUGCCAUCCACCGUGCAAAAGAUCCAGAGCUGCUCGGCUACAUGAUCGACGACCCACACAAAGAGCCGCCGUCACCAGUGCUCAUUGAGAGCCUGAUGCCCCACAAGAAAUGGGCAGAGGACCUCUGCGAUUCAGUCAAGAGACAGGAAGCCUACGGCUUCAUCAUUGCCCACGGUGGCCGUGUCAAUGUCGAUACCGAUGAUGUGGUGGCCAGGCUCGAGCGCAUCCUUGGCGGAGUUGACAUCCCAGACAAAGUAGAACAUCGCCAACGUGAUAUCUUGAGGAUGCAGGUGAUGGAUGAAAUUUGCUACCAGGUCAGAGACAUGGAAAUGGAGCGGUUUCGCGGAGAUAUCAUGCGCGCGAUUGCACGCUGUCAAGCUCUCCUGGAAGAGGCACAACAGCCCCAAGAGCCUCCCAGUGCCAGCAGCUCCGUAGGCGGAGGCGGGUCGGGACACUUGGAGUAAACGACCACAAGGGUGCUAUGCUGAUCAUGGAGGCCAAGAAGACCAUCGUCGGAAGGCCGCUAACUCAGCAUGUUAGCCUAUAUUUUAUUAUAAUUGUAUGCAUAUGUAUGUUGUGAGUGUUCUCGGCCUUGCCGCAUGUGGCAUUUUAAAUUAUACUGAAUAUGUAAAACAAUUAUUAAGAAUUAUUAACCGUUGCCAUUGUAAAUUUGCCUCAACGGUGAACAGAGCGCACACAGGGGCGCCAGAGCGGAGCGCGCUGUGGCCGCCUCAAUGGCGAGCAAAACACACAGACGGACGCGAGCAGAGUGCACCACGGCCGCCUCAACGGCGAGAAAAAUGCGCGGACGAACAUGAGCAGAGCGCGUCGCGGCCGCCUCAAUGUCAAGCAAAACGUGCGGACGGAUGCGAGCAGAGCGCGCCGCAGCCGCGUCAACGGCGAGCAACCACAUGGUCAACCUUCUGCCAUCAAUAAAUUUUGACCUUGUUUCUCGUCACAUUGCAGAUUACAACGCAAUAAGUAAUUGCAAAUCUGUUCACACCUAUCAAACUAAUAUGUGUUCACACUUAGCACCGGGCUAUAAAAACUACCCACUCGAAAAUUACUUCAUAGUUCCUCUCCUCAUCACCCACAAAACUGGUCUUUCCUGUCAAGUCGUUCCGCCAUGACCGAUAGGAGGAGUUUCGGGUGGACAUAUAACCAAGCAGAUAAGACCAAGGCCACGAAAGCACUAGAGAGGUCCCUUCGCGAAGCCGCAGUUGCAGCCGCAGCCGCAGCAGAGAUGUCCCGGCGCGCCACAGAGCCCUCGAACGAGCUCUCGCGGGCACGCAAGGGCUCUCACAAGCGCAUUCGCCGCGUAGGCGAUCGCGACGAACUGGUGUUUCUGAAGUCCUUGGCCAGCGACGACGACAUUCUCGCUGGCCUCAUUAAGCAGCAGGAGCUGGUCGACAGCUUGAUGAAGCUGCUCGAGAUCAGCGAUGCCUCGGUUGAUAAGGUGACCAGCCUUGUCGAGCAACUCAUGGGUGACAAUGCGAGCCUCCUCAAGGCGCUCACCGAGAAGGAGGAGGAGGCCGCCGGCUGGAAGAUGUUGCAUGAGCAGAGUAGUGCCUCGGGGAUGAUGCUGACAGUGGUCGUUGAGGAACUGAUGGGUGACUUGAGGAAGCUCCAGAUCGAGUGUGAGCAGGAGGUGGAGGAAUCCGUGGCUGCUUUCAGGCAAAGUCGUGAGGAAUUGAAGAAGGAGAUGGGGGAUGUCAUCGCCCGGCGAUCCAUCAAAGAGUAGAUAUAGUAGCGAUCCAGAUCGUUACCUGUGAUUUCCUUCUUCUCUUGCCCCGUGUCUUCCGGGCUUUGCCGCAUGUGGCAUUUUAAAUUAUCCGGAAUAUGUAAGACAAUUAUUAUCUGCGCCAUUGUAAAUUUAUCAUCGUACUAUCCGUUGCCAUUUUAUUUGUCGUCGUAUUAUCUGUUGCCCUAUGUGGCAAUUUGAAUUAGGCCGGAAUACGAGUUGAAAACACGAACAACGCAAAUGCUGCAAUGGGAUCACAAGCAAACACCGGGGGUGGACACUUUAGUUAACCCAUUAAUGGAGAAGUUGUGAGCGAUAUGGGCGGCGGCUGGUGCAUGGAGGUCAAAGAGCUCGCUUCCCAAUGAGCAUGGGCGGCCUUGCUGCUUGCACGUGACCCGUCCGGCCUGCAAGGUGGACGGGACACACACGUCCCAUCGAGCCUGCACGGAGGAUUGCUUGCAUGCGUCCCGUCGAGCCUGCACGGCGGACUUCUCGCACUCGUCCUGUCUAAUCAAACAGUUGCACGCACGACACUGAGUAUGGUUAAAUUUUGACAUGGUGCAUAUAAUACAACCGUUUGCGAUAUUAACGUGUCAGCUUUUUGUUUCAAAAAGGACUCCAUUGGCUACUAAUGUGUGCGCCUCUUCUCAAACUGGACAAUUUUUUUACCAUGGCAUAUAUGUGCCAUGUCAUGAAACCAUGCCAAGUUUCAUGUUUUUGGGUGAGUUUUUGAUUUACUAGGAUAUAAAAAGCAAGAUUCUCAAUGUUUUAGGACGAUGACAAGUUUGUAAUUCAUUCUCAUUCCUUAAAUGAGACCUAAAGAUGCACCCAAUGACACAUGUAGGAUUUCCCACCCAUUUUGCUUCACUGGAGCAUGUGAUUGUAGUUAAAAUUUGAAUUAUGGACUACAUUAAAUGCAUAGAAAACUUAAUUAUUAGUAAUGACAUGUACAAUGGCCAAACGAUCCCUAAACAGUUUCAAAUUUUGGCACAACACUCCUGUUAUUCUAUGUUGCCGGUAGAAAACAAAAUUCAAGGCUUGAAGAGGCAACGAUUAUCGUUUCGCCCACCGAAACCACGAGGGUUGCGAGAAGCUUUGGUUUGUAAGAGGCUUGUAAUAUAGCUUCACUCAAAUUGGACAAUUAUAUGUACCAUGUAGUGACACCCUGCCAAGUUUCAUGAUUUCCUGGUGAGUUUUGGAUUUACAGAGAUUUAUAAACCGAGAUUCGCAAUGUUUGUGGCCAAGGCAGGACGGCGAGAUGGUUGAAUUCAUUCCCAUUUUGUUCCAUGGGACCUAAACAUGCACCCCAAGGACACAUGUAUGUUUUUUCUAGCCAUUUUGGUGCACUGGAGCAUGUAUUUGUAGUUCGGAUUUGAAUUAUGGACAUUAAAUGCCUAGAAAACUCAAUUAAUGAAUAAAAAGGGUCAAACGAACCGUGAAUAAUUUCAAAGUUCAGCGCGAAUCUCCCGUUGUUCCGUACGUGUUGCGUGUAGAAAAAAUACAAGACUAGAAGAGGGAGCGAUUAUCGUUUGUCUCACAUGCAAGGGGACACGUUUCCCUAUCAAAAUCACGAGGGUUCUUGCGACAGGCUCCGGUUUGUAAGAGGCUUGUAAUAAAGCUUGGCCCAAAUUGGCACUGUUUUUACCACGACAUAUACGUCCCAUGACGUGACACCAUGCCACCUUUAAUGACUUUUUGGUGAGUUUUGGAUUUAUAUUGGGAUUUAAAAACCGAGAUUCCAAAUGUUUGAGGACGAGCCAAGACACCGGUCAGGUUGUAAUUUGUUCUCAUAUCUUGCAUGGGACCUAAACAUGCACCCAAGGACACAUGCAUGUAUAAUUUUUCUAGCCAUUUUGGUGAACUGGAGCAUGUAUUUGUACUUCAGAUUUGAAUUAUGGACAUUAAAUGCCUUGGAAACUCAAUUAGUGUAUAAAAAGGCCGAACGAACCCUGAAUAAGUUUCAAUUUCAACAUGGAUGUAAUGUCAUUCCAUGUUGCCCGUAGAAGAAAAUACAAGGCGAAAAGAGGGAGCGACUACGUUUCGCCACAAGGGGAACACAUUUCCCUAUCGGAACCAUCAGGCUUCCUUGAGAUAAGCUCCGGUUUGUAAGAGGUUUGUAAUAAAGCUUGGCCCAAAUUGGCAAUGUUUUUACCAUGACAUAUAUGUGCCAUGACGUGACAUCAUGCCACCUCUGAUGACUUUCUGGUGAGUUUUGGAUUUUAUGGAGAUUUAAAAACCGAGAUUCCAAAUAUUUGAGGACGAGCUAGGACGCCGGUACGGUUGUAAUUCGUUCCCAUUCCUGGUAUGGGGCCUAAUUAAACAUGCACCCAAUGACACAUGGAUGUACAAUUUUUCUAGCCAUUUUGGUGAACUUGAACAUGUAUUUGUAGUUCAGACUUGAAUUAUGGACAUUAAAUGCCUAGGAAACUCAAUUAGUGUAUAAAAAGGCCAAACGAACCCUGAAUAAGUUUAAAUUUCAGCGUGGAUAUCAUGUCAUUCCAUGUUGCCCAUAGAAGAAAAACAAGGCGAAAAGAGGCAGUGAUUACGUUUCGACAACAAGGGGGACAUGUUUCCCUAUCGGAACCACAAAGCUUCUUGUUGAGAGAAGCUCCGAUUUGUAAGAGAUUCGUAAUAAAGCUUGGCCCAAAUUGGACAAUGUUUUUACCACGACAAAAUAUGUGCCAUAACAUGACACCAUGCCUACUUUCAUGACUUUUUUGGUGAGUUUUGGAUUUACGGGGAUUUAAAAACCGAGAUUCCAAAUGUUUGAGGACGAGCCAGGACGCUGGUACGGUUGUAAUUCGUUCCCAUUCCUAACAUGCAUGGGACCUAAACAUGCACCCAAGGGCACAUGCAUGUAUAUUUUUUCUAGCCAUUUUGGUGAACUGGAGCAUGUAUUUGAGGUUCAGAUUUGAAUUAUGGACAUUAAAUGACUAUAAAACUCAAUUAGUGUAUAAAAAGGCCAAACGAUACCCUGAAUAAGUUUAAAUUUCAGCACGGAUAUCCCGUCGUUCCAUUUUGCCUGUAGAAGAAAAUACAAGGAGAAAAGAGGCAGUGAUUACGUUUCACCACAAGGGGAACACGUUUCCCUAUCGGAACCACGAGGCUUCUUUGAGAGAAGCUCCGCUUUGUAAUAAAGCUUGGCCCAAAUUGGACAAUGUUUUUACCACAACAUAUAUGUGCUAUGACAUGACACCAUGCCAACUUUCAUGACUUUCGGUGAGUUUAGGAUUUACGGGCAUUUAAAAACCGAGAUUCUAAAUGUUUGAGGAAGAGCCAGGACGCCGGUAUGGUUGUAAUUCGUUCCCAUUCGUGGCAUGGGACCUAAACAUGCACCCAAGGACACAUGUAUAAUUUUUCUAGCCAUUUUGGUGAACUGGAGCAUGUAUUUGAAGUUCAGAUUUGAAUUAUGGACAUUAAAUGCCUAGGAAACUCAAUUAGUGUAUAAAAAGGCCAAACAAAAGAUGUGUGCCUACCAAACCGUGGCCGAUGCCGCGCGUGAUUUGAGUCAUGCGUUCUGAUUGUAUAGAACCCAAACCAAACGGAUCAUAGGUCUGCACCGUUGGAUGCUCCAGAUCGAACGGCAAUCCUCAGCCGUUUUGACAGCACAUGCAGUACAUGGGUAAGAACUGUGUGCAUGCGUCGUGCUAGCUCACGCUUCCUUCUCUUGUAUGUUUUCUAAAUAGGCUACCAUUUCUCGCCACUCCUCUCAUCGGUUUCCCGCCACUUCUCCCAUCGGUUUCCCGCUACCAGUGUCAGUGCUCAUUGAAGGCUAGGCGGCGACACACCAACCAUUGUUUUGCUAAUUUGUAGACUAUGUUUUUAUAGGUUAUUUUUUUGUUGUAAAAUCACCAUGACUGCGCAAGCGCGAGCAAAAUGGUGCAGGUACUGGCUUAACCGUGUGCGAUGCAAGUGCACUGUAAAAUCACCACGACUGCGCAAGCACGAGCAAAUGGUGGAGGUACUGGUUUAACUAUGUGCGAUGCAAGUGCGCUGUAAAAUCACCAUGACUACGCAAGCGUGAGCAAAAUGGUGCAGGUACUGGCUUAACCAUGUGCGAUGCAAGUGCGCUGUAAAAUCACCACGACUGCGCAAGCGCGAGCAAAUGGUGGAGGUACUAGCUUAACCAUGUGCGAUGCAAAUGCGUUGUAAAAUCACCACGACUGCGCAAGCUAAAGGUGGGUGAGUUUAGAAAUUAGGGCUAACCGUGUGCGAUAGACCAGCUAGCUAGAAAUAUAAAAAUAAACUACCUGCCUUGAGCGUUGCAAAAAUCGGCGGUUCCGCCACUUUUUCUUAUUAUCGUACACGCAUAUUCUUAUCGGACCGUGCGCGAUCUUGGGUACUCCCGCCCCGCAUCAAUUCCUUUACCCAAAUUUUAGUAGCCGCCGUACUUCAACCGUCGCCCACACUCCUCCAACGCCGACCUUAUAGUAAAAUUGCAGUAGCCGAGGCAUUUUAACCAUCGCCCUCCCUACUCCACCACCAUCUCCACCCACCAUUACUAAUAGUAGCCAUGACGUAUCCUCAAACACCACAGUCCCCCCACCACAGUCCCCCCACCCGCCCCUUCCCCCUCGAACCCUAGCUCGCGGCCGCCACCAGCGCCGCCGCCAACCCAUGUCGGUCUGCCCAUUCCUCCUAGCUUAGAUAAUAAAGUUUAGUUACCCAGUGAUUCCCAUACCGUCGCCCCACUCCAAACUGAGUUUUUAGAUGAGGCCCGCAGUGUCCCUCCCCGCCAGAUCCACAUCCCCUGCUCUAGAAUGUCGCAGCCUAAGCUCGAGCACAUAUCCCAGGGAGCCCAACGAGCGUUCGGCCAAGAAGUGGUUUAUCAGGGCCUCUCCGGCGGACGUUGGCAAGGUGGCCGUCGUUCGCCCUGACCCGUUGAUCCCGGAGCAACACGUCACUGUGGUAGCCGGCAAAGACGUUGACUACAUUGCCAUGUCAAAGGCUUCAUGUCAGCGAGCUUGUGUAUUACUAUAUCUCGGGAAGCUGGCUACGACAUCAAGCUCGUCGACAGCAACGGCUUCACGCGGGCCAUGUCACAGGUUACAUGGUCCAUCCCCAACCCCUCUGGUUCAAUCGCCGUCGAUCUCUUCGAUGGCCCUGCCGCUGAUCUCCUCCACCAAGCGGUCAAGCAUUUGCGAUCCUUAUACACCAUCGAGCCCAUUUUGUCAUUUCUGAAGGACACGUUCUAGGGCGGCGGCUUGGAAUCCUAAAUUGCCAAGUCAGAUCUCAUCGACCACGACCACGACCACAAGGAGGGCACCUGCAAAGGUUCUUCCACCAUGGGUCUGUGCUCUUCCAACUGGAAGGAUACCGUCCAUGAAAUGUGAGGCAACAUCCUAUCAGAAAAUCUUACCUUUUCUAGCUUGCCAACCCGUACCCUUUGUUGUAGUAGCAUUUGAUGUGCGGUGCUAUAACUGUGUCGUGUUUAAUUAUUUCAGCUAUGCAAAAAUGUAUUGUUCAAUAGGGCUAUGUGAUGUUUAAGUAUGAAUUGUCCACUUCAGUUUCACGAAUGGCUAUAUUUGGUUGUUUAUAGUGAGUAGAUGCCUUGUUUAUCUGUGUUUGGUUGUUAGGUUGGUUGAAGUGAGCAUUUUUUCAGUUAUCGAGCCGAUGCCUUGUUUAUAUGUAUUUUGUCUUAGUUUGGUUGCAGUGAGCAUUUGUCCAGUUAUCAAGCAGGUGCCUUGUUUAUCUAUAUUUGGUUGUCAGGUUGCUUUUUUAGCAUUUGUCCAGUUUUCAAGCAGAUGCGUUGUUAUCUGUAUUUGCUUGUUAGGUUGGUUGAAGUGAGCAUUUGUCCAGUUUUCAAGAAUAUGUCAUGUUUAUCUUUAUUUGCUUGUUAGAUUGGUUCCAGUGAGACUCUGUCCAGUUUUCAAUUGCUAUAUUUGGUUGUUAUACUGAUCAUUUAUGCCUUGUUUAUUUCAGUCAUUCACAAUGUGUUGUUCAUUAUGUGCAAGUCGGAACUGUGCUGCUUGACUGCAUCAAUACCAGUUUGAACGGCUAUAUUUGGUUCCAGUUAUGCCUGGUGUGUUAACACAUGCCCUUUAUUUCAGUUUUACACAUUUAUCCAGUGAUGUUUAAGCAUUACCUACAUUCUAUUCAUUUCCAACAAUACCAGUUUGAAUUGCAAUAUUUGAUGGCUGUUAAGCCUGCCGUCGGUAACAUUGACUUCCAUUUUUAUAUAUGCUUUAAUAGCAUGCUGAAACUAACACAUUCAAGCUAUCAUUUGGAGAUGAUGUUGUUUACCUUUGCUAUAUUUGUUUGAUGUUAAGGUUUCCAUACUUAUCAUGCCUUUCCACUACUUAUGCAGGACAACAACGGGAGUGCCCACAAUUUUCCGCCGAGGUUAGCUUCAUCCCUCGGCUUGUACUCCCCCGUCGUUCCAUAAUGUAGUGCAUAUAGAUCCAAGCCUGGACACUUGUUAGCUUCUAAUAUUGACUUGUUGCUUGUAGGUACAUAUGCCCUUGGCAAGGAUCAACGCAUCGACCCUUUUUGCAUAUGGGGCAAUGAGAUAUUCGUGAACAAGCAUCAAGUGAGGAAACUGAUAAGGAUUAUUAGCAAAAAGAUACGAAUGGUGGCAAGCAAAUUAUUUGUUUAUGCUCUAUCCGACACAACAGUGAGUUGUAGGAUGGUAACUACAAACUCUGCAGCCUUCUCUUUUUACUUCCCAUAAUGAGUUGUUAGACAACAAUGUCUGGAUCUUUUUCAUUCGUAGUGGUUCCUGAAGCAGUUCACUCAAGAUUACCUUGCAAAGUACAUGAUUGGUGGACACGCAAUGAAGGUUAAAGUAUUUCAUCCAGACUAAAAUGAGCAUCAAGAAGUCAUAAUGAAGACAAUGAAGGAUGGAUGGGCAGCCAUCACAAGGGGUUGGCCUAGAGUCGUGUGCGCAUUACGCAUGGAGGAGGGCACAAUAUGGGCAUUCCGCUUCAGCUUCUCCAGCAACCAGAAUGUCUUUCGCCUCUCUCUUUACAAUCUUUAGUACAACUGUGGUUCACCAUUUUUUACUUGGUGCUUCUCUAGUUCUUUAGUAUAUGUACCUGUCAUCGAAUUAUGCAUUCGUGGUUGAACCUAUAUUUGUAAUAAACCUGGAUGGAUAUGAAAUAAGUGAUUGCCUACUUUCAAAUUAAAAAAUGUGAUUUUUAAAUUAGGUAUUAAUUAGAGAUUAAUAAGGGAUUAAUUAGGGAUUACACAGCACACGGUUUGCAAAAGUGAAAUGUCUAUGAUAGACGUGGAGAUCAGACACGUUUCUAGGAUCCACUACGUGUGCGAUCAAUCUCCACCACACACACGAUCAACCAGGAAAAAACGUGUGCGAUCAAUCUCCACUGCACACACGAUCAGCCAAGAAAAAACGUGUACGAUUAACAAUAGCAUCACACACAUUUCUUUCUUACUAAAUGUUUGUGAUAGGCACCUUAUCACACAUGCUUCGAAAUUAUUAACUAUUUGUGAUGUUGUGCGCAUCGCAAAUGUUUGGUACUUCUUGGAUUAACUGUGUGGGAUGUACAUACUAACGGAAACGUAUUCCUUGGAUGGGCUGUGUGGAAUGUACAUACGAACGGAAACGUUUAGCGGGGCUGACUGUGUGGGAUGUACUUACGACCGGAAAUGAUUUCGCAUGUAUAAUUAUAUUUUUGACCACUAUUGUAUGUAUAACCGUAUUUGCUCGCUCGCUGGUCGCACAUGACCUCAUUUUGCCAAGCGUGUGUGCCAGGAGGGCAUAUCCCCGACGGUUUCUGGGUUGUGUGGGAAGGAUCCUAUCGCCCACACUCACUUGGCGACUGUUCCAAAUGCCAUCGCGGAAAGGGGUUAAAAAUCGUUUGUAUAGCACCAACGCGUACUAGUAAUUGUGUAUUUAAAGUUUUAAAAAUCCACUGCUAGGGAAAAGCGUAAUAGUAGCGCAUAUUUUUGGCCUAUCAAUAGUGCGGGUAACCGCGCUACUACUACGACGCUAUAGCUGAAUGUUAGCAAUAGCAUUUGUUAGCCCCCGCUACUGCUAUAUCUACUUAGUAGUAGCGCAUCCUGCAAAAGGUGCUACUGGUAAUUACUAGCAGCGCGUCUCACUGCCCGCGCUACUACUAUUAUUCCAUAUUCUAUUUCUUUUUUAUUUUAUGUCGUAUUCAUACACCUUUAUACAAGUUUUCAUACAAUAGCAAUUUAGAGAUUGUUUUUACAUUAUAAUGAGUUAUUAAAUCACUAGGUGAAAGAACCGCGGAUUAGUUUCAAGUGGAUGGAUCCUAAGUGACCAAGGCAUGGAUUAUCACGAUAAUCCAUGACUUCAUCACUUAGGAUCCAUCCACUUGAAACUAAUCUGUGGUUCUUUCACCCAAUGAUAUAAUAACUCAUCAUCAUCAUCAUCAUAUUAAUAUAAAAACUCUUGCAUCAUAUCAUCACCAACAACACUAGUUAAUAAUCAUCAUAGUCAUUACCACCAACACUAUUUAAUCAUCAUAAUCAUAGUGUAGCUAUGUAAUCACCACCAACACUAGUUAAUAAUAAUCAUCAUAGUCAUUACCACCAACACCAGCUAUUUAAUCAUCAUAGUCAUAGUGUAGCACAUCAUCAUCAUAUUCAAACUCAUUCUAGCUAGCUAAUCACUCCUGCUGCUCUCUCCCAGGUAAAAUAGCAUAGAACAUGUGUAGCACUCCUGAUUCAUCUUAUUGGAGCAUGCAGAUGAGUCUGUCUCCUAAUUGUGGGCCGCACUUCUGAUUGCUGCCCCUAGUACUUCUCUGUGAUCCUUCAUAAUUUUGCUCCAGUCUUUGACUAUUAAGACUUGCUCGCUUUUAGAAAUCCUGAACGCACUCAUGUGUAAUGUAGGAUGACUUGGCCGUAAGCUAACCAUUUUCAUGCGACCUUUAGCCUCAAUCCAAUGAGGCACAACUAUCAUCGGGAGUCCCUGUUGAAGAACAUCAUAGUAACAUACUUUGCAAUGAAGUUUAGCUUAAAAAAUAAUGUACGCAAAAGAUGCACUGAGGACAAAUAGUAAAAUCUUAUCAUCUUUCCUAAAUAGAUGUGGCCGUAGUUCAAUACGCACGCUAGUGGUCGCACGUUUUGAGUACUAAGAUUUUGAAGUCCAGGAAAAUAAUUUGUCUUGACAGUAUCAAGAUCCUCAAGCCAUGAAACAUAAUGACUUAUCUCUUGGCAGUUUAGUUCAGCCCCAGGACAGUAGUAGGUCAUGUCUACCAAGCGCCGGACAUGUUUGCUUGAAUGGAAAUAAGUUGUCAAUAGAAAUUAGUUGUCAACUAUUUUUGAAUAAACAAUAUCCAAGACAUAAAUAUGGUUGAGAAACUCACCUAAUGGUAGAAUUGGAGGCGUCUGCACAUUGACUCAGAUGUCGAUAUUACCUUCAGUAUCAUCUUCUGGAUGAAUAUCAAAGGUGAUAAGCAUAUCAGGCUCAAAUGCAUAAGCCUUGCAUAGCGCUCUCCAAUUUUUGCAUUCAAAAUUGGUGCAUGUGUCUGCACUGUAUAAUUUUGCGUCAAAAGUAUAACCAUGCUCGGUCCUCAAGUGAACUCUUUUACCUCCAUAGUUUCCAUAGGACUGAAACCAAUCUUAUCCAAGACAUAAAUUCUUGCAUGACAGGGGAUACGCUGGUAGAAUAGUAAAAAAAUUAAAAUUAUAAGUUGAAGCAAAAGAAGCAGAAGUCAUGCUUAAUUACAAAAAAAGACUUGUCGUUGUGACUUACUGUAUCCACUUCAAAGGUCUCAUCCAGCUUAAUGUUGAAGCGCCUACCACCAACUAAGAAAUUUCUGUCACACAGGUCAUGCUCGUCUUCACAGUAUUCGCACAUACCAAAAUCCUUUUCAUCGACAGACAUUUCCUAUGUUCAUAGUUGAAACAUUAAUUGAAAAUCGAUCAAAGGCAACUACCAGGAAACUCAACACACAGAUCACUAUUACUCAAUAUGCAACGAGUUGACUUUAGGUCUAUCGAGUCUUCCUUCCUAAACUCUCAUCUCACGUAUAUGGUGGGCACUACCUCUCUGAUAUUGCAACUAUCGGUGAUGGUUGCUACUCCUUCUUUCCCUAGUGCAUUAUAAAUAUCUAGCACAAGGAAAAGAAAGAGAAGCGACCCCCACGACAGAAGUCAGCAUUCUUCUUCUCUCAUAUAUGGUGGACACUCCCUCACUGAUUUUUCGACCGUCGAUGAUAGUCGCUACUCCUUCUUCCCCUAGUGCAUAACAAAGGUCUAGAACAAAGAGAAGAAGGAGAAGCGACCCCACGACAAAUGUCGUUUAAUUCUCUUUCUAGCAAAUCCGGGACACUCGACAUUUCCUAAAUAUUCUAGCACAAUUCAUGCUUAAAUUCAUGGUAAAAUCCGGCAUGACCUUUGUUAAAAUAGGACAUAUCAAGCACCUGAAAUUUGCCGAAACAGAAAUGCAUCAACACUCCGGCAAAACAUAGGCCACUUGGAUUUUCCCUGUGAUACAAAGAUGUUCAUACACAUACAACAAUGCUUAAACUUGCAAUUCCAUCCGGAUCAAUUAUCAUAAGCAUUCGCACAUGAGCUCACCGACCAAAUACCGUAGUUCUACUCUAUUCAACACGCCGAGGAGUGGAGAAGGAGGAGGUGGACUUUUAGCUCACCGACUCGGGUGUAGAGCAAGUAUAGGUAGCUCGGAUGACGAUCACUCCAAGGAGACACGACUCUACAAAGCCUGCAUAUUCCAUCGAGUAAAAUUUUAAUUAGAUCAUCAAAUCUCAUAUGGCAUUCUUUGAUGACAAAGUGAUAAUGACAUAAAUUCAACUAGUUCAACUAAGCACUUACUAAAAAUAAACUAAUUCAACUAGUUCAACUAGUUUUCUAUUACUAAAAUUUUAGUAAGAUUCUGUGUACUAAAAUUUUCUAUUUCCAAAACUUUUUUAUAUUACUAAAGUUACAAACUAUUUCUACACCUAAUUUUAGGAGGAAGGGAGGGAAGGAGGCAGUAGGGAGGGAGGGAGGAGAGAGGGAGGAGGCCGAGAUGGCGGUAGAUGGAGGGGGAGGAAGGAGGAAGGAAGGGUGGCGUAUGGAGAUGGGGCAGUGACUGGAGNNNNNNNNNNNNNNNNNNNNNNNNNNNNNNNNNNNNNNNNNNNNNNNNNNNNNNNNNNNNNNNNNNNNNNNNNNNNNNNNNNNNNNNNNNNNNNNNNNNNNNNNNNNNNNNNNNNNNNNNNNNNNNNNNNNNNNNNNNNNNNNNNNNNNNNNNNNNNNNNNNNNNNNNNNNNNNNNNNNNNNNNNNAGUGAGGAGGAGGUGGUGGGAGGAGGGAGGAGGGCCGCCGGAGGGAGGAGGAGGUGGUGGGAGGAGGGCCGCCGGAGGGACGAGAGAGGAGGGUGACCGGAGGAAGGAGGAGAGAGAGAAAGGAUACCUUGGGGGCGACGACAAUGCGGCAUCGGCGGAACGCACGGGAGAGUGAGACUGGGAGUGGAGAGGGGAGAGUGAGGGGCAGCCGGUUGGAGAAGAUAGGAUGGGCUUAGCAGCAUCGCGCUUUGGGAUAAAGCGCUACCGCUAAAUGCCAUAGGAGUAGCGCCUUUUACCAGGGCAGCGCUACUGCUAUCCCUGUAGCAGUAGCACCUUGUGAGAAAAUGUGCUACUGCUAAGGCUAAGAAUGUAAAAAAUAAAAAAUACAUUGGUCAUCAAUGAUCUUUUUGUGUAGAAUCUAAAUUGUCAAUAGGAAUCUUCACCAGUUCAGGCCACAGAUCCUACACAUAGAUUUUAAUGAAGACCAAGUGGUUGUGAUAGUUUGAGAAGUAACGUAUUUAAGGUGGUACACACCCUGUUCACGGAGCGAGGUGGGACUAAAAUAUUUGCAAUGAGUGGACUAAACUUAGCAGCAGCGAGGGUGGGCGAAAAGCGAUGCUGCUAAGUUCAAUAGUAGUAGUGCUCUUAGAAAACAGGCGCUACUACUAAACUUACUCCGACAGCAAUGUCGUGGCAUUUGUUCUAGUAGCACUGUUUCCUGCUAACGCGCUACUGCUACGUGGGUAGUAGUAGCGCGAUUUUUUUACGCGCGCUACUGCUAAGUAGCAGUAGAGCCUUAUUUUAAACCGCGUUGCUGGUAAGAUUCUGUGUAUGAGGUUUUCCCUAAUAGUGUAUCACACCCAAUAUUCCUACAUAUAUUUGGCCACUUCCAGGUGGUUCUUGACUUCUGUCUCCUCUCAUCGAUAUUCGAUGACGUGCCCAACCAUGGGCCCGCGCGGUCAAAGUUGUGCAUUGGAAUUUUGAACAUCACAGACCACCCUUUUCACUCAUAUAUAUUUGGGCCACAUGUUGGUGUGGCUGUCUUUUGACCCUCUCUAACAUUUUUUGGCUGCAAAGACUCUGAUGAUGCUCAACGGACACGGGUAUAACAUCUUAACCGUGUGCAAUGCAAGUGCGUUGUGAAUCAUGAUGACUGCGCAAGCGCGAGCGAAGGUGGAGGUACUGGCUCAACCAUGUGUGAUGCAAGUGCGCUUUAAAAUCACCACGACUGCGCAAGCGCGAGCAAAGGGUGGAGGUACUGGCUUAACGUGUGUGAUGCAAGUGCACUGCUAAAGGCGGGUAAGUUUAUUUGGAAAUUAGGAUGAACCGUGUGCGAUAGACCAACUAGCUAGAAAUAUAAAAACAAACUACUCGCCUUGAGCGUUGCAAAAAUCGGCGGUUCUGACACUUUUCCUUGUUAUCAUACAUGCAUAUUGUUAUUAGACCUGUGUGAUCUUGGGCACUCCGUCCCGCAUCAAUUCCUUUACCCAAAUUUUAGUAGUUGUCGUACUUCAACCGUCGCUCACACUCCUCCAACACCGACCUUAUAGUAAAAUUGCAAUAGAGAGGCCUUUGAAUCGUCGCCUCCCUUGUCCACCACCAUCUCCACCCACCAUUACUAAAAUUUUCAGUAGCCGCGGCGUAUCUGUCAGGACCUCGAUCCUAAGUCACAUUGAUCUAGCAUGUAACACAUCAUAUCACUUUGCGGCCUCACGCACGGCAUUCCCACGGGUGCCACCUUACCUAGCCCGGGACCGUUUGUGCCUUUUGGCUCACGUAUGUGAUAAUGUCGCUAGCAUCCAUAUGACAAAGAACCCAGGCUGACAUGACUAGUCGUGGACCCAAAGUGGCACUAACUUACAGGGACAGGCAUACAUGACCCAACAACGAACAUGUCGAUCAACAACGUGUGAACCCAAGUCGUAGCAAGCUACAUGGACUUAAAGGAACAACGUGUGACAUUUCCCCGAAGGGACAGACACAGGAACGAACAAGGACACAUGCCGGCCAGCCUAAGUGUUCCGGAGCAGUAGCAAGCUACCAUGCCUCAGUGGAAGCACUAGGAGACAUUUCCCGUAAGAGAGGCUACCAAGGAUGAACAACUAGGUUGUCAGAUCCCACACAUACCAAGCAUUUCAAAUCAUACACACAAUAUGCUCGAUAUGUGCAAAUACAACAUGGCAUCACAACAUAACUCUAUGACUCAAGUAUUUAUUCAAUAGGCUCCGAGGAGAGAGAUAUUACAAACAUUGGUCUCAUGACCCAACAUUCAGAGCAUACAAGUCAAAGCACAAGUGUAAGCUUAACAUGUCUGAGUACAGACAACUACAAAUUAAAAGGGCUGAGAAGCCUGACUAUCUACCAGAUCCUGCCAAGGGCACAAGAUCGUAGCUGAGGUAACAAGCUAAACAUCGAAGUCCAUGCGGAACUACUAGCAAGACUGAAGUCUCUCUACAAAAACAUAAAUUAAGCAAAUGUGAGUCCAAACGUACCCAACAAGACUUACAUCAGAACUAACUACAUGUGCAUCACUAUCAACAAAGGGGUGGUGGGGUUUUACUGCAGCAAGCCAGCUUUGACUCAGUGGCUAUCCUAAACUACGACUGCAAGUAACUCUUUUGAGGUGGCGCACACGAGUCCACAUAAUCACCAUAUCAAUACACCACUACGGAUCCGCUCCCGUCUCCCUAAGAGAAUGCAGGUUGACGAUGUUAACCCUGCAGGGGUGUACUUCUUCACACACGCUCUCGCCACUUACCACCAUGUACACAUCAUGUAUCUCGACACCCUUCAAGCGGAAGCCUGGCAAGGGUGUCGGCCACGGCCUACCUAAACACUCAAGUCUCUAGUCCGGGUUUAUCGCCUAUUCAGGUUCCAUGCAUAGGGAGUCCGGCCAAAGUUUCCAUAUACGACCCCGAACAAUGUGAGCAGGGUUCCCGAGACAACAAACGGGCGCCUGGUACACCGUGCCACGUGCCUGCCGCAUCACAGCCCACCCCUCAGAUCAGCGCUGCGCACGGCCUCCAGCAUACUACAAACAACAAAAACUACUUGCAACUCCUGGACAGAGGACAAGGGUGGUUAAGAAACCGAGAGGGUCAGUUACCAAACCAUGGAUCACAAACACAGAACUCGGUUCCUAAGGACGGCUUCAAUGAGACAACCCACCAUGUACUCCUACAUGGCCCCUCACCACUACCUUUACCAAAUCAUGUUCACACACUUAGCUCACACACAGUAGGACAUGUUCAACACCAUUCCAAUUCAUCCCCGAUGAAUCAGAACUGACUCAACUCUAAGUAGUAGCAGGCAUGACAAACAAGCAUGAAUGAGUAGGCAUCAGGGCUCAAACAACUCCUACUCAUGCUAGUGGGUUUCAUCUAUUUAUUGUGGCAAUGACAGGUCAUGCACAGGAGAAGGGGUUCAACUACCAUAGCCACUAACAGAUGAAUCGUUGUUGUCCUAAUGCAGUAAAAGAGAGCAGGACCGAGGGAGUGGGAUUGUAUCGGGAUGAACAAGGGGUUUUUGCUUGCCUAGCACUUCUAAAGAUAGUAAUAGCUCUUCAUCGGUGUCAUCGAACACAUCGUCGAAACCACGUUUACCGGGAGGGAACAAUUACCGGCAACAGAGAAGGAACACAAUCAAUGCAAUGCAACAAUAUCAUGCAUGAUCAUGACAUGUAAAUAUGCUGUGAUUUGAGCUAAUGCAGCUAGCAACAAGUUAAAUGGAGUUGGUUUGAACCCUAGGUUCAAAUUCAAACUCCAUAUGUGAAGGUUUAAAUGUCAUUUAAAUGAUUUGUCCUAAACAUUAGUCAUAACUUGUUCUAACAUGCAUAAAAAUGGUACAGAUGGAUAGAUUGGAUUUUUCUGAUCAUUUUUCAUAUAUAAAGCAUUUCAUUCUGAGUUACGGUUGAAUUUAUAUGAAUUUUAGAAGUUUUUAGCUAUUUCUGGAAUUUUCUGAAUUAUUUUAAAUCCAGAAAAUGAUUAACUGUGUCAUUAUUGCGUUAGGGUGAUGUCUGCAGGGUCAACAGGGUUGCCCCGGGUCAAACCUGACCAGUGGGUCCCACUGGUCAGUGUCACGGUGCUGGCUAGGGUGGCUGACGUGUGGGCCCAGUAAAAGGCCACGUCAGCUUGGUUAAAGCUGAUGCGUGGGGCCACUGUGGUUAGGUUAAUGCUAACCAAGGGUUUACCCCAUGGUUAAUUAACGUGGCGGGGUCCAUUGUCAGUGACUGUGGUGGUAAUUAGUGGGUGGAUUAGACCUAAUCUAAUCACGCCACGUCGGCGUCGCCGGAUAAAGUCGUCGGCAACCUUACAGGACGGCGGUGGCUCGUCGGAGUUUCUAUUCCGGCGACCAUUCACAUGGCGGAAGGCAUCUACGCGUUGCGGGUGCUUGGCCGCAUCCAUCUACGCGGACGGGAGGGGCUGAGGUCAGCCAAGCUCGCCGGAAUCAAGCUCAUGGCGGCGGCCGGAGUUCGGGCAAUGAUACAAACGUCGCUAUGGUGCAUGGCAGGAGCAACGUGUGGCCUCUACGUCCUCCUGGAGCUUUGCUGAGCAUGGAAACACGCUCGGCUUCGAGCCUGAGCGGCUGCGGCGACGGCAGUGACAUGGCCGGUGAGUAGAAGCUUUCGGCUCCAGGGAAAAACACGGCUAGGAGACGCGUUCGGCAGCGAGAAGAGAGGGGAAAGGUGGCAUGGCUCACAUAGAUCAUGAAGCGAUGCUCGGGGUAGCCGGGAGCGUGCUGAGGAUGACAAAUCAGCAAGGGCGAUCGACGGCGCCUGAGGUUAAAGAUGAUGUCGAGGACGGUGCUAUGGGGCUUCUGGCAUCACCUGGCUUGUCGAGGAGGGAGAGGAGAUGAGGUGGAGCUCGUGGACAGCUUGGGGAGGUGAUGCAGUGGCUGUGGUCAUGGCAACAGCGAGCGGCGAUGACGGCGGUGCUCGGUGGGUGCGAGGGAGAGAGCCAGAGAAGGGGGAGAGGUACUGGGAGAGAGAGAGAGAGAGAGAGAGAGAGAGAAAGAGAGAGGUCAGGGGGGUCUCUGGGCGUCUCCAGGCGCGAGGGAGAAGUAGGAGGUGGCGAGGAGACGUGGCCGCGGUCGAUGUGUUGCUGCCACACAGCUGCCUGAGGUUGAAGAUGACCUGGAGGCGCUGGUGGGCUGGGCUGCUGCUAGGCUGGGCCGACAAUAGGUAAGAUGGCCCAGGUAGGUCUUCUCCUUUUUCUGUUUCCCUAUUUCUUUCUAUUUUGUAUUUUCCGUAAUUGUUUUUGGCUUUAUUAAAAAUGCUAGGGCAUUUCCAAAAAUUAUGAAACGCUCAAUGCCACUGUUUGGAAUAUUUCCAACAGCAAACAUUUCAGUUUGUGAUUAUUUGAGCAUUUUAAAUAUAUUAUAGCAUUUACAUGCCCAAAUGCAAAUGUCAUAAGAUUUAAUUCAGUGACCCAAGUUGUCCUACAAAAGUGUGCACCAUUUUUGUCAGAGGUUCUAGACCAGGGCAAAGAUGAUGAACAUUUUAGAAGGGCAUUUUGGGUUCAGUGAAAAUGAUUCUAUUUGGACCCUAGUUGAAUUUCAUUUGCUGCUAGGGUUUAUCAGCCCCCAUUUCAAAGUUGAUGCAUAGAGGCUAAAGCAAAGACAGGCAAGGCCUGAACUGGGGUUGUGAAAACUCACCCCCACUAAACAAGAAUCUCGUCCCGAGAUUCAAGCGUAGGGUAAGAUGAAGGGGGAACGCAAACUAACAUAAUCUUCACGAUCCAGGUUGCACUUCAUAAGGGCGUUGAUUUGAUCACCAUCUUUGUCUCGAUGUCUUGCUCUAAGAACUCCAACCAUCAUGACAGCAAGAGGAAAGGAAAAAACUCUAGAAGGAUCGAUCUUCUCGAAGAUCGAACAACUCAGGAUCAAUUCACGGAAUGAGAAAUUGAAACAUCUCUCGAGCUGAGACACGAAGCAUACAUCCAGAGGGAUGGAGUGAAACAGAUGAUGAAGGUUCACUAGGUAGGCAACAAUCCCACAGUUAACAUGGUGGUGAAUGGUUGUCAACGUAGUGAGGAGUUGAGUUGCCAUGACACCAUAAUGAAACAUGUUGGAGGAGGUGACUAGUAGAAUUAUCACCUUAAGUGGCAAAAAGAAUUACUUUUGAUAUAGAGAUCUUUAAGACUCUUUAUACCAGCCUAAGGCAAUUCAUCAACAAUCGUUUGGUGGAGUAUGGAAGAAUGGCAUACCCGGACUAGAAUAGAUUAUGUGGAUUACCUUGUUCAAGACAACACAACGGAUGAUUUUUUAUUAUCAUCAGGAAUGGAUGGAACCCAUGGUAGAAUGGCACAAUGACGGUGCAAGCUAGGAACAAAAUGCAGGUGCUGGGAAUGAUUCUAGUAACUGGGGAGAAAUCCAACAGUAGAGAGUGAAUCCACUGUUUGAAAGGUUACAGCAUAACCGAGGAAGCUGGGAGCAAUCCUAGUUAGUGCCGACGAUAACACCUAGUGCUUGCGCGUGCUCUCAAGAACUUGAGCAUUUCCAUAUUCAUCAAGGUUUUACCAAUAUCUGUGUCAAGGAUCCUGGCAAAACAAUAGUGAUGGACGAUGCAGAUGCAAAGGAAGACAACACUUUCUCAUAUUUGUCCUUGGCAAUGCUAAGGAACAAAACCUGGAUGAUCGACCGAGAGACAUUUAGCACUCCGCUUCUAAUGUUCUCCUUGAUGUGCUAGCGUAAUCCAUUCAUAGAUAUGGUUUGAUAUCUAGAACAUCAAGUAAAAGGUCGGACUUCCGGAACACAAAAAUCCAUAAGGGACAACUAGGGAGUAAAUCCUACAAAAUCCUUAUGGGGAAGUGCCCAACUUCCUCAAUCAAGAUACUACAAUAAUAGGUCUUCCGACUGGGUGUGUUGGCCACGACAUCCACUUUACCGGGUUACAGAGAGACCAAUAUUAUAUUUCUUUGGAAAAGUUCCAACCAUCAUAUCUGCCUGAGAUUCAAAUCUGGUUUGUGUCAGAAUAUUCCAGACUCAUCAAGUCUAGAAAGAAAAAUGAAAGUUUGCAACACAUCGACGAGAUGACGUUGCGAGAUUCUCAUGGAAUAUACUACGAUAGCAAGCUCCAAAACAUGAGCUAGUUCUGCUACAUACAUGUGAACACGUUGUUCCAGACAACAUGAUCACAUGGCAGGCUUAAAAUAAAACACUACCGAGUUCCAGUUGGGAACCAUGAACGAGGAUAUUGAAGUCCUUACAUAAGGCAUGCUCUUAUGAAGGAACUUCUUCUCCUUGAACAAACCAAUCAGAGGGUUGGUAUGCUAGGAAUACAUAUAGAAUGAAGGUAGCUAGUCUCACAAACCAAUGUAUACUUCACACAUGCAUGACUGACCUGGGAUGAUUCCAGAGGAAGCAACAUUAACUUUCUCAGAUUCACGGUGGCAACUUGCACCAAAUGCACAUGAAUAAGGGGAAGUCACUUCUUUCAUCCGGGCAUAUGCUUCAUGCAUGGAACAUGAAGAUAAUGCUUAUAAAAGUUUCCAAUGCUAGCUUUAAUGUUCAACACAAAUCAUGGAGAAGAUAAAAUGAUGUUGAUGGACUCAACAACAAUUUAUCCAGGUUUCCAUAUAAAUAGGAUUCCAUAAUUAUGCGAACAAGGUGAUAGCAUUGGUCAGACCAAAAGAUAUAAUGGUGUAUGCUCAAGGGAUCAACCACGAGUAAGACAGCAUUAUGAACAUCAUUGGUUCUGAUUUGAUUUGAUGAUAGCCCAUAUGCAAAUCAAAGAUUUGAGUAAGACAAUAGAUCCAGCAAUUGACACGAGGAUCAAUCAAUGAAGAUAUCAUCUUUCUUCAACACACAUACAAGAUAUCCCUUAAAAUGAACUAAGUUGGAAAAGCCUGAAGGAAAUAUGCCCUAGAGGCAAUAAUAAAGUUAUUAUUUAUUUCCUUAUUUCAUGAUAAAUGUUUAUUAUUCAUGCUAGAACUGUAUUAACCGAAACAUAAUACAUGUGUGAAUACAUAGACAAACAGAGUGUCACUAGUAUGCCUCUACUUGACUAGCUCGUUAAUUAAAGAUGGUUAUAUUUCCUAACCAUAGACAUGAGUUUUAAUUUGAUUAAUGGGAUCACAUCAUUAGGAGAAUGAUGUGAUUGACUUGACCCAUUUCGUUAGCUUAGCACUUGAUCGUUUAGUAUUAUGCUAUUGCUUUCUUCAUGACUUAUACAUGUUCCUAUGACUAUGAGAUUAUGCAACUCGCGUUUACCAGAGGAACACUUUGUGUGCUACCAAACGUCACAACGUAACUGGGUGAUUAUAAAGGUGCUCUACAGGUGUCUCAGACGGUACUUGUUGGGUUGGCGUAUUUCGAGAUUAGAAUUUGUCACUCCGAUUGUCAAAGAGGUAUCUCUGGGCCCACUCGGUAAUGCACAUCACUAUAAGCCUUGCAAGCAUUGUAACUAAUGAGUUAGUUGUGGGAUGAUGUAUUACGGAACGAGUAAAGAGACUUGCCGGUAACGAGAUUGAACUAGGUAUUGAGAUACCGACGAUCGAAACUCGGGCAAGUAACAUACCAAUGACAAAGGGAACAACGUAUGUUGUUAUGCGGUUUGACCGAUAAAGAUCUUCGUAGACUAUGUGGGAGCCAAUAUGAGCAUCCAGGUUCCGCUAUUGGUUAUUGACCGGAGAUGGGUCUCGGUCAUGUCUACAUAGUUCUCGAACCCGUAGGGUCCACACGCUUAAAGUUCGAUGACGGUUAUAUUAUGAGUUUAUGUGUUUUGAUGUACCGAAGGUUGUUCGGAGUCCCGGAUGUGAUCACGGACAUGACGAGGAGUCUCGAAAUGGUCGAGACGUAAAGAUCGAUAUAUUGGACGACUAUGUUUGGACACCGGAAUGGUUCCGGGAGGUUUCGGGCAUAUACCGGAGUACCGGGGGUUACCGGAACCCCCCCAGGGAAGCUAUUGGGCCUUAUGGGCCUUAGUGGAGAAGAGAGAGGGCAGCCAGGAGGUGGUGCGCGACCCCCCUGGCCCCAGUCCGAAUUGGACAAGGGAAGGGGGCGGCGGCCCCCCUCUCCUUCCUUCUCUCCACCUCCUCCUUCCCCCUUCUCCUUCUUGGAAUAGGAAAGGGGGGGGGGACAAACCUACUUGGAGUAGGAUUGCCCCCCUAGGGCGCGCCUCUCCCCUUGGCCGGCCCUCUCCUCCUCCCCCCUUUAUAUGGCACCCCAUGCACACAACAAUUGAUCCCUUGGAUCUCUUAGCCGUGUGCGGUGCCCCCCCUCCACCAUAAUCCACCUCGAUAAUAUUGUAGCGGUGCUUAGGCGAAGCCCUGUGUUGGUAGAACAUCAUCAUUGUCACCACGCUGUCGUGCUGACGGAACUCUCCCUCAAAUCUCGGCUGGAUCGCAGUUCGAGGGACGUCAUCAAGCUGAACGUGUGCUGAACUCGGAGGUGCCGUACGUUCGGUACUUGAUCGGUUAGAUCAUGAAGACGUACGACUACACCAACCACGUUGUGCUAAUGCUUCCGCUUUCGGUCUACGAGGGUACGUGGACUCACUCUCCCCUCUCAUUGCUAUACAUCACCAUGAUCUUGCGUGUGCGUAGAAAUUUUUUGAACUCACUGCGUUCCCCUACAGUGAUAUCAGAGCCAGGUUUUAUGCGUUGAUGUUAUAUGCACGAGUAGAACACAAGUGAGUUGUGGGCGAUACAAGUCAUACUGCUUACCAGCAUGUCAUACUUUGGUUCGGUGGUAUUGUUGGAUGAAGCGGCCUGGACCGACAUUACGCGUACGCUUACGCGAGAUUGGUUCUACCGAUGUGCUUUGCACACAGGUGGUUGGCGGGUGUCAGUUUCUCAAACUUUAGUUGAACCGAGUGUGGCUACGCCUGGUCCUUGACAAGGUUAAAAUAGCACUAACUUGAAGAACUAUAAUUGUGGUUUAGAUGCAUAGGUAAGAAUGGUUCUUGCUCAGCUCGUAGCAGCCACGUAAAACUUGCAACAACAAAAUAGAGGACGUCUAACUUGUUUUUGCAGGGCAUGUUGUGAUGUGAUAUGGUCAAAGCAUGAUGCUAUAUUUUAUUGUAUGAGAUGAUCAUGUUUUGUAACCGAGUUAUCGGCAACUGGCAGGAGCCAUAUGGUUGUCGCUUUAUUGUAUAUAAUGCAAUUGCCCUAUAAUUGCUUCACUUUAUCACUAAGCGGUAGCGAUAGUCGUAGAAGCAAUAGUUGGCGAGACGACAACGAUGCUACGAUGGAGAUCAAGGUGUCGCGCCGGUGAUGAUGGUGAUCAUGACGAUGCUUCAGAGAUGGAGAUCACAAGCACAAGAUGAUGAUGGCCAUAUCAUAUCACUUAUAUUGAUUGAAUGUGAUGUUUAUCUUUUAUGCAUCUUAUCUUGCUUUGAUUGACGGUAGCAUUAUAAGAUGAUCUCUCACUAAAUUUCAAGAUAAAAGUGUUCUCCCUGAGUAUGCACCGUUGCCAAAGUUCGUCGUGCCCAGACACCACAUGAUGAUCGGGUGUGAUAAGCUCUACGUCCAUCUACAACGGGUGCAAGCCAGUUUUGCACACGCAGAAUACUCAAGUUAAACUUGACGAGCCUAGUAUAUGCAGAUAUGGCCUCGGAACACUGAGACCGAAAGGUCGAGCGUGAAUCAUAUAGUAGAUAUGAUCAACAUAGUGAUGUUCACCAUUGAAAACUACUCCAUUUCACGUGAUAAUCGGUUAUGGUUUAGUUGAUUUAGAUCACGUGAUCACUUAUAUGAUUAGAGGGAUGUCUAUCUAAGUGGGAGUUCUUAAGUAAUAUGAUUAAUUGAACUUUAAUUUAUCAUGAACUUAGUCCUGGUAGUAUUAGCAUAUCUAUGUUGUAGAUCAAUAGCUCGCGUUUAGCUCCCCUGUUUUAUUUUGAUACGUUCCUAGAGAAAACUAAGUUGAAAGAUGUUAGUAGCAAUGAUGCGGAUUGGAUCUGUGAUCUGAGGUUUAUCCUCAUUGUUGCACAGAAGAAUUAUGUCCUUGAUGCACCGCUAGGUGACAGACCUAUUGCAGGAGUAGAUGCAUACGUUAUGAACGUUUGGCUAGCUCAAUAUGAUGACUACUUGAUAGUUUAGUGCACCAUGCUUAACGGCUUAGAAUCGGGACUUCAAAGACAUUUUGAAUGUCAUGGACCAUAUAAGAUGUUCCAGGAGUUGAAGUUAAUAUUUCAAGCAAAUACCCGAGUUGAGAGAUAUGAAUCCAACAAGUUCUAUAGCUAAAAGAUGGAGGAGAAUAGCUCAAGCAGUGAGCAUGUGCUCAGAUUGUCUGGGUACUACAAUCGCUUGAAUCAAGUGGGAGUUAAUCUUCCAAAUAAGAUAGUGAUUGACAGAAUUCUCUAGUCACCAUCACUAAGUUACUAGAACUUCGUGAUGAACUAUAAAUAUACAAGGGAUAACGGAAACAAUUCGCAAAACUCUUCGUGAUGCUGAAAUCGACGAAAGGUAGAAAUCAAGAAAGCGUCAACUGUUGAUGGUUGGCAAGACCACUAGUUUCAAGAAAAAAGGGCAAAAGGAAGAAGGGGAACUUCAAGAAGAACGGCAAGCAAGUUGCUGCUCAAGUGAAGAAACCCAAGUCUGGACCUAAGCCUGAGACUAAGUGCUUCUACUGCAAAGGGACUGGUCACUGGAAGCGGAACUACCCCAAGUAUUUGGCGGAUAAGAAGGAUGGCAAAGUGAACAAAGGUAUAUUUGAUAUACAGAUUAUUGAUGUGUAUUUUACUAGUGUUCAUAGCAACCCCUCGGUAUUUGAUACUGGUUCAGUUGCUAAGAGUAGUAACUCAAAACGAGAGUUGCAGAAUGAACAGAGACUAGUUAAAGGUGAAGUGACGAUGUGUGUUGGAAAUGGUUCCAAGAUUGAUAUGAUCAUCAUCGCACACUCCAUAUACUUUCGGGAUUAGUGUUGAAACUAAAUAAGUGUUACUUGGUGUUUGUGUUGAGCAUGAAUAUGAUUUGAUCAUGUUUAUUGCAAAUUUAUUUAAGUUAGAGAAUAAUUGUUGUUUUGUUUACAUGAAUAAAACCUUCUAUGGCCAUACACCCAAUGGUUUGUUGGAUCUCGAUCGUAGUGAUACACAUAUUCAUAAUAUUGAUGCCAAAAGAUGCAAAGUUAAUAAUGAUAGUGCAACUUAUUUGUGGCACUGCCAUUUAGGUCAUAUUGGUGUAAAGCGCAUGAAGAAAAAUCCAUGCUGAUGGGCUUUUGGAAUCACUUGAUUAUGAAUCAGUUGAUGCUUGCAAACCAUGCCUCAUGGGCAAGAUGACUAAGACGCCGUUCUCCUGAACAAUGGAGCAAGCAACUGACUUAUUGGAAAUAAUACAUACUGAUGUAUGCAGUCUAAUGAGUGUUGAAGCUCACGGCAAGUAUCAUUAUUUUUUGACCUUCACAGAUGAUUUGAGCAGAUAUAGGUAUAUCUACUUAAUGAAACACAAGUCUGAAACAUUUGAAACGUUCAAAGAAUUUCAGAGUGAAGUGAAGAAUCUUCGUGACAAGAAAAUUAAGUUUCUAUGAUCUGAUCGCAGAGGCAAAUAUUUGAGUUACAAGUUUGGUCUUCAAUUAAAACAAUGUGGAAUAGUUUCACAAACUCAUGCCACCUGGAACACCACAACACAAUGGUCUGUCCGAACAUCAUAACCGUACUUUAUUGGAUAUAGUGCAAUCUAUGAUGUCUCUUACCGAUUUACCACUAUCGUUUUGGGGUUAUGCAUUAGAGACAGCUGCAUGCACGUUAAAUAGGGCACCGUCAAAAUCCGUUGAUAUGACACAGUAUGAACUAUGGUUUAGCAAGAAACCUAAGUUGUCGUUUCUUAAAGUUUGGGGUUGCGAUGCUUAUGUGAAAAAGUUUCAGCAUGAUAAGCUCAAACCCAAAUCGGAGAAGUGCGUAUUCAUAGAAUACCCAAAAGAGACUAUUGGGUACACCUUCUAUCACAGAUCCGAAGGCAAGAUCUUUGUUGCUUAAUAUGUAUCCUUUCUAGAGAAGGAGUUUCUCUCGAAAGAAGUGAGUGGGAGGAAAGUAGAACUUAAUGAGGUAACUGUACCUACUCCUUUAUUGGAAAGUAGUUCAUCACAGAAAUCAGUUCCUGUGAUUCCUACACCAAUUAGUGAGGAAGCUAAUGAUGAUGAUCAUGUAACUUCAGAUCAAGUUACUACCGAACCUCGUAGGUCAAUCAGAGUAAGAUCCGCACUAGUGUGGUACGGUAAUCCUGUUCUGGAGGUCAUGUUACUUGACCAUGGCGAACCUACGAACUAUGAGGAAGCGAUGAUGAGCCCAUAUUCCACGAAAUGGCUUGAGGCCAUGAAAUCUGAGAUGGGAUCCAUGUAUGAGAACAAAGUGUGGACUUUGGUUGACUUGCCCAAUGAUCAGCAAACCAUUGAGAAUAAAUGGAUCUUCAAGAGGAAGACGGACGUUGAUAGUAGUGUUACUAUCUACAAAGCUUGAAUUGUCGCAAAAAGGUUUUUGACAAGUUCAAGGUGUUGACUACGAUGAGAUUUCCUCACUCGUAGUGAUGCUUAAGUCUGUCCGAAUCAUGUUAGCAAAUUGCCGCAUUUUAUGAAAUCUGGAAAAUGGAUAAACAAAACUGCAUUCCUUAAUGGAUUUAUUAAAGAAGAGUUGUAUAUGAUACAACCAAAAGGUUUUGUCAAUCCUAAAGGUGCUAACAAAAUAUGCAAGCUCCAGCGAUACAUCUAUGGACUGGUGCAAGCAUCUCGGAGUUGGAAUAUAUGCUUUGAUAAGUUGAUCAAAGCAUAUAGUUUUAAUACAGACUUGCGGUGAAGCCUGUAUUUACAAGAAAGUGAGUGGGAGCACUAUAACAUUUCUGAUAAGUAUAUGUGAAUGACAUAUUGUUGAUCGGAAAUAAUGUAGAAUUAUUCUGCAAAGCAUAAAGGAGUGUUUGAAAGGAGUUUUUCAAAGAAAGACCUCGGUGAAGCUGCUUACAUAUUGAGUAUCAAGAUCUAUAGAGAUAGAUCAAGACGCUUGAUAAGUUUUUUUUCAAUGAGUACAUACCUUGACAAGAUUUUGAAGUAGUUCAAAAUGGAACAGUCAAAGAAAGAGUUCUUGCCUAUGGUACAAGGUGUGAAAUUGAGUGAGACUCAAAGCCCGACCACGGCAGAAGAUAGAAAGAGAAUGAAAGUCAUUCCUUAUGCCUCAGCCAUAGGUUCUAUAAAGUAUGCCAUGCUGUGUACCAGAUCUAUUGUAUACCCUACACUAAUUUUGGCAAGGGAGUACAAUAGUGAUCUAGGAGUAGAUCACUGAACAACGGUCAAAAUUUUCCUUAGUGGAAUAAGGAUAUGUUUCUCGAUUAUGGAGGUGACAAAAGGUUCGUCGUAAAGGGUUACGUCGAUACAAGUUUUGGCACUAAUCCAGAUGACUCUUAGUCUUAAUCUGGAUACAUAUUGAAAGUGGGAGCAAUUAGCUAAAGUAGCUCUGUACAGAGCAUUGUAGACAUAAAAAUUUGCAAAAUACAUACGGAUCUGAAUUUGGCAGACCCAUUAACUAAAUUUCUCUCACAAGCAAAACAUGAUCACACCUUAGUACUCUUUGGGUGUUAAAUCACAUAAACGAUGUGAACUAGAUUACUGACUCUAGUAAACCCUUUGAGUGUUAGUCACACAUCGAUGUGAACUAUGGGUGUUAAUCACAUGGUGAUGCGAACUAUUGCUGUUAAAUCACAUGGCGAUGUGAGCUAGAUUAUUGACUCUAGUGCAAGUGGGAGACUGAAGGAAAUAUGCCCUAGAGGCAAUAAUAAAGUUAUUAUUUAUUUCCUUAUUUCAUGAUAAAUGUUUAUUAUUCAUGCUAGAAUUGUAUUAACCGGAAACAUAAUACAUGUGUGAAUACAUAGACAAACAGAGUGUCACUAGUAUGCCUCUACUUGACUAGCUCGUUAAUUAAAGAUGGUUAUGUUUCCUAACCAUAGACAUGAGUUGUCAUUUGAUUAACGGGAUCACAUCAUUAGGAGAAUGAUGUGAUUGACUUGACCCAUUCCGUUAGCUUAGCACUUGAUCGUUUAGUAUUCUGCUAUUGCUUUCUUCAUGACUUAUACAUGUUCCUAUGACUAUGAGAUUAUGCAACUCCCGUUUACCGGAGGAACACUUUGUGUGCUACCAAACAUCACAACAUAACUGGGUGAUUAUAAAGGUGCUCUAUAGGUGUCUCCGAAGGUACUUGUUGGGUUGGCAUAUUUCGAGAUUAGGAUUUGUCACUUCGAUUGUCGGAGAGGUAUCUCUGGGCCCACUCGGUAAUGCACAUCACUAUAAGCCUUGCAAGCAUUGUAACUAAUGAGUUAGUUGCGGGAUGAUGUAUUAUGGAACGAGUAAAGAGACUUGCCGGUGAUGAGAUUGAACUAGGUAUUGAGAUACCGACGAUCGAGUCUCGGGCAAGUAACAUACCGAUGACAAAGGGAACAACGUAUGUUGUUAUGCGGUUUGACCGAUAAAGAUCUUCGUAGAAUAUGUGGGAGCCAAUAUGAGCAUCCAGGUUCCGCUAUUGGUUAUUGACCGGAGAUGUGUCUCGGUCAUGUCUACAUAGUUCUCGAACCCGUAGGGUCCGCACGCUUAAAGUUUGAUGACGGUUAUAUUAUGAGUUUAUGUGUUUUGAUGUACCGAAGGUUGUUUAGAGUCCCGCCACAAACAUGACGAGGAGUCUCGAAAUGGUCGAGACAUAAAGAUCUAUGUAUUGGACGACUAUGUUUGGACACCAGAAUGGUUCCGGGAGGUUUCGGGUAUAUACCGGAGUACCGGGGGUUACCUGACCCCCCCCCAGGGAAGCUAUUGGGCCUUAUGGGCCUUAGUGGAGAAGAGAGAGGGUAGCUAGGAGGUGGCGCGUGGCCCCCUUGCCCCAGUCCGAAUUGGACAAGGGAAGGGGGCGGCGGCCCCCCUCUCCUUCCUUCUCUCCACCUCCUCCUUCCCCCUUCUCCUUCUUGGAAUAGGAAAGGGGGGGGGGGACAAACCUACUUGGAGUAGGAUUGCCCCCCCUAGGGCGAGCCUCUCCCCUUGGUCGGCCCUCUCCUCCUCCCCCUUUAUAUACGGAGGAGGGGGGCACCCCAUAGACACAACAAUUGAUCCCUUGGAUCUCUUAGCCAUGUGCGGUGCCCCCCUCCACCAUAAUCCACCUCAAUAAUAUCGUAGCAGUGCUUAGCUGAAGCCCUGCGUCGGUAGAACAUCAUCAUCAUCACCACGCCGUCAUGCUGACAGAACUCUCCCUCAAAGCUCGGCUGGAUCGCAGUUCGAGGGACGUCAUCGAGCUGAACAUGUGCUGAACUCGGAGGUGUCCUAUGUUCGGUACUUGAUCAGUCGGAUCAUGAAGACGUACGACUACAUCAACCGCGUUAUGCUAACGCUUCCGCUUUCGGUCUACGAGGGUACGUGGACACACUCUCCCCUCUCGUUGCUAUACAUCACCAUGAUCUUGCGUGUGCGUAGAAUUUUUUUUGAAAUUACUACGUUCCCCUACAAAGCUUCCAUCUUCCAACUCUCCAGAUUGUUGUUCGGCUUAACCAACUAGCUCAGGGGUAUCCAACACAAAUUCUAGGAGAAGGGGUGGUUUACAAGAGACCAACUUGAUCACGAGCUCAACAUAACAUUCAGGUAACGACCUGGUGAUACUUCCGAGAAGAUAUUCGGAAAAUCACGAACCACCGAUAUGUGAUUAAGCUCGGAAACAAUCUUGUUUUUCAGGGCGAGAGGAUAUGAUCAAAAGAGUAAGGGAUUAACACAAUCCUAACUCAUUGGUCGAAGAGUGCACUGGAAAUAAGGACUAGGUAGCACAAUAACCUUAGGGUGAUGAUUCAGUAAUCAACACGCUAAGAAUGAGGUUAUUGUCCAUUUAACUACCAAGCAACGGAGUUGCUAGGAGUAUAGAUUUCACACAUCACGGUUCACUUGUCGGCAUUCCGGUUGCAACAAGAUGGAACCGAGAGAUGAAUAAUGAGGGCGAGAAGUAUCACUGUAUCAAGAGUUCAUAGGAUGGUGUGCAAUUCCCAUGAUAUUCUUGAUAUAAAGAUGGUAAUACCCUAAGGUAGAAUAGAACAAAAACUGGAUUAGCAUUUUGAUAUGCGGAACACAUCUGUUUUAACCCAAUCCUAGAAAUGGAUAAGGUACUGGAGUUUGUUUCUCCUAGUCAUUCCGGAAUAGAAUGGCUUGACGGACCACAAGAGUAAUAGGCAUCGAUAAACACGAUUGCACAACUACUCCUUACUAUCAAUUGAUAGGCGGGGAUCAGAAUACAACUAAAGAGGGACAACUCAAAAGAACAUAUAAUUUUCUGAGUUGUGGAUGCAUAGAUUAGUAUGACGAGCAAAACUCAACAUUUCUUCCGGAUAACCCAUGCAGAAAGGUAGAACUGGCAGACUCACAACGUGGAAUGAAGAACUCAUCAAGAGCACUUUAUUGUGAUCUUUCGGUUCAAAAGAACUUCUGCCAAAAAUGGUUCAUGGUAUUUGGAAGAAGGAAAUACCACAGACCUCAAGGACUAUCACAAAGGUUACUAAUAACCUAAAGUAACUAGCAACACUAUCAACAUGAAGUAAGUAGGGUGAAUCUCGGGUUCAGAAACCCAGGAGUAGAAUGUCUACUAACUAAGUGGCAUCACAGGAUGCUUUCGAGAAUGAUGGCCAGAAUCAUCACACUGGGAACACAAAUCAUGGCUAGCUUACUAGAUGAUCCCCUAGGACACCUAGGGUCAUAAUAAUAACUCCAACAUAUAUGUCAAGUAAAUAGAGUACCUCAACGCACUGAUUAGUGUGCUUAAUCUGACCCAAAAGAACAUCAGGAACGGAAGAAGGGAUUUGCAAGUGCAUCAGAUUGUUUAGGAACCUGGGACGACUCAGACAGCAUAACGGUUGUAAAUGCUCAAGAAGAUUUGAGACAUCCUGCAAAAUGGUGGCAUAACCACUUUAUCAUCAUAAUAUCAAGGUUUUGAGAUCAACUAUGAAUACACGGAUAUAGUAGGAACUAAACUAAGGCUUGAGUUCAUCAAUCUUGUAGGUCUACGGAUUAGUAACACGUCCUGAUAGAAAGAAGAGAAAGCCUAGUUCUUAACCCUGUAGGAAAGAUAGGAUGACUCGGAUCAGAGGGGCAUAAGGUAAAGGAGUAAAAAGAGCCUUAGGUUCCCAUCCACAAUCAAUUCCCUUAUAUAACUAAAGAAUUUCUAGACUCAACUUCGAUCGGUUUGGCUUGGUAAUCCUACAGGCAGUCAGACUCUGAUACCAAAGCUGUCAGGACACCGAUCCUAAGUCACACCGAUCUAGCAUGUAACACAUCAUAUCACUUUAUGGCCUCAUGCACGGCAUUCCCACGGGUGCCACCUUACCUGGCCCGGGACCGUUUGCGCCUUUUGGCUCACGUAUAUGAUAAUGUUGUUAGCAUUCAUAGACAAAGAACCCAGCCUGACAUGACUAGUCGUGGACCCAAAGUGGCACUAACUUACAGGGAUAGGCAUACAUGACCCAACAACGAACGUGUCGAUCAGCAACGUGCGAACCCAAGUCGUAGCAAGCUACAUGGACUUAAAGGAACAACGUGUGACAUUUCCCCGAAGGGACAGACAUAGGAACGAAGAAGGACACAUGCCGGCCAGCCUAAGUGUUCCGGAGCAGUAGCAAGCUACCAUGGCUCAGUGGAAGCACUAGGAGACAUUCCCGGUAAGAGAGGCUACCAAGGAUGAACAACUAGGUUGUCAGAUCCCACACAUACCAAGCAUUUCAAAUCAUACACACAAUAUGCUCGAUAUGUGGAAAUACAACAUGGCAUCACAACAUAACUCUAUGACUCAAGUAUUUAUUCAAUAGGCUCCGAGGAGAGAGAUAUUACAAACAUGGGUCUCAUGACCCAAUAUUCAGAGCAUACAAGUCAAAGCACAAGCGGAAGCUUAACAUGUCUGAGUAUAGACUACUACAAAUGAAAAGGGCUGAGAAGCCUGACUAUCUACCAGAUCCUGCCAAGGGCACAAGACCGUAGCUGAGGUAACAAGCUAAACGCCGAAGUCCACGCGGAACUACUAGCGAGACUGAAGUCUCUCUGCAAAAACAUAAAUUAAGCAAACGUGAGUACAAACAUACCCAGCAAGACUUACAUCAGAACUAACUACAUAUGCAUCAGUAUCGACAAAGGGGUGAUGGGGUUUAACUGCAGCAAGCCAGCUUUGACUCGGUGGCUAUCGUAAACUACGACUGCAAGUAACUCUUUUGAGGUGGCGCACACGAGUCCACAUAAUCACCAUAUCAAUACACCACUACGGAUCCGCUCCCGUCUCCCUAAGAGAAUGCCAUCCAUAACACUCACGCUUAUCUUGCGUAUUUUAGAGUAUCCACUUUCACUUGUCUAUGAAUUGUAUAGGCAACCAAGAGGUCCUUUAUCGCGGACGCGGCUAUUCGAAUAGACGAUGUUAACCCUGCAGGGGUGUACUUCUUCACACACGCUCUCGCCACUUACCGCCAUGUACACGUCAUGUAUCUCGGCAACCUUCAAGCGGAAGCCUGGCGAGGGUGUCGGCCACGGCCUACCUAAACACUCAAGUCUCUAGUCCAGAUUUAUCGCCUAUUCAGGUUCCAUCCGCAGGGAGUCCGGUCGAAGUUUCCACAUACGGCCUCGAACGAUGUGAGCAGGGUUCCAGAGACAUCAAACGGGCGCCUGGUACACCGUGCCACGUGCCUACCACAUCACAGCCCACCCCUCGGGCCAGCGCUGCGCACGGCCUCCAGCAUACUACAAACACCAGAAACUACUUGCAACUCCUGGACAGAGGACAAGGGUGGUUAAGAACCCGAGAGGGUCAGUUAAGGAUCCCAAUGAGUGCUAGUAGUUGUUCAUGGAUCAGAAACACAGAACUCAGUUCCUGAGGACGACUUCAAUGAGACAACCCACCAUGUACUCCUACAUGGCCUCUCACCGCUAUCUUUACCAAAUCGUGUUCACACACUUAGCUCACACAUAGUAGGACAUGUUCAACACCAUUCCAAUUCAUUCCCGAUGAAUCAGACCUGACUCAACUUUAAGCAGUAGCAGGCAUGUCAAACAAGCAUGAAUGAGUAGGCACAUCAGGGCUCAAACAACUCCUACUCAUGCUAGUGGGUUUCAUCAGCAACAUGCACCCUAAGGACACAUGUACGUUUUUUCUAGCCAUUUUGGUGCACUGGAGCAUGUAUUUUGGAGUUCGGAUUUGAAUUAUGGAUAUUAAAUGCCUAGAAAACUUAAUUAAUGAAUAAAAAGGGUCAAACGAACCCUGAAUAAUUUCAAAGUUCAGCGCGAAUCUCCCGUUGUUCCGUACGUGUUGCGUGCAGAAAAAAAAUACGAGGCUAGAAGAGGGAGCGAUUAUCGUUUGGCCCACAAGGGGACACGUUUCCCUAUCGAAACCAGGAGGGUUCUUGCGACAGGUUCCGGUUUGUAAGAGCAUCUCCAACAGGCGUGCUAAACAAGCGCCGCGCCGCAAAUUUACCCAUUUUAGCGCGCGCGCAAUCGCUAGUGUGUCUCCAACGGGCGCGCAAUAACCGCGCGCGCGGCAUAUAGAGUUGGGCACGCAGUCCGAAUCGCUAUCACGCUCUACGUAUUUGGGACGUCCGCUUUCGUGCGCGGCACACACGAGCGCUCCGGGCGGCUUUGGAGCACCUCCGGGCGGCUUGGACGGCAUGGGUAGCAUGGGUGACAUGAGUUUUGCGUCUCUCAUUGGGGGCAUGGGUGCACCUCCGGGCGCCGGUGUGCCACCUUCGCAUGAAGAUGCCGUUGAAGAUCUUGGCAACACCUUCUGAGCUUCACGUGACGAGGAUACGGCGCGCAACAAUGAAGAGGAGGAGGAAGAAUCGUCUUCGAAGGAGUCGGAGGAAGAGGAUGAAGACGAAGACGAGGACGAGGCUUGAUUUUUGUGCCAUUCGUUUGUGUCAUCAUAAACUUGCUUUGCAUGUUGAACUUGGUUUAAUUAUGUUGUGGGCAUGAAUUUGAACUUGUGGGCAUGAACUUUUGGGCACGAAUUUGGUUGUAAUGAUGUUUGUGAUUCAAUAUAUGCCAUGUGUUUUGUGUUGAUGUGUGAAAUUUAUGCCCCAAAUGAGAACAAAUGUGUGUGCGUGCGCUGCAUUUUAGCGCUACUGCUGGAGCAAGCGUUGCGCGACGCGUCAAACCUGGCGAUGUGCGCGUCGAAAACCAGAUUUUAGCGCGCCACGCAUUGGGCGUCUGUUGGAGAUGCUCUAAAGAAUGCGUUCGUUCGUUUUUCACAAUGAGUAUUCUUGUUGCACAUUUUAUGACCUUCAGCGUGAAGUAUUCUUACUAAUUACAUAUGUUGCUUGUGCGGAAUGGAUAUGAGCCGAGGAAGAAGUAAUUCAUUAUACUUGCUCAAAUAUAUUGUGAAUGAAGCUAAAGACUAGCAUUUCUAAUAGUGUGCGAUAUUUUGUUAAGCUCGUCAAGUAGAUCUUAACUUAUAACAGAUUUUUAAAUGGAUAAUCAUUCUGUAUACAUCUUCAAAUUGCCUUUUGUUAUCAAUCUACAUUGCAAGUGAAGUGGACUUCAUUACCAUAUUGUGUCCGUGCUAUCUUUGCUCUACAUGUAAAAUUUAACAUGAAUUAUGUUUAUAUAUAACUCUAUCAAAAUAUUUUAAAAACUCGUGAAGCUACUUCCCCGUUCCCACCAGGCCACCACAUCCUUGCUUUUAUUUCUCCUGGAAGCAGAGACGGCGCCGCCGCUCGCCUGCGACGCCCUCCGCCGCCUCCGCUCGCCGCAGGUCUCCCCGCUGCCGCCGAUCAUCUCCAGCAAGGUAUCCAGCCACCUCGGCCCCUUGCCGCGCCGUUGGGAGCGCCGCCGCCGAUGGUUCAGUGACUUCAAUCGGUCCCCGUGGGCUCCAGCGCCAGCGGCGGCGCCGCCGCGACUGCUCUCCUUCCCGAGGUGGAUUCACUCCCUUUGAGGUCGUCAUUGUUAGGUUCGCCCCCGUCCCUUGCUACUUGCUCACUCUCCACAAUUUUUGGCAACAACCGAAACCCUAGCUUAGCUUGAACAAUUAACACGCCAGCUUAGUUACCCUGUAUGCUUUGGCUUGUGUUCAGGUUGAUUGAAGGAGGGACCAAGGAGCAGUGGCCGCGGCUGUGUGUGAAGCUGCGUGUGUUUCGGUUUGCUGUGGUUAGCGUCUGGGCCGUGGGUUGUGCUUAACAAAGUGGUUUCUGCUUGUUGGAGACAAAGGGUGUUUCCCUUUGUUUAAUCAGGUGGCUUGGUUUUCUCCAGGCCAGGGGUAUAGGGUUUAGGGUUCACUGUGAGUGUGCUUGUGCUUGUGGACAUGGAUAAAAUGGAAGGGGAGAGGACAAGCCGACUAGCCAGAGCUGAGUCUAAAUCAAAGACUUCUUCACCUACUAGUGCAACUGCCUUUUCAGCCACCGCCUCUCGUCGGCGCCCUACUCUCCCGAGUCUGCGGGCUGACGUGGACUACUCCAAAUACAAUCGGAAGAAGAUGAAGGAGCUCAGGCUUGUCUCGGAGAAAGAGUGGUUCCCGCCUCAAAGACAUGAGUGUCACUUGACAAGCAGCUGGUUCUGGACAGUUGUGCAGAAGGACCUCUACCUUACUCUCAAGUCACAGGUCAGCGACAUGAAGUGGAUCGACUGGCCAUCAGUCAACCGGAGUGCUGGCACAAAUGUUGAUGUUCGUGGAUACUUUGCAGCUACUCCGGGGCUUGACAGGCUGUUAGAGAGGCAGGACCUCAGCUGGGCUGACUCGUACAUUCGUCAAUUCUAUGCCACACUAUGGAUUCACCCAGACCGAUCAAGGAUCAAGUUCAUGUUUGGGAACCAACAGCGUGAGUUGUCCAGGGACGAUUUCUUCGGGUGUCUUGGCCUGUCUUGCUGUGGUGCCCAAGUGCACACCUUGGCAUACCCCAAUGGGAACAGGGAUGAAGUUCACCUUGCCACCUGCACAGGACAUUCACCACCUAUACGUCAACCCUGAUGCCGCGAUGGAGUUCUGGAAGGAUCACAAUCAGUUGAACCAUGAAACAGCGGUUGUACACACAGUCAUGAGGAUGUCGAUCCAUCCUAGAGUUGGAGGCCUUGAGUCCCUAACUACAGUUGAGAUUUGGCUUCUGCACUUGUUGAGGUCAGCACAGCCUGUAGACAUAGUAGAUUUGAUGAUUGGAGAGAUGCAGGACACCAUUCUGACAAUCAGACGUCGUCUGCCCUACGCCCCGUAUCUCAUUCGCUUGUUUGACAAGAAAGGUUGGCUUGAGGAUGGCAUGAAAAAGGCUUUGGAUCAGCACCUCAAGCCAUACAAAGCUCCAAGGCCCGAUGACAAGAGGAGGCUCAAGAAUAGGGCACUUCAGCAUGACAAGUCGUACAAGGCUCCGAAGCCUGAUGACAAGAGGAGGCUUGUGACCAGGUCACUUCCAGCCCACAUGGAAGUUGUAUUUGAUGAUGAUGGGCAUGUAGUGUUGGAUCAUGCACUUGUCCCGAGCAUACAGGAGCAAGCUCUUUGGGACACCACUAAUGGGGAAGCUGACACAGAUCAUGGCCAACAUAUGGCGCCACCCCCAGUUCCUGAUGAGUUCAGAUUUGGCCAGCUGGGAGCUCACAACGUAGAGGCAGGAGGCUUGGCUGGUCAUACCUAUGACGUUCCUCCCAUGCUGCAGAGACAGACUGAUCGCCAGACGGCUAUCCUUGAGCAGAUGCAGAGACAGAUUGAUCACCAGACGGCUAUCCUUGAGCAGAUGCAGGGACAGAGACAGAUUGAUCCCCAGACGGCUAUCCUUGAGCAGAUGCAGAGACAGAUUGAUCGCCAGACGGCUAUCCUUGAGCAGAUGCAGAGACAGAGACAGAUUGAUCCCCAGACGGCUAUCCUUGAGCAGAUGCAGAGACAGAUGCAGGAUAUCCGCAACCUGGCUGUGGUUUCUAUUGGUCAGAGUAUUCGCCGUGACGCUCGCCACAGUGAUAUUCUGGCUCUUCUCGAUGAGAGUUUUAGUGCUUCCUGUGGACUCUAGGCGGCCUCCUGUCCCACCGGUUUGACGCAACAGACUCUACUUCUCAGUGUCUAGUUUUGUGGUAUGAUGAGCUGCUGCCUACUUCUGCUAGAUCGGAGUGUCCUCAGGUUCUCUCACCUUCAGGCUUAAGCCCAGCAGCCACUCGACAGAACCGAGACAUAAGCUGGCUAUUGUCGAUUAACUUCGUUGGUGGGUUUCCCUGUGUGUGUUUGAUCUAGAAACGGGAGAGAUUUGACUUAUAUUAUCCUUUUGUGCGUGGAGUCGUCUUUUGGGUGGUACUGUAAGUGUAAGAUACCUAUAUGUUGCAUGCCUAAAUACUUCUGCCUGCUCCUUAUUUGGAUUCUACAUACUUUGUUUCGACAAGGAUGCAUGAAUUUCAUAGAUCGAGGUUUAAAAGCUGCUGUUUAUACUUGCUGCCAGUGCCAUCGUCAUCGUUGUGUGUGAUGUCCUGAGUCAAGCUCUUUAUAGAUAGAAGGCAUCAUGUUUUUUGAUUCCUUGAGAUCUCAGACCAGUGAUUGAAGUGCAUCCAAGAUGUCAUUGCUUCCUAGGUCAUUUGUAUUUUUACUUUUUACAAUGAUCUGCAUGUUAUCAUCAACUUUCGCAUGCGGUGUUUAGAUUGUUGCCACCUUCCGGAG